UAAGAGAGAAGAGAAUUGUAUUGCUGUUAGAUGAUAUAUGGGAGCGGGUUGAUUUAACAAAAGUGGGCGUUCCACUUCCAGGACCACAAAAUACUACCUCAAAAGUCGUAUUCACAACCCGUUUGAUCGAUGUUUGUGGUAGCAUGGAAGCUGACAGGAAGUUCAAAGUAGCAUGCUUAUCAGAAAAGGAUGCUUGGGAACUGUUUCGAAAAAAAGUUGGGGAAGAAACUCUUGGAAGUCAUCAUGAUAUCGUUGAGCUAGCCCAGACUGUGGCCAAAGAGUGUGGUGGUUUGCCACUCGCACUUAUUACUAUUGGUCGAGCUAUGGCCUUCAAAAAGACAGCCGAGGAGUGGAGUCAUGCAAUUGAUGUGCUAAGAACAUCAGCUUCUGAGUUUGCAGGUUUGGGAAAAGAGGUGUAUCCUCUUUUAAAGUUUAGCUAUGAUAGUUUGCAGAAUGAGACUAUUAGAUCUUGUUUCUUAUAUUGUUGUUUAUAUCCCGAAGAUUAUGGAAUUCUUAAAUGGGAUUUGAUUGAUUGUUGGAUUGGUGAGGGAUUCUUAGAGGAAUCUGACAGGUUUAGUGCAGAAAACCAAGGAUACUACAUUGUGGGCACUCUUGUUCAUGCAUGUUUAUUAGAAGAGUUAGAAGAUGAUAAAGUAAAAAUGCAUGACGUUAUUCGUGAUAUGGCUCUAUGGAUAACCAGUGAAAUUGAGAAGGAGAAGAGAAACUUUUUGGUUCGUGCAGGUGCUGGAUUAAAAGAGGAACCGGCUGUUAAAGAAUGGGAAAAUGUGAGAAGAUUGUCAUUGAUGCAAAACCAUUUUAAAACUCUGUCAGAGGUUCCUUCAUGCCCUCAUCUCCAUACUCUAUUUCUUGCCUCUAAUGAUAAUUUGAGGAUGAUCACGGAUGGCUUCUUUCAAUUUAUGCCUUCUCUCAAAGUUUUGAAGAUGUCAAACUGUGUGGAUUGGCCAGUUUCGAAAUUACCUUUGGCGAUGUCAAAGUUGGGUUCACUACAACUUCUUGAUAUUUCACAUACCAGCAUAGAAGAGUUACCAGAAGAGUUGAAGUUGUUGGUAAAUCUGAAAUGUUUGAAUUUGAGGUGGACAUUUGAGUUAAAUAAAAUUCCAUGGCAACUAAUAUCAAAAUUUUCAAGGUUACGUGUGCUGAGAAUGUUCGCUACUGGCUUUGCACGUUUUGAUGAAGCAUCAGAAGACAGCGUUUUAUUUGGUGGGGGUGAAGUUUUAGUACAGGAAUUGGUCGGUCUGAAAUAUUUAGAGGUAUUGGAGUUGACCUUGGGAUGUCAUCAUGCUCUCCAAAUUUUUUUGAGCUCAAAUAAGUUAAAAAGUUGUAUUCGAUCUCUUCUCCUCCAAUUGGCCGGAGAUACAAUGUCGAUUAUUGAUGCUACGGCUUUUGCAGAUCUAAAGCACCUCAAUGAAUUAUGGAGUGAUAGGGCUAAGGAGUUGGAAGAAUUGAAGAUUGAUUGUAAAGAAAUAGUACAAAAAAGGCGGGAACCUUUUGUUUUCCGCAGCCUUCACCGUGUUACUAUACAUAGCUGCCAGAAGUUGAAAGAUUUGACAUUCCUCGUUUUUGCUCCAAACCUCAAGUCUCUCGAUCUAGACCGUUGCGAUGCUAUGGAAGAAAUAAUCAGCGUCGGAAAAUUUGCUGAGACUCCUGAGAUGAUGGGACAUAUAAGCCCUUUUGAAAAUCUCCAAAUGCUUGAUUUAGAAGAUUUGCCACAUUUGAAGAGCAUCUUCUGGAAGCCAUUGCCUUUCACUCAUCUGAAAGAAAUAUCUGUGGGUUAUUGCCGUAAUCUUAAAAAGCUUCCACUCGAUUCCAACAGUGCAAAGGAGCGUAAAUUUGUUAUUCGUGGAGAAGAAGACUGGUGGAACCGACUUCAAUGGGAGGAUGAAGCCACUCAAAUUGCUUUUCGUUCCUGUUUCCAAUCUCUUUUUGAUUAACUCUUAUACAUUUUCUCGUCGUUUGCUUCGUGCAAAAGACUACGUCUUUUGUUCUCCGUUUUUAUUUCAGUUUCGUUUUUUGUCUCCUGCAAAUCACAAUUAAAUGUUGAAUUAUAUGGAAGUAACGCUUUAUAAAUUUGCCGGCACUGCCAUUUCUUUUUCCUCUUUUUUUUUUUUUUUGGGUCGAAUUGAUGCUCUGGCUUUUUUACUUUUUGUCAUCGAAUUUUGCUCUGUUUUUCAAAUUGAUGCUUGAAUAUGUGAAUUCAAUUAAUGCUCACAUAAUUUUGUUUAGUUGCCGUAAAAGAAUAUAAUUAGACUGAAAUUCGCACUCCCAGAAUGAAUAGAAUCACAACAGAGAAAAUAUUAAGUAUGCUAGCCCUCUUUACAGAAAAUCAAAUGAAAAUAAAAUUUUUUUGGAUAUUUGAUUUUCUAUGGUGUACUAAAUACACUUUAUAAAUUCUUCUGUUCUAAGGAUAACCAAAUCCUUUGUUCAAGGAUUUUUAUUUGGGGUAUUGAUAAUAGUCCACCAAAAUAGUGAAUGCUUGGAUGCUGAUUAAGGAUCUGUAAUCAAUAAGCUGGAAGCAAACGAGAAGGCGGUCGCUACUCUGUACAAAGCCAUGCAGCAAUUGCUAUUCAUCUUAAAUUCUUAAUAAUUACGAAGCUUUGGUAAAAUUUUCAAACAAAGUUGACAUGUUAUUUUGAGAUUUGGUUCCUGAUUUUGGUUGAAUUUCGCUGUUUCGUUUGAGUUGGAUGUGAAUUCAAAUCCAAAUAUUCUUUGUUUUUCAAUUCUGAACUCAAUUUCUUUUUCUCAAGAAUGUUAUGCAGAAAUGAUUUUUACUAAAUCAUUUUUGAUGAAUUGUUUAAAUUAAACAAUUGGGAUAAGAAUUGUAACGAUUUAUCAUAAGCGUGCUAAUAUGAUAACUUGUUUUACAAAUGAUUAAUUAAUCAAUUAAUAUUAAAUUAUAUAUUAGUCAAUUAGAUAUGUGUUACAUUUGUCAUGUUUUGUAGGAGCGAUACUACAUAAUUUCUAAAAGAAUAUAAUAAAAACACAUUAAAAUGUUAUUUUAAUGAAGAAAAAAUUAUAAUUUUAUUAAAUAGGUGACACAAUAAUAAAUGGAUUUCUGUAAGAAUUGAGAUUCUUGAGAUAAUUUUGACAUGAUAAGAAGACAACACAGCACAGAAAACCCAAAUUGCCACUUCUACUAAUAAAAGAUAACCUGUUUGAAAAGUAAUUAUAAACUACCUUCUUUGCGUUAUUUCUCAAAACUUUUGUGGCACAAAUGUUAUUUCCAUUGACAACAGUACGAAAUACCGCCCCUUUCACUUGAGCAGGAGCAAAGCAAAGGUAUGAUGAGCUAUCUCUGUAUAAUUGAAACGCCAUUACUAAACGAUUCUUGAUGAUGGGAGCCACCGUGCCAGCUUUGUCGCUGAUUUGCAUGAUUUAUUAGUUGUCCAGAUGGCGGAUUUUGUACUGUUACCUUCUUUUCAUUCUUCAGAGCCAUGUACAGUUCUAGGAUACCAGAGAAACCAAGGUGGCAUUGAAGUUGCCCCGGUGGUUAGUUUUCAGAUCAUUUUUUUUUAAUUCAAUUAUUUAUGUUUUUAGAAAAAUGUAGGAAAUAUGUAGAAAUGUUGACAGCUAUGAUUUUGAAACUUUUGCCUAAAAUUAUUAUCAUUACUUAUUGUUUCUUAUUUAAAGAGAAAUCCUAGAAACAUGAAAUGAUUAUUCUACGCUUGUUUUAAUAUUAUACUAUGAAGAUUAUGAAGGUUUGAUUAUAUGUCACUAUCAAUUGCCUUAAUCGUUUGUCGUAAAUCAAUUAAGCAUUUUGAUGCGAAUGAUUCCCUAUUAAAAAAUUCAAGUCAGAGCUGAAUUGCAAAGUAGUUAGUCGUGCUUGCAAUUCAAAUUAAGUAUUGUAUUUUCUCCCUGAUUUGGUUGAUUCAACUAUGUGCAUUUGCUUAUGAAUGUUGUAGUAUAGAAAUCGAAACAUCUUGUCUUUUGCUAAGCCCAGAAGCAAAUUCUUUGUAUUCUACUCAUCAGUUUUCUUCAUUCUCUUCGUUGAAAUUUUAUCCAAACAGCGGUUUCGAAAUUGUUUUCACUACAAUACCUUAGUCUUUCAGAUGCUCCCGUCACUGAGUUGCCAGAAGAGCUAAAAGCCUUGGUAAAUCUUAAGUGUUUGAACCGGAGUACACAAAUUAUCUCUCUACAAUUCCGAAGCAACUGAUUUGUUACUUUUUGAUGCUACAUGUUCUGCGAAUAUUCAGUUGUGGUUAUCUUGUUCAAAUACCAGAAAAUAGCGUUCUAUUUAGUGGUAAUGAAUUCUUGGUUUGGGAGUUGCUUAGUUUAAAACGUUUAAAUGUAUUAAGCAUCAUCUUGAAAAGUUUUUCUGCCGUCCAAAAACUUAUGAGCUCCCAAAAGUUUCAAAGCCGUACACAAUGCUUGGAGCUUCUAGACUGUGAUGAUCCAAAGUCAUUUGCCUUGGCAGAGUUGAAGCAUCUUGAAAAACUAGGUUUUUCGAGUUGUGGAAAUUUGGAAGAGUUAAAGUUCUGCUGUGUCGAAGUUGCAAAGGCUCGAGAAUGUUUUCGUUUGAACGGCCCUCACUGAGUUAAGAUGAAGGCUUGUCAUAAAUUGUGGGUCUUGAAUCAAAUUUCAAUGCAUGAAUUAAUAUUUUUUAAAAAAAUUACUACACGCAGUUUAGGUUACAAACUAUUUUUUGCAAAGUUGACUAUGAAAUUGGAGAAAUUAAGUAAUUUAUAAUGUUUGCAAAGAAAGAGACUAACAUACUUCCAAUUACACUAUAUCUCUAUUAUCAUAAUGUUAAGACUAAACUAACUUAAAAUAAAUUUUAUUUGAAAAGUUAUAUCAAACGCAAUCUAAUUUUAUUAACUUGAAGAGAUAAUAGUUAUAGAAAUUAUUGUUCUAACUUAAUUAGUAUAAGUGGUAUAAAGGUUAAGUGUGCACUAAAUUCGUUUAAAUUUUUUCCACUAUAACUAACAGAGGUCAUUACUAGAAUUAUAUUACUAGUCUAUUAGAUAGAAAAAAUUAUUUAUAUUGUUUUAUAUUUAUUAAAAAAAUGUAAAGUCAAUCUUUUUAAUUACUAUUUAAAGGAUAUUAUAAUUAGAAAACAUUUAAUGUCUUUAUUAAAAAUUUAAAAAUUUACAUGACCGUUCUAUAAAUAUUUAAAGUGUAACUGUCAUUUUCUCAUAUAUAUAUAUAUAUAUAAACCAUGGUGGUGAAGCUUUAUUUAAUAUUAAUGAUUUAAAUAAUAAUAUCUCAAUUAAAAAUGUAGAGAGAAGAAAUUUCGGUGGGUAUAUUAGUCUUUUACAAUUAUCAUGAUUAGCCCUUCCUCUUGUAAUGUUGGUAAGAAAAGUUUUAAAAUGCCUUGAUUUCUUUUACUUUUAACGUUAGCGGCCUUAUAUUUUAUUACAAAUUAGUCCUAACAAGAAAAAGCAAGAUCAUAUUCCACAAAAGCAAAAGUGACAAAACAACCAACUGGAUUAUUUUUUUAAACUACAAAUUGUAUAGUCUUUUUCAAAUUGUUAUAAAUUGGUGGCCCCUACAAUUAUCAACUGUGCAAGUGCUCAUUCACAAUCUUCCAGGUCAUGCUCUUAAUAAUUGUUUUUUUUUUUUUCUGCAUUCCCUUUCAUGCUCUUAAUAAUUGAAGAGCAUACUUUUCAUUUUCAAAUGUGGAGCCGCAGCUAAUGUCGCUAAUUUAAUUUGGGAUUAAAUUAGGGGACCAUUAUAUUGCAGUGUGCACUAAUUUUUGUGUUUAUCUAAACUCCUUAAAUUUAAGACAUAUUAUGGCAUAAAUAAGAAUAUAAUAAUAACAAAAGAGUUAGAAAGUGUAGAGAAGAUCUUGCAGAAAUAUAAAUAAUAUCUAUUUUAAAAUAAUAUCAAUAUUUAAAAUAAUUUUUAGUAUUUUAUGAUCCAUUAGAUAUAUUUUAUUAUAUUAAAGUAAAUUUUAUAAUAAAUAAAAACGUACUAUUAAAAUGAAUAUAUAGAAAAUUUAGAGUAUUUUAAGUAUUAUAUAAAAUAAAUUUAAUAAAAUAUGUGAGAUAUUCAUAGUUUAUUAAUUUAAAAUACCAUUUUAAAAUUAAAGAUUUAUUUAUGAUAAAUUAAUAAUUAUAUUUUUGAAAUUACUUCAAAUAUUAAAAAAUUAAUAUUACUAAUCUAUUAGAUAGAUUAAAUUAUAUAUAUUAUUUUCUAUUUAUUAAAAAAUUAAAAUUAUUUUUAAUUACUAUUCAAAAAAUAUAAUGAUAAAAAAAUCUUAACAUCUUUAUUAAAAAUUUAAAAAUUUACAUGAUCAAUUCUCUAAAUAUUUAGGGUAGAUGUGAACCACGGUGGAGAAGCUUUAUUUAAUAUUAUUGAUUUAAAUAAUAUGUCAAUUAAAAAUGUACAGAGAAGAAAUUUCGAUGGGUAUUUUAGUCUUUUCAGCAAUUAUCAUGAUCAGAUCAGCCUUUAACCUUGAAACGUCGGUCAGAAAAGUUUUAAAAUGCUUAAUUGUUUUUCACUUUUAACGUUGAUGGCCUUGAAAUUGCUUAUAUUUUAUUAAAAAUUAAUGCUAACAAGAAAAAACUAGGUCAUAUUCCACAAAAUCAAAAGUGACAAAACAACCAGCUGGUUUCUUUUACUAAACUACAAAUUAAAAUAGAUUUUUUCGAUAAAUUACAAAUUAAAGUGGAUUCUUUUUUUUUUUUGAAAGGUAAAGUGGAUUCUUUUGAAUACAAGUGAGACAGAUUAGGCUCUUUUUAUUAAAGACAAGUAAAAACUAGUCAAGAAUCGAAUAAUCCUUUUCAAAAUCUUGUUUUAUUAUUUUUCAAAACUAGUUUUUGGUAAUUACAAUCGGGUCAUUAAUCAUUAUUCAAAGUUAGCGGCUCAUGUUUGCAAGUGUGAAUGUGCGAUGCUGCAAUUACAGUGGGGCCCGAAUCAGACGUGCCGAAUAAAUCUUUUUAAAAUUUUUGCCGUAUAACGAACAGAGGUCAUUACUAAAAUUUCUCUUCCAAAGCCCACAGCAGCUUCAGUUUAUCAAACUCAAUCAAUUUUCUUUCUUAACAAAAUUCCAAAGAUGUGUAGCAUUUUUCAGAUCACAUGCGAUGGUGCUCUUUUCAAUCGUUGCUUGGAUUGCUUUCUUGGAGAAGCAGCAUACAUAAGCAAACUCCAAGAUAAUCUUGAUGCCUUGGAGACUGAACUGGGAAGACUAAUCGCAGCAAAGAACGAUGUGAUGAUGAGGGUUGUCAAUGCUGAACGGCAACAAAUGAGAAGGCGGGAAGGAGUGCAACAAUGGGUUUCGAGGGUGGAUGCUGUUAAAACUGGAGCCGAUGAACUUAUCACAGACGGCUCUGAAGAAAUUGGCAAAUUAUGUGUUGGAGGCUACUGUUCCAAGAACUGCAGGUCAAGCUACAAGUUCGGAAAACAAGUGGCUAAAAAGCUACAAGAUGUGAAGACUUUAAUCGCCGAGGGAGUUUUUGAGGCGGUGGCUACUGAGGUGGUGCCCGAGAGAGCUCCGGAACCUGUAGCAGAUAAAAGACCCAUUGAGCCAACAAUAGUAGGCUUGCAAUCACAGCUUGAACAAGUUUGGAGAUGUCUUGUAGUAGAAGAAUCAGUGGGAAUCAUUGGCCUAUAUGGUAUGGGCGGUGUUGGUAAAACCACACUAUUGACCCGUAUCAACAAUAAAUUUCUUGAGAGUCAAAACAACUUUGAUUGUGUGAUUUGGGUCGUAGUUUCAAAAGACCUGCGGCUUGAAAAAAUUCAAGACGAUAUUGGGAAGAAGAUAGGUCUGUCUGAUGAUUCAUGGAAGAAUAAAAGUGUUGAGGAGAAAGCUGUAGACAUCUUGCGGAGAUUACGAGAGAAGAGAUUUGUAUUGUUGCUAGAUGAUAUAUGGGAGCGGGUUGAUUUAACAGAAGUGGGCAUUCCACUUCCCAGCCCACAAAAUACUACAUCAAAAGUCGUAUUCACGACCCGUUUCAUUGAUGUGUGUGGUAGCAUGGAAAGUCACAGGAAGUUUGAAGUGGCAUGCUUAUCAGAAGAGGAUGCUUGGGAGCUGUUUCGAGAAAAAGUAGGGCAAGAAACUCUUGAGAGUGAUCAUGAGAUCGUUGAGCUAGCCCAAACUGUGGCCAAAGAGUGUGGUGGUUUGCCACUNNNNNNNNNNNNNNNNNNNNNNNNNNNNNNNNNNNNNNNNNNNNNNNNNNNNNNNNNNNNNNNNNNNNNNNNNNNNNNNNNNNNNNNNNNNNNNNNNNNNNNNNNNNNNNNNNNNNNNNNNNNNNNNNNNNNNNNNNNNNNNNNNNNNNNNNNNNAUUGAUUGUUGGAUUGGUGAGGGAUUUUUGGGGGAAUCUGACAGGUUUGGUGCAGAAAACCAAGGAUAUGACAUUUUGGACACUCUUGUUCGUGCAUGUUUAUUGGAAGAGGUGGAAGAUGAUAAAGUAAAAAUGCAUGACGUUAUUCGUGAUAUGGCUCUAUGGAUAACUGGUGAAAUUGAGAAGGAGAAGCGAAACUUUUUGGUUUGUGCAGGUGCUGGAUUAAAUGAGGCACCGGAUGUUAAAGGAUGGGAAAACGUGAGAAGAUUGUCAUUGAUGCAAAACCAAAUUGAAACUCUGUCAGAGGUUCCUACAUGCCCUCAUCUCCUCACUUUAUUUCUUGACUUUAAUGAGGAUGUGGAGAUGAUCGCGGAUGGCUUCUUCCAAUUUAUGCCUUCUCUCAAAGUUUUGAAGAUGUCAAACUGUGGAAAGAGUUGGAGCAAUUUUCAAUUACCUGUUGGGAUGUCAGAGUUGGGUUCAUCACUAGAACUUCUUGAUAUUUCACAUACCAGCAUAAGAGAGUUACCAGAGGAGUUAAAGAAGUUGGUAAAUCUGAAAUGUUUGAAUUUGAGGCGGACAGAAUUGUUAAAUAAAAUUCCACGGCAACUAAUAUCAAAUUCUUCAAGGUUACGUGUGUUNNNNNNNNNNNNNNNNNNNNNNNNNNNNNNNNNNNNNNNNNNNNNNNNNNNNNNNNNNNNNNNNNNNNNNNNNNNNNNNNNNNNNNNNNNNNNNNNNNNNGCGUUUUAUUUGGUGGGGGUGAAGUUUUGAUACAGGAAUUGCUCGGUUUGAAAUAUUUAGAGGUAUUGGAGUUGACCUUGGGAAGUUAUCAUGCUCUCCAAAUUCUUUUGAGCUCAAAUAAGUUAAAAAGUUGUAUUCGAUCUCUUCUCCUCCACUUGGCCAGAGAUACAACGUCGGUUAUCGAUGCUACGGCUUUCGCAGAUCUAAACCACCUCAAUGAAUUAUGGAUUGAUAGGGCUAAGGAGUUGGAAUUAUUGAAGAUUGAUUAUACGGAGAUAGUUCGAAAAAGGCGGGAACCUUUUGUUUUCCGCAGCCUUCACUGUGUUACUAUACAUAUCUGCCAGAAGUUGAAAGAUACGACAUUCCUCGUUUUUGCUCCAAACCUCAAGUCUCUUUCGCUAUUCCAUUGCGGUGCUAUGGAAGAAAUAAUCAGCGUCGGAAAAUUUGCUGAGGUUCCUGAGAUGAUGGGACAUAUAAGCCCUUUUGAAAAUCUCCGACUUCUUCGUUUGUCACAUUUGCCAAAUUUGAAGAGCAUCUACUGGAAGCCAUUGCCUUUCACUCAUCUGAAAGAAAUGGUGGUACGUGGGUGUGAUCAGCUUGAAAAGCUUCCACUCGAUUCCAACAGUGCAAAAGAGCGUAAAUUUGUAAUUCGUGGAGAAGAAGACUGGUGGAACCUACUUCAAUGGGAGGAUGAAUCCACUCAAAUUGCUUUUCGUUCCUGUUUCCAGCCUCGUUCUUGAGCAGUGGCCGCAAAAUUUGAUUUCUGGUGAGUGCGUUUGUCUUUUAAAAAGAAUAAUUUAAAAGAAAUUUAUUCUUGUCGUUUUCUUCACUGUUUUUAUUUCAGUUUCUCUCUCUCUGUCUCUCUCUUUUUGUCUUCUACAAAUCACAAUUAAAUGUUGAAUUAAUGGAAUUAAUGCUUCAUAAAUUUGCCGGCACUGCCAUUACUUUUUUUUUUAAUACAAAUUGAUACUUUAUUUAUAUCUUCUUAGCGAUAUAAUUUCCUGUCAAUUGACGAACGAGAAGAACAUAUGACUUAAACCAAUUCUCGCAUAAACUUGCUGUAAAAAGAUAUAAUCUCACUGAAAUGCACACGUCUAGAAAGAAUAGAAUUAAAACAGGGAAAAUCUUUACCGAAAAUCAAAUGACAAUAAAUUUUUUGAAGUUUUGAUUUUCUAUGGUCAAUUCCACCUUUUGCAAUUUCUUCUGUUCUAACAAAAACCAAUUUCUUUGUUCAAGUAUUUUCGUUUGGGUAUUAAUAAUUCUCCACCGAAAGAGUGAACUCUUGCUCAAGGGAUCUCUAAUCAAUAGCCGGAAGGGCGCCGAGACCUGAUCGGACCUAGGCCCAAGUUUGGUCUUAAAGCCUGGGCUUGAGCCUGGCAAUUAAAUUAAAACAUUAAUUUAUUUCUUGAUUGAAUUGUCGUGUAAUUGAUUUAUGGGGGAUGACACAUCAACAUACUUGAAAAUACACUAAUCUCAGCAUCAUCGGUUAAUAACUUUUAGAUUUAUGGGUAAUCAAUAGUUAAGAUUAGUUGUCAUUAAUACUAAAUAAUUUUUACUUUUUUUUGUCUCUUCUAGAGGAUCUUCUAGAAAAAUGCAUCUGCAAUUAAAUUUAAUACUUUACAUAAUAAACAAAGCAUAAAUGUUAAAUUUAAGAAACUGCAUUGUAUUUCAGCUGAAGUUGACUUUAAUAUUUAGGGUAGAAAAAAAUUAAAUCCUUAAUGUGUUUAAUUUGUAUCACUUGUGUCAUUAAAAUUUUCUAGUCACCCUAACCAAUUACAUCUCAACCCACUUUUUUUUGGAUGAUUUUAUUUUUACACUAUUAUUUUCAACAUUUUUUUCCUUUUAACACCAACAUUAGUGUAUGUUACGUAACAUAAUUCAUAUUUGGAUAAUUUGAAAUUUGUUUGUGUUUUAUCUCAAAAUAGAGCUUCAAUCAAUUUGUACCUCAUAAAUUCACAAUAUCUAUGAAGGCUAAUAAGACCAAACUCUGGCAUAUUGUCAAAUGUGCUUAUCCUUUUGCUUGACAUGUCAUUUUAAAAUUGUCAUUCAAUGCCAAAAAAUCACAUCAACUAAUGGCCGAUAAUUAUAACUUAAUUGUUAUAUUGAAAUUUUUUUCUUUAUAAUUUUUAAGUUUAAUACUGCUACAUGUGUAGCACAUAAGUUGGAAAAUAUAACAAAAAUUGAAAAAUGUGUAGUUUUCGUUCCUUUUUUUCCCCUUAAAAAUGAAAAAAAAACAACAGUAAUUUUGUUUAAAUUACUGUUGUGAUAACAAGUAUUAUUUUAUUGAUUAAUUGGCAGAUAAUCAUUAUGGUUUCGUAUGGUUGUUAAAAGAUUGGAAAGUCCACUACAUCAUCCGUUAAUAACUUUCAGAUUUAUGGUUAAUCAAUAGCUGAGAUUUAUUAUCAUUAAUGCUAAAUAUUUUUUUCUCUCUCCUAGAGAAUCAUCCACAGCAAAAAUUUAAUAUUGUAAAUAGUAAACAAAAUAUAAACGUUAAAUUUAAGAAACUGCAUUGCAUUUCAGCCGAAGCUAACUUUAAUAUUUAAUGGAGAAAAAUAAUUAAGUCCUUAAUGUAUUUUAUUUACCCAUACAUGUGGCUAAUUAUUUAAGAUAAAGGGGAAGGAUGAUGCUCAAAAAUAUAAAUUAUAGAAUUAAUUGAACUCUCAAGUAAGUUUAAAGUUCAUUAUUUUUAAUUACAUGUUUAUAAUUUAUUUUUAUUUCGUAUUAAUCUAUAGAUCUAAAUCCACUUUGGAUUCAUAUACAUAUAUAGACAUAAUGUGUAUGUUAAUCUAUAGGUCUAAAUUCAUUUUAGGUCUAAAUCCACUUUGAAAAAGAUAAACUUUAAAUUUACUUAAGAGAGUAAUUAAUUUCAUAGUUAAAAUCUUUAAAUUUUACCCCUCAUCUUAACUUAAGAAAAUUAAUCACUUAUUUUAUUUAACAAAGAAGAGAUUUUUUUUCCCCCUAUAUUUUCCAAUUAUUUCUCUCCCUCUCGCUCCCUCAAGUUAUACAACUUGACGUGAAAUAUGAGUGGUCUGAUUCUAGCUUAAAUAAUUUAUUGUGACAUGCUAUCGAAGGACAAUACAAUACCUAGCUCUACAUAUUUUAUUUAACCUCCGGCUCACCCUGUGCAAACUUGCCUUUCCCCUGCAAGACAAGAUUAAUCAAUGUAUCAAGUCUCAAAUUCAAUUUGGAAUAUGACCAUCGUACGCUCUUGUUCUUCCCUCUUUACGAGUGCAUUCCCCCCAACCUCAAGCUCCCUCUCUCGUCUUCAAUGUCACUGCUUAUAUCCUUAUGUUGUUCUCAAAUUCUGAUUUCACCAUAUUUUAAUUACUGAUUAGCAUAUAUUCAAGUGCUCUCCAUUAUAAUAGAAGCCGCCGCCUCACUCGUGAUUCCAAACUUUAUCUUUUUUCCUUUUUUAAAUUAAUGCAAGUAGCCGCUGUCCUUUUUAUUAAUUAAUUAAUUCGGCCGCCCACAUUUCUUUUCCUAAUGUCUUCUACUGUCGAUUUUCUUUUAUUUUUUCUUUAUUCUUAAAAUAUGCUUUUAAUAAUAAAAUAUAAAAAUAUAAAUUAAAAUAAAAAUAUCAAAAUAUAAUUUAACAGAAAAUUAAGAUAAAAAAUGAAAAAAAAUUAUGAGCAUAUCAAUUAAUAAAUAAAAAUAAUAAUUUUUAUUUUUAUUAAAUAUAUAUUUUUCAGUAUUAAUCAAUUAUCUGAAUAACUAAAAUCAUUUAAAAAUAAAUAAAUAAAUUAUUCUUUAAAAACAAAAAGAAAAGAAACUUUUUAUAACACUCACCAUGCUGUUUGUAGGGUAGACGGUUUGGGGACUGAAGUUGGUAACUUCUACAAGUAGUCUUAAGUUGACUGGCAACAACUAUAUUGGCAUUUUGACAUACUGUACUGCAACCAUAUUGGUAUGUUCAAAUGUUCUUACUAUUGUAUUGGUGUGUCAAUAUUAUCUCUAACUGUCCUAUAGAUAAAAAAAUAAUCUAAAUUUAUAAUUUAACAUAAAAUAAAAUAAUUAGUUAUAGAUAAAAAAAUAAUUUAAAUUUAUAAUUUAACAUAAAAUAAAAUAAUUGGUAGAAAAACAAUUAUGGUUCAUUUACUUAUCAGUAAUCAGAAUAGACUGAAAUCGAAAUAAGUUGUAUUGCCGUUGAUGUGUUUAUGUUGUCCUCGAAUCGGAAUGAAUUAUUUUAAGUUACUAAAAUACCCUUGGUUUGUUAUUCUAAUAAUUAUUAUUUAAUAUUUAUUAUAAUAUUUUUCAUAUUAUUAAAAAGAAAUAAUAAUGAUGAUAAUAUUAUCAUUAUUGUUUGUUACAUUAUUAUUAUUCAAAAAAAUUAUUGUUAAUAACAAUAAUUACUUUAUUUCAAUAAUAAUAAUGAUAAAAUUAAUAAUAACAAACAUGACAACAACAAUAAUUAUUUAUUAUGCCAAAAAUAACAAUAAUAAUAAGAAUAAUAGUCAUCAUCAUUUUUUUUCCCAAAGAAGCAUUAUCAUCAUCAUUUCAAAAAAAAAAAAAAUCAUCAUUAUCAUCAUCGUUUUUGUAGUGGCUGCCUAUCGACUGCUGCUUUCAUGUGAGAUUGACUUGCGACGCUUCAACGGCUAUUAUUUCUGGCAAUGUCAGGUGUUACUGUUUCAAUUUAGGAAGAAGUUGUUUCGUUGUACUAACGAUGGGAGAUGUUGUGGCUGCGAUUCGGGGAGCUACUAGUUUAUUGCACUAAUGACGGCAGGUGCUGCUGCUUGAUGCGAGGUCCAUGGCCAGUUGUCAGCAGUUUGACUUUGGUAUGGGUGCUACUGGUUUGAUUUUAGGUGUUGUCCAAUUUCAUUUUCAGGAUUUUAAUUUUAUUUUUUCUUUAAUGUUUUCAUUAAUUAAUCAGGGCAAAGUUGGAUUUUAGAAUUUAGAAUGAAGGUAAUUUUGUUAAUCAUGGAAAUGAGAUUCUGAUUGUCGAGAAUGAGCUUAUACAAGCAACUGCAAAUUAAGUGAAAACAAAACGCUUUUUCUCUUUGUGUGAUUAAAACAUGAUAUGUAUCAUAAAUAAAUAAGUAAAAAAUAAAUCAAUACAAUCCAAAACAGUAAACAAAUUACAAGAGGUACAGAUUUUUAUGUGAAACACCGAAAAUAGAAAAAAACCACAGUAUCUUAGUCUGAUAUAAUCUUCUACUGUAUUAAUGGGAUUACAGCACAAAUUCUUCCCUAUAUACCACUAGAGGUUAACAACAUCUAGAUUCUCAAUAAUAUUGACUUACAAUACAGCUUAAUAUAUGUCUCUCUAAUAAGUAGAUAUCUAAAAUAACAAUCUCUAAUAAAUAAGUAUCUCAAAUAACCGUCUCUAAUAAGUAGGUAUCUUAAAUAAUAGUCAACAAGAGGAUAAAACAAAAAAUUAAGAUUAGUAGGAUGUGUAUCAGGCAAUGCUAUCAACUUAUUAUCUAAAUUUGAGAAAAAUAGUUAAAUUCACUUUUUCGAUUGUCCGACCAAAGAUGGAAACCCUUGCCCCAAAACCAAAGGAAUCAACAUUGUGUCUCUCUCUCUCUCUCUCUCUCUCGUUAUUUUCUUCUACUUUUCUUAAUGUUAGCCGCCACUUGCUUUUAUUCUUUAUAGCAUUUAAAAAGCUACUUUUAAUGGUAAAUUUAUAAGUCCAAACUUGGUGAUAAUUGCACACCAAACAAUCCUUACAUAGUCUUUUAGACCUCUAAAUGAGAUGAAUACAGUAAAUUUCCCCUUUUAGAUCAUGUGGGGGGCACCACAAGGCCACUCUCUGCAUAUAGCUUUUCAACUUCUCCUUGAAUAAUGUCUUUGUCAUCAUACAUAACCCAUUCUCCGUUGUGUAAAUCUUCUCAAGCUGUAAAUGUUCCUUCUCAAGCACAUCUCGUAUCUAACGAUACCUCACAUCAAUAUGCUUAAAUUUCGAAUGGUAUAUCAAAUUCUUUGAACGACACUCUGACUGUCGUAGUACAUAACAUAGUUGUCUCGUUUUACACCGAGCUCUUAUAGGAAAUUCUUCGUCCACAAUAUUUUUUUGCAACCUUCAAUAAUUGUAAUAUCAUUUGCUUUAGUGGUAGAAAAGGCAACUUAUUACUAAAGUUUAGAUUGCGAUGAGACUGCUCCCCUUGCAAAAGUGAGCAAACAUCCUAGUAGGAGUUUUUCGGAAUCAACAUCUCCUGCCAUAUCUACACAAUUGUAAAACAUGUUUGUCACUACCAAAAUAUAAACGUGCUCUGGAAAUGCCUCUAAGAUAUUUGAGAAUUUUUCACUGUUGUCCAGUGCUGAAGCAUAAGGAACUCCUCUCAUGGAGAAAUGGAUUUUGCUCUUAGAGAUUUUUGGNNNNNNNNNNNNNNNNNNNNNNNNNNNNNNNNNNNNNNNNNNNNNNNNNNNNNNNNNNNNNNNNNNNNNNNNNNNNNNNNNNNNNNNNNNNNNNNNNNNNGACACUUUUUCAGGAGAUGCAAACUUCAAAUAUAAUGGGAGACGAGUUUACCAUUGUUAGCAUUCUUACAGCUCGUGCGAAUCUGGGGGCACUAGAACUGGGAGAAUGGAUAAAGACUUAUACUGACAAAAACAAAGUCAAGAAUGAUAUAUUUGCGGGGAACGUUUUGAUAGACGUGUACUGUAAAUGCGGAGAUGUUGAGAAAGCUCAAAAGGUAUUCAGGAAGAUGCUUUGAAAGGACAAAUUCACAUGGACGACCAUGAUUGUUGGCCUUGCCAUCAGUGGCAAUGGUGAUAAAGCUCUUGAUAUGUUUUCCCAAAUGCUUAGGGCUUCGAUCAAACCGAAUGAGGUAGCUUAUGUUGGUGUUCUGUCUGCCUGUACUCACAAUGGUAAUGAAACUUUUGUGAUAAAUAGUUGCAACUAAAGGUGAGAAUUGGAGGAAAGGAAAUAGACUGAAGUUGUUCAAUCAUCAGUGGUUGCUAUUUGGUUUUAAGUUGUUCAAUCAUCGGUCGUCUCUAUUUGGUUUUCUCCAAUAUCUCAUCUUCAGUUUUGACUCAGAUUCUAUCUUACCACUAGUAAUUACAUAGACUUGCUGCCAAAGGUAAGAAUGGGAAUAAAUUAAAUAGAUUAUGUCGAAAACGAAAUAAAUUUACUAUUGUUCUGUUCAUUCUAUUUGUUUCCUACAAAAUAUUUCUCCUGCCUAAAAUUUUUUGAAUCAGUAAGUUUUUACCUUAUGCAAGAAUUGUGCUGAGAGUAAUUCCAUUUCUCAGUCUCUUUAUGUUUCAAUGAAGACGUAAAACUUGUGUUCUAGUGCACCAAUGUUUAUGCUUCUUACAAUUUGACUUUAAUUUACUUUGUAAAACUUUUGUCAAAAAGUACUAAAAAGUAGUGCACCAAACACCAACUUUAUUACACUUUAGUUUAAUUUUAAGAGAACACUCAAAAGAAAGAGUUAUAAAUUAGUAUAGAAAUAUUUCACAUAAAUAAAAGCCAUCCCAUGCUACAAAGAUCUUGCUAUCAUCACCAAAAACUAUCGGGAGCUUUUAGGGUUUCCAAAAAAAUGUCAUUUCGUUCCAAAAGUCAAUGGUGGGUAGAAAGUGGUGCAAAUGAGACUCAUUGUUAAUGGUAUAAGUUUUUGCUUAAUUAUGUCUUCCCCAAGAUGAUGAUUUAAUUUCCAUUCUCAAUUAAUUUUCAAGUUUCAACACUUUUCUAUCUAGCAUGACAUUGGAAAGAUCUUGUACAGUUGUACUACUAAAAGCUAGCACCACACGUUAGUUAUUGUUAAGUUCUUUUUCAACGUGAAAUAAAGGAAGUAGUCCCUCGUUAAAACCAUUAUAGCCAAAUUUCACCUAAUUGGACACUUACAGACUUUCAUUUCAAGUUGGAUUUUGGUCCAACGUUUCAAAGUUGGCCCAAUUAUUUUUGUCUGGUCAAGUCCUACGCAGCUAAGCCCCUCAAUGAAUGAGGGUGAGAUUGCUAAAAAUUACGACAGGUGAUAUUUUAUUGUUAUUAUUAUUAUUUUUGGGGGAUAAAUCCUCACCAAAGUGAGGAGAUUUUAUCAAAAUCAAAAUAAAAAUAUAACAAGAACUGAAAGUCGGGCAGCCUAAAAGCUAGAUGAACUAAAAGUCAGGCGCCUAAAAACAACCUUAUGCAAAAGAAAAGCAACAUGAGACCGAUCAAGUAAAAGAAUCCACCGCAACACCUAAAUUGGCCAAAUUAUCUGUUGGUAUUACAAGUUUCUUGUUAUAAAAGUGUAGAAUGAAGUAGGUGACGUAGUUUUAAGUUACAGCUGCAUGCCCAAUCGCAAUAUCAAAUAAUGCUUAAAGUAGUUGCCUAGGCGCCACAAUUUAUAUUAACUCUUAAAUUUAUAAAUAAUUAAAUUUUUAAAAGUUUGGAUUUAUAUUAAAAAAUCUUCAUAUAAAUAAAUCAUAUAUGCACUUUUACAACACAGUCUUUAAAUUUAAAUUUUUCUAGAAAAAUCUUCUGUAUAUCUUUUCUAUUAAAAAAUUUCCAUAUAAAUAAAUAAUAUACCUAAUUUAAUUGGACCCAGCACAACGUACAUGCAUAGAACACAUUCCGAAAAGCCAUGCUAUUCGGAAAUUGACGAAUGAAAAGUGAGGAGGCAGCAGUCAAUGCUACUUCGGCUUGGCCCAAAAUUGAUUUAUCAGUUUCACGUAUGCCAGGAAUGAAGAACUGGAAUAUCCCCGUCAAGCAAGCAACCUGUGGAGCAAUACCAUAGAAUGCACAAUCCGGCUUUGCAAAGUGACACUGGAGGCUUUUUGAAAAGUGCUUCAUGCUCACUUGCACAGAUUGAGCAUCCCCUCUGGAUAUUGCCCUCUCUGAUCGAGUCUGAGCACUCAAAUUUCGGUCCUCAGAUGGAGCUACAGCUUUCUCUCCCAAUAACCAACAAUUUUCUAAACUCAGCACCCUCGUGUGAUCAGAGUUGUUGAUAUUUGCAAAUGGAGAUCCCCCAUAUUUGCAAAUGGAGACAUUUAACAAAUCACCAACAUGUUUCAUUCAGUCUACGAAAUUCUGCAGCUUAUUCAAAUCCGGAACCUGAACCAGAGUCGGAGGUAAAUCUUGAGCCAUAUCUAAAGCAGCCUGAAGUUCAAGUACUUGAGCCCUUGACAAUGGUUUUGAAAUUGGAACAUCUUGGAUUACUGCAGAUUUGUACCCCUUGGUUUCAAAAGUGUGAGAGGCAUUGCUCGAGUACAAUUUGGAGGCAGCUUCUUCACCAAUUUUAUUUGGAGGCGAUUGGCAGCGGAUCCAGCUGCACCAAUUUCAGAGCAAAUACUGACACUACUUCGAACAGCACGCUGAAGAAGAGAUAUGUCUAUGGCAAAGGCAAUGCAGUCCUUAUUUUGACUUGAGAUGCAGUAAUCAUCAAAGAGAGUUUCCUUGUGAAACUGGGCAAAGCAUCGAAUCCCUUCACCACUGAGAAGGUUGUGGAGGAAGUGAGCUUUCUCUCUUGUGAGGAAGAGGUGGCGUGCCUUCCCCAUUUUGUCUAGGGCAGGUAUAAAUCUCUUUUCUAAGAGAUUUACUCCAUUCUCUGUGAGAAAUGCUUUGAACUUCAUCCCUCUGUCUGUAUCCUCACUUAUCAGGAAAAUAGUUGAAAGCGCUACAAGGAUAGAGAAGGAAAGUAUUAAGAUAAAUAGACAAGAAAAAUAUUAGAUGCCGAUCUUACAAACUAAUACUCCAAACACUAUCCUAGAAAGCUAAAAACUGAAGGAUGGCUUGAAAUUUUGAAAAGAACACAUGCUUUUCCUCCUUAACUUGGGAAAAUGUUUAAUAUAGUGCAACUUACAGAAGCAUUUAAGCAAUUAGAAAUUAGCACAAAAACAUCAAGAAGACUAAACAAAUCAGAUGCAGUGUAUUUGUCCAAGCACAAAUUGCAUUUUGUCCUCAACUUUAAUAUUUAUUGAUGAGAAUCAAUACAGGUCCCUCAUUUGUUAUAGAAAGCUUUCUUGUAGUCUCACCAGUUAAUUCACAGGUCUAUAAUCAUCUUGCAAAGUUAAGGGCAUUCUUCCGAUCUAAAGUCUUGCAUCACCACCUNNNNNNNNNNNNNNNNNNNNNNNNNNNNNNNNNNNNNNNNNNNNNNNNNNNNNNNNNNNNNNNNNNNNNNNNNNNNNNNNNNNNNNNNNNNNNNNNNNNNNNNNNNNNNNNNNNNNNNNNNNNNNNNNNNNNNNNNNNNNNNNNNNNNNNNNNNNNNNNNNNNNNNNNNNNNNNNNNNNNNNNNNNNNNNNNNNNNNNNNNNNNNNNNNNNNNNNNNNNNNNNNNNNNNNNNNNNNNNNNNNNNNNNNNNNNNNNNNNNNNNNNNNNNNNNNNNNNNNNNNNNNNNNNNNNNNNNNNNNNNNNNNNNNNNNNNNNNNNNNNNNNNNNNNNNNNNNNNNNNNNNNNNNNNNNNNNNNNNNNNNNNNNNNNNNNNNNNNNNNNNNNNNNNNNNNNNNNNNNNNNNNNNNNNNNNNNNNNNNNNNNNNNNNNNNNNNNNNNNNNNNNNNNNNNNNNNNNNNNNNNNNNNNNNNNNNNNNNNNNNNNNNNNNNNNNNNNNNNNNNNNNNNNNNNNNNNNNNNNNNNNNNNNNNNNNNNNNNNNNNNNNNNNNNNNNNNNNNNNNNNNNNNNNNNNNNNNNNNNNNNNNNNNNNNNNNNNNNNNNNNNNNNNNNNNNNNNNNNNNNNNNNNNNNNNNNNNNNNNNNNNNNNNNNNNNNNNNNNNNNNNNNNNNNNNNNNNNNNNNNNNNNNNNNNNNNNNNNNNNNNNNNNNNNNNNNNNNNNNNNNNNNNNNNNNNNNNNNNNNNNNNNNNNNNNNNNNNNNNNNNNNNNNNNNNNNNNNNNNNNNNNNNNNNNNNNNNNNNNNNNNNNNNNNNNNNNNNNNNNNNNNNNNNNNNNNNNNNNNNNNNNNNNNNNNNNNNNNNNNNNNNNNNNNNNNNNNNNNNNNNNNNNNNNNNNNNNNNNNNNNNNNNNNNNNNNNNNNNNNNNNNNNNNNNNNNNNNNNNNNNNNNNNNNNNNNNNNNNNNNNNNNNNNNNNNNNNNNNNNNNNNNNNNNNNNNNNNNNNNNNNNNNNNNNNNNNNNNNNNNNNNNNNNNNNNNNNNNNNNNNNNNNNNNNNNNNNNNNNNNNNNNNNNNNNNNNNNNNNNNNNNNNNNNNNNNNNNNNNNNNNNNNNNNNNNNNNNNNNNNNNNNNNNNNNNNNNNNNNNNNNNNNNNNNNNNNNNNNNNNNNNNNNNNNNNNNNNNNNNNNNNNNNNNNNNNNNNNNNNNNNNNNNNNNNNNNNNNNNNNNNNNNNNNNNNNNNNNNNNNNNNNNNNNNNNNNNNNNNNNNNNNNNNNNNNNNNNNNNNNNNNNNNNNNNNNNNNNNNNNNNNNNNNNNNNNNNNNNNNNNNNNNNNNNNNNNNNNNNNNNNNNNNNNNNNNNNNNNNNNNNNNNNNNNNNNNNNNNNNNNNNNNNNNNNNNNNNNNNNNNNNNNNNNNNNNNNNNNNNNNNNNNNNNNNNNNNNNNNNNNNNNNNNNNNNNNNNNNNNNNNNNNNNNNNNNNNNNNNNNNNNNNNNNNNNNNNNNNNNNNNNNNNNNNNNNNNNNNNNNNNNNNNNNNNNNNNNNNNNNNNNNNNNNNNNNNNNNNNNNNNNNNNNNNNNNNNNNNNNNNNNNNNNNNNNNNNNNNNNNNNNNNNNNNNNNNNNNNNNNNNNNNNNNNNNNNNNNNNNNNNNNNNNNNNNNNNNNNNNNNNNNNNNNNNNNNNNNNNNNNNNNNNNNNNNNNNNNNNNNNNNNNNNNNNNNNNNNNNNNNNNNNNNNNNNNNNNNNNNNNNNNNNNNNNNNNNNNNNNNNNNNNNNNNNNNNNNNNNNNNNNNNNNNNNNNNNNNNNNNNNNNNNNNNNNNNNNNNNNNNNNNNNNNNNNNNNNNNNNNNNNNNNNNNNNNNNNNNNNNNNNNNNNNNNNNNNNNNNNNNNNNNNNNNNNNNNNNNNNNNNNNNNNNNNNNNNNNNNNNNNNNNNNNNNNNNNNNNNNNNNNNNNNNNNNNNNNNNNNNNNNNNNNNNNNNNNNNNNNNNNNNNNNNNNNNNNNNNNNNNNNNNNNNNNNNNNNNNNNNNNNNNNNNNNNNNNNNNNNNNNNNNNNNNNNNNNNNNNNNNNNNNNNNNNNNNNNNNNNNNNNNNNNNNNNNNNNNNNNNNNNNNNNNNNNNNNNNNNNNNNNNNNNNNNNNNNNNNNNNNNNNNNNNNNNNNNNNNNNNNNNNNNNNNNNNNNNNNNNNNNNNNNNNNNNNNNNNNNNNNNNNNNNNNNNNNNNNNNNNNNNNNNNNNNNNNNNNNNNNNNNNNNNNNNNNNNNNNNNNNNNNNNNNNNNNNNNNNNNNNNNNNNNNNNNNNNNNNNNNNNNNNNNNNNNNNNNNNNNNNNNNNNNNNNNNNNNNNNNNNNNNNNNNNNNNNNNNNNNNNNNNNNNNNNNNNNNNNNNNNNNNNNNNNNNNNNNNNNNNNNNNNNNNNNNNNNNNNNNNNNNNNNNNNNNNNNNNNNNNNNNNNNNNNNNNNNNNNNNNNNNNNNNNNNNNNNNNNNNNNNNNNNNNNNNNNNNNNNNNNNNNNNNNNNNNNNNNNNNNNNNNNNNNNNNNNNNNNNNNNNNNNNNNNNNNNNNNNNNNNNNNNNNNNNNNNNNNNNNNNNNNNNNNNNNNNNNNNNNNNNNNNNNNNNNNNNNNNNNNNNNNNNNNNNNNNNNNNNNNNNNNNNNNNNNNNNNNNNNNNNNNNNNNNNNNNNNNNNNNNNNNNNNNNNNNNNNNNNNNNNNNNNNNNNNNNNNNNNNNNNNNNNNNNNNNNNNNNNNNNNNNNNNNNNNNNNNNNNNNNNNNNNNNNNNNNNNNNNNNNNNNNNNNNNNNNNNNNNNNNNNNNNNNNNNNNNNNNNNNNNNNNNNNNNNNNNNNNNNNNNNNNNNNNNNNNNNNNNNNNNNNNNNNNNNNNNNNNNNNNNNNNNNNNNNNNNNNNNNNNNNNNNNNNNNNNNNNNNNNNNNNNNNNNNNNNNNNNNNNNNNNNNNNNNNNNNNNNNNNNNNNNNNNNNNNNNNNNNNNNNNNNNNNNNNNNNNNNNNNNNNNNNNNNNNNNNNNNNNNNNNNNNNNNNNNNNNNNNNNNNNNNNNNNNNNNNNNNNNNNNNNNNNNNNNNNNNNNNNNNNNNNNNNNNNNNNNNNNNNNNNNNNNNNNNNNNNNNNNNNNNNNNNNNNNNNNNNNNNNNNNNNNNNNNNNNNNNNNNNNNNNNNNNNNNNNNNNNNNNNNNNNNNNNNNNNNNNNNNNNNNNNNNNNNNNNNNNNNNNNNNNNNNNNNNNNNNNNNNNNNNNNNNNNNNNNNNNNNNNNNNNNNNNNNNNNNNNNNNNNNNNNNNNNNNNNNNNNNNNNNNNNNNNNNNNNNNNNNNNNNNNNNNNNNNNNNNNNNNNNNNNNNNNNNNNNNNNNNNNNNNNNNNNNNNNNNNNNNNNNNNNNNNNNNNNNNNNNNNNNNNNNNNNNNNNNNNNNNNNNNNNNNNNNNNNNNNNNNNNNNNNNNNNNNNNNNNNNNNNNNNNNNNNNNNNNNNNNNNNNNNNNNNNNNNNNNNNNNNNNNNNNNNNNNNNNNNNNNNNNNNNNNNNNNNNNNNNNNNNNNNNNNNNNNNNNNNNNNNNNNNNNNNNNNNNNNNNNNNNNNNNNNNNNNNNNNNNNNNNNNNNNNNNNNNNNNNNNNNNNNNNNNNNNNNNNNNNNNNNNNNNNNNNNNNNNNNNNNNNNNNNNNNNNNNNNNNNNNNNNNNNNNNNNNNNNNNNNNNNNNNNNNNNNNNNNNNNNNNNNNNNNNNNNNNNNNNNNNNNNNNNNNNNNNNNNNNNNNNNNNNNNNNNNNNNNNNNNNNNNNNNNNNNNNNNNNNNNNNNNNNNNNNNNNNNNNNNNNNNNNNNNNNNNNNNNNNNNNNNNNNNNNNNNNNNNNNNNNNNNNNNNNNNNNNNNNNNNNNNNNNNNNNNNNNNNNNNNNNNNNNNNNNNNNNNNNNNNNNNNNNNNNNNNNNNNNNNNNNNNNNNNNNNNNNNNNNNNNNNNNNNNNNNNNNNNNNNNNNNNNNNNNNNNNNNNNNNNNNNNNNNNNNNNNNNNNNNNNNNNNNNNNNNNNNNNNNNNNNNNNNNNNNNNNNNNNNNNNNNNNNNNNNNNNNNNNNNNNNNNNNNNNNNNNNNNNNNNNNNNNNNNNNNNNNNNNNNNNNNNNNNNNNNNNNNNNNNNNNNNNNNNNNNNNNNNNNNNNNNNNNNNNNNNNNNNNNNNNNNNNNNNNNNNNNNNNNNNNNNNNNNNNNNNNNNNNNNNNNNNNNNNNNNNNNNNNNNNNNNNNNNNNNNNNNNNNNNNNNNNNNNNNNNNNNNNNNNNNNNNNNNNNNNNNNNNNNNNNNNNNNNNNNNNNNNNNNNNNNNNNNNNNNNNNNNNNNNNNNNNNNNNNNNNNNNNNNNNNNNNNNNNNNNNNNNNNNNNNNNNNNNNNNNNNNNNNNNNNNNNNNNNNNNNNNNNNNNNNNNNNNNNNNNNNNNNNNNNNNNNNNNNNNNNNNNNNNNNNNNNNNNNNNNNNNNNNNNNNNNNNNNNNNNNNNNNNNNNNNNNNNNNNNNNNNNNNNNNNNNNNNNNNNNNNNNNNNNNNNNNNNNNNNNNNNNNNNNNNNNNNNNNNNNNNNNNNNNNNNNNNNNNNNNNNNNNNNNNNNNNNNNNNNNNNNNNNNNNNNNNNNNNNNNNNNNNNNNNNNNNNNNNNNNNNNNNNNNNNNNNNNNNNNGUACAAAUUAAUAAGUUAUGCUCUUUGGAAGCAAACCUAAAUUCCAAGAGAAACAGAACUCAAAAAAUUUGCAAUUAUACGCAAAGGAAGUGAAGCACAGCAUUCUAUCACACAAACGAAUUGUAUAACAAGAGAUCGACAUAUCGAAUCAGAAGAACUCAAUUCAAAUUUGUCUCAAAAAUCAAAAUUAGAAGAUUUCACAUUUCGAGAGGAACAAGCGACAGGUCAGAUGCAAAAUUUUCAGCCACAACAUGCCACAAUUAACGGUUUAUUUCCAUGGAUUUAGAGAGCUGACUGACCUUUUGGCUUUUGGAAUUGAGAAGAUCGCGCGCCAAAAUGGAAGAGGGAAAGCGAAAGUGCGGGUUUUAAUAGGGUAUUGCAUUAGCAAAUUUAAUUAGUUUGCGAGGGUAAAAUAGGAAAGAGAUAUCACUAUUAACCUUUUUUUUAUAAGAAAAAAGAAUAAUAAAGAAUAUUUUAUUGUCAUUUGCAGCCUUUAAUUUUUUUUAAAUGCUAUUAGAAAAAUACGACGACAAAGAAAUGCUCUUUUUUUUAUUUUUUUCUUGAAGGUAAAAUCAAUUAUUUAGCUCCUUAUAUGUAAUCAAACUCCAUUUCUUACUUUAAGUCAUAUCCAACAGAACAACAAAGUAAUUAUUUUUUUUUUCAUUUAUUUUUGCAGAAAAUUAAUAACUUAAAAAUAUUGAAAGCUAUUGUAAAAUUUUUUAUUAUCAACCUCAUAAUUUAAUUUUUUUGGGGAAGAAUUGAUUUUUUUUUUUAUUUCCAAGAAUUUCAUUCUCUAGUUUUUCCAUUAAUAUUACUUAUCUUCAUACCCAUCUUAAUUAAAAUCUGUAGUUUUAUUCAAGAGUCAUGCUAUCCAUUCACUCGGACCAAAGGCUUUCCGCAGCAAUAUUAUUAUUUAAAGAGUAAUGAUAUAGCCACAGACUCUUGUACAAACUUAUUUUGUACAAACUGACGUGGCAUUAAUUCAUUGGUUGAAUGAAAAUAUAAAUUAAUAAAAACAAAUCAUGUGGGCCAAGUGAUAUUUAAUUCAACCAAUCUUAUCAUGCCACAUCAAUUUGUACAAAAUAAGUUUGUACAAGAGUUUGUGGCUGUAUCAUUACUCUUAUUUAAAUUACAACAAAGGGGAAAUCAAAUACGUCAUACAGAGGCUUAAAGCUCAAUCUACAAAAUCUAGAGCUCUCAACUACAUAAAUUACACUUGAUGAUCCUCUACAAGAUGAAGCUUGUUCAAUAUCUCAUCCAAAGCUUGUAAAGUAACCUUGUAACGAUCUUGAGAUUGCCUGCCUUCCUCGACGACCUGCACCAUGCGUUUGUACAAAUCAUCAUACCUGUGCACCGGAUUUUUAAUAUCAACGCCACUGCAGCUGUGAUCAAGAACAUAAGAGCGUUUAACAUCUUUUCUCCAUCGAGAAAGAAUGUAGUGAGAUGGGAUCUCCUCCAUACCACUCUGGUUUGGAACACAAAGAAUGUGUCUGCAUAAAUAUCCUCUGAAAUUGAACAACCCACAAACACAAAGCACCUCCAAGUCGGAGGCAUUGUACAAAACAUCGAAAGCCCUUGAAUCUUUCUCGUUGCUACCAACCUCAAAUUCUUCCUUCACUAUGUAUGUUAUAGGUCCAUCAGCACUGACAUGUUUUGUGCUAUAGCAAGAGUACAUAGCCUCCACCUCCGUCUGAAACUUCCUUAACAGUUCAUUUGUGUACACUUUUGAGAGUUGAAAUUCAUAGUAACAUCUUGGUUUCUGGAUACAACUUGAAUUUCUUGAAUCCAUAUCUGCCAAGGCUUCCAGUUGAUAAUUCGCCUGCAGUGCUUGAUCAUAUUUGUCUAAGUAUUCUUUCAAAGGAGUAUUCUUAUCAAGAUAUCCUUCAAAGUAUGAAGUAGAAACCUCACUCAGCAGGAAUGAAAACACUCCUGAUAAAAAUGUUUCCUUCAAAUAAACAGGAGCCCAACUUUUACGAUCCUCAUAUAAAGUUUGAAUCCAUCCAUGAUCCCUUAUUCCAUGACGUUGAAUCGUGUCCUCCCAAGCUGUCUCAAAUUCCUCAGGCCUCAGAGAGUGACAAAUUGCUCUAUGCAAUGCAGCACUAAUAGCUUCAUAUUCAAAAUAUCCUUGGAGAUUCUCUGGAAUUUUUUGCAUGACGCAUGACAAUGAAAAACAAUGAUAAGCUCUUGGGAAAACAUCGCCGACAGCAGUUUGCAAGAUCUACAUUGGUCAGUGAUGAUUGUUUGUGGAGAGCGUCCUAACAUACAUGUAAGCCACACCCUAAACAACCAUGUAUAUGAUUCGAUAGUCUCACUGGCAAGUAAACCACAGCCCAACAGCACUGAUUGUCCAUGAUGAUUCACCCCAAUGAACGAAACCAGCGUUGCAUCAUAUCUUUCUGUCAAGCAUGUAGUAUCAAUUGAUUUGAGCUAUUAACAUCAUUUCCAAAUACUCCAUUGGCAUCUACAUUACCAUUUCCCUCGGCAUCAAUGAUAAGAGUUCGAAACAGUCUAAUUUUUUUAACUUCUUCAGCACCAUCUAAGCGCAAUGUUCUUUUGGUUCCAAUACCUAUGUGCUUAUGAGACUUGUAAAACUUCCCGCUUCUUGGGCUUAACAAGUGGUUAUGCUCAAGCUCGACUUCAAUGAUUCUCCACCUUUUGGUUUCCAUCAACCUAAACUUUAUCAUUGCUGGACAGCCCGUUCUUGUUUCUGGUCUUGGGCGGUUUGCCUCGCUUUUCUUCUUGAAGCCUGCAUUACUACAGCUGAGCUUUCCUUUAUACUUUUCUCUACUCUUUCGGGACCAUGUAUUGCUAACUCUAACACCAAAACCCUGCUCCUUGGCAUAACAAUUAUAAAAGUAAUAUACGUCAUCAUACGUCUCAAACUCCAUUCCAACAGCAGGAUUCAAUGGAUUUUGGAUUAUCCCAGUUUGUCCAACAUAUUCAGUCAUCGCACAAUCUCUACGACCUCAACAUCAUCAGUGUCAUCAUCACGUACUGGUUCGGUGUUGAGAGAAACUUCAUCCAUCUACAAUGGAUGUUCAAUAAAGUGAGCUUUAAGGAGAAAAAGCAAAAUCAGUUCAAGGAAUGAUAAUAUAAUCAUACAGUUACUUUCACAAAGCUUCAUAUUUCAUAACUGCUUUACCAACAUGCUACUGCCAGAGAACAAACAGACAUGUCAUAGACGAUUGAAUUAAAUAUUGGUACAAAUGAGCACACAUCAUGUGGGACAAAAUUUCAGUCACUAAACCCAAUGCCUUUUUUUUUUUCACAUCAUACCAAGGAACGGAUUAAACCCAAUACCUUCUUUUACGCCAUACCAAAGAACAGAUUAAAUCAUCAAUGAAAAUUUAAUCAAAUAAUAAUUUAACUAGACAAUUGAAGAGCUUGAAACAGCACAAAACUUGAAUCUGAUUCUGAUAAUUGUUGAGUCCUUGUAUCCACAGCUUUCCUUCAAUGAGAAGAUUAUGAACAUAAACUACACAUAAAAAAAUUAUUUAAACUGACAGCCCAUGGUAUAAAUCAAACAAAAUUAACUCCUUUUACAAAUCACAUCUCGUAUUCAGUUACAUUGAAACACAAAAAAGGAAGCAGGAGCCGGAGAAAAACAACAACAGAGAAACUUAUUUCCAGAAGGUUUACGAAAUAAGGAAUUUAUUAAGACACAAAAUUUGAGGUCAACAAUAAGAAUUUGGUUCUCAUUCUCUUUUUCUUCAUUUUUCACUUAUUGAUGGAGUUAGCGUACAAUCCUAUAUGAUAAAACCCCAUCUCCAUCUUUUUGAACUAGAGCUAAAGCAAAGCUUUUUGAGAUGUUUUUCCCUAAAAAACUCAAUCGUACAAAGUUUUUCAAUAUUAAAUACACAACUCAAUCUUCUCCUAACUAACUCUAAUAAUCUCUUAACUAAGGAAGAUUAAGCUCCACUUGUAAGCUAAAACAAGUUUCUUAAAUCAAGCCCCAAUGCUCUAUACUAUUCAACAAGGCCUCAUAAAUGAUAAAACUACCUCUGCAAAGAUACCCAUUUUAAUUUUGCAAACUAAAAUCAAACUUCUGAAACGUAACGAGCAUUAAAACAAACAAGUCCGAACAAGAACUGAAAAAUGAUACAUAAACCCGUUUACACGUUUCGAAAAACACUUUGAAAUUCAAACGAAACAUACCUUAGGUUGAUAAAUUAGUAGCGCAAAAGAAAUUUUAGUGAGAUAUGGGAUCAGGGUUUUUGCCACUGUGAUGUUAAUUGCGACAUUGGGGUGACUCAGCAGCCUUCGAGGCUGAAACUUUGAUUGACCAAAAGUUUCCCGUUCGUUGAUUACCUAAUGUGUUCGCUGAUUUGAUAAUUCUGUUAAAAUCAUUGUUUUUUUUUCAGAUUUUUAAUGUGUUCGAUAAAAUAUCAAAAUCUCAAAAACUUUUGUCUUUCAUUUUGGGGGGAAAAACCCCAUUGAGAUCCUUAUGUUUUUUCUUAUAUAAUCUGGCUUAAUAAUUUGCAAAGUCUAUUACUUAGCACCCAUGCAUGCUGCGUUUCAAUUUACAAAAUUGUACGAGUGCAUCCAGCUAAAAUUUGUAAAAGAAAAUAACAAUAACAUGUUAAAAAUGUGAUUAUUAAGAAGAAAUUUUAAUUUAGUUAAAUAGGUGACGAUGGAUAGGUAUAAAAUCUGAGAUCUUUUAUGAGAUUAAUAAAUAUGUUGAGUUUGGAUCAGUUCAAUUUUGACAUAAUACGGAAUAAACACAACCUGCUAAUCUAAGUUAUCAUCUUUUCUCGUCAUCAGGUACCUGUUUGAAAAAUAAUUAUAUACAAUUUUAUUUGCGUUGUCUCUCUAAAAAUUUGGGACUCAAAUGUUAUUUCUAAUUGCUAAAAGUACGAAAAUGCCCCAUUUCUCUUCAGCUAAAGGAGUGCAAAGUCAUCUGUAUAAUUGAAUCUGCAUCAUCAGUUUCUAUUGCUGGUGUUACUGCAUGCUUACAGUUGCUUGACAAAGUGAGCCAGUUUUUUGUUUAUUAAUUUUUUUUCUUGUCGAGACAGUCACAAAGUAUUACUUGUUCUAUUUGAGAAUGAUGUGAAUCAAUUUUUCAAUUAUGCAUUCUGUGGUAAUUAUUGUGAAUUUAGUUUCAUUUGUCUUGUCUCCUGCAAAUUAUGAAGAAAAUGCAGACAUACAAACUUACAAUAUGUAUUUGCGUUAGUAUAAAAACAAUUGUUAGAUGAUUAAAGCGAAUUUGUUUUUUUACAGCAUUUGAUUGUAUUAGUUAAAAUCAUUUUUUAAGGAUAAAAAUAAAUAGAAAAUUAUUCUCAUGUAGUGUGGAAAUCUUUUCUAAUUUCUUGUUGACUUGUACAUUUAUUUCAGAAUUUCCAUUCAUUCUACUGUUUUAAUCUUUGACUUAGUUACCGUAGUUGACUUUUCAUAUCAAAGGCUUAAACAGCAUGCAUUUUUGAAUUGACUGAGAAUAAUUUGGUGGACAAAUUACAAGGACUUUAAAUGGUUGAAUUGACUGUGGGUUUUUCAUGCCCAAGUCACUCACGUCCUUUCAUCGAAACAAAGUGCCCGGUGCAAAUGGUGUGAUGUAAAACACCUUUUUAAAUUGUCAUUUUUUUCCUUUGCUUUUGCUUUAAUUUUCUAAAUGCUCAACGCCAUAAAUCCAUGCAUUCUUAAUUUUCGUUUGCUGUAUUGAUUCCCAACCCUCUAUGUCACAAGGUUUUGAAUGCCAGUAAUUAAGUUAAAUUAAACAUAUUUUAAGUCCUACUUUAAAUUAUUGAAAAAUGUAUUAUGGUUGAACUGAAUUUUAACUAAAAAAUAUAUACAAAAUAAAAGAUUAAUCAUAUCUUUUUAUGAGGAAGGUCAGUCAUCAUUCUGACCACAGACACUUAAAAUUAAUUGAGUGGAAUAUUGCAAAAUAUAUAUAAACCAUGCCAAAACUAGAUGUUUGAGUAAUGAAAACGAGAAUUCAUAUGACUCAGAAAUAUGGUCGCUUUCCUUUUUCUGAAAGGCAAAAAAAAAGGGGGAACCAAAAAGCACCAAAAUGAACAAAAAUGGAAGGCGAAGGUAAGCAGACAUGUUAUAUGUUUUACCUAAGAUGCCAAAUGCAACUCCCCAUUGAUGGUGAUCGAACAUUAUGGCCAUUUUCUUAGUAAACAAAAAAUGAAUUUUGAACACUCAACAACGAAACUUGAGCAGAAGAUCAAGCAAGGGCCUCGAUCUCAAAGAAGAUACUAUGAAACCCUACUUAAUGGUUAAAUAACUUUCAUUCAGCUUUGGACCCUAUUUCGUGAUACGGAAAGACAAACCUUUCUUGGCCGGCAGUGUCCCAGAUCUGGGCUUUGAUGAUCUAGAGGUUGAUGGUGACAGUUCUGGUUUGGAACUCGACGCCAAUGGUUUAUUUCGAUUCAAAGCAAAACUCAUUCUUGGUGAAUCUCGAAAGAAUCUGAGACUUGCCCACGGCCGAGUCACCGAUCACCACUACCUUGAAUACAUAGUCUAUUUUGUCAGGAAUCAUAUUCUCUCGUUGUUGAUGACGAUGAUCGGUGCCAUCACCACUCAUUUCUUCGUUCAUUCAUUCUAUGUCCAUUGAUCUUUUUGAAUUAUUGAAGACAAGUGGCUCACCGCUUUUAGUAUUGGUAAAAUUCAGAUAAUCUCUAUUCCGAAAUAAUAAUAUUCAAAAUAUCUCUUAAAUCAUUAUAAACUUCAAAUCUAUUUUAAUUUUAUUUAAAAAAUAAAAGAAAAAUAAGUUAUGUUGGUGAUUUUUUAUUAUCUUUUUAAUAAAAAUAGAAUAAAUUGAUGUUUAUAAUUAUUUAAAGUAUUUUAAAGAUUGCUAUUUUAUGAGAGAAUAAUAUUUCAUUUUUUUUUUCGUGUGAAAGACCGAAAAAGGACAAAGCAAGUUUCCCUAAUUUUUAUUUUAUGUGAAAUUGGUCAUCUCAUAUACUUUACCCUUCAACACUCUAAUUUUUUUUUAGGGAUGGCAAAAAUCCCCAAGGGGACGGGUACCCUCGGGAAUUUUCCCUAUUCGGGAAGGGUACGAGGAUAAUUUUAUACCCAAUUUUUUAUUUGGGGAGGGGACGGGGAUAAUUUUUUACCCAAUUUUUUAUUCGAGGAGGGGACGGGGAUGAGGUGGAAUCCCCAUCCCCUACCCAUUUCCCCAUUUUAAUUUUUAUUUUUAUUUUUAUUUUUAAAAUUACUAAUAAAUAAAUAACAAAAUUAUAAAUAUUGUUAAAAAUAAUAAAUAUUACAAUAUUUAUAUUAUUAAAUGCUAAUAGGUAUCCUACAUUAGCUCGAAUUGCUAGAGAUAUUUUGGCAAUUUCAAUUACAACAGUUGCUUCUGAAUCAGCUUUUAGCAGCGGUGGUAGAGUUGUGAGCCCACACCGUAACAAACUUCAUCCAAGCACAUUGGAGGCCUUAAUGUGCUGUCAAAGUUGGUUACGAGCUUACAAUAGCAGUAUGAGUUUAUUUUACAUUGUAAUUAUAUUAUACAGUUAUUAAUAUUUACACUUAUAAGUUACUUUACUUAUAUCAUUUUCAUUGUUUUAGGUUUGAAAUCUGAGGCUAUCUCUCAAUUUGCCACAUUUCUCGAGGAAGAACAGGAGGAGCAGGACGAGCAGGAGGUAAAUAGUUUUAUUAAAAAUAUUAAUUAAGUAUCUACAUUUAUUUCAUUUAUUUUAUUGUCGAUAUAAAAAUAAUUUUUUUUCUUUUUAUUGUAGGAUUAUGAAGAUUCUGACAAAGGAUAAUUUAUUUUUUUUAAUAAUUUAUAUUUUGAAUGUGACUUUGUAAUGGAUCAAUAUUAAUGUAAGAUAUAUUUUGAACUUUAUUUUUAUCUGAAUUUUUUAUUUUAAUAUGAUUAAUUUAAAAUCGAAAAUAAAAAAAAUGUAUUAGACUAUUAGUUAUUCGGGGACCGGGGACCCUCGGGGAUCCCCUGUUAUUAUUCGGGGAGGGGAUGGGGAUUCUCUCAAGCAAUUCUGACGGGGACGGGGACAUUCGCAAAAUAUCGGGGAUGGGUAUGGGGAGAUUGGUCCCCUCCCCUCCCCUCCCCAUUGCCAUCCCUAAUUUUUUUGGUUAUAAUUUUAUUAUUUUUAAGAUUUCAAUAAGUGACUGAGAUUCAAAUAAUAUCCUUUAAUUCUAUUAACAAAAAACAAAGACUCAAAUAUUUUAUGAUAAAUAAAAAUAUAAUAUUAAAAUAUAUGUGAUAAUAUACACAUUUUAAAUACUUUCAAUCCAAAAAAAUAGUUAUGUUUUACAAUCUAUUAGACAUCUUUUAUUAAAUUAAUAUAAAUUUUCUAUAAAAUAAGAAUAUAAUAUUAAAAUAAAUUCACAAAAAUUUAAAGAAUUUUGAAUGUAAAAUAAUUUUAAUAUAUUAAUACGUGAGUUUUUUUUAUUAAUAUAAAAAUUAUUUAACUUUAAGAUUUUUUAAAAUCUUUACAAUAAGUAUAACUAUAUUAUUUACAUUUUAAAAUAUUUAAAUAUUAUUAACCUACAAUUAUAUUUGCAUUUGUUAGAAAUUUUUUAAAUCAAAUAUUUUGCACUUCUAUAUUAUUAGAAUUAUUGCACACAAAUAAAGAAACAUAUACCUUUAGAAAUUGUUUUCUUUUAAAAAACAGAUGAUGAUUAGUAUAAGGAUGAAAAAAAGGAUAAAGAAUAUUAAUGAUUAACGAAAUUUCUAUACAAAUUGAUUUUAGUAGGAAAAGAGUGAGAUGAAUGAUUUCUUUUACAGUUAGAAACAUAGAUGAUGAUUAUUAUACGAAGAAAAAAGAUAAAGAAUAUUAAUUAUUAAUGGAAUCUCUAUGCAAAUUGAUUUUAGUUGGAAAAAAAAAUGAGUUAAAUGAUUUAGAGUGCGUUUGGAAUUGAGAUUGGGCAGCCAUAGAUUUUAAGUUACAACACUGAAGUGUUUGGUAAAUACUAGCUGCUGCAGAUUGAAAGUUAUGUUGAUAUGAUUUUUCACAUGUAUCAUAGAAAAUAUAUUACAUCUUUAAUAAUUUUUUAAAAAUUUAUAUUUGCUAUAUAUUAUUUUUUUUUUUAUAGUUAUAACUUUUUUUCCACAGCAGCUGUAGCUUAAAAGCCACAGUACCUUAACCUCAAACAAGUCCUUAGACAGUCAUAGUGUGUUUAUUUUUUGGAUUGGUGAAUCAAAAUUAUUGACAACGCUAACUUCAUCUUUACCGUUUGCAAUCCAACAGCAGCAAUUGUCACCAAUAAUGAUGAUGACAAUUAUUAUUAUUAUUAUUAUUAUUAUUAUCAUCAUCAUCAUCAUCAUCAUCAUCAUCAUCAUCAUCAUUAUGAUCAUCAUUAUUAUUAUCAUCAUCAUUAUUAUCAUCAUCAUUAUUAUGAUUUUUAUUAUUAUUAUCAUUAUUAUUAUUAUCAUUAUUAUUAUCAUUAUCAUUAUCAUUAUUAUUAUUAUUAUUAUUAUUAUUAUUAUUAUUAUCAUUAUUAUUAUCAUUAUUAUUAUCAUUAUUAUUAUUAUUAUCAUUAUUAUUAUCAUCAUUAUUAUUAUCAUUAUUAUUAUUAUCAUUAUUAUUAUCAUUAUUAUUAUUAUUAUUAUUAUCAUUAUUAUUAUUAUUAUUAUUAUUAUUAUCAUUAUUAUCAUUAUUAUUAUCAUUAUUAUUAUUAUUAUCAUUAUUAUCAUUAUUAUUAUUAUUAUUAUUAUCAUUAUUAUUAUCAUUAUUAAUUAAUUAAUUAAUUAAUUAAUAUAUUAAUGUUAUUAUUAUUAAGAUUAAGAUUAACAAUAAUUAUUAGUAAUAAAAUUUUUUGAAUAAAAAUAAUCACAAGAAUUAAAAUUCAAAUUAAUAUUUAUGAUAAUAGUUAAUUAAUGUCUUUUUAGUAUUUUAUAAUAAUCUAACUCAUUUUGAUUCUGAUUAUUAUAGCUUAAGUAAACAAAUUAUUAUGAUUCCUAUUCUCCUUUCCCAUUUUAACUCACUUCGAUUCCAGUCUAUUCCGAUUUCUAUAUAAUAAAUGCACCAUUAGUGCUAAAGUAAUAUUUCAUACAUAGAAAAAUAAAAACUACACCUAAGGUUAAGGGAAAGGACUUCAAAACUCUCUUUUGAUCAUAAUACAUUUUGUCCUAAUUAACUUAAAGAUUUUGAAUCUAAUAUUUUAUAAUAAAUAAAAAUAUAUUCCUAAAAUAAAUAUAAUAUCAAUAUUUAAAAUACGUUUUAAUAUUUUACAAUCUAUCAUACACAUUUUAUUAUAUUAAAGUAGAUUUUAUAAUAAAUAUAUAAAAAAAUUAGAAUAUUUAGAAUAUUAUAUAAAAUAAUUUUAAUAUAAUGCGUGAGAUAUAUUUUAUUAAUUUAAAAUGUUAUUUUACCUAAAAAAUAUGAUAAAUUAAUAAUUACAUAUUUGAAGUUAUUUCAAAUAUUAAAAAAUUUUAAUAUUAUUAGUCUUUUAGAUAGAUUAAAUUAUUUUUUUUAUAAGAGAUAGAUUAAAUUAUUUUAAAAUGCCUUAAUUGUUUUUACUUUUAACGUUACCGGCCUUUCUUUUAUUUUAUUGCAAAUUAAUGCUACCAAGAAAAGGCUAGAUCAUAUUCCACAAAAGCAAAAGUGACAAACCCAACCAGCUGGAAUCUUUUAUAAAACUACAAAUUAAAAUGGAUUUUUUUUUGAUAAAUUACAUAUGAAAGUGGAUUCUUUUGAAUAUAAGUGGGGUAGGCAGAAAUCUGAGGUCCAUAAUGCUACUUGUUUCCAAGGCUGUCAUGGGGCAAUUUGCUGGACACCUCCUCAGUUAGGUUGGCUUAAGUGUAAUGUUGAUGCCGCAACAUUUUCAGCUCAGGGAAAAGUGAGUUAUGGAGGGGUCAUUCGCAACUCUGAUGGGCUUUUUGUGGCAGCUUGCUGUGCAUCUGUCCUGGGUAGUUUUGGUGCAAGGGAUGCUGAAGCGCUUGGUGUGCGUGAGAUCCUCAGCUGGAUUAAGAAGCGACAUUUGUCUUGUGUUGUAGUAGAAUUGGACUGCAUUCAGGUUUUUAAAGCUCUCACAGCAAGCUAUUCUUGUCCUAAUGGGUAUGGUCUUAUUCUUGAUGAUUGUCUAGCUUUAGCUAAGUCUAUAGGAGAUAUUGAGUUCUCUUUUGUUCGAAGGUCUGCGAACACUGCCGCCCAUGUUACUGCUCGGGUGGGGGGUUCUUUGUCAGGCUUUGAGGAGUGGAAUCAUGUUCCACCUCCUUGGUUAUUUUCUUCUCUGUAAUCUUUGCCCUUUAAUGAAGUUUCCAGUUUCAAAAAAAAAAAAGUGGGGUAGGCUCUUUUAUUUUUUAUUUUUAAUACUGUAUAAUAGGACUGUAGACUUUUUUAUUAAACUACAAAUUGUAGUCUUUUUAAAAUUGUUCAGAUAUUUAUAAAUUGGUGGCCCCUACAAUCCUCAAUAAUUGUACCGAUAUUCACAAGUUGGUGGCCCCUACAAUUCUGUUCCGAUAAUUUAAUUGUGCAAGUGCUCAUUCACAAUCUUCCAGGUCAUGCUCUUAAUAAUUGUUUUUUUUUUCUGCAUUCCCUUUCAUGCUCUUAAUAAUUGAAGAGCAUACUUUUCAUUUUCAAAUGUGGAGCCGCAUCUAAUGUCGCUAAUUUAAUUUGGGAUUAAAUUUGGGGACCAUUAUAUUGCAGUGUGUACUAAUUUUUGUGUUUAUCUAAACUCCUUAAAUUUAAGACAUAUUAUAGCAUAAAUAAGAAUAUAACAAUAACAAAAGAGUUAGAAAGUGUAGAGAAGAUCUUGCAGAAAUAUAAAUAAUAUCUAUUUUAAAAUAAUAUCAAUAUUUAAAAUAAUUUAAAAUAUUUUAUGAUCCAUUAGAUAUAUUUUAUUAUAUUAAAAUAGAUUUUAUAAUAAAUAAAAACAUACUAUUAAAAUGAAUAUCUAGAAAAUUUAGAGUAUUUUAAGUAUUACAUAAAAUAAUUUUAAUAAAAUAUGUGAGAUAUUCAUAUUUUAUUAAUUUAAAAUACCAUUUAACCUAAAGAUUUAUUUAUGAUAAAUUAAUAAUUAUAUUUUUGAAAUUACUUCAAAUAUUAAAAAAUUAAUAUUACUAAUCUAUUAGAUAGAUUAAAUUAUAUAUAUUAUUUUCUAUUUAUAAAAAAAUUUUAAAAUUAUUUUUAAUUACUAUUCAAAAAACAUAAUGAUAAAAAAAAAUCUUAACAUCUUUAUUAAAAAUUUAAAAAUUUACACGAUCAAUUCUCUAAAUAUUUAGGGUAUAUGUGAAAAUCGGUGGAGAAGCUUUAUUUAAUAUUAUUGAUUUAAAUAAUAUGUCAAUUAAAAAUGUACAGAGAAGAAAUUUAUGAAAGAGCAAAGGAUAUUCCUGAUAGCUGAUAGAGCUCUUUUUGAUUAUGUAUUCAGUGAAUGGAUGUGUUGUUGGAAGAUAUGUGAGUGUAUUAGUUCAUUUGUGUCUGUCAAUGUGCUUUUAAUGAUUUUUCCACCUAUUUGUUGUAAAAGAUGAUUGUAAAUUGAAAUGAAUUUGAUGUAAUAUUUUCUCAUUAGUGGAAUUUCACUUGGUAUGUGUUCAAUUGUAUUGUCUAUAAUUUUGCAUUCGAAUAAGUUUCCACCUAAAAUAUUAGCACGAGUAGUAGCCCUUGAAACUUUAGUCAAAUUAUUGUUAUAAUUUCUUAGUAGGGGUAAACUUUUUAUAAAACCUCGUUAACACAAUUCUUAAUUAAUGGUGUGUUUACUUCAUGAAAUAGGGAAUGAGAAUAAAACUAAUGUUUACUUGGCAAAAUGUAAUUUGAGAAUUAGAAUAAAAUGGAUUAUAAUGAUGAAAAAAAGGACAAAGAAUAUUAAUGAUUAACGAAAUCUCUAUGCAAAUUAAUUUUAGUAGGAAAAAAGUUCGAUGAAUGAUUUCUUUUACAGCUAGAAACAUAGAUGAUGAUUAUUAUAAGGUUGAAAAAAAAAGAUAAAGAAUAUUAAUUAUUAAUGGAAUCUAUAUGCAAAUUGAUUUUAGUAGGAAAAAAGCGAGUUAAAUGAUUUAGACAUUCAUAGUGUGUUUAUUUUUUGGAUUGAUGAAUAAGAAUUAUUGACAACGCUAACUUCAUCUUCAUUGUUCGUUAUCCAACAAUAGCAAUUGUCGCCGAUAAUGAUACCUCCAAUGAUGAUGAUGAUUUUAUUAUUAUUAUUAUUAUUACUAUUGAUAAAAAUUAUUAUAAUUAAUUAAUAUAUUAAUGUUAAUAUUAUUAUUAUUAUUAAGAUUGAUAAUAAUUACUAAUAAUAAUAAUUUUUUGAAUAAAAAUAAUCACAAUAAUUAAAAUAAAAAUUAAUAAUUAUGACAAUAGUUAAUUAAUGUCUUUUUAGUAAUUUUUAAUAAUGUAACUCAUUUUGAUUUUGAUUAUUACAAUUCAAGUAAACAAAUUAUUAUGAUUCAUAUUCUCUAUUCCCAUUUCAGCUCACUCUGAUUUCAGUUCAUUUCGAUUUCUGUCUAAUAAACGCACCAUUAGUGCUAUAGUAAUAUUUCAUAUAGAGAAAAGUAAAAACUAUACCUAAGGUUAAGGGAAAUGACUUCAAAACUCUCUUUUGACCAUAAUACAUUUUGUCCUAAAUUUAACGAUUUUGAAUCUAAAAUUUUACAAUAAAUAAAAAUAUAUUCCUAAAAUAAAUAUACUAUCAAUAUUUAAAAUAUGUUUUAAUAUUUUACAAUCUAUCAGACACAUUUUAUUAAAUUAAAGUAAAUUUUAUAAUAAAUACAAACGUACUAUUAAAAUGAAUAUAUAAAAAAUUUAGAGUAUUUUGAAUAUUAUAUAUGCGUAAGAUAUAUUUUAUUAAUUUAAAAAGCUAUUUUACUUAAAAAUUUAUUUAUGAUAAAUUAAUAAUUACAUUUUUAAAAUUAUUAAAAAAAAUUAAUUUUUUUUUAUAUUAUUAAUCUUUUGAAUAGAUUAAAUUGUUCUUUAAGAGAUAGAUUAAAUUAUUUUAAAAUGCCUUAAUUGUUUUUACUUUUAACGUUACCGGCCUUUCUUAUAUUUUUUUGCAAAUUAAUGCUAACAAGAAAAAGCUAGAUCAUAUUCCACAAAAGCAAAAGUGACAAAACAACCAGCUGGAUUAUUUUAUUAAUCAACAAAUUAAAAUGGAUUUUUUUUAAAACUACGUAUGAAAGUGGAAUCUUUUGAAUAUAAGUGGGGUAGGCUCCCUUUCAAAAAAAAAAAGUGGGGUAGGCUCUUUUAUUAAAGACAAGUAUUGAGUAGUCAAGACUAACUAUGGCCAAUGGGCCGUGCCGUGCCGUGCCUACAUUUUUUUCACUUGAGCCUGGCACGGCCCACGGCACGAGCCCUCUCGUGCCGUGCUCGUGCCGUGCCGUGGGCCGUGCCCAAAAAAAGCCCACCAACUUUUUUUUUUUUUUAGCGUGCCUAAAAAAGCCCACGUGCCUAGCGUGCUUUAUUCAAGCCCACGUGCCCGACGUGCUUUUUUAAGCCCACCAACAUAAUACUAAUAAUAAUAUUCACAAUCAUAAUCAUAUUAAUUUUUAUUAAGAGAGCAAUUAACAUUUUAUUAUUAUUUUAUCACAAUUUCACAACUAUAUAUUUUAUUUCACAAUAAUCAAUCAUAAUUCAUAACACAACAAUACAUAAAUUUAAUUAAAUUUAAUUCCAUAGAUCAUAAUAAUAAUUAAUUAAAAUUAAAAAUACAAUCCUCGAAUAAUCAUUACAAUAAGUCAUAACUACGAAAUAUUAAUAUAACAAAUCAUAGAUCACAACUUACAAGUUACAACUACAAAACACGAACUACGAUCAAUUGACGAAUAACAAGCACGAAAAAAACAUUUAUUAAUCACAAUUAACUAAGUUAUGAUUUAAUAUUAAUAUGAAAAAUAUUUCAUAUGAAAAAUAUUUUAUUAUUAAUUUUGUAAAAAAAUUUAUUUUUUUAUUUAUAAUUUAUAAAUUUAUGAUAUUUAUAACCUUAUUUAUUAAAAUCAUGAUAUUUAAUUAUUUACUUAUUCAUUUAAUAAAUUAUAAACAUAAAUAAAUAAUUAAAUAAAUAUCAUAAAUAAAAUUAAAUAUCAUAAAUAACAUUAUUCAUUUAAUAAAUAUCAUAAAUAAAAUUAUGAUAUUUAUAAUUUUAUUUAUUAAAAUCAUGAUAUUUACUUAUUCAUUUAAUAAAUUAUAAACAUAAAAGAUUAGAAUAUUUAUUUAAACUAAGAUUUAAUGAUUUAAAUUAAUUUUUAAAAGUCUAUGCUAAAAAAUAUAUUAAAACAUUUAAUUUCAAGAUAUUGUACUUUAAUUUCAUAACAUUUUAUAUUUACUUUUUGUUAAAAAAAUUUACUUAGAUAUAUUUUGGCCCACGUGCUAUUAAUAGCUCACGGACCGCGUGCUAGCCCACUAAUGAACCGUGCUUAUUACGUGCUUUUUCGCGUGCCGUGCUUUGGCCCAUCUCUAAUCGUGCUGUGCUUUAAGGCCCACGUGCCUAAAAUUCUAGGCCCGGCACGGCCCACGUGCGUGCCGUGCUGUGCCUCGUGCCUCACCGAAACGUGCUCGUGCCGUGCCGUGCCGUACGGACACGUGCCGUGCCCGUGCCGUGCCACGUGCCGCCCGGCCCAUUGGCCAUCUUUAGUCAAGACGAUUAGGGUCUUUUAUUAAAGGGAGAUUGUCAAUUUUUUCUCUAUAAUAAUUAACAUAUAUUAUUAUUUUUUUUAUAAUGUCAAAAAAUUCUCUUGAUAAUAUAAAUUUAUAAUAUUACUCUUAUUUUUAACUACUCUUUUAUUUAUAUUUAUUAUAAAUUAAAUAAAUCACAUAAAUAGAACUAAAUAAAAACUUAAGCAUUAAAACCAAGAAAUAUAUGUUUUGAUAUAAAUAAUAAAAUUAAUAAUAAUUUUUUUAUACUUAUUUAUUUUGUGAAAAUUUUCUUACAAUAAAUAUAUAAGAAAAUUAUUAGUAAAAUGAUAAAAAAAUUAUUAUAAGAAAAUUUGAAUGACAAAUAAAAAUUUAUUACAAGAUAAAUAAUAAAAUGUUUUGCCUAUACUUUUACAUUUAAUUUUAAAAUAUUAUAAAAUAUUUAUUAUAAGAAAAUGUUCACAAAAUAAAUAAUUAUAAGAACAAAUUUUAUUAUUAAUUUUUUUGCUCAUAUUAAAACAUAUUUUUCUUAUUUUUAAUACUUAAUUUUUUUAUUUAGUUUAUAUUCAUAUAAUUUAUUUAAUUUAUAAUAAAUAUAAAAUAAAAAAAUUAAAAAUAAAUAUAAUAUUAUAAACUUAUACUGUUAAGGAAUUUUUAGUUAUUAUAAAAACAGAAAGAAAGUAAAUGAUAUAUGUUAAUUAAUUUAGAAAAAAUAGCAAUCCCCUUUAUUAAACUACAAAUUGUACAGGCAUUUAUAAACUGGUGGCCCCUACGGCGUCAAUUAUUGUUCCGAUACAUAUAAAUUGGUGGCCCCUUAGAAAUUUAAUUACAAGUCUGCAAGUGCCAUCAGAGAAAAAUCAUCAUUCACAAUCUUCCAAGAGAAACGGGGGAUAUACAAAGAUUAAGACAUGUCAUUCAUUGUUUUUUUUGUUGGCUGCAUGUGCAUUCCCUUUCAUGUUCUUAAUAAUUGAAGACAAGUUGUUCAUUACAUGCAUACUUUUCAAAUGUGGUGCCGCAGCUUAUGUCCUAUUUUAAUUUAGAAUUAAAUUAGGGGAAUAUUAUACGCUUAUUUUUAUGUUUAUCUAAACUCCUUAAAUUUUAGAUAGAUUAUGGCGUAAAUAAGAAUAUAACAAUAACAAAAGAGUUAGAAAGCAUAUUAAAGAUCUUUCAGAAAUAUAAAUAAUAGUGCUCAAUUAAAUAACACAGAACAUCUGAAUUGAAUAGUGAUUAUCAAGACUGUGUUACUUGCACUUCUAUUUAUAGAAAAUCUUGGUUCUGUUCCAUUAAAGUUUUUAUCUUCAAAAUCUUGUAAAGUUUUAACAAUCACAAAUGCUCAGCUUGCUUGAUCUAUAUUUGUAUGAUAUGAAUCCAAAUUUUUGUGUUCUGUUUUUCCUAAUUUUCAACACGGAUUCUUUUCUUCUUGGGCAAAUCAGAAAGAAAUGUUGUAUUAAAAAAAAUGGAAAUAACUUCAUGAGAACAAAAAUUCAAAAAAAUAAUAUAAAGUUUAUAUUUAGACUUUUGAGGUAUAUUUUAAUUUUCAACAAUGAGUUAAAGAAAAUAAAUAUCUCAAAAUAAAAUAAUAAAUAAAGUAAAUAAAAGUUUAGAGAUUUAAUUUUUUAGUAUUAGAUUCUUUAAUUUAAACAUUCUCUUAAUUAAUUAUCACUUAAAAAAGAGUUUAGUAUUAUAAUUUUAAAUUUUUUGAUUCAUUAUUGAUAUACAAAUUAGGAAUUUAAGUUUACUUUUUUUUACUAUUAUUUUUUCAAAUUUUAAAUUAUUAUUCUAAUUUAUAAAAUUUUUUUUAAAUAGAGGACUUGAGCCUAACUUGUGCAUUUUUUCCUAAGCUCUUAUGCAAGCCCUCAUGUGCGAAGGUCAGUCCAAAACCCGUGAGAAUGAGCGGCCCCGGCUUUUUUGCCAUCCAUGAGGAUAAUGAUGGUGAUGGUGAUGAUAAUGAUGAUGAUGAUGAUGAUUAUUAUUAUUAUUCUUAAUGAUAAAAAGUAUUAUAAUUAAUUAAUAUAUUAUUGUUAAUAUUGUUAUUAAUAAUAACAAUUUUUUGAAUAAAAAUAAUCACAAUAAUUAAAAUACAAAUUAAUAAUUAUAACAAUAGUUAAUUAAAGUCUUUUUAACAAUUUGUAAUAAUCUAACUUAUUAUGAUUUUAAUUAUUACAGUUUAAGUAAACAACUGAUUCUAAUUCUUAUUCUCCAUUCCCACUUCAAUUCAUUCUUAUUUCGAUUCAUUCCGAUUUCUGUUUAAUAAAUGCACCAUUAGUGCUAUAGUAAUAUUUCAUAUAGAGAAAAGUAAAAGCUACACCUAAGGUUGAGGGAAAAGACUUCAAAACUCUCUUUUGUCAUAAAACCUUUUGUUUUAGUUAACUUAAAGAUUUUGAAUCUAAUAUUUUAUAAUAAAUAAAAAUAUAUUCCUAAAAUAAAUAUAAUAAUAUCUAUUUUAAAAUAAUAUCAAUAUUUAAAGUAUGUUUUAAUAUUUUAUGAUCUAUCUGACAUAUUUUAUUAUAUUAAAGUAAAUUUUAUAAUAAAUACAAACAUAAUGAAUUUAUAAAACAUUUAGAGUAUUUUGAAUAUUAUAUAAAAUAAUUUUAAUAGAAUGCAUGAGAUAUAUUUUAUUAAUUUAAAAUGCUAUUUAACCUAAAGAUUUAUUUAAGAUAAAUUAAUAAUUAAAUUUUUUAAAUGAUUUCAAAUAUUAAAAAUUUGUAAUAUUAUUAGUCUAUUAGAUAGAUUAAAUUAUUUAAAUUAUUUUGUAUCGAUUAAAAAAAUUUUAAAGUCAAUCUUUUUAAUUACUAUUCGAAGGAUAUAAUGAUUAAAAAAAAUCUUAGUAUUUUUUUAUUAAAAAUUUAAAUAUUUACAUGACCAUUUCUAUAAAUAUUUAGGUCUCGUUUGCUAUGUUGGAUUAGAUUAGAUUGAAUUGGAUCGGAUUAGAUAAGAUAGGAUUGGACUGGAUAAUACUGGAUUAUAUAUAAUAUUAUGUUGUGUUUGUUAUGUCAUGAGAUUAACUAGUAACUAAUAAUAUGUCUUAUAUAUUAAUUUAUUAAAAUCAUCAUAGAUUUACUUUAAAAUGACAUGUAAUAUAAUAUAACUUAAAUCAAUAAUUAUUGGUAAAUUUAUAAAAAAAAUACAAAAUCUUCGCUUAAUUAUUUUUUUAAUAUUUAACAUGUUAUAGUUUCUAAUCCCAUGAAUAGUAAAAGAUAAAGUUUUAUCUUAGAAAAUGUAAUCACAAGGGUCCCCUUGGGAUGAAAUUUUGCCACUAUUGGAAUUAAGUGGUGGGCCUAUUAUUGUUACCUUUAUUUUUUUUACACUAAAUAUGAUAUAAGAAUUAUUUUACACUAAAAUUAUCUAAUCCCAUGAUAUAUAACUAAAACCAAACAGGCACUUAGGGUAUAUAUGAGCCACGGUGGAGAAGCUUUAUUUAAUAUUAUUGAUUUAAAUAAUAUCUCAUUAAAAAUGUAUUGAGAAGAAAUUUCGGUGGGUAUUUUAAUCUUUUCAGCAAUCACAUGAUUAGCCUUUGGCUUUGAAACGUCGGUCAGAAAAGUUUUAAAAUGCUUAAUUGUUUUUCACUUUUAACCUUGGUGGCCUUGAAAUUGCUUAUAUUUUAUUAAAAAUUAAUGCUAACAAGAAAAAAACUAGGUAAUAUUGGAUUCUUUUAGUAAACUACAAAUUAAAAUAGAUUUUUUCGAUAAACUACAAAUUAAAGUGGAUUCUUUUGAAUACAAGUGGGACAGACGAUUAGACUCUUUUUAUUAACGGCAAGUAAAAACUAGUCAAGAAUCGAAUAGUCCGUUUCAAAUUCUUGUUUUAUUAUUUUUCAAAACUAGUUUUUGGUAAUUACAAUCGGGUCAUUAAUCAUUAUUCAAGAUUUAGUGGCUCGUGUUUGCAAGUGUGAAUGUGCGAUGCUCUUUUUCCAAAGGCCCGAAUCGGACGUGCCUAAUAAAUCUUUUAAAAAAUUUUGCCGUAUAACGAACAGAGGUCAUUACUAAAAUUUCUCUUCCACAGUCCAUAGCAGCUUCAGUUUAUCAAACUCAAUCAAUUUUCUUCCUUAACAAAAUUCCAAAGAUGGGUAACAUUUUUCAGAUCCCAUGCGAUGGUGCUUUUUUCAAUCGUUGCUUGGAUUGCUUUCUUGGAGAAGCAGCAUACAUAAGCAACCUCCAAGAUAAUCUUGAUGCCUUGGACACUGAAUUGGGAAAACUAAUCGCAGCAAAGAACGAUGUGAUGACGGAGGUUGGCAAUGCUGAACGGCGACAAAUGAGAACGCUGGAACGAGUGCAAGAGUGGGUUUCGACGGUGGAUUCUGUUAAAACUGGAGCCGAUGAACUUAUCACAAACGGCUCUCAAGAAAUUGACAAAUUAUGUGUUGGAGGCUACUGUUCCAAGAACUGCUGGUCAAGCUACAAGUUCGGAAAACAAGUGGCUAAAAAGCUACGAGAUGUGAAGACUUUAAUCGCCGAGGGAGUUUUUGAGGCGGUGGCCACUGAGGUGGUGCCCGAGAGAGCUCCGGAACCUGUAGCAGAUAAAAGACCCAUUGAGCCAACGAUAUUAGGCUUGCAAUCACAGCUUGAACAAGUUUGGAGAUGUCUUGUAGAAGAAUCAGUGGGAAUCAUUGGCCUAUAUGGUAUGGGCGGUGUUGGUAAAACCACACUAUUGACCCAUAUCAACAAUAAAUUUCUUGAGAGUCCCACAAACUUUGAUUGUGUGAUUUGGGUCGUAGUUUCAAAAGACCUGCGACUUGAAAAAAUUCAAGAAGAUAUUGGGAAGAAGAUAGGUCUGUUUGAUGGUUCAUGGAAGAAUAAAAGUGUUGAGGAGAAAGCUGUAGACAUCUUGCGGAGAUUAGGAGAGAAGAGAUUUGUAUUGUUGUUAGAUGAUAUAUGGGAGCGGGUUGAUUUAACAGAAGUGGGCGUUCCACUUCCCAGCCCACAAAAUACUACAUCAAAAGUCGUAUUCACGACCCGUUUCAUUGAUGUUUGUGGUAGCAUGGAAAGUCACAGGAAGUUUAAAGUGGCAUGCUUAUCAGAAGAGGAUGCUUGGGAGCUGUUUCGAGAAAAAGUAGGGCAGGAAACUCUUGAGAGUGAUCAUGAGAUCGUUGAGCUAGCCCAAACUGUGGCCAAAGAGUGUGAUGGUUUGCCACUCGCACUUAUUACUAUUGGUCGAGCUAUGGCCUACAGAAAGAAAGCGGAGCAGUGGAGACGUGCAAUUGAAGCGUUAAGAAGAUCAGCUUCAGAGUUUUCAGGUUUGGGAAAAGAGGUGUAUCCUCUUUUAAAAUUCAGCUAUGAUAGUUUGCAGAAUGAUACGGUUAGAUCUUGUUUCUUGUAUUGUUGUUUAUAUCCUGAAGAUUAUGGCAUUCUUAAAUGGGACUUGAUUGAUUGUUGGUUUGGCGAGGGAUUUUUUGGGGAAUCUGACAGGUCUGGUGCAGAAAACCAAGGAUAUGACAUUUUGGACACUCUUGUUCGUGCAUGUUUAUUAGAAGAGGUGGAAGAUGAUAAAGUAAAAAUGCAUGACGUUAUUCGUGAUAUGGCUAUAUGGAUAACCUGUGAAAUUGAGAAGGAGAAGAGAAACUUUUUGGUUCGUGCAGGUGCUGGAUUAAAAGAGGCACCGGAUGUUAAAAGAUGGGAAAAUGUGAGAAGAUUGUCAUUGAUGCAAAACCAAAUUGAAACUCUGUCAGAGGUUCCUACAUGCCCUCAUCUCCUCACUUUAUUUCUUAACUUUAAUAAGGUGGAGAUGAUCGCGGAUGGCUUCUUCCAAUUUAUGCCUUCUCUCAAAGUUUUGAAGAUGUCAGACUGCGGGAAUUUAAUUUUGGAAUUACCUUUUGGGAUGUCAAAGUUGGGUUCACUGGAACUUCUCGAUAUUUCACAUACCCACAUAAAAGAGUUACCAGAAGAGUUAAAGUUGUUGGUAAAUCUGAAAUGUUUGAAUUUGAGGUGGACAGUUUGGUUAAAUAAAAUUCCACGGCAACUAAUAUCAAAUUCUUCAAGGUUACGUGUGUUGAGAAUGUUCGCUAUUGGCUGGUUCAAUUUUCAUGAAGCAUCAGAAGAAAGCGUUUUAUUUGGUGGGGGUGAAGUUUUAGUACAGGAAUUGCUCGGUUUGAAAUAUUUAGAGGUAUUGGAGUUGACCUUGGGAAGUUAUCAGGCUCUCCAAAUUCUUUUGAGCUCAAAUAAGUUAAAAAGUUGUAUUCGAUCUCUUCAACUCCGGUUGGUCAGAGAUACACCGUCAAUUAUUGAUGCUACGGCUUUCGCAGAUCUAAACCACCUCAAUGAAUUGUAUAUUUUUAAAGGUAUUGAGUUGGAAGAAUUGAAGAUUGAUUAUACGGAGAUAGUACGAAAAAGGCGGGAACCUUUUGUUUUCCGGAGCCUUCACCGUGUUAUUAUUGGGGAGUGCCAUAAAUUGAAAGAUGUGACAUUCCUCGUUUUUGCUCCAAACCUCAAGUCUCUUCGGCUAUUCGAUUGCGGUGCUAUGGAAGAAAUAAUCAGCGUCGGAAAAAUUGCUGAGACUCCUGAGAUGAUGGGACAUAUAAGCCCUUUUGAAAAUCUCCAAAGUCUUGAUUUAGACGAUUUGCCACAUUUGAAGAGCAUUUUCUGGAAGCCAUUGCCUUUCACUCAUCUGAAAAAAAUGGCGGUACUUAUGUGCGAUCAGCUUAGAAAGCCUCCACUCGAUUCCAACAGUGCAAAGGAGCGUAAAUUUGUUAUUCGUGGAUACACAGGGUGGUGGAACCGACUUCAAUGGGAGGCUGAAGCCACUCAAAUUGCUUUUCGUUCCUGUUUCCAACCUUAUUCCUGAGCCGUGGUCGCAAAAUUUGAUUUCUGGUGAGUGCGUUUGUCUUUUAAAAGAAGAAUUUAAAAGAAAUUUAUUCUUGUCGUUUGUUUUCUUCUCUUUUUAUUUCAGUUUCUUUAUCUCUCUCUCUCUCUUUGUCUUCUGCAAAUCACAAUUAAAUGUUGAAUUAAUGGAAUUAAUGCUUCAUAAAUUUGCCGGCACUGCCAUUACUUUUUUUUUUUAAUACAAAUUGAUACUUUAUUUAUAUCUUCUUAGCGAUUUAAUUUCCUGUCAAUAGACGAACGAGAAGAACAUACGACUUAAACCAAUUGAUACUUUAUUUAUGUGCGUUGUAUGUAAUAAAUAUUAAGUAUACUUUAUUUUGCCCUGUUCUCCGUUUUUAUUUCAGCCUCUCUCUCUUUCCUGUCUUCUGCAAGUCAUAAUUAAAUGUUGAAUUAUAUGGAAUUAAUGCUUUAUAAAUCUGCCUGCGCUGGCUUUUUUUUUUUUGUGGGGUCGAAUUGAUGCUCUGGUUUUCGACUAGUUUUUGUUGUCAAAAUUUUCUCUGUUUUUUUCAAAUUGAUGCUUUAUUUAUAUCUUCUUCGUGAAAAGUGAUUUAAUUUCCUGCCAAAAGACGAACGAGAAGAACAUUAGAGUCAAACUAAUGCUCACAUAAAUUUCCCGUAAGAAUAUAUAUAUAAUUAGACUGGAAUGCACACCUCUAGAUUGAACAGAAUUGAAGCUGAGAAAAUAUUGAGUAUAGUAGCCCUCUUUAAAGUUAAUUUAGAAAAAGAUAUAUUCUUGAUUAAUCCAUUUUCUGAAGUUUUUUAUUUUGUAUGGUCAAUUAUACCUUCAUACUCAAAAUUUCUGAAGUUAUAAAUUAGUGCAAAUUGACAAUUUUUACUGAUGAUAUCUUCUAUUUUUCCUUUCUUUUUUUUUACUCUCAUAGAAUGUUACUGUCAUUUUACUUACAAAUAGGUUUGACUUUGAGCCCAUGAAACGAUACUUUGAUUGCCAAACCACCGUCCAAUUUUUUUAAAAAAAGAAAAAAAAUAUGUAAUCCAUGAAUCUGGUUAAUUUUGUUUGUUUGUUUUUUUUAAUCUGUUAUACAUUUGAAACAUUCCAUUAAUUGCCAAUUAUGUAAGCGAGAUAGUAAUUAAUUUUUUUAUUUAAAAAAAAGUGAAAAUUAAUCCUAUGCAAUGUGAAUAAAUUUCUUUCCUUUUUCCUUCACUCUUUUUAUUUGAUAAUUAAGUUUCAAUCUAUGUACGCAAAAUUUCUGCAACAACUGCAAAACAUAAAAAUAUAUGAUUGUUAAGGGAAACACGCAGAAGUUCAUCACUUCAAUGUUCAGUAUUUCCAAUUUUGGCAUUAAGCUCUUACGAAUAUAUUCCACUUAGAAAGCAAAAUAUUAGAAUUGUGAUUUUAAUUCAUUCAUCAUAUCUCAUUUCAAUCCCAAAAUAUUCAAGUGGAUCCAAGUUACCAUAAGACUUCAGAGGCUCGAGCCUUAGCCAGAGAUGGUUAAUUGAUAGACUAUGUGCCUGGGUCGAGCACUGGAAGCCUGCAAUGCAGACUGAUUGAUUUAUCAGUUUGACGUGUUCCAGGAAUGAAGAACUGGAAUAUCACCCUCAAGCAAACACCCUGUGGAGCAAUACCAUAGAAUGCACAAUCCGGCUUUGCAAGGUGACACUGGAGGCUUUUUGAAAAGUGCUUCACGCUCACUUGCACUGAUUGAGCAUCCCCUCUGGAUAUUGCCCUCUCUGAUCGAGUCUGAGCACUCAAAUUUCGGUCCUCAGAUGGAGCUACAGCUUUCUCUCCAAUAACCAACAAUUUUCUAAACUCAGCACCUAGUGUGAUCAGAGUUGUUGAUAUUUGCAAAUGGAGAUCCCCAUAUUUGCAAAUGGAGACAUUUAACAAAUCACCAACAUGCUUCAUCCGGUGUACAAAAUUCUGCAGCUGAUUCAAAUCUGGAACCUGAACCAGAGUCGGAGGUAAAUCUUGAGCCAUAUCUAAAGCAGUUUGAAGUUCAAGUACUUGAGCCCUUGACAAUGGUUUUGAAAUUGGAACAUCUUGGAUUACUGCAGACUUGUACCCCUUGGUUUCAAAGGUAAGGAAAGGCAUUGCUUGAGUACAAUUUGGAGGCAGCGGAUCCAGCUGCACCAACUUCAGAGCAAAUACUGACACUACUUCGAACAGCACACUGAAGAAGUGAUAUGUCUACGGCAAAGGCAAUGCAGUCCUCAUUUUGGCUUGAGAUGCAGUAAUCAUCGAAGAGAGUUUCCUUGUGAAACUGGGCAACACAUUGAAUCCCUUUGCCACUGAGAAGGUUGUGGAGGAAGUAAGCUUUCUCUCUAGUGAGGAAGAGGUGGCAUACCUUCCCCAUUUUGUCUAGGGCAGGUAGGAAUCUUUUUUCUAAGAGAUUUACUUCAUUCUCGGUGAGAAAUGCUUUGAACUUCAUCCCUCUGUCUCUAUCCUCACUUAUCAGAAAAUAAGUUGAAAGCACUACGGAGAGAGAGAGAGAGAGAAUUAAGAUAUAUAGACAAGAAAAAUAUUAGACGGUGAUCUUACAAACUAAUACUUCAAGCAGUAUCCUAGAAAGCUAAAAACUGCAAGAUGGCUUGAAAUUUGAAAAGAGCACGUGCUUUUCCUCCUUAACUUGAGAAAAUGUUUAAUAUAGUGCACCUUACAGAAGCAUUUAAGCAAUUAGAACUAUGCACAAAAACAUCACGAAGACUAAACAAAUCAGAUGCAGUGUCUUUGUCCAAGCACAAAUUGCAUUUUGUCCUCAACUUUAAUAUUUAUUGAUGAGAAUCAAUACAGGUCCCUCAUUUGUUAUAGAAAGCUUUCUUGUAGUCUCACCAGUUAAUUCACAGGUCUAUAAUCAUCUUGCAAAGUUAAGGGCAUUUCUUUCGAUCUAAAGUCUUUGCAUCACCACCUCAUCACACGCCAAGCCAAUAUUCCAUUUACCUCUACAACAAAAAGUUUUAAGUAAACAAUCCUAAUGCACGCAGCCAAAUAAAAUGCAGUAAGAAUAUUCAACUUAAAAAUCUGAAAGCCAACUUGGUGAAUUGCCUCCUUAGGUGAAGUUCCAUGCUUUACUAUAGUUGACAGAACUCAGCAAAAGCUUCCAUACAACAGAUUUUGAAAAUGAUGAUGCCAAUAGAUACUCAUUCAAUCCAUUGAAAAUCCAAAGGUUCAUUGUUAAUAGAAGUUUACAGAGUUUUGGUCAUCAAAUAGCUCAGACCUAAUCCCAAACAAAAAACGAGUGAAAAUUAGAUCACGAGCAGCUAAUUGUAAAUUCUAACUUAACUCUUCAUCUCCUUUGUAAACAAGAAACAAAAUGAAGACACGCAAAAUGAAUAUGGAGAAAAUUUGAACUCAAAUGAAAUGAGGGCACGAAAGCAAACAAAUGGCAUGCACAAAAAAACCAAGCCUCAAUCAAAAACUAAUUAACCAUUAAGAAAAAAAUUGGUCUGAGAAUGAACUCCAAAUUCAGGAGUGAAGCAAGAAGCUUUCAUUAUUUCAGAAGCUCCUGUACAAAUUAAUAAGUUAUGCUCUUUGGAAGCAAACCUAAAUUCCAAGAGAAACAGAACCCAAAAAAUUUGCAAUUUUACGCAAAGGAAGUGAAGCACAGGAUUCUGUCACACAUAGGAAUUGUAAAACAAGAGAUCGAUAUAUCGAAUUAGAAAACUCAAUUCGAAUUUAUGUCAAAAAUCAAAAUUAGAAGAUUUCACAUUUUGAGAGGAACAAGCAACAGAUGAAGUUCAAAAUUUCAGCCAUAACAUGCUAAAAAUGCUACACUUAACGGUUCAUUUUCAUGGAUUUUCUCGGGAAACAAACAGAAAAUUACGGUUCAGAGAGUUGACUGACCUUUUGGCUUUUGAAAUUGAGAAGAUCGCGCGCCAAAUUGGAAGAGGGAAAGUGAAAGUGCGAGUUUUAAUAUGGGUAUUAGAUAAGGAAAUUUAAUUAGGUUGCGAGGGUAAAAAAGGAAAGAGAUAUCAUUAUUUUAUUAUCGAUAAUUAUUAAAUUUUUUUCCAAAAAAAAGAACAAGCAAGGAUAUUUUAUUUUCAUUACUAAGUUAAAAAAAAUUGUUUCAAAAUUACUCGAGUCAUAUCCAAUGGACCAACAAAGUAAUCGUUUUUAUUUUUAUUGAUUUUUGCAGGAAAUUAAUAACUUCUUAUUUCAUAAUCCAACUCCAGUACUAAGUUAAAAAAAAUUGUUUCAAAAUUACUUGAAUCAUAUCCAAUGGACCAACAAUGUAAUCGUUUUUAUUUUUAUUGAUUUUUGCAGGAAAUUAAUAACUUAAAAAUACUGAAAGCUAUUGUAAAAAUUUUUAUUAUCAACCUCAUAGUUUUUUUUUUUUUGGGAAGAGAAUUCAAACUUUUUUUUUUUUAAUUUCCAAGAAUUCUUGACACCCGUCUUAAUUAAAAGCUAUAUUUUAAUUCAAAAGUCAUGCUAUUCAUUCACUCACAGACCAAAGGCUUUCCGCAGCAAUAUUAUUAUUUAAAUUACAACAAAGGGGAAAUCAAAUACGUCAUACAGAAGCUUAAAGCUGAAUCUACAAAAUCUAGAGCUCGCAACUACAAAAAUUACACUUGAUGAUCCUCUACAAGAUGAAGCUUGUUCAAUAUCUCAUCCAAAGCUUGUAAAGUAACCUUGUAACGAUCUUGAGAUUGCCUGCCUUCCUCGACGACCUGCACGAUGCGUUUGUACCAAUCAUCAUACCUGUGCACCGGAUUUUUAAUAUCAACGCCACUGCAGCUGUGAUCAAGAACAUAAGAGCGUUUAACAUCUUUUCUCCAUCGAGAAAGAAUGUAGUGAGAUGGGAUCUCCUCCAUACCACUCUGGUUUAGAACACAAAGAAUGUGUCUGCAUAAAUAUCCUCUGAAAUUGAACAACCCACAAACACAAAGCACCUCCAAGUCGGAGGCAUUGUACAAAACAUCGAAAGCCCUUGAAUCUUUCUCGUUGCUACCAACCUCAAAUUCUUCCUUCACUAUGUAUGUUAUAGGUCCAUCAGCACUGACAUGUUUUGUGCUAUAGCAAAGAGUACAUAGCCUCCACCUCCGUCUGAAACUUCCUUAACAUUUCAUUUGUGUACAGUUUUGAGAGUUGAAAUUCAUAGUAACAUCUUGGUUUCUGGAUACAACUUGAAUUUCUUGAAUCCAUAUCUGCCAAGGCUUCCAGUUGAUAAUUCGCCUGCAGUGCUUGAUCAGACUUGUCUAAGAAUUCUUUCAAAGGAGUAUUCUUAUCAAGAUAUCCUUCAAAGUAUGAAGUAGAAACCUCAUUCUGCAGGAACGAAAACACUCCUGAUAAAAAAGCUUCCUUCAAAUAAAUAGGAGCCCACCUUUUACGAUCUUCAUAUAAAGUUUGAAUCCAUCCGUGAUCCUUUAUUCCAUGACGUUGAUGUUGAAAAGUCAAAAGAGUUUUGGUUGAAAAAGAAAAGUGAGUAUUAAAAAAGGCGGGAACCUUUUGUUUUCCGCAGCCUUCACCAUGUUACUAUACAAAGCUGCCAGAAGUUGAAAGAUUCGACAUUCCUUGUUUUUGCUCCAAACCUCAAGUCUCUUUCGAUGGUCAAAUGCAAUGCUAUGGAAGAAAUAAUCAGCGUCGGAAAAUUUGCUGAGACUCCUGAGAUGAUGGGACAUAUAAGCCCUUUUGAAAAUCUCCAAAUGCUUGAUUUAAUAGGUUUGCCACAUUUGAAGAGCAUCUUCUGGAAGCCAUUGCCUUUCACUCAUCUCAAAGAAAUAUAUGUGGGUUAUUGCCCUAAUCUUAAAAAGAUUCCACUCGAUUCCAACAGUGCAAAGGAGCGUAAAUUUGUUAUUCGUGGAGAAGAAGACUGGUGGAACCGACUUCAAUGGGAGGAUGAAGCCACUCAAAUUGCUUUUCGUUCCUGUUUCCAACCUCGUUCCUGAGCGGUGGUCGCAAAAUUUGAUUUCUGGUGAGCGCGUUUGUCUUUUAAAAGAAGAAUUUAAAAGAAAUUUAUUCUUAUCGUUUUCUUCUCUGUUUUUAUUUCAGUUUCUCUCUCUCUCUUUGUCUUCUGCAAAUCACAAUUAAAUGUUGAAUUAAUGGAAUUAAUGCUUCAUAAAUUUGCCGGCACUGCCAUUACUUUUUUUUUUUAAUACGAAUUGAAACUUUAUUUAUUUCUUCUUAGCGAUUUAAUUUCCUGUCAAAAGACGAGCGAGAAGAACAUAUAUAUGACUUAAAUUUUUUGUUCAAGGAUUUUUAUUUCGGGUAUUAAUAAUAGUCCACCAAAAGAGGGAACACUUGGAUGCUGCUCUAAGGGUCUCUCUAAUCAAUAGCUGGAAGCAAUUGAGAAGGCGGUCGCUACUGUGUACAAAUCCAUGCAGUAUUUGCUAUUCAUCUUAAUAAUUAUGAAGCUUUGGUAAAAUUUUCAGACAAAGUUGACAUGUUAUUUUGAGAUUUGGUUCGUGAUUUUGUAUGAAUAUCGUUGUUCCGUUUGAGUUGGAUAUGAAUUCGAGUCUAAAUAUUCUUUGGUUUUCAAUUUUGAACUCAAUUUUUUUUUUCUCAAGCAUGUUAUGCAGAAAUGAUUUUUACUAAAUCAUUUUUGAUGAAUUAUUUAAAUUAAACAAUUGGAAUCAGAAUUGUAACGAUUUAUCACAAGCAUGCUAAUAUGAUAAUUCUGAAACUAUCAUUUUUUUUUUCAAUUUGCUGCAGGGAAAGCCAAAUUUUGUAUUUUUCAGUUUUAUCUGAUAUGGAAUUUAUUUCCUCUACACUAGCUACCUAAAGAUUUAUCAAAUUGCUUCUCUUCCCUGCUUCAAAUAUCUUCAUGGCAUCAUAGGAAAAGAGAGUUUGGGUUGUAUUUAUUAUAGUUUUUAUUUUUUUUUCGUUAUAAGCAAAUUUAUUUUAAAUACUUUAGUAGUAACAGUUUUUAUUGAAUAAUAAUGGGGGAUGAUUAUUAUAUGUUCAAAUAGUUGUUAGAACAUUAUAAAAAGUCUAUUUGCUAUCAAAUGUUUUAAAUUGAUGCAACAUGAUAAUUGUCUCAUAUAAUUUUUUUAUACUAUAUAUGUCCCAUAAUCUUAACAUGAAUAAAUGAUUUUCAAUGGUUAAAUUUGACACGAUUAUUAAAUAGAUCAUAUCUAUAUUAAUUCGAUUUAAAAUCUGGUCACAUUUGGAUUUAGAGUUUCUAACAUGGUAUCUUGUUUUAUGACAUAAUUUACUAAUCAAUUAAUAGAAAAUCAAAUGUUAGUCAAUUAAAUAUGUGGUACAUUUGUCAUAUUUUAAAAAUUAUUUAUUUAUAUUUGAAAUAAAUUUGACUAGACUUUGUGCAGGUAAUACUGCAUAAUUUCUAAAAAAAUGUAAUAAAAACAUGUUAAAAUGUUAUUUUUAUGAAGAAAAAUUGGAAUUUUAUUAAAUAGGAGACACAAUAAUAAAUGGAUAAAAAUUGAGAUUAUUGAUAUAAUGAUUAAAUAGAUUGAAUUGAAGUGAGUUUCAAUUUUGAGAAGAUAAUAAGACGACGCGACACAAAUACAACCAACCAGUCAACCCAAAUUGCCACCUUUUACUAUCUUCUUUGUGUUAUUUCUCUAAAAAUUUGUGCCUUCUCUUACACUUUUAAAUCUUAAGUGUUUGAACUGGAGUACACAAAUUAUCUCUCUACAAUUCCAAAACAACCAAUUUGUAACUUGGUAAAUCUUAAUCAAUGGCAGGAAGCAAUUGAGAAGGCGGUCGCUACUGUGUACAAAGCCAUGCAGUAUUUGCUAUUCAUCUUAACAAUUGUUGAGCUUCGGUAAAUUUUCAAAUAUAGUUGACUUUUUAUUUUGAGAUUUGGUUCAUGAUUUUGUAUGAAUAUCGUUGUUCCGUUUGAGUUGGAUGUGAAUUCAAACCUAAAUAUUCUUUGGUUUUCCAUUUUGAAUUCAAUUUUUUUCCUCAAGCAUGUUAUGCAGAAAUGAUUUUUACGAAAUGAUUUUUGAUCGAUUAUUUAAAUUAAACAAUUGGAAUAAGAAUUGUAACGGUUUAUCGUAAGCAUGCUAAUAUGAUAACUUGUUUUACGAACGAUUAGUUAAUCAAUUAAUAUUAAAUUGUAUAUUAGUCAAUUAGAUAUGUGUUAUAUUUGUCAUAUUCUAAAAAUUAUUUAUUUAUAUUUCAAAUAAAUUUGACCAGAGGUUACGUAGGUAAUACUACAUAAUUUCGAAAGGAUGUAAAAAUUUAAAAUUUCAUUAAAUAGGUGACUCAACAAUAAAUGGAUUUCUGCAAGAAUUGAGAUUCUUGAGAUAAUUAUUGCAUAGGGGGAAUUUUGGUUAGUUCAAUUUUGACAUGAUAAGAAGACAACACAGCGCAGAAAACCCAAAUUGCCACUUCUACUAGUAAUAAAAGAUGAGCGAAUUGCGUGGGAUAUACUUGUUUUCCCUCAAAAUACCCAAAAUAUACCUCCACAUAUUAAAAUUGCUAGCUUUACACAUAUAUACUUAAAAAGAUCAGAGAAAAUACAAAAAUAACCUUAAUAAAAAUACUCGACUUAUUUAAUAUGCUUACUCGACUCAUUUAAUAUUCUUACUCGAUUUCUUACCGGACCAUAUACUCGACUUAGUUAAUAUGCUUACUCGACUUAUUUAAUAUUUUUAUUCGACUUAUUUAAUAUUCUUACUCGACUUCUUACCCGACCAUAUACUCGAUUUAUUUAAUAUGUUUACUCGACUCAUUUAAUAUUCUUACUCGACUUCUUACCGGACCAUAUACUCGAUUUAGUUAAUAUGCUUACUCGACUUAUUUAAUAUUCUUACUCGACUUCUUACCGGACCAUAUACUCGACUUAUUUAAUAUGCUUACUCGACUCAUGUAAUAUUCUUAUUCGACUUCUUACCCGACCAUAUACUCGACUUAUUUAAUAUGCUUACUCGACUCAUUUAAUAUUCUUACUCGACUUAUUUAAUAUUCUUACUCGACUUCUUACCCGACCAUAUACUCGACUUAUUUAAUAUGCUUACUCGACUCAUGUAAUAUUCUUACUCGACUUCUUACCCGACCAUAUACUCGACUUAUUUAAUAUGCUUACUCGACUCAUUUAAUAUUCUUACUCGACUUCUUACCCGACCAUAUACUCGACUUAGUUAAUAUUCUUACUCGACUCAUUUAAUAUUCUUAUUCGACUUCUUACCUGACCAUAUACUCGACUUCUUUAAUAUGCUUACUCGACUCAUUUAAUUUUCUUACUCGACUUCUUACCCGACCAUAUACUCGACUUAUUUAAUAUGCUUACUCGAUUCAUUUAAUAUUCUUACUCGACUUCUUACCCGACCAUAUACUCGACUUAUUUAAUAUGCUUACUCGACUCAUUUAAUAUUCUUACUCGACUUCUUACCCGACCAUAUACUCGACUUACUUAUCUCUAAUUCUUACUCGACUAAAUUCUCGAUUUACCCGACUUUGUACCCGACUUCGUACCCGACUUCUUCCUGCACUGAUUCUUCAAUCAUUCAUAACUUAAAUGUAGUCUUAAAUCCCUACAUUGAAAUAGUGUGUGUGUGCAAGCACAAAAAAUGAAUAAUGUACUACUAAAAUUCAUAAAUCAUUAGGAAGUACACUUAUAAGAAAAAUAGAGAAUGGUGAGAGAAGCCCAAAAAAGAGAAGCAAUGGGAGAAGAGAGAUGUGAAUUCUUAGUUUUUUUAAGGUUAUUUUUGACUUUUUCUAUCUUCAUAAGGUAUAUGUAUGUAAUAGGAUAUAAAUUUGGCAUUUAAGGGUAAAUUAAGGAUAUUUAAAUAAAAAACCCAUAAAAGAUACCUGUUUCAAAAGUAAUUAUAAACUAUCUUCUUUGUGUUAUUUCUCAAAACUGUUAUUUCCCUGGAGAAAAGUACGAAAUACCCACUUUCACGUUGGCAGAAGCAAAGCAAAGCUAUGAGCUAUCUCUGUAUACUUGAAACGCCAUUGCUAAACGAUUCUCGAUGAUGGGUGCCACUGGGCCAGUGUUGUCGCUGAUUUGCAUGAUUUAUUAGUUGUCCAGAUGCCAGAGAAACCAUGGUGGCAUUGAAGUUACCCAGAUGGUUAGUUUUCUGAUCAUUUUUUUAUUCAAUUAUUUAUUUUUUUUAGAAAAAUGUAAGAAAUAUGUAGAAAUGUUGACAGCUAUGAUUUUGAAACUUUGCCUAAAAUUGUUAUCAUCACUUAUUUAAAGAGAAAUCCUAGAAACAUGACAUGAUUAGUAGCCUAAUUCAAAAUUAGACAUGAUUACAACAAGAGAAAAGUGGAGAGAACUUGAUAGUCGAGUGCAUUUAGAAUUUAAUUUUUCUUUUAGCUGCCAAUCAUUAAAUUUUCGAUUUCAGAAAAUUAUACCUAGAAUAUUUCAAGGAUAUACUAUGAAGAUUAUGAAGGUUUGAUUACAUGUCACUAUCAAUUGCCCCAAUCAUUUGUAGUAAAUUAAUUGAUCAUUUUGAUGCAAAUGAUUCCCUACUAAAAAAUUCAAGUCAAGGCUGAAUUGCACAGUAGUUAGUCGCGCUUGCACUUCAAAUUAAGUAUUGUAUUUUCUGCCUGGUUUGGUUGAUUAAAGUAUGUGCAUUUGCUUAUGAAAGUUGUAGUAUAGAAAUCGAAACAUUUGUUUUUCGCUAAGCCCAGAAGCAAAGUUCUUUGUACUGUACUCAUCACUUCUCUUCGUUCUCUUCAUUGAAAUUUUAUCCAAACAGCGGUUUCUUCGAAUUUGUGCCUUCUCUUACACUUUUAAAUCUAGCAAAGAACCGUUACCUGAGAAGAUUGCCAUCAGGAAUUUCUAAAUUGAUUUCACUAUAAUACCUUAAUCUUUCAAAUACUCCUCUCACUGGGUUGCCAAUAGUACUAAAAGCCUUGGUGAAUCCUACGUGUUUGAACUGGAGUACAAAAGUUAUCUCUCCACAAUUCCAAAACAACUGAUUUGUUACUUUUCAAUGCUACACGUUCUGCGAACGUUCAGUUGUGGUUAUCUUGCUGAAAUACCAGAAAAUAGGGUUCUAUUUGGUGGUAGUGGAUUCUUGGUUGGGGAGUUGCUUAGUUUAAAACGUUUAGAUGUAUUAAGCAUCACCUUAAAAGGUUUUUCUUCUGUCCAAAAACUUAUGAGCUCCCAACAGUUUCAAAGCCGUACAAAAAUGUUUGGAGCUUAUAGACUGUGAUGAUUCAAAGUCGUUUGCCUUGGCAGAGUUGAAGCAUCUUGUAAAACUAGGUUUGUCAAAUUGUGGAAAUUUGGAAGAUAAAUUACAUUUAUAAACUGUGGAUCGCCCUUUAUAAGUAUUAGGCUUAUUCCAUACUCGAGCAAUGUGGAAUACCUUUAUAAGCAUUAAGCCUCUCCCAUACAAUUUCUGUACAUGACUCUUCUUUUUUUUUUUUUUUUGAAGACCGUUCAAAGUGGUUGAUGAUCCGUUUUGUAAUAUCAUAGAGGGAUCAUGAAUUCCUUUUCUUUUCUGUGGCUAGGCAACACUUUUGGGCCAAAGUAAGGGAAUCUAUUUUAGGUCAUGUAAAAACCAGUUGUGGGAUGUAAUAGUUUAUUAUGCACUGACAAUAACUUUUUGUAUAAUUGUCAGUUUAAUGAAUACGAGAGGAACUCUGUUGGCAAAUUCAUCCAUGAUAGAUGCUAAAAUUAUACCAGUUGCCUUAACUUAUUUUUCUCAACACUGGUAUUGAACAGGAAAAUGAAUAUGCAAUUUGUAUUUGUGCCAUUGUGGAGAAUUUGGAUAUUCUUAUUUUUAGUAACAAGGAGAGUAUUGGCCUCAUCUUUAAAAAAUGAAUCUUUGAGAAAUGAGGAGUGGGUGAUUGGCAGUGUCAGAGUGUCUUCCUGUAAAUGUUCAUUUAUUUGUAUUUUGAACUAUUAGUAGAAUCUUUAUAUGCCAAAUUAGUAAUACAAAUAUUCAGAUGAUUUUUCCUGUUGAUCAUUUCAUUCUUGAGAGCCAUGUACAAUACUAGUAUACCAGAGAAACCAAGGUAGCAUUGAAGUUGCCCCAGUGGCUAGUUUUCCGAUCAUUUUUUAUUCAAAUUUUUAUGUUUUAGAAAAAUGUAAGAAAUAUGUAGAAAUGUUGAUAGCUAUGAUUUUGAAACUUUGCCUAAAAUUGUUAUCAUCACUUAUUGUUUCUUAUUUAAAGAGAAAUCCUGGAAACGUGACAUGAUUAUUCCAUACUUGUUUUUAUAUUAUUUAUUAGCAGCCUAAUUCAAAAUUACACGUGAUUAUUUGUUACUUUUAAUGCUACAUAUUCUGGGAAUAUUCAGUUGUGGUUAUCUUGUUGAAAUACCAGAAAAUAGCGUUCUAUUUGGUGGUAGUGGAUUCUUGGUUGGUUUAAAUGUAUUAAGCAUCACCUUAGAAGGUGUUUCUGCUGUCCAAAAACUUACGAGCUCCCAAAAGUUUCAAAGCUGUGCACAACCUUUGGAGCUUAUAGACUGUAGUGAUUCAAAGUUGUUUGCCUUCACAGAGUUGAAGCAUCUUGAAAAACUAGGUUUUUCAAAUUGUGGAAAUUGGAAGAGUUUAAGUUCUGCUGUGUCGAGGAUGGAAAGGCUCGAGAAUGUUUUCGUGUGAACAGCCUCCAACGAGUUAAGAUAAAGGCUUGUCAUAAAUUGAGGGAAGUGACAUGGCUUGUAUUUGCUCUGUAUCUUGAGGUUAUUCAAAUAGACAAAUGUAUGGGGAUGGAAGUAAUAAUCAGUGCAAGGAAAUUGGGUGAAGUUCCAGAGAUGAUGGCAGAUCUAAACCCUUUGGUAAAACUCCAAUAUCUUGGCCCACGAGUUCUACCAAAAUUAAAAUGCAUCUAUUGGAAUCAAUUGCCCUCUCUACAUGUCAGGCAAAUUUUGUAUCUGAAUGUCCAAUUCUCAAGAAGCUUCCACUUGGUUUUAACAAUGCAAAGGAAUCUAAAACUAUCAUUAGGGGAGAAGAACACUGGUCGAAUGAGCUGCAAUGGGAGGACAAAGUGACCCUUAAUGUUCUUCUUCCUUGUUUCGGAUCCAUUUGAGGGCAUCAACAUGGAUUGAUACUUUGCAGUGGAGAAAUUCGAAUAAAACCUGGUAAGUGCUUUUCCAUUUAUUGCAUAUUUAUAUCUAACUUUUGUUUUCCUUUGUGGUUAAACUUUGCUCUAUAUACGUUGUUGUACGGUGACAUUCUCAUAUCAAUUAUUAGCUUUUUAAUUCUCUUCUCACAUUAACUGCCCUUUUGAUCAUGUAGGAUAUGCUGAUGUCAAAGAGUCGUAAUUUGGACUGCAAAUGUAAGAAUUAGACAGAUGACCAGUUGUUUUGAAGCGCUCGAAGAAGGAUUAAUUACGUCAUUGAAAGCCUCCAAUUUUAUGACUUUUUUUUUAAUUUGUUGUUUUUCUAUUUUUAGAUAGCUUGAUUGUUAGUUGUCGUGACGUAAUGCUUUAGUGUAGAAAAAUGAUAUUCGGCCAAGACAACAUUAGGAGGGCACCUUGUGCAUGCAUACUAGUGGAUAAUUUUGGCAUGCUAAAUCCAGUUAGGGUGGAUGACCUUUUAUAAGCAUUAGGCUUCUCUCAUACCCGAAAACAAUGUAGAAUAUGCUUAUAAGCUGUGGAUCACCCAUUAUAAGUUUUAGGCUUCUCCUAUACUCGAGCGAUGUGGAAUACCUUUAUAAGCAUUAAGCUUCUCCCGGUAUCUUUAUGUUAAAAAUAAUAAUAAUAAAAGAAAUCCAUUUUAAAAUAGACUCUUUUUGCUUUUUCUAUAUAAACAAAUGCAUUCUUCAAAUCAAUUGUGGGCAGAAGAAGUUAGUAGAAAAGAACUAGUCCCCUUUCAUUCCCCCUUAAACCUCACCAAAGCCUCUUUUGUAAGCUUUUCGGAUUUUCUUUCUAUAUUGCUUACGAUCUCAUUUUUGAUUGAAUCACUUCUUUUGCAUGCUGCAUUUUUUGUUUGUUGUAUUUGGAUAUUAUCGUAUUUGGAAUGCUGUUAUGAUUGAUGGAACAAGUAAUCGAUUUUUAGUCUGAUGGAAGUUGACUUAUUUAUUUAUUGUUAUUUUUAUUGAAAUUAUGUACAAUUGCAUUUCAUUCAUUUCUUCCCCCCUAACAUAUUUGUUAUGUAUAAUUGCGUUUCAUUUGAUAUUGAUCAUGCUGUAGAUAACCAUGUGAUUGUAGGAUGGGGAUUUCAAGUUUGUUGAAUAUUCAAGUAAGUGAAGUAACUGUCAAAAUACUAGUGAAAUUGGGAGCUUUAUUCAUGAGCUUGUGGUUUUGAAAAGUACCACAGUUCAACCGAUGAAGGUUCCUUUUUGGGGUUUGUUGAUGCGAGAUUCUGGUUAUGCUCGUCCUACGACCAGGAUAUCUGCUCGAUCAACCUCACCUCGAUCAGGAUCUCUCCUCGUAUGCUUUCUUCUCCAAGUAUCCCUGCGUUCACAGAAACGAGUCAGAGCACGCCGGUUGUUUUCUCGGCGUAAACCCUCCGACGCUCAAGUCAGAUGUGAAGGUUCUGGGAACGCUUGCCACAGAUCUUAUGGCUUUUCUAUAAUCUCAGUUCUUAGAGUUCUCUUUUCUUAGUUCCAAAAUCAAAAAUUCUAAACCUUUUACCUUCGUUGGCUACCUUUUUAUAGGCUUCCUCUGAAUCCAGAUCUUCCGCAGUCCACGCCCGCCAUUCUCCCCACUUUCGGGUGUGGACGCCCCAUUACCGCCAUUGUCGGCGAAUAGAGAUGGACCUCGUGUCUUAAUUCUCGGAUAGGAAUGCACGUCCUGCCAACUGUCGUUGACUGGGUCUCCUCGCCUCGAUGCCUAGCAGGAAUGACCUUAUGCCUCUAAUAGGAGUUCGGCCUCACGAAUGGCAUAUUCGUGGACGAGCAGAAUACUCCUGCUCGUAUUCCCCUGCUACUUGGCUCUUGCAGGAUACCCCUGCUCGCAGAACCCUGCCACCAACCACCUGCUCAUCAUGUUUGGUCGCCUCGAUAUAUUUCCCUCAAACACCGGUCCCCCAGUUUCUGGUGUUGGGUAAUGUAAUGGACCAGCAGUAGAAACUCAACGGUUCUUGCUCGCGUGGGACUGGAGAAGGCUGCCAAGAGUCGUGUCGCAUUUAAUUGCGGACGAGGUGAUGUGGCAGAAAUCUGCCCCUCUAUUUGAAUUUCAAACCAACGGUUACGAGGCCCUUGGGGUUUGGUUCCGUUAAAUGCUGGCAACCUAAGAGUCCGUCCCCUUUAUGAAACCCACCUCCUUUCGUACAACAAAUUCAUCAUCCACUCCGUCUCCGUCUCCGUCUCUCCGGCAAAGAAGUUCCGGCAUAAAGGCCUCCAUCUCUGUCUUUCACCGACUGAAAAAUUACUUCAGGUACUUCUUCUAUCUCCUUGGUCUCGAAUAGUUGUAGAUAAUUUCUCUUCUCUUUUGUUCGGGUAAUAGUUGGUGGUGGCGUUGUGGUUAGCGCUUAGGGAAUGUCGAAAGGUAAAGAGAAGGUCGUUGAGGUUGACGACGAUGAGUUGGACUUCCUGCCUGGUCUGCUCACCGAUCCUGCUUUUGACCCCGGGAUCCCCUUAGAGCCCAUCAGAUCCAGUGUUGGUACUAGCGCUAGGAGGAUGUCUCCCCAAACAACCUCCUCGAGCGGAAAUAACGAUGAAGAGGGGUCUUCUGGAUCGGAGAACACCCCGAGUGAGGGUCGAGGAGAUGAUUCUGGUGAGGUGUCCCCAUCAGGAGCGUCGCGACCAGAAGAGAGGAGUACAAUAGGAGGUAGAGCCCUAUCGCGGGAUUACGCUAUUGAUUAUAUGACGUGCACGACCACGUUUGAUGAGCUCGAUGACCUCCGGCUUAGGUAUAGUAUUCCUGGUGAAAUACCUCUUAAGGUCCCAGGAAAGAAGGAUGCUCCUAGCCGGCCUCCUAGGGGAUAUGUUACCCUAUAUCUGGAUAGCUUUAAGUAUGGGCUGAGGUGUCCCUUGCAACCUUACUUUGCCCGGAUACUUGACGGGCUGAAUCUAUCUCCUGGUCAGUUGAACCCAAACGGUUGGAGAGUGCUCUCUGGUCUGUUCAUAUUGUGGGACAGAUGUUGCCAAAGCGAGCCCACAAUUGAUGAGGUGAAGCACCUGUACCAGCUAAAGAGCAGCCCCAAAGAUGCCGGCUGGUACUACUUCCAAUCUAGCACCAAGACCAGGAAACCUAUAACCGACCUCCCUUCUGGUGGUGGUGGGAAUUGGAAGAGAAAGUUCUUUUUUGCUGGGGGUCCUUGGGGUCAGGUUGCACAAAUGGACGGGAAGGAUUAUCGGGUCCCACCCCGUUUCACAGUCCCAGGUUGCCUGCUCGCUUGAGAUGUCCUGUAUCCAUAAUUGUUCUUGCUUUAUUGGCUUGUCUCUAACCAAGUGUCUGUUUGUGUUGUAGUUUCUUGGGGUGUUCAUUUCCCGCUCCAACCUGGCCAGCUCAAACAGGUUGAGGCUGUGCUAGUCAAUUCCUGCCCGAGCCGAGAGCUGUUAACUACUUACAACUUGCUCGAGUCUCGUUUGAUACUACCUGGUCAUAAGAUGGAGGACGUUGUGAUUGGGGCUCUGAACAGGAAACGUUCUCGACCUCAAACCACGAAGAGGGACCAGAAUAAGGACGCCCUUACUGCAAAGCGGGCCAACAUCGUGCAGCAGGUCUUUCCCUUGAAGACUUUACCUCCUGCUCCUGCCAAAGUCGGGGAAACUAGUGGAGCAGCCACCGAUCCUGCUUCUUCUUCUCCUCCUGUCGGGCCGCGAUCUCGCUUACCUGAUAGCCGAGCAGAACACUUGGUCCUCUAUCUCAAUGAGUUAUCUAAGCUCGUGAGCAAGAAGGACCUGGAGGACUUUGAUGGCUGCACUCUGGGCGAGCUGGUGGGAGCCAUGCAGUAUAGUGCUUUCCAUCUCAGUUGCAUGACCACCUACUAUAAGGCCAAGGUUGGCCGUUAUGACAGGAAGAUGAAGGAGGACAUUCAGUCGGCGACGACCAGAGCUGACGUUGCUGAGAAGAAAGCAGGGGACUUAAACCUCGAGAAUCUCAAGUUGAUUGAGCGAGAAUCUCUUGCUCAAGCCAAGGCUAUUACUCUCGAGGAAGAGCUGGCCAAGGUCAAGGAAGAUCUGCAGAGGCAGAAAGCUAUGUACGAGGCUCAGCUCGAAUCUCUCCGUGAUUCCCACCGGGUUCAGGUCGAGAACUUAGAGAAGGAGGCUGACAACCAGUACGACCAGGGACUUCGGCAUUCCUAUCGUUGCAUCAUGGCCGUCCUCGGGAAGCAACACCCUGAUCUAAAGAUGGAUGACCUUGCAGUUGGUGUUGCUCAACAUAUGGAUGAGGAGGCGGCCGAGGAAGAUGCUGAAGGGGUAGAGCCGAUCGUGAUUGAGGAGGAAACCUCUCCUCCUCGUGCAGUCCCUGCUGCUGUUGGCGAGGCGAGCACCCCCCCGGACGCAACUGGUGAUACCCCCCCUGCACCUGAGGAGGUCCAGACAACCGAUGCUGCUCGGCUUACUGAUCCACCAUCUUCUUAAUAUAUUUCUUGUACUGUAAUGAACAAUUUUUGUGACGAUUAUCUCUUCUGUUAAUUACUAACAAUUAAUAAAGAUGUUUUUUAUUACUUUCUUAUGUUGUAAUCACGGCUUAUUUUCCGUUUGAGAAUCUGCUCGUCCUUGUCCGGUCGAGCAAGUUCUGGCUUGGCAUAUGGUUUUGCCACAUGCCUUAGAAAAUUCUUCGAUGUUCGAGAUUCUGCUCGCCUUCGCGCGAUCGAGCAGACCCUUCCACGCUUGACUUCAUUCUCGCCAUAAACAGGCUUUGAGACUUGACGAGCCUUUGCAUGCCUUAGAAAUUUUUUCGAUGCUUGGGGAUUCUACUCGCCUUCGCGUGGUCGAGCAGAUCCUGGCACGCUUGGCUUCUGUCUCGCCAUAAACAGGCUUUGAGACUUGACGAGCCUUUGCAUGCCUUAGAAAUUUUUUCGAUGCUUGGGGAUUCUGCUCGCCUUCGCGUGGUCGAGCAGAUCCUGGCACGCUUGGCUUCUGUCUCGCCAUAAACAGGCUUUGAGACUUGAUGAGCCUUUACAUGCCUUUGAUUCUUCAAGGACUGGGAUUCUGCUCGCCUUCUCGUGGUCGAGCAGAUCCUGGCACGCUUGGCUUCUGUCUCGCCAUAAAUAGGCUUUGAGACUUGAUGAGCCUUUGCAUGCCUUUGAUUCUUCAAGGACUGGGAUUCUGCUCGCCUUCUCGUGGUCAAGCAGAUCCUGGCACGCUUGGCUUCUGUCUCGCCAUAAAACAGGCUUUGAGACUUGAUGAGCCUUUGCAUGCCUUUGAUUCUUCAAGGACUGGGAUUCUGCUCGCCUUCUCGUGGUCAAGCAGAUCCUGGCACGCUUGGCUUCUGUCUCGCCAUAAAACAGGUUUGAGACUUGAUGAGCCUUUGCAUGCCUUUGAUUCUUCAAGGACUGGGAUUCUGCUCGCCUUCUCGUGGUCAAGCAGAUCCUGGCACGCUUGGCUUCUGUCUCGCCAUAAAACAGGCUUUGAGACUUGAUGAGCCUUUGCAUGUCUUUGAUUCUUCAAGGACUGGGAUUCUGCUCGCCUUCUCGUGGUCGAGCAGAUCCUGGCACGCUUGGCUUCUGUCUCGCCAUAAACAGGCUUUGAGACUUGAUGAGCCUUUGCAUGCCUUUGAUUCUUCAAGGACUGGGAUUCUGCUCGCCUUCUCGUAGUUGAGCAGAUCCUGGCACGCUUGGCUUCUGUCUCGCCAUAAAACAGGCUUUGAGACUUGAUGAGCCUUUGCAUGCCUUAGAAAAUUUUCACAGUUUCAAGCGAAUGAAAUUCCUCAUUGAUUUAUUAUUGAGUUCGGCUUACAUGAGGUUGCUUUGAAAUAAGAAAUCAAAAAUAGAAAACAACGGACACGAACAGAAAAAAAAAACUUUAAAACAUGAAUAAGUCUUACUAGAAAUAUUUCCUGAGGUGUGCCGCGCUCCAGGGGCGUUUCACCUCGUGGCCCUCCGUGCGAACCAACUUGUAAACUCCGGGUCCAACUAGCUGCCAUUCCCGGCUUCCACUCGGGUAUCAAGGUAUGUUAUCUGCAUUGCUUCCCUUGCUGCCGAGGAGUAACAGCUUCGUGCGAUUCUCUGGUCUCCUCGUACCACUCCAACUACCCCAUUCACCCGGUACUUGAGAGCCAGAUAAUGGUUGGACAGCACCGCUUUGCUGAUCCUCAGAAAUGGCCGGCCUAGGAUCAUCUGAUAAGGACCUUCCUCAUCCACUACCACAAAGUCCAGUAUCAUUGUCCUUUCUGUCGGGGAGCUCCCAAUCGUGAUAGGCAGCUCGACCACGCCCAGAGGGACCAGCUUUCCUCCUCCAAACCCCUUCAAGGAGGUAUUGGUGUACUCCAACUUCCGGUCUGCUAUUCCCAUCUCUUCCAAGGUUGACUUAAAUAACACAUCAACUGAACUCCCUGUAUCAACCAGUAUCCGGUCACACUUCUUGCUAGCGACAGUAGCCUUGAUGACUAAAGCAUCCUCGUGGGGGUAUAGAAUUCCUUCCUCAUCUUCAUCCGUCCACAUGAUUGGCACUUGCCUGACCCUUGCUCGUUUGGCUGCUGGGGUGUUGAAGAAUACCUCUUUACUAGUCAUGGCGUAUCUAGCAUAGUUCUUCCUAGAUCUGUUGGAAUCUCCAGCCAAUGUCGGGCCCCCAGCAAUCACCCUUACUGUAGGCUGCUCGUGCCUCAAAUUUCUGCCACUCUGGUCCCCUUCACAUGUCGAGGCCACCAUCGGGAAAGUCCCAUCUACAAACUCGUCCAGGUACCGAUUUCUCACCAAAUCUUCAACUUGGGUCUUGAGAUCUUUGCAUUCUGCGGUGGUAUGGCCAUGAGUGCCAUGGAACUUACAAUGACGUCCCCUAUCCCUCCUGCCGGGUAGCUUUGUUAUUGGGGCAGGGAGGUACAUCGAUCCUUGGUCCUUUAUGGCCUCGUAUACUUCGUCCAGGGACAUCUUCAAGGAAGUGUAUCGCCCAUACUCCUGGUUCUGGUCAAUCAGGUGCACUGCUCUUUCUCUGUUUGCUCCGUUCUGAGUUGGGUGCGGUGGCAGUACCUCUGGUCUGCUCCCUCUGCUACCGUGGGAGUGUUGAUGACCACCAUAUGAUGAAUCGUGCCUUCUCCAAGGCUCCCUAGCUGGGGAGCGAGGAGGCUGCGCCCUGCUGCGCUGAUACUGUGGUGGCCUCUGAUGAGGCUGGUAAGCAAUUACCCGACCUCCUGCUCCACUAUCCGAGGCCUGGUGGUCCCUCCUCCUGAUCGGCCCAUUCCCCGGUAAUGCUUUCUUCUCUUUCCUCCCCAACCCUUCUAACUGGUCUAUCUUAAUGCGUGCUGCCUUCUCCUCUUCGAUCUCAAUAUCUCUCUUAGCCUGCUCGUAUGCGGCCGCAUACGUCUGGAUAGCUGGGCUUCUCAAGUUGUACCACAGCCUUCCUAUCUUCACUCCUUCUUUCAAUCCCCUUAACGCCUGAGGGUGGUUGAAGGCUCCCAAGUCGAGGACAGCACGAUGAAACCUCUUGAUGAAUUCCCGAAGGGUUUCUUGCUCCCCUUGUUUCAUGCUUUUCAGCUCCAUCAUGUCAUCUUCUGGUGCCAUUGCCCCACUAAAUUGCUCUGCGAAUUCCUGGCACAUCUGCUCGAAGGUUUUAAUGCUGCCCCGAGGAAGUUUCCUGUACCACUCGCGUGCACAUCCCUCCAGGGAUAGUGGGAACACCCUGCACCUUUGAGGCUGAGAUAAUCCUUGUACCCCCGUUAUGUCAUUGAAGCGUUCUAUGUGCACCAGCGGAUCAGUUCGUCCCGAAUAUCUAAGGUCCGGGAGACGGAAAUCUCUCGGAAUAACUGCCCUCAUGAUAUCUGCUGCGAGCGGUGACUCUCCGUCCAGCAUUAUCCUCCAACCAGGAGCUCUGCUCCUUCCUUGCAUAUCGUCAAUUAUCUGCGCUAGUCUGCGCACUUCCUCCUCCAGCUGCACCGCACGACCAGGGUCACGUGCUGUAACUUGAUCCCUCUCUUGCUCUACAUCAUGCAAGUGUUGCCUCAACUCUGUUUCUUUUGCAUUCGCCACCCCAUCGUCCUCGUAAAAAAUCUGUCUUGCCGGGGAUUGCUCUUCGUCUCUAUGGAAUUCUCCCCGCAGAGGUAUGUUACCUCUCUCACCACCAAGUCUCCCGGUGGUUUGACUUCUCCUUGUACCAUCGGGACCUGGUGCCACUCCACCACCUCUCACCAUUUCCUCCUGAGUUACCCUUCGUUCACUCCGCAACUCAUGCAUGAUGGUUGUCAAGGUCUCCAUCUGCUUUUCCAUCCGUUCCAUUCGGUCGAACAUGGCUUUUUCCCUGGCUUCGCUGGCUAUCUCCCUCAGCAUCACGGAAUCGUUCAGCCUCAUAUCACCCCCUUGUGCACUACUUCCUCCUGUCUCCAUUACUUUUCACUUGCUUCACUCCUCUUCUUGCUAUCAACAUAAGCUUUUUGCUCAGUUCCCCACAGACGGCGCCAAAAUAUUGAUGCGAGAUUCUGGUUAUGCUCGUCCUACGACCAGGAUAUCUGCUCGAUCAACCUCACCUCGAUCAGGAUCUCUCCUCGUAUGCUUUCUUCUCCAAGUAUCCCUGCGUUCACAGAAACGAGUCAGAGCACGCCGGUUGUUUUCCCGGCGUAAACCCUCCGACGCUCAAGUCAGAUGUGAAGGUUCUGGGAAUGCUUGCCACAGAUCUUAUGGCUUUUCUAUAAUCUCAGUUCUUAGAGUUCUCUUUUCUUAGUUCCAAAAUCAAAAAUUCUAAACCUUUUACCUUCGUUGGCUACCUUUUUAUAGGCUUCCUCUGAAUCCAGAUCUUCCACAGUCCACGCCCGCCAUUCUCCCCACUCUCGGGUGUGGACGCCCCAUUACCGCCAUUGUCGGCGAAUAGAGAUGGACCUCGUGUCUUAAUUCUCGGAUAGGAAUGCACGUCCUGCCAACUGUCGUUGACUGGGUCUCCUCGCCUCGAUGCCUAGCAGGAAUGACUUUAUGCCUCUAAUAGGAGUUCGGCCUCAUGAAUGGCAUAUUCGUGGACGAGCAAAAUACUCCUGCUCGUAUUCCCCUGCUACUUGGCUCUUGUAGGAUACCCCUGCUCGCAGAACCCUGCCACCAACCACCUGCUCAUCAUGUUUGGUCGCCUCGAUAUAUUUCCCUCAAACAGGGUUCUUCUUUUUCUAGGCUGCAAUUAGGAUAUGUACAUGUUAGACAAUCUUUUGUGGGUUUAGCAUAUCUUCUCUGAUUUUGUCUUUUAUUCCCCAAUCUUGUAAUUACACACCAUGAAUGUUGAGUGAUUGUAUAGAUAAUUUAUGUUAGAACCAAAGCAUUGUGAAGGAGUUAAGUUAGUGGCUUCUGUUUUUUUGGCAUUGAUUGGGUAGAUUAUGUGUUACAGUGAUUCAAUUUGUGAUCCAAACUUUGCUUUAAUUUCUGUUUUCCCUAAUUAUUUAUGUCAAAUUUAAAUCCAGAAGCAUGUGCUGAUUUUUUCUUUUUGUAUUAAUCUGUGAAGUUUAUUUGGAAUGGAAGUAUCUGGGUUGGGUCUAACGGAUUAAAUUAUGACAUUGGGGGGAAGGCAGUAAAGGGUUUGCUUGACACAUUUGGUUCUGUGUUUACUUUGCAAGAAAUAGCUUUUGGUUCUCGCAAUGCUGGGGGAAAUCCCGAUUUGGCCAGUGAAUUUCUUUGUGACAAAUAGGCGAACACAUCAACCUCUUCUAUCCAUCCUUCUACUCGUAAGGCAAGGGGUAAAGAGUCUUCAAAAUCAUCAAAUAGUAACAUCUCUGAGAAUUCAUUUUAUGCAAAUGGAAAAUCUUGACCUUCUAAGACAAAAUGGCGUCCUGUAUCAGGAGGUACCGUUUCAAGUUUUCUUGGUAAAAAUUAUGUUAAACCUGCACAGCCAGCUAAUGGCACAUUUCUAGUAUCAAAGCCAUUGAAGUUGGAUCCAAAGGGGUUUCCCAUGUCUCCACUUUUGUGGAGAAGAUACUAAACUGAAACAAUCAAAGGAUGACCAUUUGCAGAAGGAUAUUGAAGAUUUUCUGUUUAAAUUGCUAGGAGAAGUGUUCCAAUUUAAUACAUAUUGUCCUUUUCAAUGUUCUUUCUUUCUUUCUCUUCUUUUCUUCUUCUUCUUCUUUUUUCUUUUUGUGUGCGUGUGAUCACUAAUUUGGUAUUGUAGUUAAGUUGCAGAUAGUUGUGGAUAUGAUAUGCAAAAGGCAAGGACUAUAUCUUCCUGAUGGAGGCCUCUGCUUUUUCCUUUAUGUGUAAUUUAAUAAAUUGCAUCUUCCUUUCCGAUUGUUAGAUCAUAUCAAAGACAAGUCUUAAAUACUGCUGUCAUAUGUUAAGGUUCAACUUGCAGUUUGAUUAACAUUCAUGGCUCAAAGGCCUGCAAAAACUUGCCAGUAAUUGUAAAAUGACAUUCUUUGCUUUUAAUGCAAUAGAGGGAACAGGGAAGUAUAGCUUUGGAAGCCUGGAUUGGUAACUAUAGAGAGACUUAGUAUUUAAUUGAUAAAAAUUCCCAUAACCCAAGGGUCAAGAAAAUUUUAGAUCGUUAAAGACUUCAUUUUGUUUCGGCCAGAAAUGUUUGUUUCGAUCGAAGACUUGAACCAUUUUCAUUGAACCUGAUUAUGAUGCUUUACGUUAUGCAUGUUCCUCUUAAUCAAGAAAAGUUGAGGUGAUGAUUUUAUAUUUCUAUAUUGUAAGUUGAAAUAAUAAUUGGUCUGCUUGUUUCUGUAGCUUGAUAACAUGAAUUUUCCUUCUCAAGUUAAUUUAAUCAAUAAAGUAAUUCUUCAAAGAAAAUAUGCCCAUUCUAUAAUCAUUUUCUUAACUAACAUGUUUUUUUCUUCACUCUUCAGAGCAUGUUGAAACUAAUUGUUUCGGCAGAGACUUUGGGUGAGAAGACAAAAUUUCUCGGUAAAUCCUCUGAAAAGGUAUGCAUAAUUCCGGAGUAUUAAAUAACCAAUGGUCAUAAUUUUUGUACAGGACUCUUUUCUUGUGGAGAUGAUUAAAAGUGGCUGAUGAUCCAGUUUGUAUAUCAUAGAGAGCAUCAAUUCCUUUUCUUUUCAGUGGCUAGGCAACACUUUCAGGGCAAAGUAAGGAAAUCUAUUUUAGGCAAUGUAAAAACCAAUGGUAGGAUGUAAUAGUUUAACAUGCACUGACAAUAACUUUUUGUAUAAUUGUCAGUUGAACGAAUACAAGAGGAACUCUGUUGACAAUUCAUCCAAGAUAGAUGCUAAAAUUAUUUAUGCAUGCCAGUUGCCUUAACUAAUUUUUCUUGACACUGGUAUUGAAGAGGAAAAUGGAUAUGCAAUUUGUAUAUUGUGCCAUGUGGAGAAUUUGGAUAUUCCUAUCUAAGUAACAAGGAGAGUAUUUGCCUCAUCUUUAGACAAUGAAUCUUUGAGAAAUUAGGAGUGGGUGAUUGGCAGUGUCUUCAUGUAAAUGUUCAUUUGUUUGUAUUUUGAACUAUUAUGAGAAUCUUUUAUAUGCCAAAUUAGUAAUGCAAAUGUUCAGAUUAUUUUUUCUGUUGAUCGUGCAUUUGUGUCUGCAAACAACCAUUGUAUAUCACUUCAUUCUGAUGUGCAAGUCUCUGUAGUUUAGAAGAAAAGAAAUAAUAAUGAUAUAUUAUUGCUUGAUUCAUGAUUAUUAAAUGAUUAUGGCUUUAAAAAGCCUACAAAUUCCUUCUGUUGAUAUAUGAAUGUACCAAGUUUGCUAUAUCUUAGAUUACCAUUUCCAAGAUUACAAGUUCAAAUUUUUUCUUUAUCCUUUUCCAUCACAGUUGCAUUUUAAGUGUAAGAUUUGUUAUUAAUACCUGGUUUCCCGUCAUUAUGAUUUCAUAAACAGUGUAUGGGUAUGUGCUCUACUUUUGGAGGGCCUCCACGUGAAAGAAAAAUUGCAACAAUUGAAUUCUUCCAGAUUGUAUGGUAUUUAAUUUAUUUUCUCAACCUCUUGUAAGACUAAUAUAUUUUCCUUCAGUAGACACGGCAUGGUGGGAAGGGUUUUUUAUUGAAAGAAUUCUGAUAUUUCUUAGACUUUGUUUUGGAAGGGGGUGCAGGGGUUUCUCAUCCAUAUAUGGUUACUUGAUUAGCUUUUGACUGUAUUGCCUUAAUCAUGCAAAGGAAGAUCCAAAUACAAACGAAGGAGAAUUGUUUAGACACCCAGAAGAUGGAAAUGAACUACAGAAGGAAGUUUUUGCUGCUUUAUUUAGUGCUCCUGAGAAAUCUGAUGAAUUUCCUGAAAUUACGGUGAAGACCAAGUGUGAGGUCCAAAGCAUUAGGAAAGGUGGUGAGUGAACUGCCGGAGGAAUUGGUACAGAAUACAAGGCUAAUGUGGUGGACUUGCAGCAAGAUAACCGAAACAGUCCGUGCUCUUAUAUUAACUAUAUUGACUGGAUUUGCUAGUGUGUAUAUUUUUGUGUGUAUACUCACUUUUGUAUUUAUGCAUAUUAACGUGUGUAGGAUUCUUGAUUUCUGCCACUUACUGGAGAACUAGUGGAAAGCUUUAUACUGAUAUAUGUGCUAUAACUAAUGGAAACUAUGAUAUUAAUAUUUUCUCUCGCUUGGAGAACUGCAUAACAUAUAUACUUUGUGGCUCUGGAAUACUAAAGAUUCUGCAAUAACUAAUGGAAACUAUGAUAUGAAUAUUUUCUCUCACCUGGAGAACUUUGUAACAGUUACACUUUGGGGCUUGGAAUGUCUAAAGAAUUUUGUCUGCUUCAGUUAGAUCAAAUAUCUUUUAGUUGCAUACAUUAUAGAAAAGAUAAAGUUCUCUGAAUCUGAACGACUUAAAAUUUUGCGCAUUUCUUGAAAGGGAAAUAUCUGUAGAUACUAGUUCAUGCAUUGUGGUAGCAUCAGUGUUAAAGAAAAACAGCAGUAAGUUAUUAUAUAGAAUUAGGUUGACUUGCUUUAAAUCCUGGUCUGGUCAACCAUAUGAACCUGUAAGUGGUUCUGUAGAAAUAUAUAUAUAUACGGGGAGAAAGUAGCUAAAUUUUCCUUUCAUUUAUGGGUUUGGUCAUUUUUUCCCCUUAUUUAUGUUUUCUCACACAUUUUUUAAAUGCCCCAGACAUGCAAUUUUGUAUGUGUCAAUUGCCUUUUAAGUUUUAAAAACCAUAAAGUAAGAAUACAGUUUCUUGUCAGGCUAUUGAUGCAUUUGCUCGGGGGGAUCAUGCUCGAGCAGGAAAACUUCUAGAACAGGUAAGGUUUCCAUCUACAGCCAUUUAUUGACAACAUAUAUAUUUUCAUUCAGCAAGCACUGUUAGCAUUCAAGAUGCUGGCAGAUUCACUUGAUUCUUAUUAGUUUGUUUAGUAGCAAAGCAUAUAACCUGUAUUUCAAAGCUAAGUUGUGCUAUUGAUUAUGUUAACUUUAUUGUUCACAUAAAGUGAUAUAGAGGAAAUAAUCAAUGUAGGAAAAUUAGGUGAAGAGAUGAUGUCAAAUCUUGAACCUCUUACAAAACUCUAAGCUCUUUACUUGAAGAAGCUACCAAAUUCGAACAGCAUGUACUGGAAGGCCUUGCCAUUCCCUGAUGCAUGCAGAAUUUUUGUAUUUAAAUGCCCAGAGCUUAAGAAGCUGCCACUGGAUCUUGAAAGGGCAGGCCAAGGUAAAAUUCUUAUGAAGGGAAAGAAAGAUUGGUGGAAACAAACUUCAAUGGGAGGAUCAAGUAACUCAGAAUGCAUUGCUUCCAUUUUUAAAAUCAACCAACAAGUGAUUGAAGGGGGCAUCAUCAACAUGGAUGGAGAGAUUCUGGAGCAGAUCAGCGGGGUUUAGUACGACCUGUGGUGGUUGCUUUUUUGUGACUUUUUUCCCUUUCAUUUUUUCACUCCCUGUCAUAUUAUCAUUUCUUUGUCUCUGUUUCUAUUGCUGGUGUUGCUGCAUGCUUGCUGUCCUUGACAAAGUUAGCUAGUUUUUUUGUUUAUUAAAUUUUGUAUGUUCGGGACAGUCACAAAGUACUACUUGUUCUAUAAGGGGGUGAUGUGAAUCCACUUUUCAAUUAUAUAUUCUGUGGUAAUUGUGAAUUCAAUUCAUUUGUCUCCAGCAAAUUAUGAAGAAAGUGCAGAGUUACAAUAUGGAAAAGUUCACUGGCAAAUACUUUGUAAAAGCUUCGGAGUGAAACAGGGAAUGCACUGGCAACUAAGGACAAAUUGGUGGCCAGCUAAUGCAUUCAUUUUAUGUACAUUCCUCUUUUUAAUUAUUGAAGAUAAGUGGUUCGUUGCUUUUGUUGUAGAUAAAAUUCAGACGACCUCAAUUGUGAGAUGACAAUAUUUAAAAUAUCUCUUAAAUUAUUAUAAACUUUAAUUUAUCUUAAUUUUAUUUAAAAGAUAAAAGAAAAAUGUGGUAUAUGGAUAAAUUUUUUUUUAUCUUCUUAAUAAAAUGAAAUAAAUUAAAAUUUAUAAUAAUUUAUAAUAUUUUAAAAAUUAUUAUUUCAUAAGAGAUUAAUAUGAAAUUAAUCCUUUUUACUUUUUGAAUGUGAAAGGACAGGAAAAGAGAAAGCAAGUGUCACUGCUUUUUAUUUUAUUUGAAAUCGGAGUUAUCCCAUAUACUUUACUACUUUAGCUCUAACAUUACAAUGUUUUUAGGCUACACUUUUAUUUUUCUUUUUCCCCCUUUUUUUAUACAUGCAUGUGGAUUACUUUCCUCUAAGCGCCUUAAUAUUUAAGACAAAUCAUAAAAGCGAUUGAAGUAUAACCAGAUGAUCAAAACAUUUAACCCAAAAAAAAAAAGAAAUAAAACAUUGAAAAUGGAGAUGUUGAUUAAUUUAGAAGAGAUGCAAGUAAAAGAUAUUCCCAAAAAAAAGAAAAAAAGAAAAAAGCAACGUUAGUUCAUCCAUGUCUGUCAAUGCGUUUUUUAUGGUUUUUUUUCCAGUUGUUUGUUGUAAUAGAUUGAUUGUAAAUUGAUAUGAACUUGAUGUUGUAAUAUGUUCCCUUUUGUGGAAUUAAAUUUGAAUAUUCAAGAUUAUUCAAGUCUUAUUUAGUAUGUGUUUAGUUGUGUUGUCGAUAACUUUGCAUUCGAAUAAGUUUUCACCUAAAAUAUUAGCAUGAGUAGUAGUCCUUGAAACUUUGGUCAAAAUUAUUGUUAUUGUUUCUUUUAGAGGAAAUUUUUUUAUUAAAGCCUCGUUAACACUAUUUCUUAUUAAGAUUAUAAGUUAGUGUCGGUGUAGGAUUUGCAACGACAAAUCCUGUCUAGCCACGUGUCAAAAGUACAAAUAAAUCAAGGGAAAGCACAUGUCGCGGAUUAGGAUCCAAUAAAAUUUAAAUCCCAAGGAAAAGGACAACUGUAUCCUAAAGUUUCAAUAAGAGAUACUGAUAUAUCUUUUGACUAAUGUUAUUUUUUGGCUUCAUUAAUAAAAAGAUCCAAUAGUUUAUAACAAAUAAAAAUAUAGCAUUAAGCUAAAUGUGAUAAUAUAUACAUUUUACAUAAUUUCAAUAAAAAAACAUUUUAAUGUUUUACGAUCUAUCAGACAUAUUUUAUUAAAUUAAUAGGAAUUUUCUGAUAAAUAGCAACAUAAUAUUAAAAUAAAUUUAUAAAGAUUUAAAUGUAAAAUAAUUUUAGUAUAAUUAAUACAUGGGAUAUAUUUUGUAAAUUAUAAAAUUACUUAACCCAAUGAUUUUUAAAAAUCUUUAAAAUAAAUAAAAAUAAAUUAUUCACAUUUUGAUGUAAAUAUUUAAAACAUUUUUAUACAUUAGUCCACAAUUAUUUAUGUUAUAUUUGUAUUUAUUAGAAAUUUUGAAAGUGAAAUGUUUUUCACCUCUAUCUUAUUAGAAUUAUUGCACACAGAGAAAGAGCCAUAUAUGCUUUAUAGCUUUAAAAUCGGUUUGUUUUAUAGCUGGGAACAGAGAUGAUCAUUAUUAUAAGGAUUAAAAAAAGAUAAAGAAUAUUAAUGAUUAACGAAAUCUUUAUGGAAAUUGAAUUUAGUAAGAAAAAAUUGAGCUGAUUUUAGUGGUAUAGUCAUAUUUUAUAUAGAGAAAAGUAAAAGUUGCACCCCGAAAUGUUCAAAACUCUUUUUUAAUAAUAAUAUCCUUUUUUCUAGAUAACUUAAAAAUUUGACUCUAAUAUUUUAUAAUAAAUAAAAACAUAUAAUCCUAAAAUAAAUAAAAUAAUAUAUAUUUUAAAAUAAUCUCAAUAUUUAAAAUAUAUUUUAACAUUUUAUAGUCUAUCAUAUAUAUUUUAUUUUUUUAAAGUAAAUUUUAUAAUAAAUACCAACAUACUAUUAAAAAAGAUAUAUAAAAAAUUUAAAAUAUUUUGAAUAUUAUAUAAAAUAACUUUAAUAUUGUUAAUAUGUGAGAUAUAUUUUAUUAAUUAAAAAUUCUAUUUAACCCAAAGAUUUAUUUAAGAUAAAUUAAUAAUUAUAUUUUUGAAAUUAUUUCAAAUAUUAAAAAAUAUUUUAAUAUUACUAACUAUUAGAUAGACUAAACUAUUUAUAUUAUUUUAUAUUUAUUAUAAAAUUUCAAAGUUAAUCUUUUUAACUACUAUUCAAAAGAUAUUAUGAUAAAAACAGAAUUUUUGUGUUUUUAUUGACAAUUUGGAGUUUACAUCUAUUUUUUUCAAAUAUUCGGGGUGUAAAUGUUUUUUCCCUUUUAUAUAUACGAACGGUGGUGAGAAAGCUUGAUUUAACGUUAUUUAUUUAAAUAAAAUCUCAGUUAAAAAUGUACAGAGAAGAAAUUUCUGUUGGUAUUUUAGUCUUUUACCAAUUAUCACGAUUAGGCCUUGGCCUUGAAACAUUAAUUGUUUCACUUUUAGCGCUAGUGGCGUUGAAAGUUGUCAAGAAAAAAGCAAGACCAUAUUCCACAAAAGCAAAAGUAACGUUGGCUCUUUUAUUAAAGGCAAAGUAUAAAGUAGUCAAGAAUCGAAUAUCCUGUCGUCUACUCUUUUUUAAAUUCUUCUUUUAUUAUCUUUUAGAAUAGUUUUUGGUAAUUACAAUCAUUAUUCAGAGUUAUUGUUAUCUUCCGGGGCAGUCUCUGUUCAUCGAACUCGUUACCCUUUUUUAUAGAUUAGUUCCAGUGGUCAGCAGUAAUUUUCUUAGAACUCGGAUCUUUAAUUCGAGUUUCUGUGUGAAUUAAUAAUAAAAAAUUUCAUUACACGCAAUUUAAGCUACGAAUUACUUUUUGCAAAGUUGAAUAUGAAAUUGGAGAAAUUAAGUAAUUUAGAAUGUUGGUAAAAAUUGACGAACAUAUCUCCAAUUACAGUAAAACCUCUCUACAGUCAUAACAUUAUAAUAAAAUUAAUUUUAUUACUAUGUUGAGGUAAUAUAGGUUUAGUUACAAAAUUAUUGUUUUAAUAUGGUUAGUGUCAAGUGAUAUAAAGGUUAAGUAUGUAGUACAUUGAUAAUUAAAUAAUGAAGCGUGUCAAAUCUAAUGUAUAUAUAUAUAUAUAUAUAUAUAUAUUUUUUUUUUUUUGGUUUUGACCACGAGGUAUCCUGGGGAGGGCCCCAACUGUGGGAGACACCUUUAAGCCCGUACCACAACCCAGACUAGAAGUCCUCACUCGAAUCGAGAGGCACAGGUUCUCCCAACAAAGGCGACUUCCCUACGACUCGAACUGGGGAGCAAACCCAGUCAAGCCACUUAAGGGGACUCCAUUGCCAGUGGAGCCAACACUUUGUUGGUUAUAUAUAUUAAUGAUAUAGAUAGACAUAGUUUUAAAAAACUAAUUAAUGUAUAUUUAUGUAGUGUUAUGAAUAUGGAAAGUCAAGCCUACACUUUACAUUAUCCUUAAUUUUUUCUCUCAGUUAAAUUCUACAAAAAUUUUACAAUGAUUGGGCAAGAACUCUAAAUUAAGAAUAAAUUAUUGUCACAAAUAAUUUUAGAAAAUAUUUUAUUUCGUCUUAAACCUUUAAUGUAAGUAAACAUAUAUAUAUAUAUAUAUAUAUAUAUAUAUAUAUAUAUAUAUAUAUAUAUAUAUAUAUAUAUGUGCAUAUUUUGCAACGUAUAGAUAAUUGUUAGUAUAUGGAGACAAGUCUUUUAAGGUAGGACCUAGGAAAAUUUAUAACUUACUACACUGGGGAGUUUUUAUUCCUUUUUAUAAUUGGCUCAUAUUGAUACAUUCUUACACAAAAUAUUACCACUGACAUAUUUUAUUACAAUUAGUUUAGAACAUUUGUUAGGAAAAAAAAAGAAAAGAAAACAUCCCUUGGAUGUAGCUCUCCUGAUUAUUUAAAUCUUUUAAGGAAAAAAAGAAAAAAGAAAAACUAACACAUUCAAAUCUUGAAGCAAUUACAUUAAAACCUCUCCAUAAUGAUAGGAAUAAUCUCCAUUUAGUAAUAAAAAAUUUUGUUCGCAAUUUAGGCAUAGUUAUAAAUAAGAAUAAAAUCCUCAUUGUAAUAAGUUAUAUUUAUUAUGGAUCCCAUCCUAAGGAACUUGUCUCUAUAUAGUAAUAAUUAUUUGAAUAUUAUAAAUAUAUAUGUUGCAUUAGAUUAAAUGAACUUGUCUCCACAUACUACUUAGACAACGAGAGAAAGUUAUUAAAGAGAACACAAAUAUUUAAAGAUUUUUAAGAUUACUUUGUAUAUUUAUAACAAUAAUACAUUGAUAUAUGUAUUAGUUUUUUGAUAUAUUAGAUUUGACAUGCUCUAUUAAUAAAUUAUUAAUACGAUGCAUACUUCAUCUCUAUAUCCUUGCAAUAAAAGUAACUAAGUUAUAACGAUAAUUUUUGUAACUACAUGCUUAUUAGGUUUUAACUACUUCAUAAUAAUAAAUUAGUUUCGUCCUAAUAUUAUAAUUAUGUAGAGUUGUGGUGUAUAGACACACCCAAUUUAAAUAGUAUAUCAAAUAAAAUUGUCCCCACAAAAAAGAAAAAAGGGGUAAAGGAUUGUUAUUUCUUCAAACAUUAGGAUCACGUUUGUACAAGUGCGAUGCCUUUCUUUUGAAGGCAACGUCAGUGGGUACCCAAUAGGACGUGUGUAAAUCUUUCCAAAAUUUCUCCGGUAUAACGGACAGAGAUCAUUACUUUUCUCUUCCAUAGACCACAGCAGCUUCAGUUAAUCAGACUCAAUCAAUUUUCUUGGUUUCUUCGCUUAUCAAAAUUCCAAAGUAUGGGUAGCAUAUUUCAAAUCACAUGCGAUGGUGCUUUUUUCAAUCGUUGCUUGGAUUGCUUUCUUGGAAAAGUAGCAAACACAAGUAAGCUCCAUGAUAACCUUGUUGCCUUGGAGACUGAAUUGGGAAAACUAAUCGCAGCAAAGAACGAUGUGAUGAUGAGGGUUGUCAAUGCUGAACGGCAACAACUGAGAACGCUGGACCAAGUGCAUGUGUGGCUUUCGAGGGUGGAAGCUGUUGAAACUGAAGCUGAUGAAUUGAAAAGACACGGCUCUCAAGAAAUUGACAAAUUAUGUGUUGGAGGCUACUGUUCCAAGAACUGCGCGUCAAGCUACAAGUUCGGGAAACAAGUGGCUAAAAAGCUACGGGAUGUGCGGACUUUAAUCGACGAAGGAGUUUUUGCGGCGGUGGCUACCGAGGUGGUGCCUGAGAGAGCUCCAGAACCUGUAGCAGAUGAAAGACCCACUGAGCCAACAAUAGUAGGCUUGCAAUCACAACUUGAACAAGUUUGGAGAUGUCUUGUAGAAGAAUCAGUGGGAAUCAUUGGCCUAUAUGGUAUGGGCGGUGUUGGUAAAACUACACUAUUGACCCAUAUCAACAAUAAAUUUCUUGAGAGUCCAACCAGUUUUGAUUGUGUGAUUUGGGCCGUAGUUUCAAAGGACUUGCGACUCGAAAAAAUUCAAGAAGAUAUUGGGAAAAAGAUCGGUUUGGUUGAUGAUUCAUGGAAGAGUAAAAGUGUAGAGGAGAAAGCUCUCGACAUCUUCCGGAGUUUAAGAGAGAAGAGAAUUGUAUUGCUGUUAGAUGAUAUAUGGGAGCGGGUUGAUUUAACAAAAGUGGGCAUUCCACUUUCCGGACCAAAAAAUACUACCUCAAAAGUCGUAUUCACAACCCGUUUCGUCGAUGUUUGUGGUAGCAUGGAAGCUGACAAGAAGUUCCAAGUGGCAUGCUUAUCAGAAGAGCAUGCUUGGGAACUGUUUCGAAAAAAAGUUGGGGAAGAAACUCUUGAGAGUGAUCAUGAUAUCGUUGAGCUAGCCCAAACUGUGGCCAAAGAGUGUGGUGGUUUGCCACUCGCACUUAUUACUAUUGGUCGAGCUAUGGCCUUCAAAAAGACAGCCGAGGAGUGGAGUCAUGCAAUUGAUGUGCUAAGAACAUCAGCUUCUGAGUUUGCAGGUUUGGGAGAAAAGGUGUAUCGUCUUUUAAAGUUUAGCUAUGAUAGUUUGCAGAAUGAGACGAUUAGAUCUUGUUUCUUAUAUUGUUGUUUAUAUCCCGAGGAUUAUGGCAUUCUUAAAUGGGACUUGAUUGAUUGUUGGAUUGGUGAGGGAUUCUUAGAGGAAUCUGACAGGUUCAGUGCAGAAAACCAAGGAUACUACAUUGUGGGCACUCUUGUUCAUGCAUGUUUAUUAGAAGAGUUAGAAGGUGAUAAAGUAAAAAUGCAUGACGUUGUUCGUGAUAUGGCUCGAUGGAUAGCUUGUGAAAUUGAGAAGGAGAAGAGAAAAUUUUUGGUUUGUGCAGGUGCUGGAGUAGGAGCGGUACCAGAUGUUGAAGGAUGGGAAAAUGUGAGAAGAUUGUCAUUGAUGCAAAACCAAAUUGAAAUUCUGUCAGAGGUUCCCACAUGCCCUCAUCUCCUCACUUUAUUUCUUGACUUUAAUUAUAAAUUGGAGACGAUCACCGAUGGCUUCUUCCAAUGUAUGCCUUCUCUCAAAGUUUUGAAGAUGUCAAACUGUGGGCAUGUCAAAGUUUUGAAAUUACCUUUUGGGAUGUCAAAGUUGGGUUCACUACAACUUCUUGAUAUUUCACAUACCGGCAUAAGAGAGUUACCAGAAGAGUUAAAGUUGUUGGUAAAUCUGAAAUGUUUGAAUUUGAGGUGGACACAUAUGUUAAAUAAAAUUCCACGGCAGCUAAUAUCAAAUUCUUCAUGGUUACGUGUGUUGAGAAUGUUCGCUAUUGGCUUCGAAAAUUCUAAAGAACCAUCAGAAGACAGCGUUUUAAUUGGUGGGGGUGAAGUUUUAGUACAUGAAUUGCUCGGUUUGAAAUAUUUAGAGGUAUUGGAGUUGACCUUGCGAAGUUAUGAUGCUCUCCAAUUUUUUUUGAGCUCAAAUAAGUUAAAAAGUUGUAUUCGAUCUCUUUUCCUCAUUAAGCUGGGAGAUACAAAGUCGAUUCAUGCUACGGCAUUCGCAGAUCUAAAGCAUCUCAAUGAACUAUGCAUUCGUUCGGCAGUGGAGUUGGAAGAAUUGAAGGUUGAUUAUACAGAGAUUGCGCCAAAAAGGUCGGAACCUUUUGUUUUCCGCAGCCUUCACCGUGUUACUAUGGAGCGGUGCCAUAAAUUGAAAGAUUUGACAUUCCUCGUUUUUGCUCCAAGCCUCAAGUCUCUUUCGCUAUACGGUUGCAAUGCUAUGGAAGAAAUAAUCAGCGUUGGAAAAUUUGCUGAGACUCCUGAGGUGAUGGGACAUAUAAGCCCUUUUGGAAAUCUCCAAACGCUUUAUUUAACUGAUUUGCCAGAGUUGAAAAGCAUCUACUGGAAGCCGUUGCCUUUCACUCAUCUCAAAGAAAUGACGGUACAUGGGUGUAAUCAGCUUAAAAAGCUUCCACUCGAUUCCAACAGUGCAACAGAGCGUAAAUUUGUUAUUCGUGGAUACACACACUGGUGGAACCGUCUUCAAUGGGAGGAUGAAGCCACUCAAAUUGCUUUUCGUUCCUGUUUCCAAUCUCAUGAAAUAUAAAUUCCUGAGCGGUGGUUGCAAAAUUUGAUUUCUAGUGAGUGCUUUUUUCUGAAACUCUUACAUAUAUUCUCGUCGUUUGCUUCGUGCAACAGACUAGGUUUUUAUUUCAGAUUCGUUUUUUGUCUCCUGCAAAUCACAAUUAAAUGUUGAAUUAUAUGGAGUCAAUGCUUUAGAAAAUUUUCAAGGCACUGCCAUUUCCUUUUUCUUUUUUCUUUUUUUGGGGUCGAAUUGAUGCUCUGGCUUUUUUCUUCUUCUUGUCAAAUUUUGCUCUGUUUUUUCAAGUUGAUGAUUGAAUAGUUGAAUUCAAUUAAUGCUCACAUAAAUUUGUUUAGUUGCCGUAAAAGGAUAUAAUUAGACUGAAGUACACACUUCUAGAAUGAAUACAAAAUGUUAAGUAUACUAGCCCUCUUUACAGAAAAUCAAAUGAAAAUCAAUUUUUUGGGGCUUUGAUUUUCUAUGGUCUAUUAUAUACUCUUUUUAAUAUCUUCUGUUCUAACUAUAACCAAAUCCUUUGUUCAAGGAUUUUUAGUUGGGGUAUUGAUAACUGUCCACCAAAAGAGUGAACACUUGGAUGCUGCUCAAGGAUCUCUAAUCAAUAGGUGGAAGCAACUGAGAAGGCGGUCGCUACUGUUUACAAAGCGAUGCAGUAUUCGCCAUUCAUCUUAAUAAUUGUGAAGCUUUGGUAAAAUUUUCAAACAAAGUUGAACAUGCUGUUUUGAGAUUUGGUUCAUGAUUUUCGAUGAAUAUCGUUGUUCCGUUUGAGUUGGAUGUGAAUUCAAAAUCUAUAUAUUCUUUAGUUUUCAAUUCUGAACUCAAUUUCUUUUUCUCAAGCAUGUUAUGCAGAAAUGAUUUUUAUAAUUACUAAAUCAUUUUUGAUGAAUUGUUUAAAUUAAACAAGUGGAAUAAGAAUUGUAAAGGUUUAUCAUAAGCAUGCUAAUAUGAUAAGUUGUUUUAUGAACGAUUAAUUAAUUAAUCAAUUAAUAUUAAAUUAUAUAUUAGUCAAUUAGAUAUGCGUUACAUGUCAUGUUUAAAAACUAUUUAUUUAUAUUUCAAACAAAUUUGACUGGAUGUUGUGUAGGUAAUACUACAUAAUUUCAAAACAAAAAAAGUAACAAAAACAAGUUAAAUUUUGUUUUUAUGAAGAAAAAAUUUAAAAUUUUAUUAAGUAGGUGAAAAUAAUAAAUGGAUUCGUGUAUGGUUUGAGAUUCUUGACAUAAUUAUGAAAUAAGCCGGAUUCAACUUAGUUCAAUUUUGACGCGAUAAGAAGACGACACCACACAAACACACGAUAAGAACCGUUACCUGAGAAGAUUGCCAUCAGGAAUUUUGAAAUUGAUUUCACUACAAUACCUUAAUCUUUCAGAUACUCCCAUCACUGAGCUGCCGGAAGAGCUAAAAGCCUUGGUAAAUCUUAAGUGUUUGAACUGUACACAAAUUAUCUCUCUACAAUUCAAAAACAACUGAUUUGUUACUUUUUCAAUGCUACAUGUUCUGCGAAUAUUGAGUUGUGGUUAUCUUGUUGAAAAAUCAGAAAAUAGAGUUCUAUUUGGUGGUAGUGAAUUGUUGGUUGGGGAGUUGCUUAGUUUAAAACGUUUAAAUGUAUUAAGCAUCACCUUACAAGGUUUUUCUGCUGUCCAAAAACUUAUGAGCUCUCAAAAGUUUCAAAGCUGUACAAAAUGUUUGGAGCUUAUAGACUGUGAUGAUUCAAAGUCUUUUGCCUUGGCAGAGUUGAAGCAUCUCGAAAAACUAGUUUUUCGAAUUGUGGAAGAGUUUAAGUUCUGCUGUGUUGAAGUUGGAAAAGCUCAAGAAUGUUUUCGUUUGAACAGCUUUCACCGAGUUAAUAUAAAGGCUUGUCAUAAAUUGAGGGAUGUGACAUGGCUUGUAUUUGCUCCAAAUCUUAUGGUUAUUCAAAUAGAAAAAUGUAUGCAGAUGGAAGCAAUAAUCAGUGCAAGGAAAUUGGGUGAAAUUCCAGAGAUGAUGGCAGAUCUAAACCCUUUUGCAAAACUCCAAUAUCUUCGCUUCCGAGUUCUUCCAAAAUUAAAAAUCGUCUAUUGGAAUGAGUCACCCUUUCCACAUGUCAGGGAAAUUAUUGUAUCUGAAUGCCCAAUUCUCAAGAAGCUUUCACUCAAUUUUAACAAUGCAAAGGAAUCUAAAAUUGUCAUUAAGGGAGAGGAACACUGGUGGAACGAGCUGCAAAGGGAGGAUGAAGCGACCGUUAAUGCUUUUCUUCCUUAUUUUGGUUCCAUUUGACAGGCAUCAACAUGGAUUUAUAUUUUGCGGUGGACAACUUGUAGUAAGUGCUUUUCCAUUUAUUACAUGUUUAUAUCUAACUUUUGUUUUCCUUUAUGGUUAAAUUUUACUAUAUAUAUGUUGUUAUACGGUGACAUUCUCGCAUCAAUUAUUAGCUUUUUAAUUCUCUUCUCGCAUUAAUUGUCCUUCUGAUCAUGUAGGAUUUGCCGAUGUCAAAGAGUAGUAAAUUGGGAUACAAAUGUAAGAAAUUAGCCAGAUGACAUGUUGUUUUGAAGCUUUCGAAGAAGGACUAAUUAUGUCAUUCAAAGCAUCCAAUUUCGCUACUUUUUUUUUUCAUUUGUUGCUUUUUCUAUUUUUAGAUAGCUUGAUUGUCAGUUGUCGUAAUGUAAUGUUUUAGUGUAGAAAAAUGAUAUUCGGCCAAGACAUCGAUAGUAGGGCACAUUGUGCAUGCACACUAGUGGAUGAUUUCGGCAUGCCGAAUCCAAUUAGUGUGGACAACCCUUUAUAAGCAUCAGGCUUCUCUCAUACCAGAGCAAUGUAGAAUAUGUUUAUAAACUGUGGAUUACCCUUUAUAAGUAUUAGGCUUCUUCUAUACUCGCGCGAUGAAACAAAAUGCAUUCUUCAAAUCAAUAGUGGGUGGAAGAAGUGAGUAGAGAAGAACUAGGCCCCUUUCAUUCCCCUAAAACCUCACCGAAACCUCUCUUGUGAACUUCUCAGAUUCUCUCUCAAUAUUUCUUAUGAUCUCAUUUUUGAUAGAAUCAAUUCUUUUGCAUGCUGCAUUUUGUGUGUCUUUUUUGGGUAAUAUCUUAUCUGGAAUGCUGUUAUGAUCAAUAGAAAAAGUAAUCAAGUUUUGGUUUGACGGAAGUCGAUUUAUUUAUUUACUAUUAUUUUUAUUUGAAAUUUUGUACAAUUGUGUUUCAUUCAUUUCUUUCAUUUUUUUAAAUAUUUAUUAUGUAUUGUUGAUGCUGAAAUCUGCUCGCCCUUUGCCCAAUCAGAUCUUUCCACCAAUGUUUACGUGGCUAGAAGAGAAGGUGUCACUUUCUUCUUGUUUCGACUGUUUGCUCAAGCCGCUGGGGUUGGAAUCACCCUUCCUUCUUUUACUAAACAUGCGUUCACAAAAAUGGAUCAGAGACGCCGGUGGUUUUAUCGGCGUAAACUCUCCGAUGCCUAAGUCAGCACAAGGUGUUUAUGGGAAAACAGUGCAGUUUAGAUUUUGAGAUUGCUUAUAAUUUGCUCAAAGUUUGUAUAGAAGACGGCUUGGUUUCAAUUUGGCAGAGUUUUCCCCCCUCUCAGUUUUUCUGUCCCUUCUCCAUUGGUUUUUCCUUAUUUUUAUAGCCGUUGUCCCACGUUUCCGUUCACCCUUCAUGCCCCCCCUUUUCUCGGGUAGUGGCAACCCCUCAUGGGACUCCAACUGCUAUAUUGUGGGUAAACGUGGGACACUGUGUCUCCCUCUACGAUUUUGGGCACAGCGCAACUGGCGUGAUUUCGUGAGAUCGUGUUCCCGCUCUUUGGGGAAUGGGUAUCUGCUCGGUAUAUGUCUCUGGUCGGUGCAUUCCUCUGGCUGGUACUCGUCUCUGGUUGGCCCAUGUUUGUAGAAGGCUCAUUAUCAGUGUUCUGCUCGUACCAUUUGGCUGAGGUGAUCCCUGCCGAGGUGGGGAUGAUGGCAUGGCUGAGCUGAUGCUCUUAUUUACUUAACAUGUAUAAUUGUGUUUCAGUUGAUAUUGAUCAUACUCUAGAUAACUAUGUGAUUGUAGCUGGGGAUUUUAAGUUUUGUGAAUUCAAGAAACUGUCAAAAUGCUAGUGAAAUUGGGACCUUUAUUCAUAAGCUUGUAGUUUUGAAAAGUAGCCCAGUUCAACUGAUGAAGUUCCUUUUUGGGAUUCUUUUUUUCCUAGGCUGCAAUUCGGAUAUGUACCUGAUAGACAAUCUUUUGUGGGUUUAGCAUAUCUUCUCUGAUUUUGUCUUUUAUUCCUCAAUUUUAUAAUUACACACCAUGAAUGUUGAGUGAUUGUAUAGAAAAUUUGAGUUAUAACCAAAGCAUUGUGAAGGAGUUAAGUUAGUGGCUUCUGUUUUAUUGGCAUUGAUUGGGUAGAUUACGUGUUACAGUGAUUCAAUUUGUGAUCCAAACAUUUUUUUAAUUUCUGUUUUCCCAAAUUAUUUAUGUCAAAUUCAAAACCAGAAGCAUGUGCUGAUUUUUUCUUUUUGUAUUAAUCUGUGAAGUUUAUUUGGAAAGGAAGUAUCUGGGUCUAAUGGAUUAAAUUAUGUAAGUGGCAGAAAUUCCUACACACAUAAAUAUGCAUAAAUACAAGAGUAUACACAAAAAAAUGCACACACUCAUACAUCCAGUCAAUAUAGUUAAUGUAUGAUACCAAUUGUUGGGGAAAAAUUAGGUUUUUAAUUUUUUAUAAAACCUUUUGAAGAUCGCUCUCAUAUAAUAUAUAAGAAUUUGUAUUCUAGAAAUCGUACCUUGAAAAUCCGAGUUGGCUUUUUCCGCUGAAGUGUUUUAGGCUCCUAGAUCACGAUCCGCCACCACCGCUCCUGUUAGAUCACGAUCCGUCACCACCACGCUUGUUAGAUCACGAACAGUCUCCAAUGAUCUUCCAGGUUAUGACUCAGGUUCGAUCUGCACUUGACGUGUAGGCGCCUUUAUCACUACCAAAGCAACUAGCACGAGAAAAUUUUUCUCUCAACAAUAGAGAGAAAAAUCUUUUUCUCUGAUCUGUAUAAAGUGGCUUCUCACUUUUUCUUUAGGGAAAAAUAAGCCUUUUAUAUCACCCUUUAGUGAAAACCCUAGGCUCCAAAUAAAUGAAAAAUAAAACCCACGUUUAUUUGCUUUUUCAAUAGGGGACCCACCUUGUAAAAUAACAUAAGGCCCCUUAUACAAAAGCUAAUUAAAUGGAGCCUCCCACUAAAUGAUAUAUUUAGGCUUUUGACCCAAAUAGCUGGUUAUCUUACUUAUUAGUCCAGUAGUGGUGCAGUCAAUUAAAUGAGCUAACCCGGGGAUCAUUUGGGAACAUACAAUAGUGGCUACAAUAAUUAGGCCUGUAAUUAAACUAGCCCAAUUAUUUAAUUCCAAAUCUACUCCAUUAAAAGAUUGGAACUGACUUCCAUAAUUGUAUGCUCGAAUAAUAAUUCGUCCCAAGCCACAUUGAUUUCUUUACUGCACAAUCCUUUGUACCACAUCGUUAAUUAAAUUGAUAUCUCAACUGUCCAAUCAAUUUAAUAACAUCUUAUUCCUUGAUCCUUACUGGUUUUCUCUAAUGAUCAUUUUCAACAUACUAAAUAUGUUGACACACUCUGGCCAGAGAAUUCUAUGAUCAAGUGCCGAAAACCCAUGAAGAGAUGUGUUGUACAAAUUCUAUAUUGUUAAUCUAUAACUCCAAUACUCAUAAUUGCUCCCACCAAGAUACCGGGUAAUCUUGACCACAAGGAUGUGUCGUGCCCAUUGGUAACUCAAAUGGAAUAACAAUUACAAUCAUGAAAUCAUAAUUAACUCAAGAUUAAGAUUACAGUAAAAUCAACGCCUAUGAGAUUUAAUAAGUCUGACAGUUAUUACAAAGUUAAUUAAAUCUCAUAUGUGAUCCUGUUCAAUGUAGUCGUACUACAUCAAUAAAUUCAUACAUGAUUAAGACAAAUCAUUCAAUGAAUUUAUUACAGUCUAUACCUAAAUAAAGUGCCCAACUUUAUUUAUCAACUGCGAACUAAAUUUAUUUAAUCAUAAGAUAACAUGUAUUUAUGUCUUCUGUGAAUCCACAUGGUAAUCACAUAAAUACAUAUAAUAUGAUUAAAUGGACUUUAAUACAAGUAUUAAUGCAAUUAAGAUAUUUGAAUAAAAUACCUCAUUUAUUUUAUUAAUCAGAAAAAUAGUUUAUUACAAUUAAAUAAACAUAUAUGCUUUUAAAGAGCAUAUUUUCCCAACACAUACCGGUUUGGUUAUCUUGCUGCAAGUGCACCACAUUAGCCUUGCAUUCUGGUGCCAACUCCUCCGGCGGUUCACCCACUACCUUUCCCAAUGCUUUGGACCUCCAUUCGGUCUCCAUCAGAUUUCUCAGGAGCACUAAAUAAAGCAGCUAAAACUUGCUUCUGUAGUUCAUUUCUGUCUUUCGGGUGUCUAGGCAAUUUUCCUUCGUUGGUAUUUCGAUCUUCCUUUACAUGACUGAGGAAAUACAGUCAAAAGCUAAUCAAGUAACCAUACAUGGAUGAGAAAUCCCUCCACCCCCUUCCAAAACAAAGUCUAAGAAAUAUCAGAAUUCUUUCAGUAAAAACCCUUCCCCCCAUGCUGUGCCCACUGAAUGAAAUAUAUUAAUCUUAUGAGAAGUUGAGAAAAUAAAUUAAAGACCAUACCCUCCGGAAGAAUUCAAUUGUUGCAAUUUUCUUUCACGUGGAGGUCCUCCAAAGUUAGAGCACAUAUCCGUACACUGUUUAUGAAAUCAUAAUAACAGGGGACCAUUUAUUAAUAACAAAUCUUGACACCUAAAAGUCAACUGUGAUGAAAAAGAUUAAAAAGAAUAUGAACUUGUUAUCUUGGAAGUGAAAAAUAUUUGAGAUGCUUGAAUAUGGUGAAAAUAGUAAUUGUUUUUGUUACUUCUACAAUUCUUGAAUUUUACAAAUAUAUAAAGACAUUCAAGAUGCUGUACAAGGAAAGACAAUAUUUACAAUAAUUAUAAUAAUCAACUAGCCGUUGUGAUGAAUCCACCAUGACAUGUGCUACUAUAUUCUCCAUCAAUUAUGGCUUAGACGAGAUGUUGGAAAUCCUCUUGCCAUGGCGGUACAAGCUACCAUAUUUGUUGCUUGUGACUUGUCCUUAUCAGCCCCCUUUAAGCUAGGCAGUGACAUGCGAUGAACACCUAGCUUGGUUCGUAGCGUGAGAAAUUGAUGCUUCCCCAAAGGUUUUGUAAGAGUGUCUGCAAUCUGAAGAUGAGAAGGCACAUAUCGUGUAAAUAAUGACCCUUUAGCAACCUUUUCACGAACAAAAUGCACGUCAAGCUCAAUAUGUUUCAUUCUAGCAUGAAACACUGGGUUCUUAGUCAUAUGAAUUGCACUCAAAUUGUCACAGAGAAGCGUGGGUGCUUUCGGAAUACAGAACCCAAUGUCAUUAAGUAGAUAUGUGAGCCAUGUUAACUCGGCAGCGGCAGAGGCCGUGGACCUAUAUUCGGCUUUGGCACUUGAGCGAGAGACUGUGUGUUGUUUCUUGGAGCUCCAAGAGAUACAAUUGCUUCCAAGAUAAAUGCAAAAUCCUGUUGUACUUCGUCUUGUUAUUGGACAUCCAGCCCAAUCGGAAUCAGAAAAGGCAUAGAGCUUGAGAGAGCUUUGAGACAAAAAUCUAAGGCCAAAGUCAAGGGUACCGUUAAGGUAACGAAGGAUCAUUUUCACGUCCUUGAGGUUGGCUUUUGUUGGCGCUUGGAAGUGUUGAGAGACUCAAUUGACAACAAAUGUGAUAUCGGGCCUUGUGUAGGUGAGAUAUUGAAGGCGUCCAACAAGGCCUCUAUAUUCGGUUGCAUCCAUAGGUUCAUUAUCAUCCGAACAUGGUAUUGAUCGUAUAGCCAUCGGCGUGUUGAUAGGAGAACAAUCCUGCAUUCUUGCCUUGGAAAGAAGGUCUUUAGUGUACUUCGCUUGAGAUAGGAAGAUGCUAUGCGUGAAUUGUUGAACUUCAAUGCCUAGGAAGUAAUGUAGGUUGCCAAGAUCUUUUAAAGCAAACUUUGAGCUCAGAUUGUUGAUGAUUGAUUGAAUUUCCUUCUCAUUAUUUCCUGUAAUGAUCACAUCGUCAACAUAAAUUAAUAUAAGUAUAAGAAUGGAUUUGUUAUUAAAUAUAAAUAAAGAACUAUCAGCUUUGCUACUAGAAAAUCCAAGAGAAAUUAAGGCUUGAGAAAAACACUCGAACCACGCUCUAGGUGCCUGUUUCAGGCCAUAGAGCGAUUUUUGAAGCUUGCAAACAUAUGUUGGAUGACGUGAAUUGCGAAACCCGGGAGGCUGCUCCAUGUAGACAAUCUCCUUUAGUAGUCCAUGAAGAAAAGCAUUGCGAACAUCCAGUUGCUUGAUAAGCCAUUUUGAGCUCACAACAAUUGCAAGGAUAAGGCGAAUAGUUGUGGCCUUUAUAACGGGACUGAAGGUUUCAUCGAAGUCGACUCCUGGAACCUAUGUGAAUCCCUUGGCAACUAAUCGAGCUUUAUAGCGAUCAAUGGUUCCAUCUUCUCUGUAUUUGAUACGAUAUACCCACUUCGAUUUGAUGACAUUAACAUUGUUAGGCCGCGGCACAAGGACCCAUGUAUGAUUUUGAUGCAAUGCUUGAAGCUCUUCUUUCAUAGCUUGAGUCCAAAGUGGAUUCUUUAAGGCAAUUUUGAGUGUUUUGGGUUCAAUUUCUCUACUGUCGCUGGCUUGAAGGGCUAAUUUAGGAUUUUGUUUGAGUUUAUUGCGUGUCAUCAUGGGAUGAGUAUUUAUGCUUUGCAGUUCUGCAGCUGUGUUUGGUAUCUUAAGUUCCACAAAUAAGCGAUUGGAUAUGUCAGGAUAAUCUGGUUGUGAAUUUGUGGCAGGGCUGUUGUCCGUAUUUCUGGACAAAUUAAGUGGUUCAGUUGCAUGUGAACUACUAGAAUUUGAAUCAUUUGUAGUCAAAUGUUGCAUUGCAUGUGGAGACUCCAAAAUAUUUGGAAUUGCUUCUGACUUGUCGUGUGGAGUUGCUGAAUUCAAAUUGUCCUCUAAAUUGUCUUGUGGGAAAUCUAAAAUAAUUGGAGAAGUGGCAUUUUAGUUGUUGUCCAAGUUCACGUCCUUGUGGGGCAUGAAUUGCACAUGUGGUGUUGAUAUUGUAGCGCCUUUACAAUUGUUUACUUUGACAGCACGUGAAUCAUUAAGAUUCUCACAAUUGGGAGAAUUCUUUGGGAGCCACUCAUCUUGUUGAGGGAAGGUGGUCAAUGUACUAUGUUCCUGCACAUUAAAAAAUGAUGUUAAAAUUUUUGAAUGGUAAAUAAUUUUCAUCAAAUACAACAUGCCCAUAUAUAUAUACACGAUUAGUCUCAGGUUGUAGACAACGACAUCCUUUAUGGAGGGGACUAUAGCCUAUGAAAACACAUGGAUAUGAUUUUUUUAUCAAAUUUUGUUUUACUGUAAUCCUGAAGAUAAGGAAAACAUCUACAACCUAGGACUUUUAACCCUCUAUAAUCCGGUAAUUUUUUGAAAAGAAUUUCAUAAGGGCUUUUAUUUUUUAAAGGUGAAAGAGGCAGCCUGUUAAUGAUAUAAGUGGCUGCAAGAAAAGAAUCCACCCAUAAUUUGAGUGGCAAAGAAGCAUGAAACAUCAUCGUCAAGGCUGUCUCAUUGAUGUGCCUAUGCUUUCUCUCAGCAACACCAUUUUGCUCCGGAGUGUAUGGACAAGAAAUUUGUCUUGUGAUGCCGCAAUUUUCAAGAUGUUUGAUGAAGGCCGUAUCCAUCACUUUGAAAUAUUGUGAUCUUUUUGUCCAAUUGUUUUUCAACUUGUUUCUGAAAUUUCAAGAAGCACUCCAAGAAAUCAGAUUUUUGUUUUAAGGGAUAUAACCAACUAAAACGUGAGUAAUCAUCUACAAAUAAUACAUAGUAACGAAAAUGUUGAGUAAAAGUAAUGGGAGCUGGACCCCAUAUAUCACAAUGCACUUUUUGUAAAGGAAAAUCUGCUUUAUUAUUAGAUAAAUUAAAAGAUUUCCUACAACUCUUGCCUAAUUGGCAAGAAACACAAAUAUGGGGUGCUUUAGACCAACUAGAAAAGUCAAUAAAAUUAUUGCGUUUUAAGGCCUCCAAGAUUUUAGGAUUGGCAUGGCCAAGCCUCUUGUGCCAUAAACUAAAACCGCUAGAUUCUCCUUGAAUUGUGUUGAAGGCAGCAUGAAAGUCUCAUUCCAAUGUGUAUAGCUUCCCUUGCUUACUCCCCUUUGCUAGAACCUUGUUUUCCUUUCUCUUCACAAUAAAACCAUCAGUGUUAAAUUUAAAAACACAUUUAAUAUCAUCAAUGAGUUGUCCAACUGAUAAGAGAUUCUUUUUGAGUUUUGGAACAACUAAAAUAUUAUUUAAGUGCAAAGAACCGUGAUUUGUAUUUAAAGAAGCAGAACCAAUAUGUGAAAUAUUUAAAUCUUGACCAUUGCCAACAAUUAUUUUGUCAUUACCUCUAUACGGCCUUACAUGAUCAAGAUUAUCUGUGUUAUUUAUCAUGUGUGAUGUUGCUCCAGAAUCCACAUAGAACUGUUGAUCAUUAUUUUCUUGAAGAUUCAUCGCAGCUAGGGCAUGUGGAUCCUCUUCAUUGUCAUAGUCGUAUCUGUACCAACAUUCAGCAGCACUAUGUUUGCGUUUGUGACAGAUUUGGCAAAUAACUUCUUCAUCUGAGGUAUUAUUUUCUUUAUUUGGUUUUUGAGGCUGCUGUUGUGGUUUACGGUUGUUGCCAUUGUUGUAGUUGUUGGGGUAAUUUCUACCACCUGAGUUGCGUUGAGAUCCUCUGCCUCGGUAUGGAGGUCUUCCACCUCUUUGAUUUCUGCCUCUUCCACCUAUAUUAUGGAAAAGAUAGAGUUCUCUGAAUCUGAAAGACUGAAACAUUUUGCAUAUUUCGUGAAAGGGAAAUAUUUGUAGAUACUAGUUCAUGCAUUGAGGUAACAUCAAUGUUAAAGAAAAACGGCAAUAACUUAUUAUAUAGAAUUAGGUUCACUUGCUUUAAAUGCUGGUCUGGUCAACCAUAUGAACCUGUAAGUGUAUCUGCAGAAGUAUGGUCAGCCAUAUGAACCUUUUUGGGGGGCAAAUUAGAAAAAUUUUCCUAAAAAAGUGAAAAAAAUCAUUUUUUUUUUUUUAAAAAAAAAAAACUUUAAAAAUUUUUUCAAAAGCUUUUUUUUUUUUUUAAAACCAAUGGUUUGAGGCUGCUGUUGUGGUUACGGUUGUGCCAUUGUUGUAGUUGUUGGGGUAAUUUCUACCACCUGAGUUGCGUUGAGAUCCUCUGCCUCGGUAUGGAGGUCUUCCACCUCUUUGAUUUCUGCCUCUUCCACCUAUAUUAUGGAAAAGAUAGAGUUCUCUGAAUCUGAAAGACUGAAACAUUUUGCAUAUUUCGUGAAAGGGAAAUAUUUGUAGAUACUAGUUCAUGCAUUGAGGUAACAUCAAUGUUAAAGAAAAACGGCAAUAACUUAUUAUAUAGAAUUAGGUUCACUUGCUUUAAAUGCUGGUCUGGUCAACCAUAUGAACCUGUAAGUGUAUCUGCAGAAGUAUGGUCAGCCAUAUGAACCAUAUGGGGGGACAAAUUAGCUAAAUUUUCCUCUUAUUUAUGGGUUUGGUCAUUUUUUCCCCUUCAGCUUUCCUUCUCCUGAAGUAUGUUAACAAUUGCAGAUAAUGACGAAGAGGACCGCUUCCAGGCUCUUCGUAGAGCUGCGAUGUAAUAUAGGGGCACAAUGAAGGAACAUUGUAAAGCUGUAGGUUCUUUUUCUCCUGUCAUUUAUGUUUUCUCACACAUUUUUUAUAUGCUCCAAGCAUCCAAUUUUGUAUGUGUCUUUGCCUUUUAAGUUUUAAAAACCAUAAAGUAAGAAUACAGUUCCUUGUCAGGUUAUUGAUGCAUUCACUCAGGGGGAUCAUGCUCGAGCAGGAAAACUUCUAGAACAGGUAAGGUUUCCAUCUACAGCCAUUUAUUGACAACAUAUAUAUUUUCAUUCAGCAAGCACUGUUAGCAUUCAAGAUGCUGGCAGAUUCACUUGAUUCUUAUUAGUUUGUUUAGUAGCAAAGCAUAUAACCUGUAUUUUAAAGCUAAGUUGUGCUAUUGAUUAUGUUAACUUUAUUGUUCACAUAAAGUGAUAUUGAGGAAAUAAUCAAUGUAGGAAAAUUAGGUGAAGAGAUGAUGUCAAAUCUUGAACCUCUUACAAAACUCCAAGUUCUUUACUUGAAGAAGCUACCAAAUUCGAACAGCAUCUACUGGAAGGCCUUGCCAUUCCCUGAUGUAUGCAGAAUUUUUGUAUUUAAAUGCCCAGAGCUUAAGAAGCUGCCACUAGAUCUUGAAAGGGCAGGCCAAGGUAAAAUUCUUAUCAAGGAAAAGAAAGAUGGGUGGAAACAACUUCAAUGGGAGGAUCAAGUAACUCAUAUUGCAUUGCUUCCAUCUUUAAAAUCAACCAACAAGUGAUUGAAGGGGGCAUCAUCAACAUCAUCAACAUGGAUAGAGAGAUUCUGGAGCAGAUCAGCCGGGUUUAGUACGACCUGUGGUGGUUUCUUUUUUGUGACUUUUUUCCCUUUCAUUUUUUCACUUCCUGUCAUAUUAUCAUUUCUUUGUCUCUGUUUCUAUUGCUGGUGUUGCUGCAUGCUUGCUGCCCUUGACAAAGUUAGCUAGUUUUUUUGUUUAUUAAAUUUUGUAUGUUCGGGACAGUCACAAAGUACUACUUGUUCUAUAUGGGGGUGAUGUGAAUCAACUUUUCAAUUAUAUAUUCUGUGGUAAUUGUGAAUUCAAUUUCAUUUGUCUCCUGCAAAUUAUGAAGAAAGUGCAGAGUUACAAUAUGGAAAAGUUCACUGGCAAAUACUUUGUAAAAGCUUCGGAGUGAAACAGGGAAUGCACUAGCAACUAAGGACAAAUUGGUGGCCAGCUAAUGCAUUCAUUUUAUGUACAUUGCUAAUUUGUAUGUUAAUUAUUAGAUAAUCAAUUAUUUGGAUAAUCCCUUGUGUUUUAUCUCUAAUUAGAACAUCAAUCUUCACAAUAUCUACAAUGCUACAAUGGCUAUAAAACAAAACCUGUUUGCAAAUUGUCAAGGAUACUUAUCCUUUCGCUUGACAAGUCAUUUGGAAAAAUAUUGUCCCUUGGCGGCUCCAUGUCUUCUCUGCCCCUCCUUUUGGUCUUAAUGUACGGUUGCAUAAUGAUAGUUUAGGCCCUUCAGGGACUACUUUCCCUGGUGUUGUUAAGUCUUAGCUUGUGCUAGGCUCGUUUUUCUUACCAAAAGAAAAGGAAUACUUCUCCUAUAAGAAAUAAUCUCUAUAUAUAGGGUAGUUGGAUUCACUUGUUUACAUAACAAAUCAAUUAGUUCUCUGUAAGUAGAGAGUUUCAAGUAUGAGAGAAACGGUAGGUCUAUCGAGAGAUUAUGUGUUAUUAGGAUUUUGGUUGUGAAGAAAAGUACUAGAGUGAUUGUGUUAAUUUUCUACAUAGUGGAUUUUUCUAUCGUCAUCUUUGUGGCUGUGAUUUUUCUUUUAUAUAGAAGUUUCCCACGUAAAUUGUUAUGUUAUGUGAUUAGUUUUAUUCUCCAUCUAUUUUUUGUUUAUUAUUUGUUUGAUAUUUUAUUUGUAAGAUGUUGGAUGGGAUUAAAAUUCCUUAACAAAUAACGGAUUAAAAAUAUUGAAGAAAAAGCUCAAGAGAUCUUCAAGAUUUGAAGUGUGAAAAAGUUCAUAUUACUGCUAGAUGAUAUAUAGGAGCGGGUUGAUUUAGUAAAAAUGGGUGUCCCUCUUCCUAGAUCAGAAAACAACACAUCCAAAGUGAUAUUUACAAACCCGUUCUGAGGAAGUUUGCGGCUUAAUGGAAGCUCGUAGGAGUUUUAAAGUGGCGUGCUUAUCAAAUAAAAAUGCUUAGGAUUAUUUCGAUACAAAGUUGGGGAAGAAACUUUGAACAAUCAUCUUGAUAUCCUUGAGCAAGCACAAUAGUUGUUAAGGAGUGUGGUGGUUUGCCACUUGCACUUUUUACCAUCGGCCGAUCUAUGGCGUGCAAGAAGACACAGCCGAAGAAUGGAGAUAUGCUAUUCAAGUGUUCACUUCGUCCGCUUCCUGUUUCCAGGUCUGGAAGAAGGGAUAUAUACUCUUGUAAAAUUCAGUUAUGAUAGUUUACCCAAUGACACAAUUACACCUUGUCUGUUAUAUUGUAGUUUAUAUCCAGAAGAUUGUUGCAUUUCUAAAGAGAAUUUGGUAGAUUGUUAGAUCAAUGAAGGAUUUUUUAAUGAAAGUGAUUGGUUUGGAGAAAAAAUCAAGGAUACUUCAUUUUGGGCAUUCUUCUUCAUGUUUUUUUUUGGAAAAGGGAGGAGAUUGUGAAGUGAAAAAUGCAUGCAUGACGUUAUUCGUGAUAUGGCUUUGUGGAUCGCAUGCGACUAUGAGAAGGAGAAGGAGAACUUUUUGGUUUACGCUGGUGUUGGUUUAGCUAAGGUACCGGAUAUUAGAGAUUGGGAAAAGGUAAGGAGAUUGUCAUUGAUGAAAAAUAAAAUUGAGAAUCUAUCUGAGGCUCAUACAUGCCCUCAUCUCCUCACUUUCUUUCUUGACGAUAAUGAGUUUCGGAAGAUCCCCGGUGAUUUCUUCCAGUUUAUGCCUUCUCUCACUGUUUUAAACUUGUCAUGUAUUAAACUAAAGUCAGUUCCUUUAGGGACUUCAAGGUUGGUUCCACUACAACAACUCGAUCAUUCAUAUUCAAGCAUAAAAGAGUUGCAAGAAGAGUUAAAUGCCCUGAUUAAAGUUAAAUGCUUGAAUAUAGAUCAUGUAGAGGAGCUAAUUACAGUUCCACAACAACGGAUAUUUAAUUUUUAAGGUUAUAUGUGUUGAGAAUGUUCGAUACUAUUAGUUUAAAUUUUCAAGAAGCAUUAAAUAAAGACAGCAUUUUAUUUGGUGGGGAGGAAGUUUAAGCAGAGGAGUUGCUCGGUUUGGAAUAUUUGGAGGUAUUGAGCUUCACUUGAGAAGUGUUCGUGCUCUCCAAUUUAUUUUGAGCUCACAUAAGCUACGAAGUUGUACUCAAGCGCUGUUCCUCCAAUCCUUCAAUAAUUCGAUAUGGCUUGAUAUUUCACUUUUGGCAGAGUUAAAAGCACCACUGCAGAUUUAAGUAUUUUUGGCUGUAGAAAAUUGGAGGACUUGAAGAUGGAAUAUACAGGGGGAGCGAAAAACAAGCGGCAACCUUGUGUUUUCUAAGGCCUACAUACAGUUCACAUAGAGGUUUGUUCUAAAUUGAAGGACUUAACAUUCCUUGUUUCUGCUCCAAAUCUCAAGAACUUGGAAAUACAAAAUUGCCCUGCUGUGGAAGCAAUCAUCGGUGUGGGAGAAUUUGCGGAAGCUCUAGAUGUGGUGGAAAAUCUAAACCCAUUUGCAAAACUCCAGUUUCUUGGACUAGAAAAUCUGCCAAAUGUGGAGAGCAUCUAUUGCAGGCCUCUGCCCUUUCCAUGUUUGAAAAGAAAUGACUGUGGAUAGUUGCGGUUGUCUUAAAAAGCUUCCACUCUACUCCAACAGAGUAAAAGAGUGUACAAUUGUUAUUUCAUCAUUCGGAGAGUUAAUGGUGCAAUGAGAUUUGGCAGUUAACUCUCGUGGGAAGAGCUUUAAUGGGAAGACGAAGCCACUCGAAUUGCUUUUCAUUUCUGUUUCAAAUCUCUAAUUGGAUUGGAGAUUGCAUUUCGCCUCAGGUUCGUACUUUUCUUGAAUUUUUCUUGUUAACUUCAUUUGUUCAUUUAUCCAUUUUUUUUUUAAAGGAAUCAGAAGGGUUAAUAUUUUUGGUUGUGUUAGGUCGACUUCUAAUCACGAGGCAGAAGGAGCUGAGAUGAAGUUUAAUUUUGGUGGAGAAAUUGUUUGAUUUAAAAAAUUUAAAUGAGUUGACCAUCAUUCUUUAGCAUAUUUGUAUGAACAGGAGUGUGUAAAUAUGCAAACUGUCCAGCUGUAUGUGUAUAACGUAAUAAUUUUGAGGAGUUAAAACAUUGAAGAAUAUUGAUGUUUCCAUUGUCAAACCAAAUAUACUUAAUUACUUGAGGAUAAUGAUUACUGCUAAUACAUUUGCAAAGAAAAAAACAUGCCUAUUGAAAAACUCAUCUUAUUAGCAACAGCAUUAUAAGUAGUAUCCAAUCAUAGUUUCAUGCAAGAUUUUGAGAUUUUUCAAAUGCUGAUUCCGGGAAUGGAGAUUAAUAGAUAAUGGAGACAGGUUGACUGCAAUGGCUAAUUGCAAGAGGGAAUUUUAGUCGUAAAAACAGACCAACUAGCAAAGCAGAUUCCAAAUCUUGGAAUGAAGUAGCAAAAAAACGAAACAAACAACUGGCAAGAGGAAGUGACUAUACAAUAAUAACAUCGACUUGCAAUUCAACAUUUAUAUAGUUAUACACACCAAGAAAAGAGAAAAUUACAAUAGCAAUUUGGCUACUAGAAGAUGUUCAUUCAUGCUUAUGCCUGUCAUAUGGAUUUGAAACAAGGAGUAAAAGCAUUUAGAGUGGCUUUAUCCUUCCACUGCAGCUCAUUCCACCAGUGUUGCUCUCCCCUAAUAACAAGUUUGCGUUCCUUGGCGCUGUUGUAAUCGAGUGGAAGCUUCUUGAGGUUCGGGCAUCCAGAUACAAACAAUUCCAAGAGAUUUGGAAAGGGCAAUGCAUUCAAACAGAUCUUCUUCAAAUUUCUUAGAACUUGCAACCGAAGAUAUUGGAGUUUCGCAAAAGGUUUUAGCCCUGGAACUUCUUCCACUUUCCAAACACUGAUUAUUUCUUCCAUCUCAUAACAACGUUCUACAUGCACCAUCUUCAGAUUUGGGGCAAAAACAAGCCUUGUCAUCUCCCUCAAUUUACUGCAAUAGUCUAUGGUAACACUUUGAAGGCUGUUGAAACCAUAAGUUCUCUUGUUGUUUGAACUUCUGCAUAGUCAACCUUUAGCUCUUCCAAACUUGUACAAUACACAAAAUCUAGUUUGUCAAGGUACUUGAGAUCUGCUAUGGACAAAAUAUUCCAUGACCUUGAAUCCUCACAGCGGCGAAGCUCUAAAGCAUAUUUACAACUCUUGUACUGUUGGCAGCUCAAAAGUCUUCGUAGAGCAUAAAAACUUCUUAACGUGACGCUUAAUACAUUUAAAUGUUCCAAAGUAAUCAACUCCUCUACCAAAAUUUCACUACCACCAAAUAGAACGCUAUCUUCUGGUACUGUAUUAGCAGAGCCACAAUCUAGCAUCCUCAACACCUUUAACCCAGAAAAAUUACAAAGCAGUUGCCGUGGAAUCGUAUGGAGAUAACGCAUGUACUCCAAGUUCAAACACUUUAGAUUUUUCAAGGCUUUUAAUUCAUGUGGUAACUCUUUGAUGAAAGUUUCUGAAAGAUUAAGAUAUUGUAGUGAAACCAAUUUUGAAAUUCCUGAAGGCAAUUGACUCAAGGAGCGAUUCUUUGAUAGGUUUAAAACUUUUUUUUUUUUGGUGAGAGGGGGCUCGUCAAAACGAGCUAAAUAGAAACAAAACGGGGUUGAGUAACCCCAAACAAGUCUUGCGAAAUGAUAGAAUAUAUACCCAUAGGAGGGUCAGAGAACACUUGCAAUCCAAGAGGAGCUGAAUGAGCCAUAUUAGCCAUGAAGUCCGCAGCUGAGUUUGCUUCACGAUAGAUAUGGGUGAUAGCAAUCUGCCAAUUUCUACUUAAUAAUUCGUGGACAGCUACUAUUAAAGCAUGGAACACAUUAGGAACGACCACCUGCUUAGAGAUUAUUUGUGUAAUACAAAGACUAUCCACUUCCACCAACAGCCGUUUUAUGCCUACAUCCCAAGCCAGAAUUAGACCCUGAUACAGCCCCCAAAGCUCAGCCAUAAGCACUGAACUCUCCCCAAUUCUCAUACAAAAUCCGGAAAUCCAAUGACCGACUGAGUCUUGAAUGACACCUCCUGCUCCUGCUUCCCUGUCAUUUUUACGAGAGCCAUCUGAAUUUAAUUUGCACCAUGGCCAUGGCGGCGGAAUCCAACGAAUAAAAAUCUCCUUUCUCCUCGGCUGUUGACUUAUACCGGAAUUAUAAACUUUGUAAAUUUCAUUAGCUCUAGCCAUAGCAUCCAUAUAGACUGUUACACCAUCCACCAACUUCCCCGCAAACAAGAAAUGGUUCCUCCAGAACCACAGCCUCCAAACCACCACUCCAAAGAUACAAUCCCAAGGGAGGGAAGAUGCAAUCUUCCAUUUGUUCUGCAAGUUCCCAGUAAUCCAUUCACGUAGAUUCGAAUUGAAGAAAGCGUUAUGAGUUGCCAUUGGGACAAGCUUACGCCAAACCUGAUUAAUACAGCAGUAAUCUCUCAAUGCAUGGAGAAUAUCUUCAACCGCACCCCCACAUCUAUCACAGCCCUCAGGAGCAUUGAUAUGGCGCCUAGCUAGCUCAACAUGAGUCUUUAAUUUCCCAUGCAUCAGCUGCCACAGAAAAAGACGGAUGGAUUGAGGCCCCUUCCAACUCCACGGAAGCUUCCAAAUUCUGUCAUGAUCAGCCAAGUGAUGAUAGCAAAGGGAUGCAUAAGCUGAACGAACCGUAAACAUGCCGCUCGGAUCCAGACCCCAGUAAAUUUUGUCAGACCCAAAAUGCGGUCUCGGAGGCAUGACUGAUGCGAUCUGCAUGAGAGUAUAAUGUGGCAGCAAAUGCUCAAAGCUCGACCAAUUCCAUCCCCCCUGACCAUUCGUAAACUCACUCACGGUGGCGUUGAUAAGCUCCUGAGGAAUCGGCUGGAGAGCUAGGCUGCUCAAGGGAUAUUUCGUAGCCCAACAAUCUAUCCAAAAGCGAGCUCGACCUCCAUCGCAAACAGACCAGCGAGCUCCCUGAACUAUUGUCAACCACUUGCUACGAAUAGCUCUCCAAAUCUGAGAACCCGGUUUAUCUGGAAGGGACAUCGGUAAAUUUGCUGGAAUCCAAUCCAUAUUUGGAACAGAAAACUUUCACCCACAAUUUAUCCGAGCUGGACACAAUCUCCCAGCUCAAUUUCAUUAUCAGCGCCUGGUUCAUCUCGUCCAUUUUUUUGAACCCCAGACCUCCAUAUUGUUUCGGCAUGCAGAUUUUGCUCCACCCCACCAUACUCAUCUUAGGACUCUUUGAAUUCCCAUCCCAAAUAAAUCGCCGACAAGAUUUGUCUAUUUUAUGCCUCACUGGAGAAGGAAGAAAUGUCGUUUGCAUGGCAUAAAUAGGCAUUGCUUGCAGAACUGAUUGAGCCAGGGUGACGCGUCCAGCAAAAGAGAGAUGAGUCGCAUUCCAACCAGUAAGUCGGUUAUCGACUUUAUCAAGGAUGGACUGAUACGUGGAUUUAUUAACCCGCGUGUGAAUUAAUGGCAUUCCAAGAUAAUCACCCAAAUUAUUUGUGGCCGAAAAACCCAAAGUAGAGCCUAUGAGAUUGGCAUCCCGAGUAUCAACAUUUUUUGAGAAGAACACCUUGGUUUUCAACUUAUUUAUUUUUGCUUCAGAGCUCCUACAAUAGUUUUCCAGAACAACAUCAACCACAUAAGCUUGGUCAAUUGAAGCUUCCACAAAUAAAAGCAAAUCGUCUGCAAAAAAGAGAUGAGUUAAGGGAGUUCCAUAUUUGGCCAACCUAAUAGGCCUCUAUCUCCCAUCCAUUACCGCUUGGGUUAUCCCAUGACUCAAACGCUCGAUACACAGAACAAAAAGAUAAGGCGAGAGGGGAUCUCCCUGACGAAUACCUCUCCCUGGAGUGAAGGUCCCUGUAACCUCACCAUUCCACAAAAUACUCAUACUAGCUGAAGUUACGCAAUCCAUGAUAAGUCUAGAUAAAUGAGUUGGAAUACCAGUCUGUUGAAGCGUAUCAAAAAUGAAAUCCCAAUUAAGCCAGUCAUACGCCUUCUCUAGGUCAACCUUAAUGGCCAUAAAUCCUUUCCUGCCAGUUUUUCUGCGCAUUGAGUGAACAACUUCCUGAGCCACAACAAUAUUAUCUACGAUAUUCCUCCCUGGAACAAAACUUGUCUGAUUGGGGCCUAUUAGAUUGGGCAACAGCGAUUGCAAGCGAGUGGCUAUAAUUUUAGUCACCGUCUUGUAAGCCAUUGUGCAUAGGCUUAUGGGCCUAAACAUCUUUAAGCUAGUAGGGUGCUCCUCUUUUGGAAUCAAAACCAGGAGGGUAGUAUUUAUCUCUUGCGGCACUUUGCCCGUGGUAAAAAUAUCAUCAAUAAACCUGCAAAACGACGGACCCACAACAUACCAUUGGGAUUGAUAAAAAAUAGCAUGCAACCCAUCCGUAUCUAGAGCUUUCAGCGGCUUCAUACUAAAAACGGCACUUUUAAUCUCCUCCCUCAAAAUUGGGGCUGCGGCACCAUCAACGUCAUGAGAACUCAAGUCUGGAAAAAAAUUUGGCACAUGGUAGUUCUGAUAAAUAGCAUUUUCUCUUUUAAAUAAUUCUGAAAAAUACCCCACUGCAUGCCUCUUUAUAUCUUCCUCAUCAUACAGCCAAUUCCCUGAACUGUCUCGGAUAGCCUCGAUUCUAUUCCGCCGCCUUCGAGCAAUAGUUUUUUUAUGGAAAAAAUUCGUAUUUCUGUCUCCAUGUAAAAGCCAAUCCUUUCGAGAUUUCUGGAGCCACAGAAUUUCCUCCUGGCUCAUCACCAUUUCGAGCUCAUUACGCAAUCGGGCCUCCAAUCGCCUCAAACUGCGAGAGCUAUAUUUCUCUAGGGUGGCUUGAAUUCCAUUAAUCCGAGCCAUAAGCCGGCGUUUCCUCUGAAAGAUAUUCCCAAACACAUCUCGAUUCCAAACUUGAACCUCCUGAACAAAAUGAGAAGCUGCUGCACUAUAGUGGGAUUGCGGAUUCCACAUCCGCUUAACAAAAUUGUUAAAGUGCUCAUGAGUUAACCAAGCAGCCAAGAAGCGGAAAGGCCUGGUGUUGAGUGUUAGAAAAUGCAUAUUUAUAAAGGAGAAAACCGUCAUUUUACAUUUUAAGUCUUACUAACAACCCUUACUUUUAUAUAUUUAACCUUCUUGUGAUUUAAUUACAUGUGUUUUAUUUUAAUUAAGUAUUUUAUGUAUUUUAGGGGCAUUAUAGUCAUUUCACAAUAAAGGAGAGAUCAGACGGCAAAACGGACAUCACUUUUGAACUCAGGACGGUCGAAAACCUUAGGAGGAGCAUAAAAGGAAAAAUGGCACUAUUCACAUGUACGGUACUAUUCACGUAUACGGUACUGUCUACGUUACUGUUCACGACACUGUUCACAUAGACGGAUCGAUGACGUGGCAUUGACCGAUGAUGUGGCAUUGACUGAUGAGGUGUCACGAUCCUGUUGGGCUAAAAUUCUUAUGUACUGUUGAUGGUGACGUGGCAGCAUAUCAGUGGACGAAAAAUCUCGUGUACGGUGCAUGCAUCACACAGGAUUAUUUUCAACCAAACCGCGUUACUGUUCAUCCGGGUCAAACCGCGUUACUGUUCAAAGUCGGGUCAAACCGUGUUACUGUUCAUCCGCGUGGUCAAACCGUGGACUGUUGACUGAUGACGUGGCGCAAUCCUGAGCGUCCAAACUGUUUUUAAUCCGAUGGCCAUGAUUUACUCCAUGUAUCUAUAAAAAGGGGGCCUCCCCCCCCUAAUUUGAUAUCUCUGAAUCCAUUUUUGGGAUCCAUUUUCUGUAAUUCCUUCUCCAUCUUGUAUUUUCUUCGUAUUUUAAUAAAUUCCCAUUUUGCCCCUAGUUCAAUUAUGAGUGGCUAAUUUUCUUUCAAGCUUGGGUUGAAGGUGAAGUCUCAACAUGUGUCAUGGGCUUAAUUUGGUAAAUUUAUUUUCUCUUCCCCUCUAGUUUUUGUGGAUGUUUUGACUUCUCGUCGACAAAUAAUACUAAUCUUGUCUAGUACCGCCUUGGUUUCACCGGCUCUCUAGUAUAAGGUUAUUAUUAUUUGGCACGAUAAGCCCUUAGCACCAUAUUGAUUAGAGCGUGGUUCAUGCGGUGUGGAUUCCCCCCUCAUGAUUUAAUUGGUAUUAAUAAGGAAUAUUUAGCCUAUGAUGCAUGUUGAUACGGAUCCAGAUACCCAAGUACGUCAUUUCAAUAGAAUUCUCUUCAAUUUAUUCUCACCAUUUCAAUACCAAUUUUAGAAUUUAUUCUCUCCAUUUUAAUUUAAGUUUUAGCAUAUUCCAAUCAUUUCCACCACAAAUCUAAUCACCCAUUCACAAAAUUAAUUCUACACAAUUAAAAUCCACCUCCUCGUGGGAUCGACACUCGUCACCAUUAAUCUAUACUACAACAGAUUCGUGCGCUUGCGAGUACAUUAAAAUUUGCACAACAAGUUUUUGGCGCCGUUGCCGGGGAGGUAAGUAAUUUUAAUUCAUAGAAUUAAUUUUUGUGAAUAAUUUCUUUUAUUUGUUUUCUUGUAUUUUUUUUAUUAUUAAAAAAAAAGAAAAAAAAAGUGAAUCUACAUUUAAAGGUUAGUAUUUCUUUUCUUUUUCUCUUCUUUAAAAUUCUGUAAUUUAAUUUUCAAUUUAUUUUUUCUUUGUAAUUUUUGUUUAUUUUAUUAAUUUAAUUUUUAGUUAAUUUCACGUAUUUGUUUUUGUGUAUUUUUAUAGUAAGGUUGUAAUAGCGCAAUAAGGUUAGUAUCGUAAUUUCUCCCUCUUCUUUAUUUUUAUUUGUUUUGUUCCCAUCUUUAUUUUUUGUUUUGUUUGCAUCUUUAUUUUUAUUUUAUUUAUUUGCAUGCAUGGUCGUAGGUCAUUAUUACCUAAUCUUGAACCUAUAGACCUUGAAUUAGAAAAAACACUUCGCACACACAAACACGUUAAAAAUAAAAUGGAUUUACAAGCACCACAGGAGAGGCCAUUUAAGGACUAUUUUAGUCCCUUAGCUAAUUUGAGCACGUCAUGCAUAAGAUACCCAAAUGUAGCUGCUAGGAGUUUUGAAUUAAAACCUAGUGUGUUAAAUUGUCUCCCUACAUUUUAUGGCCUAGAAAAUGAGGAUCCAUAUAAUCAUUUGAAUGAUUUUCAUGCCAUUUGUCAAACAUUCAAAUAUGAGAAUUUUUCAGAUGAUGAUGUUAAACUUAGACUAUUCCCAUUUUCUUUAAAAGAUAGAGCUCGUUCAUGGCUUAAUACAUUGCCUGCUAAUAGCAUUGCAUCAUGGGAACAAAUGGUAACGAAAUUUUUGAAUAAAUAUUUCCCAGUGCAUAAAACCAAUGCUAUUCGCAGGGAAAUCUCAGAGUUUACUCAGAGAGAGGACGAGCAGUUUUUCGAGACAUGGGAGCGAUUCAAUGGGCUACUCUUGAAGUGUCCACAUCAUGGGUAUGAGAAAUGGCAUCAAUGCCAAUACUUUUUGGAGGGAUUACUACCGAAUGUGCAAGAAUGGCUAAUGGCAACAAGUGGAGGAGAGCUAAUGUCAAAAAGUGCAUCAGAAAUUUGGGAGUUUUUCCAGCGACAAGCGGACAAUUCCCAACAACGGAGUCGAUCACUCAGGAAUACUAGAAGGAUUAAAGGAGUGAAUGAGGUUCACAUUGGCGAGUCAACUUCGGGAAUCAAAGAAGUCAAGGAGAUGGUUGAAGGUCUUGCUCGACAAAUAGCAUCAUUAUCGAUUGCUAAAUCAACAGAACCACAUGACCAUGACUCAUACUCAGAUCAAGCCAAUGCCAUAGGUGUAAUGAGAAAGCCAUCAAAUUACAACCCAUACUCCAACACAUAUAACCCUGGAUGGAGAGACCACCCUAAUUUUUCAUGGUCUCAAGGAUUCCAACAGAAUGGACCAGCAGCUCCAGCUCCACCAAUUCCACAAAAUCCUCAAGCCUCUCAGCCAUCAUUUAGACCAUUCAAUCAGAACCAUAAUUAUUCUCAACCCAGACCAUGGGAGGAUGCAUUUCAGAAUUUCAGGAAUGUUACUCACUCCACGAUUGAGCAACAGAACCGCACCAUUGAUGGAUUACGAAAUGAGUUGAAAGCGGGCUUCAACUCACAAGCCCAAUCAGUUUCAAGCCUUGAGAAGAUGGUGGGACAACUUGCUUCUUCAGUUCAGACCUUGGCAAUGACCGUUGAGAAAGGCAAAUUUCCAAGUCAACCAGUACCUAAUCCUAAAGGAGUGCAUGAAGUAAGUACCAGUUCACCACAGCAGCAUGGAGAGGUCAAAGCAGUAAUGACCUUGCGAAAAGGAAAGGAAGUCGACAACAAAGUGGAGAUGCCGGUGACAAAAGAAAAUCAAAUUGUACCUGUGAAUGUUGAGGACUCAUCACCGGAGGAGAAAGAAGAAACUAACCCACGAGAAUAUGUUCCGAAAGCUCCAUUUCCCCAGAGGUUAGCUAAAGGCAAGAAGGGAAAAUCCACAGGUGAGAUUCUCGAAAUCUUCAAACAGGUAAGUGUUAACAUCCCUUUACUUGAUGCUAUUAAACAAGUUCCAUCUUAUGCCAAGUUUCUUAAAGACCUUUGUACUAAAAAGAGAAAUAUGCAUGUUCAAAAGAAGGCAUUUUUAAUAGAAAACGUUAGUUCUAUACUCCAACAUAAAAUUCCUUUAAAAUGCAAAGACCCAGGCUCCCCCACUAUCUCAUGUAGUAUAGGGAACCACACAAUUGAGAAUGCUUUAUUGGAUUUAGGAGCUAGUGUAAAUCUUUUGCCUUACUCUGUAUUCGUGAAACUUGGACUUGGAGAAUUACACCCAACUCCAGUGGUGUUACAACUUGCAGAUCGGUCCACAAAAAUACCUCGUGGUAUUGUGGAGGACGUGCUUAUCCAGGUAGACAAGUUUUAUUUUCCUGUUGAUUUCAUUGUAAUUGACACUCAACCAAUACAGGAUUCAAGGAAGCACAUCCCCAUUAUUCUAGGCCGACCUUUCUUGGCAACUGCGGAUGCUCACAUUCAAUGCAGGACUGGAAAUAUGCAGUUGUCUUUCGGCAACAUGACUAUGGAGCUGAACAUCUUCAACAUUGCCAAACAACCUCACAGUGCAGAUGAUGGAAUUGUUGAUGUGGAUUUAAUAGAAACAAUAGUUGAUAAUACUUUUCUUUCAAACCUUAGUGAUGAUCCUUUACAAACAUGUUUAACUCACUUUGGUUUGGAUUUUGAUAUUGACAGAUCAGUCGAUGAGGUCAACGCCCUGCUUGACUCAACACCAUCCAUGGACACUAAUAAAUGGAAGUCAAGAGUUGAACAACUAACACCAUCAGAGAAGAAACUCAUCACAUCAUCAGAAUCACCACCGAAACUCGAGCUCAAACCAUUGCCCAACACAUUAGAAUAUGCGUUUUUGGGAGAAGAAAGUUCUCUGCCGGUAAUCAUCUCAUCAUCCCUUAAUGACGAACAAAAAGGUAAGUUGUUGGAUGUUUUGAAAGAGCAUAAAGGGGCAUUAGGAUGGACCAUAGCAGACAUAAAAGGUAUAAACCCUGCAGAUUGCAUGCAUUACAUUCACCUUGAUGAAAAUGCUAAAUCUACUAGGGAAAUGCAACGUCGGUUAAAUCCUAAUAUGAAAGAAGUUGUUAGAACAGAAGUCCUUAAGCUAUUAGACGCAGGUAUCAUUUACCCAAUUUCUGAUAGUUCAUGGGUCAGUCCUGUACAAGUUGUCCCCAAAAAGUCAGGAGUCACAGUAGUUACGAAUGCAGAUAAUGAAUUGAUACCCACUAGAGUAACUACAGGAUGGCGUGUACGCAUUGAUUAUAGAAAAUUGAAUUCUGUCACACGUAAAGACCAUUUUCCUUUACCAUUUAUUGAUCAAAUGCUUGAUAGAUUAGCAGGCCAUGAAUUUUAUUGCUUUCUAGAUGGUUACUCAGGAUAUAAUCAGAUUCCCAUAGCACCAAAAGAUCAAGAGAAAACUACUUUCACUUGCCCUUUUGGCACAUUUGCAUAUAGGAGAAUGCCAUUUGGAUUAUGUAAUGCACCUGCUACAUUUCAACGAUGCAUGUUGAGCAUUUUUUCUGAUAUGGUGGAACGAUUCCUUGAAGUCUUUAUGGAUGAUUUUUCUGUCUUUGGUGACUCGUUUGAUCAAUGUUUACAUCAUCUAACACUAGUUCUGCAGAGAUGUAUCGAGAAGAACUUGGUCUUAAAUUGGGAGAAAUGCCAUUUUAUGGUAAAACAAGGUAUUGUUCUCGGUCACAUCAUUUCGAGCAAAGGUAUUGAGGUUGACAAAGCCAAGGUGGAUCUCAUUUCUAAUCUUCCUCCACCCAAAACAGUCAGAGAAGUAAGAUCUUUCCUUGGGCAUGCUGGUUUCUAUAGACGUUUCAUUAAAGAUUUUAGUAAAGUUUCUAGACCCUUAUGCAAUUUGCUUGCUAAGGAUGUACCUUUUGUCUUUGAUGAUUCAUGUCUUGUUGCGUUUGAAAAAUUAAAGCAUUUGUUGACAUCAUCACCCAUCAUUCAGGCCCCAAACUGGAACUUACCAUUUGAGCUAAUGUGUGAUGCAUCUGAUUAUGCAGUAGGAGCAGUAUUAGGACAAAGAGUUGAUCGAAUUCCCCAUGUUAUUUACUAUGCUAGUAUGACAUUGAAUGAUGCACAGUUGAACUAUUCAACUACUGAAAAAGAAAUGCUAGCAGUAGUGUUUGUAUUGGAAAAAUUUCGAUCAUAUCUCAUUGGUUGUAAAAUAAUUAUAUUCACAGAUCAUGCUGCUCUUAAAUAUCUUCUCACAAAGAAAGAUGCAAAAGCCAGACUAAUUCGUUGGGUGUUACUUUUGCAGGAAUUUGACUUGGAAUUCAAAGAUAAAAAAGGGACAGAAAAUGUUGUGGCGGACCACCUCUCUCGUCUCCAUUUUGACACAAUAAUAGAACAAUUACCAUUAAAUGAGUCAUUUCCAGAUGAACAAUUAAUGAGUGUGGAAGUAUUACCUUGGUAUGCUGAUAUAGUUAAUUAUCUUGUUACAGGUAAACUUCCAGAGCAUUGGACCAAGCAAGACAAGGCUAAAUUCUUUGCAGAGAUAAAGAAUUUCUUUUGGGAUGACCCGUAUUUGUUCAAGUAUUGUGCGGAUCAAAUUGUUAGACGAUGUGUCCCAGAAAGUGAAAUUCAGAAUAUCCUUUCAUUCUGCCAUGAACAAGCUUGUGGAGGCCAUUUCAGUGCUAAGAAAACAGCGACUAAAGUUUUACAAUGUGGUUUCUAUUGGCCAACACUAUUUCGAGACGCUUACACUUUUUGUUCUUCAUGUGAUAGGUGUCAACGAAUGGGGAGCAUUACACGAAGGAACAUGAUGCCACUAAAUCCAAUUUUAGUGGUUGAGAUUUUUGACGUAUGGGGUAUCGACUUCAUGGGACCCUUUCCCCCUUCUUUUGGCCAUCAAUACAUAUUGGUUGGUGUUGACUACGUCUCAAAAUGGGUAGAAGCAAUUCCAUGUAGGACCAAUGAUCACAAGGUGGUGAUAGGAUUUUUGAAAAGCAACAUUGUCUCGCGCUUUGGAUUCCCUCGAGCAAUAAUCAGUGAUGGUGGUGCCCACUUUUGUAACAAAGCAUUCAAAGCUCUUUUGACAAAGUAUUCAAUCACGCACAAAGUGGCGACCCCGUAUCAUCCGCAAACCAGUGGCCAAGUUGAGAUCUCCAAUCGAGAAAUAAAGCACAUAUUAGAAAAAACGGUGAGGCCGGACAGAAAAGAUUGGUCAUUAAGACUUGAUGAUGCCUUAUGGGCAUAUAGAACGGCUUUCAAGACCCCGAUUGGGAUGUCACCCUACAGGCUAGUGUAUGGAAAAGCUUGCCACCUACCUGUGGAACUCGAGCAUCGUGCGUAUUGGGCCAUCAAGAAAUUCAAUUUUGACAUGCAGCAAGCCAGCUCAGAAAGAAGAUUACAGCUGGCAGAACUUGAAGAAAUUCGCAAUGACGCGUACGAAAAUGCCAAGAUUUACAAGCAACGAAUGAAAGUCUUCCAUGACAAGCAAAUUAUGAGAAAAUCUUUCACCCCAGGUCAGAAAGUGCUUUUAUUCAAUUCUCGCUUGCACCUAUUCCCAGGUAAGUUACGCUCUCGAUGGUCUGGCCCAUUUAUUGUUCAUACUGUUUUUCCACAUGGGGCAAUUGAAAUUAAAGACCCAAAGAACGGUGUCACGUUUAAAGUUAAUGGUCAAAGAUUAAAGCCAUAUCUAGAGUACCAACCACAUGAAGAAGACACCGAAAUAAAUUUGAGUGACCCACCAAAUUUGAAUUGAUUUUUUUUUUCUUUUCGUUGAUUUGAUUUUUCUUUCUUUCUUUUUAUUAUUAUUCUUUUGCUAAUUGAAAUUGUUUUUGCAUAAGUGUGUUUAUUUUACCAUUAAGUUUUCUCUUAUCAUUUUUAAUCAUGAGUCUCAUACUUAGACCGUUCCUCCUGAACAUUCUUAAACCACUUCAACGUGUCAAAACUCAUCUCAAAAGACAGAUUCAAUUUUGUAAAACACAUCGCAUUUGGGCUCUACAACCACCAGAGUUAGUAGCCUAUGUUGAGGGUUUAGAACACCAACUCAGAGACAUUGAGAGAAGUGUUUACGACAUCCAGUUGGAGCUUGAGGUAAAUUCAAUAAGAGGACGAUUUUAAUUUUCUUUGUGUGUUUUAAUUUGUUUUUCUAUUUGUGUGCUUUAGUUUGUUACCCCGGUGAAAUGGCGGAUAACGGUACUCCGUGACAAUCAAGUCGGUUACUUCAGUCUCCCAUAAUAACUGAUAUUCUGAGGCGAAGGUAUGGACAGAAACGAGAUUCUAGCGAAGCUUCACAAGCGAUUCCCUUCACUUCCUCAGAAUGCCCUCCUUACGAUCUAUAAAGCUCGGUCCGAACGCAUGCGAUUACUCAUGAGGAAUAACAUACCUGCUGACAUCCGUUGGUUAAUCGAGGCUAAAGUACGAUCGGCAGGUGAGUUACCUCCAAAAUUUAUUGCAUACAUGCCUGGUUGUGGUAAAGGAAAUUAUGCAAGAAAACGACGAGCUCGAAGAAUUUCUGUUGCUUGUCAUAAGUGUGCCAGAAUGAGUUGCAAUAAAAACCCAUGUUCUUUAGGAAUGGUGUCUGAUAACAGGGAAGAUAAGAUUCAAUUCAUUAGGGAUGGCUUGAAUAAGGAGUCAUUGGAUGAUAUCCUUUUGUCUCUUGAAACGCAUCCCAGUGGAUAUGUGCAAGGAGCGAUUCUCCAGUUAUGGCCAUUAUUCCAGAAAGAGCAUGCACGAUAUAGUCUCGGGAAUCUGACUAUAAACGACCCUGUUUGCCAGUUUAUAAGAAAAUUGGAUAGGAAGCCUAUCCUCGACCCAUAGAGGGCGUUCAAGCCGUUUCUGGACGUAAAACCAGAGGAAGAUGUGAGCCACAGUCGCAACUACCUGUAAAUAUUCUUUUACUUUAUUAUUUCACUAUUGUCUUAUUGUUUGCAUUAUUGUCUUUAAUAAUUUUAUUACUGUUUGCUUUUUUUCUUUUUACUGUUUUCUUUUUGACUCGCGAGCCACGUGCUUUACGCGUUAUUUGACAUGGACAUGUGACCUCAUACACAACUAUGACCCAUUAUCACCAAGACUCUUAAAUGUGAUUUUCUUUGUCAAUCACUCACAAAUUAUUUUUGCGAAGUAUCACAAUGGCAGCUACUCCCAAUAGACAAUUCAAGAACAUUUGUGUGCUUUCUGGAUUUACAUAUGGCAAACAUAAAGAGUUCGUUGAGGCAGCCAUAGAUCUUGGUCGAAGCAUAGCAGCGAGAAAAUUACACUUGGUGUAUGGAGGAGGUAAUCGAGGGUUAUCAAAAAUGGUCUCAGAAGCAGCUCUUAUCAGAGGAAGUCAAGUGUUAGGCAUCAUCCCAAGAGUCUUAAAACCAUUGGGCAGUUCGUCUGACUCAUCAACUGGAGAAGAGUUAGUCGUCUCAAGUAUGCAGGAAAGAAUAACUGAAAUGCUUAAUCAUGCUGAUGCUUUUAUUUUCCUUCCAGGAGAUCUUGCAACACUAGAGGCACUUAUGACACUAGCAUCUUGGGCCCAUCUACACAUUCACCAGAAACCCAUCGGUUUGUUAAAUGUCAAUAACUUUUAUGAUGGCUUUAUCGCAUUUCUUAACCAUGCAAUAAAAAACUAUUUCAUUCCCUCUAAUGCGAAAAAACUCUUUAUUUGUGCUCACACUGCUAAUGAGCUACUUGAUAUGUUACAAGCUUAUCGACCGGAGCCAGACCCCUGGACCUUUGUGUUGGAGCGUCCAAAUAAUGAUGGUAACAGUAGCCGCAGUAAGAAGUACAAAUUAGAUUUAACUCUCCGCCUGUAAAUAUUUUCUUCUGUGUUGCACCACCCAGGUGAUGUCUUCUAAACUCUACUUCUUUCAUUUCAAACAUUGAGGACAAUGUUUCGUUCUGGUUGGGGGGAGGGAAUAGUCGACAAUUGUGGAAUUUUGGUUAAGUUUUUACUAAUUUUUUGUUGUAGAAACUAACUGUUGCUAACUUUUUGUGUUGAAGAUGGCUGAAUAUGGAGUGUAGUUACUCUAGAAACGCAUCUUCAUUGUUUGAAAAAAAAAAUUCAAAAAAAAAAAACAAUUCAGACAUUUUCUUUUUCUUUAUUAUGUGUUUAUGUUUAUUUUUCUUCUUUAAUUUCUCCUCUAUAAAUAUAAAUUUUCCAACUUUUGAGUCGAAGAUGGCUGAAUAUGGAGUGUAGUUCCUCUAGAAACGCAUCUUCUUUUAAAAAAAAAAAAAUCAUUUUCGUUUUCUAUCAUUUUACGUGUAACUUUUCUAAUUAGUUUUUAUACAUCAUUUUCACAUUUCUGCAUGCAUAUUUUCCUUUCAUGUUUAGAAUAGGUUGGGGGGUAGAAUGAUGUUUAAAAAAAAAAAUGUGUGAUUUGUUUUAACAUUGGAUGACAUGAUUAAUUUCAAAUUUUAGUAUUUGUAUUAUCUUUGGUCUUAAGUGAUGUUACGCUAUGUUUGCUACUUUACAUGUUGAUGUCGGAGACAAAUGUGAGUUGCUUGAAGGAAUGAAUAUGUCAUAAUAAGUACCAAGUGAGUUUUUGAGCCUAUUAUUUUUCUUGGAGAAUAACCCUUUUGCCCACUCUUUAUACAGCUUAGCAGUUUAUUAUUUUAUACACGAUCUCUAAAUUACUUUUGAGUUAACCCUUAAAAAAAAAAUUGUAAAAUAAAAAAAAAGAGAAAAAAGAAAAAGAAAAAAGAGUGUGUUGCUACAUUUGGAGGCCCAUCUAACUAGUAGAUAUGGAAGAUUAUUUAGAGCCCUAAAAGACGAUGGAGAGGCCAUCUUUGAUCCGUUUGAGCCUUUCAAGCCAUCCCUUUUUAAUAUCCAUAGUUAACCCUUUUGAGCCUAUAAAAAAAAAAAAAAAAAAAAAACCUUUUCUUUGUCAACUUAUCAUCUUGACCCACUCCGAUUUGGAGUAUUACCCGAUAUCUUAUAAGUUCCAUCACCUAUUUAUGUUUGAGAAAAUGUAAAUAAUUAUUUUGUUCAGUGAAGUUAUGCCAAAUAAAAAAAAAACAAAAACAAAAGUUGUUGUUUCAAAAGAAUAAAAAUAGGUGAAAUCCACCUUGCAACUUCCAAAAAAAAAAAAAAAAUUCUCUGCAUUUUUCUCAAACAUACACUUUGUUUUCCUUAUUUUCCUUCUUUGUUAGCCAUGUCCCUAGCCUACGUUUCGUCCUAAUAAAAGUCCUUCUUGAUUUUAGGGAACUAUAGUUUGAAGUAGAAGCUAGUUAUAUGGGCUAAAAAGAUGUAGUGAUGCAUAAUUAAAAAAAAAAAAAAAGAUAAAUAAAGUGGGUUGACUAACAUUUUAUUUGACUUGAGAUCGUAUUAUUUCUAAGCUGAGGGCAUAUUUAUUUCAUCUUGGUGAGAGCAUGUGAUAUCACUUCUUUAUUAUUUUCUCUCUCAAUUACCAUUCAUUGGAGUGACUAUUUUUAUUGGGAUUAAUUUAUUUGUGAGAGUGUCACUACUUCCAGUGAGAUUUUGGGGUUUGACAUUUCAUUCUUGAGAGUAGCUAUAACAAAGUCUACUGGGCUAAUUCAUGUGGAUGGUUGAUGUGGGUGUGAUGUUGCUUUAGACUGGAGAUAAUGCUUAUACUUUUAUUUGAUUGCUAUCAUUAAUCUGAUGGAAUAAAUACGAGUGUUUCUAUUAAAAAAAAAAAAAUUAUUUUGAAUUUGAAUUUUGUUUUCGCUUUAUUUGCUAGGGACUAGCAAUAAGCUGGUUGGGGGGUGUGUUGAGUGUUAGAAAAUGCAUAUUUAUAAAGGAGAAAACCGUCAUUUUACAUUUUAAGUCUUACUAACAACCCUUACUUUUAUAUAUUUAACCUUCUUGUGAUUUAAUUACAUGUGUUUUAUUUUAAUUAAGUAUUUUAUGUAUUUUAGGGGCAUUAUAGUCAUUUCACAAUAAAGGAGAGAUCAGACGGCAAAACGGACAUCACUUUUGAACUCAGGACGGUCGAAAACCUUAGGAGGAGCAUAAAAGGAAAAAUGGCACUAUUCACAUGUACGGUACUAUUCACGUAUACGGUACUGUCUACGUUACUGUUCACGACACUGUUCACAUAGACGGAUCGAUGACGUGGCAUUGACCGAUGAUGUGGCAUUGACUGAUGAGGUGUCACGAUCCUGUUGGGCUAAAAUUCUUAUGUACUGUUGAUGGUGACGUGGCAGCAUAUCAGUGGACGAAAAAUCUCGUGUACGGUGCAUGCAUCACACAGGAUUAUUUUCAACCAAACCGCGUUACUGUUCAUCCGGGUCAAACCGCGUUACUGUUCAAAGUCGGGUCAAACCGUGUUACUGUUCAUCCGCGUGGUCAAACCGUGGACUGUUGACUGAUGACGUGGCGCAAUCCUGAGCGUCCAAACUGUUUUUAAUCCGAUGGCCAUGAUUUACUCCAUGUAUCUAUAAAAAGGGGGCCUCCCCCCCCUAAUUUGAUAUCUCUGAAUCCAUUUUUGGGAUCCAUUUUCUGUAAUUCCUUCUCCAUCUUGUAUUUUCUUCAUAUUUUAAUAAAUUCCCAUUUUGCCCCUAGUUCAAUUAUGAGUGGCUAAUUUUCUUUCAAGCUUGGGUUGAAGGUGAAGUCUCAACAUGUGUCAUGGGCUUAAUUUGGUAAAUUUAUUUUCUCUUCCCCUCUAGUUUUUGUGGAUGUUUUGACUUCUCGUCGACAAAUAAUACUAAUCUUGUCUAGUACCGCCUUGGUUUCACCGGCUCUCUAGUAUAAGGUUAUUAUUAUUUGGCACGAUAAGCCCUUAGCACCAUAUUGAUUAGAGUGUGGUUCAUGCGGUGUGGAUUCCCCCCUCAUGAUUUAAUUGGUAUUAAUAAGGAAUAUUUAGCCUAUGAUGCAUGUUGAUACGGAUCCAGAUACCCAAGUACGUCAUUUCAAUAGAAUUCUCUUCAAUUUAUUCUCACCAUUUCAAUACCAAUUUUAGAAUUUAUUCUCUCCAUUUUAAUUUAAGUUUUAGCAUAUUCCAAUCAUUUCCACCACAAAUCUAAUCACCCAUUCACAAAAUUAAUUCUACACAAUUAAAAUCCACCUCCUCGUGGGAUCGACACUCGUCACCAUUAAUCUAUACUACAACAGAUUCGUGCGCUUGCGAGUACAUUAAAAUUUGCACAACACCUGGUCCUCUGGUGGCCAGCCACAUCUCUCUCAAAACGAACCAGCACCGGCCUGUGAUCCGAAGCAAUUUUCGGGAGAUGGAGCACAUAAUUAUUCAUAUAUUUAAGCAGCCAUUCACUAUUACACAAAGCUCUAUCAAGCCUUUUAAAAAGCAAUCCACGUGACCAAGUAAACCUUGGACCCUUAAAUUUCAAGUCAAAAAGUUUAUGCCCAUCAAACCACUUCCGAAACAGAUUACACACUCCUGAGUUCCUGGCCACACCCCCUUGCUUUUCUGAGGCGUAUAAGAUAGAGUUGAAAUCCCCACCUAUCAACCAAGGCUCUUGAAUUAAAGGCGCAAGGUUCUCCAUAUGGCACCACAGCUGUCUCCGCAACAUUGGGUUUGGACUGGCAUAAACAGCCGUUACCCAAGACACAAAAACAUUGUUCCUGCAAAUUUUAAAAUGGAUGAACUGCCUGUGAUUAAUUGAGACCUCCACCUCUAUAGAACUUCGCCAAAGAAGCCAAAUUCCUCCAGAAAAACCCACAGCUUCCACCCGGUGCGAGUAAUCAAAUCCACUUUUCUUUAUAAAUUCAUCGGCUUUCACCCCACUAGUACGAGGUUCCAUUAAUACCACCAUCGAUGGGUUGUAAUUUUUAAUAAUAGUCCUAAACGAGCACCUGAAUUCCCCCGAGGCUGCCCCUUGGACAUUCCAGAACAUAAUACUGACUGUCAUAAAAAAUAUAAGAAGAGAGAACAUGAGGCUACUGUUGCUAUCCAGAGACAUCAUCCAUCAAUGCCAACGGCGUUUCCUGAACCAUCGAAAAUUCAUCAUCAGUCAUCCCAUCUCCAUCUAUACCACUCAUAGGAACAUCUGGAUGGUUACAAACAUGUCCACCUUCUUUCACCCGAGAAGUGUUAUGGUUAUCAGGAGGGUCUGCUAAGGGUUGCGGAUCCGAUCCCUGCAUCUCUAUAUGAUCCGUGGCCACUUCCCUUACAUCUCCAUUAAGAAGUGUUGGGGGAGAACAAAAAACCAUUGUGUGUUUAGUAGGAUCCAAGGUGGAUUCGAAAGAAACCACACGUUGGUUACUAGAUACUUUCUGGGGGAAACUAUGUGAAUUGGAUUUUUGGUUGGCAUGGGGUAAGAGAGUUAUAUCCUCAUCUCUGAUACUUAAAUCACUAGGCUGGAAAGGGUUACUAGUAGGGACCACUGGAGCAUUUAGCUUUUUGCUCUGAUUCCUUAUUACCACGGUCUUAUUUUGCAGCUUUCGACGAGCUAAAAUCUGUACUGUGUUAUUUGUUUUGGCUGUAAAUGUAGGGUUUGAGGCGGAUAUGAAAGGCUACCGUGAGGUGGAGGGGAAGUCUGUGCAAGCCUCCUGCACUUGGUGUCCUCCUUCAUCCGGGACUUGGGAUAGAAUGUGAAACCUUGAGGUACCAGCUCCAGUAAACUCCCUAUUCCGAUUUAAGUCUCUAGUAUUCAUCCUUCCAUUAUUAGGCUUUCUUCCUCUCCUAGGAGCCAUCAUCCAGGGACCAAAUGGUUCCACAGUGCUGUCGCCAUUACAACCUUUAGCCUGUUGGCCAGGAGCCUCGUUUCCCGGCAUUGCCUGAUGGGAUUGACCAGCUUCUUUAGAGCUUGUCGAGUUCUUAGCAUCUUUGCAAUUAUUACUAUUGUGCCCGUAAAGUCCACACUUAUAACAAAUUACUGGCAAGCCCUCAUAUUCGACCUUCUGUAUCUUCCCAUCCAACUCAAACUGAGACACCAGUGGCCUAGUUAAAGAGAUACUCACUGCAAGGCGGGCAAAUCUUCCACGAGAUGAGGAGGCUGUAUUCAAAUCGAUUGUAAUCACGUUCCCCACUAACUGACCCAGCUUUUGAAGAACUUUUCGAUCGUAAAGAUGAACAGCAAGGCCAGGUAAUCUGAUCCACACCGUGACCUGUUCAAGAGCCGUGUUUGUGAAGUCAAAGGAUGGCGUCCAUGGCUGCACCGUUAAAUAGUGACCCAUGACAAGCCACGGCCCCUUGGUUAAUGCAUCCAUAGCAUCCCCUACCGAGCGAAACCGAACCAGAUAAUAGUUAUUCUCCAAGUCUAUCACUGAAAACCCCAUGGCUGAUUUCCACAUGCCAUUCAAUCUUGCACAAAGGGCUCUAUAGCCAAUUGUGCGGCCAAGCAACUUUACAACAACCGAGUUCUUCCAAGGCUCACUUAACUUAGCAUGAACCCUAGCCGAAAAAGUGAUGGAUGGCAUGGAUCCCUCGUUACUUUCAGUAACGUCCCCUUCCUCAAAAUCCCAGUCAUCUAGUCCACCUCCAACUCCUUGCUCCAUCGCUUGCGUUGCAUUCACUAGGGUUUCUUUGUACGAUACCUGAGCAGUGGGAUCACCAGCAUGUUCCUCAUCGCGAAACCUCGCUUUUUUAGUCGUUCUAGCCUCCCUGAACGGCGGGGGAAAAAUCCCUCCGGAGAUAGGGUUUCCUUCACAUCCGUGGUUUUCGGAGCUUUCCAUUGAAUUUCGCUUGAUUCACUAAAAAAAUUAACGUUUUUAUGAAGGCUCGAACCAUUGCACUCAACAUUGUAAGUGCAUAUUGGAGUUAUUGGUAAAAUCACAAUUUUAUUUCUCAUCAACGAUAUCCUUCUCUUAUCUUCCCAUUGUUUAACCUCGGGUGGUUCAGUUAAUUCAAUACCGGCAGAAACCAAAAAGUUUUCAUUCUCCACUUCACAGGCUAUCCACAAGGUCAUAUCACGAAUCACAUCAUGCAGUUUUACAUAAUCUGAUCCUGCUUCUUCCAAUAGGCAUGCAUGAACAAGAACACCAAUAAUGUAGUAUCCUUGGUUAUGUACUCCAUUAAUUCCUUUAUAUUCCUUUAGAAAACCCUCACCAAUCCAACACCCUACCAAUUCAAUUUUGCUAAUUUGAUAAUCCUCAAGAAAUAAACUACAGUAUAACAGACAAGAUCUAAGGACGUCACUAGACAAACUAUCAUAACUGAAUUUUAAAAGACGAAACACCUCUUUCUCCAUACCUGGAAAUUCAUAAGCUGAUCUCCUUAACAUCUGAAUUGCAUAGCUCCAUUCUUCGGGUGUCUUCUUGCUGCUCAUGGCACGACCGGUGGUAAUAAGUGCAAGUGGCAAACCACUACACUCCUUUGCCACAGUUUGGGCUAACUCCGGAAUAUCGGGAUGACUUUCAAGAGUCUCUUCUCCGACCUUCUUUAGGAACAAUUCCCAAGCAUCUUGAUCUGCCAAACACUCCACCUUGAACUUUUUUUGAGCUUCCAUGAGGCCACAGACGUCCACAAGACGAGUCGUAAAGACUAUCUUUGAUGCAUUUCUUGAACUCCCAGGAAAAGGGACACCCACUUUGGCUAAAUCAAUUCUUUCCCAUAUAUCAUCUAACAAUAGCAGAAAUUUCAUUUUGCUCAAUAAAUUGAAUAUGCCUGAUGCUUUCUCUUCAAAGCUUCUAUUCUGAAGCCAUCCUAUUCUUUCUCCGAUUUUCUGUUGAAUUCUCUCAAGUUGCAUGUCUUUUGACACCACCACCCAAAUCACAAUAUCAAAAUAAUUUGGUGUAUUAAGGAACUUGUUGUUGAUUUGGGUUAAUAGUGUAGUCUUGCCGACUCCCCCCAUGCCAUAAAGUCCGAUGAUUCCAAAUUGUCCUUCUACAAGACAUCUCCAAACUUGAUCAAAUGAUGAUUCUAGGCCGAUUAUUGUUGGCUGAAGAGGCCUUUCAUCCACUGCUGGUUGUGGUACCUUUUCAGCUACCACUGCAAAAGCUCCAUCAUCUAUUAAAGUAGCCACAAGCUGCAGCUUUUUAGACACCUUUUUCCCAAACUUGUAGCUUGACUUGCAGUUCUUGGAGCAGUAGCCUCCAAGACAUAGUUUUUCAAUUUCUUGAGAGCUGUCCCUUCUCAAUUCACCUACUUCAGCUUCCACAGCCUCCAACCUUGCACUCUGUUCAGCCGUCUUAGUUGUUGUUGCUCAGCAUUAGCGACCCUCAUCAUCACAUCGUUCUUUGUUUCAAUUAGUUUCUGCAAUUCGGUCUGGACGGCAACCAGAUUAUUUUCAAGCUGGCUUAGAUAUGCUGCUUUUCUGCGGGUACAAUUGAUGAAGCCAGUGGAAAGGGCAUCACAUGUAAGUUGGAUUCCCAAAAUAUUACCCAUAGUUUGUAUGAGAUUCAGAGUACAAUAGAAGGAAUGCAACACAGUAUGUAUUCGGUUGUGGUGUCUAUGAUUUUACAGUCGCAGAAGCUUAUUCACCUUGUGAGGGCUGGUCAGGUGGGCACCAUCACUCUCCUUACUCUUUAUAGAGAGCGAUAGUCCAUGUGGUCAGAUCUCAUUCAGAUAACUAGCCAAGUGGGCAAUCGCUCCACCUUAUCAAAAUUCUUCAUCUUAUAAUAAUAUCAUGAGUAGGCCUUGAAUUUUUCUUUUAAUUUUAACAUUUAAAAGGUAGAGGUGAAAAAGUCUACAUAGUAUUUUUGUCCUCGUACUUUAAUAACAUUUCUUGAAAGUCACUCGAUCUCAAAAUUUAAUUAAGAAGAUAUUAUAGAUUUAUAAGCCCUUAAAUUUUAUUUGCAAGUAAGCCCAUAAGACUUACUAAAAGUCGUCAACUCGUCAUGACCAAAAUUGAAAAUUCGUCCGCGCGUGAAAUACGGCAUGCACAGUCGUAUUAAAAGCAAAGGCCAGCUAUGAUAGUCUUCGUAUACUUGCAUUCCCUAUCAUCUUAUUAAUAAUUUCAGACACGUAGUUCGUUGCUUGUGAUUUUUCAUAUGCAAAAGCACAGUCAGUGUUACAUUUUACAAUUACAAUUGAGUGCCACCUAUAUACUCCUUCAUUCUUUUCAAAAUAUGUUGUAGGAUGGGUAAUUGUGACAAAAGUGAUUUUUAAAAAAAAUUAACUUUUAAUUUUUUUUAAAUUACUUUUGAGAUUUGUGAAAAAAAUCCUAAACGGGUCUCAGAAGUAUAAUUAGCACCGCGAAUUUAUAAAAUGAUCAAAGGAAUCCAUCGCCUAAUAUUAUAGUACGCAAUUGAUUGCUAUAAACUAAAUUGCUAUGAUCUCACUUCAUAAUAAUUUAUUUUCAAUCUCCAUCAUGGUAGAAAAAUUUCAUCAAUCAACAUACCCUACCACCACCCAAUAGUCGACCAUUUAUCAUCUUCUAUCCGUAAAAAACCGAAAAAAAAAAAGAAAAGGAAAAAUUUAGUCCACAAAAGAAUAUAUCGCAAGACCAAACAGAGAGAGAAAAUAGAAAAAGCAAAGAGCUGUACUGAAUACCGGCGGUGAUGGCUCCGUACUUGACCAUUUAGGUUUGAUUCUGCAUUCACAUAAUAUUUUUUCUACACUGCAGUCACAUCACAACCAUUGAAUAGUCGUGAUCUAUUUUUCUAAAGCGAAUAAUAUUAUCUUCUCGUGUCGGUGGCUUGAUCAUAUAACAAAAUAGACUAAUAAUGUUUCAAUAGACAUUUUGGUAAAUGGAAGAAGUUAUGAUCUGUCCAUUUUUAUGUUACUUUAUUUUAAUUUGUUAAUUACUAUUAAUAUCUUUGAGUGGGAUAGAAUCUUGACCUAAGAUAUGACUAGGCUCCACAUGUUAUAUAUUAAUUUGAUUAAGCCUAGCUAAUUGUUAAUUAUUAAUUUGAUUGCGGCUUUUUAUUUUACCCACAUUUUUUAUGCGUGAAAUCUUUCUUAGUGAAAAACUACACGUAUUUGCAAAUAUUCGGAAUGGACAUUUUCGAAAAAACAAGUAAAAGAAAAUGACUAAAAAGUAAAAGAAAAUAGACACCCAAUUGUAAUUGCGAGGACAAUAGAAGGAAUGCAACAAACAGCUCUCUCCUUACACUCUUAUAGAGAGUUAUAGUCCAUGAUCUCAUUGAGAGAACUAGCCAAGUGGGCAAUCGCUCCACCUGAUCACAAUUCUUCAUCUUAUAAUAAUAUCUUGAGUCGGCCUUCAAUUUUUUUUUUCAAUUUUUAUCUUUAAAAGGUAGAAGAAGUGAAAAAGUUAAAUAAUAUUUUUGUCCUCCUAUAUAACAUUUUUUGAAAAUCACUCGAUCUUAAAACUUAAUUAAGAAAAUAUUAUAGAUUUUUAAGUUAGUGGCCCUUAAAAUUUAUUUGCAAGUAACAAUUAGAGAAAAGUCGUCAUGCCCAAAUGACUUACUAAAAGUCUGCAACUCGUCAUGACCAAAAUUCUUCCGAGUGUGAAAUACGGCAUGCGCAGAUGCAUUAAAAACAAAGGCCAGCUAUGAUAAUCUUUGUAUACUUGCCUUCCCUAUCAUCUUAUUAAUAAUUUCAGACGCGUCGUUCGUUGCCUGUGAAUUUUCAUAUGCAAAAGCACAGUCAGUGUUACUUGCAUUCCCUGUCACCUUAUUAAUAAUUUCAGACACAUCGUUGGUUGCCUGUGAUUUUCAUAUGCAAAAGCACAGUCAGAAUUACAAUUUACAUUUGGAAUUGAGUGCCAUCUAUUUAUUCUAGCUGGAUCUAAAAUGAUAUUGCAGUAUUGCACUGACUUUUCAGUCACAGCGUUUCUCUAUGAAUUCCUUAAAGUUUAGACCCAUCAUGGAAUAAUUAUUUUCUUAAAGACCAAAUUAACAUAAUUCUUAAAUCAUCUUCCGAGUGUCAAAUACGGCAUGCGCAGAUGCAUUAAAAACAAAGGCCAGCUAUGAUAUUCUCUGCAUACUUGCAUUCCCUGUCACCUUUAUUAAUAAUUUCAGACACGUCGUUGGUUGCCUGUGAUUUUCAGACACAUCGUUGGUUGUCAGAAUUACAAUUUACACUGAUUUUUUAGUCACAGCGUUUCUCUAUGAAUUCCUUAAAGUUUAGACCCAUCAUGGAAUAAUUAUUUUCUUAAAGACCAAAUUAACAUAAUUCUUAAAUCAUUUAUAAAACAACAUUUAUCAUAUAACAGAUCGUACAUGAAUAAAUUUACCUUGAACCGUAGCAAACAAACAAGAAUCUCAACCACAUCAAUAUCAUAAUCCCUUCUGACCUUAACAAUAAUUUUAUUCGUCCUUAAUUCAUAGGUAUAAGUAUCCCAAUAUAUACUUGAUGUCAACCUUUACAAUUCUUUACAGAAUUGCAGCAGACCAAAUUUGUAUGCAAAACUGAAAUCAUACAGUAAUUGAAUACAGUGAUAGUAAUUAGUAUAUAUAAAUAUCUUAAUAAUUUAAAAGUUUCUUAAACUGCUUUUACAUAUCUGAAAAAUUAUAGAAAUCGGAACUGCUGCAGAAAUCAUAAUUUCCCAGCGAAUGUGUUACAACUUCAGAAACUCAUAAGAAAUUAAAUUCUUGGGAUCACAAAAUAAUUCAAUAGAAAGCUUAAGAUGUCUAGUUCAUAAAAUCUGAAUUUUUUUUUAAAAAAUAAGAUCUUUGGAAUUUAAGAGAUUCAGCAGUACUUUUAUUACAUCAAUUCUUCAAACAAUCACCAAUCUAACAUUCAUCAAAAUUAAGUCAUAAAAAUCAUGUGGUUUAUAAAAAGAAUUACCUGAAAAAGAUUAGCCUUCCCCUUUCAAAAGCAACGUGAAACUCCAAAAACUCUUCUUCCAUUGCCUAUUCAAACAUGAAAAAAAAAAUUAGUAUAUCUUCUUUAAACGCGUGAUGAGUGUGCUCUGUUUUCUCUGUUCUUCUUCUUCUUUUUUAGAUUUCGAAAACGUAAAGAGUGUUGGAGUCUUUAUUUUCUAAAAACAAGACUUUUCCAUGUAUUCAGUUAAAUUAAAUUAUGUCCUAAUGCUAUGUCAGUUCCAUCAUUAGCAUUUUUUUUUUUGGCUUUUAACACCAACAUUAGCGUAUGUUAAGUAUCAUAAUCCAUAGUUGGACAAUUUGAAAUCUCUUCGUGGUUUAUCUCAAAGUAGAGCUUCAAUCAAUUUGUACCUCAUAAAUUUACAAUAUCUAUGAGGGCUAAUAAGACCAAACUCUGGCAUAUUGUCAAAUGUGCUUAUACUUUCGCUUGACAAGUCAUUUUAAAAUUGUCUUUCAAUGCCAAAAAAACCACAUCAACUAAUGGUCCACUACUUUAAUUUGAAAGCAUGCAUGCGAUCGCCAAUAAUCAAGGAUGUUAGGGUCAUGCUACAGAGUAUAGAAUAUGAUUUUAUGGUAUAGCCUUCUUUCUUUAUAAUUUUUAAAUUUAAUACUGUUACUUAUGUAGCACAUAAGUUGGAAAACAUAACAUAAAAUUUGAAAAAUGUAUAGUUUUCGUUCCCUUUUUUCCCCUCUAAAAAUGGGAAAAAAGAACGUAAUUUUGAUUUAUUUAAAUUACUGUUGUGAUAACAAUUUUUAUUUUAUUGAUUAUUUACCCAUUCAUGUGGCAAAUUUUUUAAGAUAAGGUGAAGGAUGAAGCUCAAAAACAUAAAUUAUAUAAUUAAUUACCCUCUCUAGUAAGUUUAAAGUUUAUUAUUUUGAACUACAUGUUUAUAAUUUAUUUUUAUUAUGUGUUAAUAUAUAGAUCUAAAUUCACUUUGGAACCAUAUACAUAUUUAGACCUAAUGUGCAUGUUAAUCUAUAGAUCUAAAUUUACUUCUAAAUUCACUUUAGAUCUAUAUGAGUAUUUAGACAUAACGUAUUGCAACCAUAUUGGCAUGUUCUCACUAUAGUAUUGGUGUAUUGACAUUAUAUCUAAUUGUCCCUAUAAAUCCAAAAAUAAUCUAGAUAUACAAAUUAACAUAAAAUAAAGAUAAUUGGUAGAAAAUGCAAAUUAUAAACAUAUAAUUGAAAACGAUAAAUUUAAAUUUACUUAAGAAAGUAAUUAAUCACUUAUUUCUUUUUUAUAAUAUGACAAAUAUUAUAAUAAAUAUUAAUUAAUAAUAAUUAGAAUAACAAACUAAAGAUAUUUUAGUAACUUAAAAUAAUUCAUUUUGAUUUCGAGACAAAAUAAACACAUCAAUCGCAAUACAACUCAUUCUGAUUCCACUCAUUCAGAUUUCAACAUAUUUUAAUUAAUUCAAGUGCUCUCCAUUAUAAUUGAAGCCGCUGCCCCAUCCCACUCGUGAUUCCAAACUUUAUCUUUUUCCUUUUUUAAAUUAAUGCAAGCAGCCGCUGUCCUUUUUGUUAAUUAAUUAAUUAAUUCGGCCGCCCACAUUUCUUUUCCUAAUGUCUUCGGCUUUCGAUUUUCUUUUAUUUUCUUUUUAUUCUUAAAAUAGACUUAUAAUAAUAAAAUAUAAAAAUAUAAAAAAAAUUAACAUAAUCAAAAUAUAAUUUAACAGAAAAUUAAGAUAAAAAUGUGAAAAUAAUAUAUAAAUUAUGAGCGUAUCAAUCAAUAAAUGAAAAAUAAUAAUUUUUAUUUUUAUUAAAUAUAUAUUUUUCAAUAUUAAUCAGUUAUCUAAAUAACUAAAAUCAGUUAAAAAUAAAUAAAUAAAUUAUUCUUAAAAAAAAAAAACUUUUUAUACCACUCACUAUGCUGGCUGUCAAGGGUAGAAGCUUUGGGGACUGAAGUUGGUAACUUCUACAAGUAGUCUUAAGUUGACUGGCAACAACUAUAUUGGCAUUUGGACAUAAUGUUCUGCAACCAUAUUGGCAUGUUCAAUUGUUCUCACUAUUGUGUUGGUGUGUCGAUAUUAUCUCUAACUGCCCUAUAGAUCCAAAAAUAAUCUAAAUUUAUAAUUUAACAUAAAAUAAAAUAAUUGGUAGAAAACAAUUAUGGUUCAUUUACUUAUCAGUAAUUAGAAUAGACUGAAAUCAGAAUGAGUUGUACUGCCGUUAAUGUGUUUAUGUUGUCCUUGAAUCGGAAUGAAUUAUUUUAAUUUACUAAAAUACCCUUGGUUUGUUAUUCUAAUUAUUAUUAUUUAACAUUUAUUAUAAUAUUUGUCGUAUUAUUAAAAAGAAUUAAUAAUGAUGAUAAUAUUAUCAUUAUUGUUUGUUAUAUUAUUAUUAUUAUUUAAAAAGUUAUUGUUAAUAACAAUAAUAACUUUAUUUCAAUAAUAAAAAUGAUAAAAUUAAUAAUAACAAUCAUGACAACAACAAUAAUUAUUUAUUAUGCCAAAAAUAACAAUAAUAAUAAGAAUAAUAAUCAUCAUCAUUUCAAAAAAAAAUCAUCAUCAUCAUCAUUUUUGUAGUGGCUGCCUAUCGGCUGUUGCUUUCAUGCGAGAUUAACUUGCGACGCUUCAACUGCUAUUAUUUCUGGCAAUGUCAGGUGUUGUUGUUUCAAUGGGGGGAGAAGCUGUUUCGGUGCACUAACGAUGGGAGGUGUUGUGGCUGCGAUUCGAGGAGCUACUGGUUCAGUGCACUAAUGACGGCAGGUGUUGCUGCUCAAUGCAAGGUCCAUGGCCAGUUGUCUUGUUUUACACCCAGCUCUUGUAGGAAAUUCUUUAUCAAAAAUAUUUUUUUUGUAACCUUCAAUAAUUGUAAUAUCAUUUGCUUCCGUGGUAGAAAGGACAACUCAUUACUAAGUCUAGAUUGUGAUGAGACUGCUCUCCCUACAAAAGUGAGCAAAUAUCAUUGUAGGGAUUUUUCAGAAUCAACAUCUCCUGUCAUAUCUACACACUUGUAACACAAGUUUGUCACCACCAAAAUAUAAACAUAUUCUGGAAAUGCCUAUAAGAUAUCUGAGAAUUCAUUUCACUGUUGUCCAGUGCUCUUUGCCGAGAUUGAAGAGAAACCGACUGACUACACUGACUGCAUAGGCAAUAGCUGGUCUUGCACAAAUCAUGGUGUACACCAAACUGCCAAUUGCCUAAGCAUAAGGAACUCCUCUCACUGAGAAAUGGGUUUUGCUCUUGAGAUUUUUGGGAACAUGAAGAAUAAAGAUGUAAUUUCUUGGACUACCAUUGUGUUGGGGUAUAUAAAUAGAAGACAAGUCGAUAUAGCUCGACAGUAUUUUGCUCAGAUGCCAGAACGAGAUUAUGUCUUAUGGACUGCCAUGAUUGAUGGGUACCUUCGAGUGAAUAGGUAUAGAGAGGCUUUGACACUUUUCCGGGAGAUGCAAACUUCAAAUAUAAGGCGAGACGAGUUUACCAUUGUUAGGAUUCUUACAGCUUGUGCGAAUCUGGGGGCACUAGAACUGGGAGAAUGGAUAAAGACUUACACUGACAAAAACAAGGUCAAGAAUGAUAUAUUUGUGGGGAAUGCUUUGAUAGACAUGUACUGUAAAUGCGGAGAUGUUGAGAAAGCUCAAAGGGUAUUCAGGAAGAUGCUUCGAAAGGACAAAUUCACAUGGACGGCCAUGAUUGUUGGCCUUGCCAUCAGUGGCCAUGGUGAUAAAGCUCUUGAUAUGUUUUCCCAAAUGCUUAGGGCUUCGAUCAGACCAGAUGAGGUAACUUAUGUUGGUGUUCUGUCUGCCUGUACUCACAAUGGUAACGAAAAUUUUGUGAUAAACAGUUGCAACUUAAGGUGAGAAUUGGAGGAAACGAAAUAGACUGAAGUUGUUCAAUCAUCGGUGGUUGCUAUUUGAUUUUAAGUUGUUCAAUCAUCGGUCGUCUCUAUUUGGUUUUCUCCAAUAUCUCAUCUCCAGUUUUGACUCAGAUUCUGUCUUACCACUAGUAAUUACAUAGACUUGUUGCCAAAGGUAAGAAUGGGAAUAAAUUAAAUAGAUUAUGUCGAUAACGAAAUAGAUUUACUAUUGCUAUGUGCAUUCUAUUUGGUUCCUGCAAAAUAUUUUCUCCUGCCUAAAAUUUUUUGAAUCAGUAAGUUUUUACCUUAUGCAAGAAUUGUGCUAAGAGUAAUUCCAGUCUCUCUAUGUUUCAAUGAAGACGUAAAACUUGUGUUUUAGAGCACCAAUGUUAUGCUUCUUACAAUUGGAUUUUAAUUUACUUCGUAGAACUUUUGUCAAAAAGUACUAAGAGUGUAUUUGAAAUUGAUGUACUGUAUCUUUUAAGCUACAGCUGCUGUGGAAAAAAAAACUGUAACUAUGAAAUAAAAGUUAAUAAUAUAUAGUAAAUAUAAAUUUUAAAUAAUAAUUUUGAUAAAAUUAUUAAAGAUAUAAUAGUUUUUUUAUUAUACAAGUGAAAAAUUAUAUAAACAUAGUUUUCAAGUUACAGCAGCUAGUGUUUAUCAAACACUUUAGUACUGUAUCUUUUAAGUUACAGUUGCCCGAGUUCAAUCUCAAACGCAACUUAACGAGUAGUGCACCAAACACCAACUUUAUUACAGAGAGGACUUUGGUUAAACUUUAAGAAAAACACUCAAAGGAAGAGUUAUAAAUUAUUAUAGAAAUAUUUGACAUAAAUAAAAGCCAUUCCACAAUGCGAAGAUCUUGCUAUCAUCACCAGAAACCAUCGGGAGCUUUCAGGGUUUCCAUGAAAACGCCAUUUCAUUCCAAGAGUCAAUGGUGGGUAGAAAGUGGUGCAAACGAUACUCAUUGUUAAUGCUAUAAGUUUUUGCUAAAUUAUGUCUUACCCAAAAUGAUGAUUUAAUUUCCAUUCUCAAUUAAUUUUCAAAUUUCAACACUUUUCUUUGUAGCAUGACAUUGGAAAGAUCUUGUACUACUAAAAGCUAGCACCACACGUUAAUUAUUGUUAAGUUCUUUUUCAACGUGAAAUAAAGGAAGUAGUCCUUCGUUAAAACCAUUAUAGCCAAAUUUCAUGUAAUUGGACACUUACAGACUUUCAUUUCAAGCUGGAAUUUGGUCCAACGUUUCAAAGUUGACCCAACUAAUUGUCUGGUCAAGUCCUACACAGCUAAGACCCUCAAUGAAUGAGGGUGAGACUGCUAAAAAUUACGACAGUUGAUAUUAUUAUUAUUUUGGGAUAAAUCCUCACCAAGGUGAGUGAGGAGAUUUUAUCAAAAUAAAAAUAAAAAUAUAACAAGAAAACUAGCUAAAUUAAAAUAUUACAAAAGCUAGAUGAAAUGAAAGGCAGCCUAAAAACAACCUUAUGCAAAAGAGAAGCAACAUGCUAGUAUUCCAAGCUUCUUGUUAUAAAAGUGUAGAAUGAAGUAGGUGAUGUAGUUUUAAAUUACACCUCCAUGCCCAAUCACAAUAUCAAAUAAUGCUUAAAGUAGUUAUAUUAACUCUUAAAUUUAUAAAUAAUUAAAUUUUUAAAAGUUUGGAUUUAUAUUAAAAAAUUUCUAUAUAAAUAAAUAAUCUAUGCAUUUUUACAACAUAGUCUUUAAAUUUAAACUUUUCUAGAAAAAUCUUCUGGAUAUCUUUUCUAUUAAAAAAGAGAUUCUCAAAAUUUAUAAAAGUAACUUAAAGUUUUGUCUUCCCUUUUCUUUUAGCUUAUACAUAUGUGUGUGUAUUCUUUUAUAGCAAUAACUAACGUUAUUUAUUUUUAAAUCAUAAAAAAAUUAUGAAAAAAAAAUGUACCAAAUUUAAUUGGACCCAGCACAAUGCACAUGCAUAGAACACAUUCUGAAAAGCCAUGCUAUUCGGAAAUUGACGAAUGGAAAGUGAAGAGGCAGCAGUCAAUGCUAUUUCGGCUUGGCCCAAAAUUUCACCAGUUUGUUAAUCAGUGUUCUGCAGCUCUUGCUGCUUUCCUAGAGAUUCUACAUCUUUUGCAAUCUGAUAGAUUUAAAAAAAAAAAAAAAAUUAGUGGCCAUUUGGAAUGGAGGAGAGAUUUGUGUGAAUGGUAUAGGUGAAAAAUUGGAUGAAAAUAAACAGGCAACCGUCCGUAUAAAACAACAAUAACAAUAUACAAAAAGAUAAGUAAUUCACGAAAGGAAAUUUACGGUUGUUUCUGGAAAACAUACAUAUUAAUUUCACUUAUACUCUAAGAUUUGCCAUCAUGACUGGACUUGUGAGGAAUUUGGAAACAUGUAUGCUGUAGAAAUGCUGAAGUAGCUUGAACCCGAUAAAAAUUGAUUGGUAGAAUUGUUAAAAAGUCUAAAUUUUUAGUUCAAACCUAUUGCAUAUUUAAGAAAAUCUCAAAUGAAUUGCUUAUUGCUAUCGUCAUCAUCAUUGCCCAUAUAAUUAUUAUUAUUAUUAUUAUUAUGUCUUUAUAAUUAUUAGUAUCGCUGUUAUUAUUUUUAUGGGUAAAUGGUUUUUCUAUCCUGGCAAUUUAAGCCAAUUACCUAACUAAUCCACGUAAUUUUAAAAAUGUUUCAAAAGAUCUUUAUUUUAUAUAUGUUUCCACUACAAUUUAUUUAAUGAUUCUUUAUUUUUCAAUUAUUGCAUGUUCGAUAUUUUUGAGUUCUAAGCUAUAUCAAUAGAAAUGUUAUCUUAUCCAUAAAAAGUUAGAUCCAGCAAUUAUGAAAAUUACUAUAGAGCUGCUUUGAAUAAUUUUAAAAAAAUACCACAAGCAAAUAAUAAUUAGUUUAAAUAGUGGAGACUAAAAAGCAUUCACCCUUAUUCUUUAUCUGUUAUUUGUUUUUUUUUUUUUCCGUUAAUGCACAUAUUAUACAUUUUAAACAUUCCGUUAAUUGCCAAUUAUGCAAGCGAGAUAGUAAUUUAAAUUUUUUUAUUUUAAAAAAAAGUGAAAAUUAAUCCUAUGCAAUGUGAAUAAAUUUCUUUCCUUUUUCCUUCUCUCUUUUUAUUUGAUAAUUAAGUUUCAACCUAUGUACCCAAAAUUUCUGCAACAGGUAAAAAAACAUAAAAAUAUAUGAUUGUUAAUGUAAACACGCGGAAGUUCAUCAUUUCAAUGUUCAGUAUUUCCAAUUUUGGCAUACGAAUAUAUUCCACUUAGAAAGCCAAAUAUUAGAAUUGUGAUUUUAAUUCAUUCAUCAUAUCUCAUUUCAAUCCCAAAAUAUUCAAGAGGAUCCAAGUUACCAUAAGACUUCAGAGGCUCGAGCCUUAGCCAGAGACGGUUAAUUGAUAGACUAUGUGCCCGGGUCGAGCACUGGAAGCCUGCAAUGCAGACUGAUUGAUUUAUCAGUUUGAUGUGUGCCAGGAAUGAAGAACUGGAAUAUCACCGUCAAGCAAGCACCCAGUGAAGCAAUACCAUAGAAUGCACAAUCCGGCCUUGCUAGGUGACACUGGAGGCUUUUUGAAAAGUGCUUCACGCUUACUUGCACAGAUUGAGCAUACCCUCUGGAUAUUGCCCUCUCUGAUCCAGUCUGAGCACUCAAAUUUCGGUCCUCAGAUGGAGCUACAGCUUUCUCUCCAAUAACCAACAAUUUUCUAAACUCAGCACCUAGUGUGAUCAGAGUUGUUGAUAUUUGUAAAUGGAGAUCCCCAUAUUUGAAAAUGGAGACAUUUAACAAAUCACCAACAUGCUUCAUCCGGUCUACGAAAUUCUGCAGCUGAUUCAAAUCCGGAACCUGAACCAGAGUCGGAGGUAAAUCUUGAGCCAUAUCUAAAGCAGUUUGAAGUUCAAGUACUUGAGCCCUUGACAGUGGUUUUGAAAUUGGAACAUCUUGAAUUACUGCAGACCUGUACCCUUUGGUUUCAAAGGUAAGGAAAGGCAUUGCUUGAGUACAAUUUGGAGGCAGCUUCUUCACCAAUUUUAUUUGGAGGCGAUUGGCAGCGGAUCCAGCUGCACCAAUUUCAGAGCAAAUACUGACACUACUUCAAACAGCACGCUGAAGAAGCGCUAUGUCUAUGGCAAAGGCAAUGCAGUCCUCAUUUUGGCUUGAGAUGCGGUAAUCAUCGAAGAGAGUUUCCUUAUGAAACUGGGCAACACAUUGAAUCCCUUCACCACUGAGAAGGUUGUGGAGGAAGUACGCUUUCUCUCUAGUGAGGAAGAGGUGGCAUACCUUCCCCAUUUUGUCUAGGGCAGUUAGGAAUCUUUUUUCUAAGAGAUUUACUCCAUUCUCUGUGAGAAAUGCUUUGAACUUCAUCCCUCUGUCUCUAUCCUCACUUAUCAGUAAAACAGUUGAAAGUGAUACAAGGAGAGAAAAGGAGAGUACUAAGAUAUAUAGACAAGAAAAACAUUAGGUGUCGAUCUUACAUGUUAAUACUUCAAACAGUAUCCUAGAAAGCUAAAAACUGCAGAAUGGCUUGAAAUUUGAAAAGAACACAUGCUUUUCCUCCUUAACUUGAGAAAAUGUUUGACAUAGCGCGCCUUACAGAAGCAAGCAAUUAGAACUUUGCACAAAAACAUUCAAGAAGACCAAUAUUUCAACUAUUUUACUGAUGAAAAUCUCAAAGCACAAAUGGCAUUGCAUUUUGUCCUCAACUGUAAUAUUUAUUGAUGAAAAUCAGUACAGGUCCCUCAUUUGUUAUGGAAAGCUUUCUUGUAGUCUGACCGGUUAAUUCACGGGUCUAUAAUCAUCUUGCAAAGUUACGGACAUUUCUUUCGAUUUAAAGUCUUUGCAUCACCACCUCAUCACACACCAAACCAAUAUUCUGUCUACCUCUACAACAAAAAGUUUUAAGUAAACGAUCCUAAUGCACGCAGCCAAAUAAAAUGCAGUAAGAAUAUUCAACUUAAAAAUCUGAAAGUAUCUUGGUGAAUUGCCUUCUUAGGGGAAGUUCCAUGAUUUACUAUACUAGACAGAACUGAGCAAAAGCUUCCAUACGACAGAUUUUGACAAUAAUGAUGCCAACAGAUCCUCAUUAACUCCAUUAAAACUCCUAAGGUUCAUUGUUCAUGGAUGUUUACAGAGUUUUGGCCAUCAAAUAGCUCAGACCACAAUCCCAAAGAAAAGACGAGUGAAAGUUAGAUAACGAGCAGCUAAUUGUAAAUUCUAACUUAACUCUUCAUCUCCUUUGUAAAAAGGAAACAAAAUGGAGACGCGUAAAUUCUAACUUAACUCAAAUAAAAUGAGGGCACGAAAGCAAACAAAUGGCAUGCACAAACAAACCAAGCAUCAAUCAAAAACUAAUUAACCAUUAAAAAAAAUAAAAAUUGGUCAGAGAAUGAACUCCAAAUUCGGGAGUGAAGCAAGAAGCUUUCACUAUUUCAGAAGCUCCUGUACAAAUUAAUAAGUUAUGCUCUUUGGAGACAAUCCUAAAUUCCAAGAGAAACAGAGCUCAAAAAAAUUUUGCAAUUAUGCGCAAAGGAAGUGAAGCACAGCAUUCUACCACACACAGGAAUUGUAUAACAUGAGAUCGAUAUAUCGAAUUGGAAGAACUCAAUUCUAAUUUGUGUCAAAAAUCAAAAUUAGAAGAUUGCAUAUUUCGAGAGGAACAAGCAACAGGUGAGGUUCAAAAUUUCAGCCAUAACAUGCUAAAAUUGCUACAUUUAACGGUUUAUUUUCAUGGAUUUUCUCGGGAAACAAACAGAAAAUUACGGUUUAGAGAGUUGACUGACCUUUUGGCUUUUAGAAUUGAGAAGAUCGCGCACUGCAUUAGUCCAUAGUAUAAUUAUAGACAGUUUUGAGUCAAAGUGUAGUUUCAGUGAACAGUAUUACUGUAGCAAAAUUCAAAAAUAACGGUAAUAUUACUGUUCCUGAGCGGCUAGCCGGAUAAUCAAGCGGCUAACCGCUUGAGCACGGGAUUUUGCCUAUAACGACUAGUUUUUGGGCUUCCACUAUAAAAACUCAACUCAAACUUCUUUCUAAGGACUAAUGCACGCAAAUAUAAGAUCAUACAACAUAUAUUGAGCUUCCAAAACGUAAAUCAUAAUUGAUUGAAUCAUUGUUGAGCUAUUAGUUGCAUAUCCACUCUUAAAGAGAGUUUUUGUUGUAAUUUUCAUUUCUUAUCAAAUUGUGAGUGUGUAAGUGUGGGAAACACUUGGGGUAAAGAGAUUAGGGAGAUAAUCUCUUGGUUGUAAAGGUUCAUUGACACCUUGGAAGGCAAUUGUAAAAACUUGAAGCCUUGGGAGGCUUGGAUAGUGAAAUCCUCGAGCUCGGUUGGCUUGGAGGCGUGGACGUAGGCGGGGAUUGCCGAACCAGAUAAAUAUCCGCGUGUUUGCUUUUCUCUUCCGUAACUCUUUUAUUUUUAUGCUUGCUUGAAUUUAUUGUUCUCCAUUUCAUUAAGGCGUUAGAUUGAUUUUAUUGUGCGAAUUGUAUUGCAUUAAUUUUAAAAAUCCAAUUCACCCCCCUCUUGGGUUGCGUUACUUAUAUUUCAUUUGGUAUCAGAGAUUGGUUCUCUUGUUAGGACUUAACCGUCUAGAGUAAAAGAUCUAUGGCAAUCCAAAUUGAUUCAACCUUUAGGGAAGGACAAUCCACAACUAGGCCACCGUUCUUUGACGGAAAUGACUACCCAUAUUGGAAAACUAGGAUGAGAAUUUAUUUACAAGCAUUAGAUUAUGAAAUUUGGGAAGUUGUAUGUGAUGGUCCUUUUAUGCCUUUGACUAAAAACGAAAUUGGGGAAGACAUUCCAAAACCUUCACGGGAAUGGAAUGAAUUGGAAAAGAGAAAAGCUUCUCUAAAUUCCAAAGCCAUAAAUGCCUUGUUUUGUGCACUCGAUAAGAAAGAGUUUCAUAGAGUGUCUAGUUGUGAAAGUGCUAAUGAAAUUUGGCACAACUUGAAGUUGUUUAUGAAGGCACGAAUCAAGUGAAAGAGUCUAAAAUUAGUAGGUACACUCGGCAAUAUGAAUUGUUCCAAAUGGAACAAAAUAAGAGUGUGUAUUCUAUGUAUACUAGAUUUACGGACAUAGUAAACACUCUAGGAGCCCUAGGAAAGACGUUUUCAAAUAGCGAGAAAGUUGAGAAAAUCAUUAGGUCAUUACCUAAGGAAUGGAGACCAAAAAGGACUGCCAUUGAGGAAGCUAAAGAUUUGAAUAUCUUACCUACUGAUGAUUUAAUUGGUUCUCUUAUUUCUUAUGAGAGAGAUUUGGCAGCUGAAUGAGGAAAUGAGGAAAGAAAGAAAAACAUUGCUCUCAAGGUCACCAAACAUGAGAGUGAUGAGGAAAGUGAGCCGGAUGAUGAGGAGUUGGCUAUGCUAGCAAGGAGGUUCAGAAAAUUUUUCAAGAAAACUGGUGACCAAAGAAAAUUCAGAAAUUUCAAAAACCAAAAGGAGAAGAAAGAGGUAAUCAUAUGCUAUGAAUGCAAGAAGCCUGGCCAUAUAAGAUCGGAAUGCCCACUUAUCAACAAACUCAAGAAGAAAGCUAUGGUUGCUACUUGGGAUGAUAGCGAUGAAGAUUCAAGUGAUGAAGAUGAGUCACAAGAAGUAUCAAACCUAGCAUUUAUGGCACUAGGAGAUGAUGAUGAUCUCAAUGAGGUAAGUGAUCCAACCUAUGAUGAAUUGUAUGAUGCUUUUAAAGAAAUGCAUGAUGAGUUGAUGAAAAUUGGUAAAAAGAAUGCAUGCCUUAAAAAGAAAUUGCUAGAAUCUACAAAUGAAAAGGAUACCAUGCAAAAAUGCAAUGAGCCAUUGAAUGAGAAGACUAAAGGAUUAGAAUUAGAGAAUAAAACCUUGCAUAAUAGAGUUGCAUUAUUAAAUGAAAAAUCUAGCACUUCACAUGAGCAUUUAGAGUCACAUGUACAUGAUUUGAAAAAGGAAAAUGAAAUGCUCAAGAAAAAGAAUAUUGAACUUAGUAAUGUUGUUCUAAAAUUUACAAAUGGACAAAAGAUGUUGGAUAACAUGCUUAACUCCCAAAAAUGUGUUUUUGAUAAAAGAGGACUUGGGUAUAAGCCUAACUUGAAGUAAAAGUAUUAUAAGAAUUAUUUUGUUAAAGCUACCUCCACAAAUGAUCAUAAGAUUGUUUGCGAUUAUUGCAAUCAAAAUGGUCACAUGAAAUAUAGAUGUCUUGUAAAAAGGAAUGCAUAUAAUGGUGUCAAAUGUGUGUGGGUUCCAAAAGGAACCGUUGCUAACGAUCAAGGGCCUAAAAAGGUUUGGGUACCUAAAACAUAAGAUUUUCUUUGAAGGGCUUGAAGAAAAAGAAAAAUAAAUGGUACUUGGAUAGCGGAUGUUCUAGGCAUAUGACCGGAAACUAUGCAUGGUUCUCAAGUUUUACCAAAAUCGAAAAUGGUGGAGAUGUAUCUUUUGGAGAUAACUCAAAAGGAAAAAUUCUCGGAAUUGGAAAUGUUGGUAAAAUUUCUUCAACUCUAAUUGAAAAUGUAUGUUUGGUUGAAAAUUUGAAACACAAUCUGAUUAACAUUAGUCAACUAUGUGACAAAGGCUAUAAAGUUAUUUUUGAUAAAUCAAGAUAUGUUAUUGAGAAUGCAUGUGAUGGGAAAAUUUUGUUUAUGGGAAAUAGAUGUGGCAAUGUUUACACGAUUGAUAUAGAGUGUGCAUCUACUCAUGAUAAAUGUUUUUCGGCAUUGCAUGAUGAUUGAUGGGUGUCGAAGCCAACAAAAAUAAAUUCCUACUCUAAAUAAAUUGUGUAUAGUGAUUGAGCAGGGUCGUGUCCACAGAGAUCGGUAAUUAAUUAAAUCCUUUUGAAACGUAAAACGUAAAAUGGGGGAAUUGUUGACAAUAAUAAAAAUCAAAUUAAAAUAACAAGAAUACAAAUUAAAGUUGUAAUUCAAAUUAGAGAAAGCUCUGGUUGAAGGAAUUAACUCAGCUUGAUUCGACUACUGAUCAUUGAUUCAAAUAUAGAUUAUUAUUACUCAUGAAUAGACCGGUUAUAGCUACUGAGACCCUCUAAUAGCCAAUCUCUCCUUAACUAGUCGAUAACCAAGGUACGACCGUUGGUUAUUUCCCUAAUCAAUAGACAACCCUAGAUACGAUCAUAGAAUUUAAUCAAUUGACAGCCUGAAAAACCAGAGAGACCCAAAUCCUAAUCAACACAUAUGAUGAUUCAUUUAAAUUAGAUUGUUUAUUCUCACAACACAACUCUCUGCUAUGUUAUUUGUCACAAGCAUUAAAUUCUUUAUACGAUGAAUCCUUUAAUUGACAAUAGAUUAAGUUGAUAAUUAAAUAGUGGCCAAUUACCUAAUUAACAAACAUAAUCAUGAAAAUAAUUCAGAGAAUAAACAAAUACCCAAAAAGUAAUAAAACAAUUAAAGUAUAAGAAAGAUCUCACAGUAGUGAUGAAUCAAAGCUUCAUUAUCCUUCAACCAGAAAAAUAGGUUUAGUUCUUCAUAAAGAGAAGAGAAAAAUUAAGUCUAGGGUUUCUUUCUUUCUCCAAUCCCCCAAAAAAUCCCCAUUUUCCACAAUAGAUUCCUCCCUUAAAUACUCUCUCUCUCUUCUCUUUUAGAAUUCUAUUUAAAAUAAAAUCCUAAUAUCUGAAAUAUUAAAUUCGUAAUUACAAAUAUAGCCAAAAAUAUAAAACACGUUAAACUAAAAACUGCAGGUCCGCAGUUGACAGCACGCGCCCACGCCUUAUCAACAAAGUUCUUCUGCCGCUCAUAAUUUCUCCAAGGGAACAAUCAUCCCUAAACAUCAUCUUGUAGCUCAAUUUUAUCACCAAUCAAUAGAAUUGCACCUACAAAAGUAAAUCACAAGUAAAUCACUAUUAUUAAGUGCAAAACAUCGAUAUUAAGAGAAGUAAACAAUGCAAAACUAGUGCAUAAAUUGCACUCUAACAAUGAUGGUUGGUUAUGGCAUAGAAGACUAGGACAUGCUAGCAUGGAUUUAAUUUCAAAAAUUUCGAAAAAUUAUUUAGUUAAAGGUCUUCCAAAAAUUGGUUUUCAAAAGGAUAGAAUUUGUGAAGCAUGUCAAUUUGGAAAACAAAUCAAAACCUCUUUCAAAAACAAGAAUCAUAUCUCUACUUUAAAACCUCUUCAAUUACUUCACAUAGAUUUGUUUGGACCCUCUAGAUAUGCUAGUUUAAGUGGCAAAUUUUAUGCAUUUGUAAUUGUAGAUGAUUAUUCUAGAUACACAUGGGUAUUAUUCUUAGUUAAUAAGGAUGAUGACAUUGAUGCAUUUAAAAUUUUCUGUAAAAAGGUUCAAAAUGAAAAGGGUUAUUAUAUUACUUGUAUUAGAAGUGAUCAUGGUGGAGAGUUUGAAAAUCAUGCAUUUGAAAAUUUUUGUAAUGAUUUUGGCAUUGAGCAUCAAUUUUCAUCACCUAGGACUCCACAACAAAAUGGAGUUGUUGAGAGAAAGGAUAUGUCUAUUCAAGAAAUGGCUAGGACCAUGUUAAAUAAAAAUGCAUUACCGAAAUAUUUUUGGGCCGAAGCCGUCAACACCGCUUGUUAUGUUUUAAAUCGGGUGUUGAUUAGACCUUAUCUCAAUAAAACUCUCUAUGAGCUUUGGAAAGAUAGAAAAUCCAACAUUGGUUAUUUCAAAGUUUUUGGAUGCAAAUGUUUUGUUUUAAACACAAAAAAUAAUCUUGGUAAAUUUGAUCCAAAAUCUGAUGUUGGCAUCUUUCUCGGGUAUUCAAACUCAAGCAAAGCUUAUAGAGUUUAUAAUAAAAGAACUUUAGUUGUGGAAGAAUCCAUGCAUAUUACGUUUGAUGAAUCUAACCCCUCCUCUGCUGAGAAAGGAGUUGUUAAUGAUGAUACAAAUGGAGAGUUACAAGAAGAAUCAUCAAAAGAGAAUCAAGAGAAUGCACCAUAAGAAAAUCAAGAGGAUAGACAAGAAGAACAAACAAAUAUGGAGCUGGAGCAACAGGAAGGUAGUUCUCAAACACUCCCCAAGGAGUGGAGGUAUGUUUCCUCUCAUUCUAAGGAUUUAAUUGUAGGUGAUCCUUUAAAAGGUAUCACAACUAGAUCGUCACUUAGAAACACAUGUGAGCAUGCUGCAUUUAUUUCUCAAAUUGAACCAAAAUCUUUUGCGGAUGCGGAAAAUGAUAAGUUUUGGAUUAUGGUAAUGCAAGAAGAGUUAAAUCAAUUUGAGAGAAAUAAAGUAUAGGAAUUGGUUCCUAAACUGGAACAUCAAUCCAUUAUAGGCACUAAAUGGGUAUUUAGAAAUAAAAUGGAUGAAUUCGGUAUGGUUGUAAGAAAUAAAGCUAGAUUAGUGGCUCAAGGAUACAACCAAGAAGAAGGAAUUGAUUUCGAUGAAACAUUUGCACCUGUAGCUAGAUUAGAAUCCAUUAGGAUGUUGUUAGCAUUUGCAUGUCAUAAAGAUUUUAUUUUGUUUCAAAUGGAUAUCAAGAGUGCUUUCCUAAAUAGUUAUAUUAUGGAGGAAGUUUAUGUGAAACAACCUCCUGGUUUCGAAAAUGAGAAAUUUUCAAAUCAUGUGUAUAAGUUAUCAAAAGCAUUGUAUGGAUUAAAACAAGCACCUAGAGCAUGGUAUGAUAGACUUAAAAAUUUCUUGUUGGAUAACGAUUUUUUGAUGGGAAGAGCGGAUACUACCCUCUUUAUUAAAAAUAAAAAUCAAAAUAUAUUUGUUGUUCAAAUUUAUGUUGAUGAUAUUAUUUUUGUUCUACUAAUGAAUCUUUGUGCAAAGAAUUUUCCUCUUGUAUGAGUAAGGAAUUUGAGAUGAGCAUGAUGGGAGAAUUGAAGUAUUUUCUUGGACUUCAAAUCAAACAAAACAAUGAGGGGAUUUUCAUCAACCAAGCUAAGUACGUCAAAGACUUGCUCAAGAGAUUUGGUAUUGAUGAAUCAAAUACCAAGAAUACUCCAAUGAGUACAACAAUCAAGCUUGAUAAAGAUGAGAGAGGUAAAGAGGUUGAUAUUAAAAAGUAUCGAGGUAUGAUCGGAUCCUUACUUUACUUAACUGCAAGUAGACCCGAUAUCAUGUUUAGUGUAUGUUUGUGUGCAAGAUUUCAAUCAUGUCCCAAGGAAUCUCAUUUGCUUGUUGUUAAAAGAAUUUUUCGUUAUUUAAGUGGAACCAUAGAUAUUGGCCUUUGGUAUCCUAGAGGAACUCAUAUAGAUUUAACUUGUUAUUUAGAUGCCGAUUUUAAUGGUCACAAGGUCGAUAGAAAGAGUACUAGUGAAACUUGCCAUUUUCUUGGUCAUUCACUUGUUUCAUGGUUUAGUAAGAAACAAAAUUUUGUGGCACUCUCAACUACUGAGGCGGAAUAUAUUGCCGCAGGAAGUUGUUGUGCACAAGCACUUUGGAUGAAACAAACACUUAGAGACUAUGGUAUUGUUCUUGAAAAAAUUCCUAUCAAGUGUGAUAAUACUAGCACCAUAAAUCUUUCAAAGAAUCCCAUUCAGCAUUCUAGGACCAAGCAUAUAGAGAUUAGGCAUCAUUUCUUGAGAGAUCAUGUUCAAAAAGAUGAUAUUGCAUUAUAAUUUAUCUCUACGGAAAAACAACUUGCCGAUAUUUUUACAAAACCCCUUUGCGAAGAACAAUUUUCAAAAAUUCAGCAUGAACUUGAGAUGAUGAAAUUUUCGCAUUAACAUCUCUAGUUAUGUUAUUUAAUCUAUUAAAAUUGUUUGGAAAACAAAGGAUUCGUUGAAAAUCCCAAGUCUGCACAAGCUGUAAUGAAUUGGUCAUAACUCCUUCUAGAGAACUCCAAAUCCAGCUCUAUAAAAUUUAUUGGAAAGCUAACUUAAUUAUCUUUCCAACGGUAUAUAGUUUGCACAUUACUUCUGGCUCAAUCAAUACAGUUUUUAUUCCGAAUUUGACAUUUCUGCAUUUUAUUAAGUUUUGAAUGCUUAUAUGCUUCAUGAUUGUAUGCUUGUUGGAUGGAUUAUUUGUUUGAAUUAACUAUCUUUUGGAUGUUUAAAAUCAUGAAUCAUGCAUUAAAUUGGCUCUUGAGAUGUUUCGGGAUCACAAACUGGUCACGAAAUUAAUUAAAAUUGGCCGAAAAUUAACUAAGGUACAGCUGGACAACAACCAGGAGGCUAGCCGCUUGGAAAUGUCCCCCCAACCCGAGAGCAAGCGGCUAGCCGCUUGGUCACGGGUGUGGCAAUUGUUUUUUGCUUCUUCUUCUUCCUUUGUUAAUUUUCUGCACAUGCUUUCUCUCUCACUCAAAACCGUGAGCAACCCAUCCAUUUUCACCUCCAUUUUCUUCCUUUUUCAUCUAUUUUCAUGCCCAAAUCAACCAUUCAAACUAAUACCCAUGCAUUUCAUCUUCAUUAAACACUUCUCCAUCAUGAUUUCUUCAUUUGUUUUUCAUCAUUUCAUCAUCAUCUCUCACGCGUGAACAGUACCUCUCCAUUUCUCUCUCAAAAUUCUUCAUUUUUCACUCACUUUCUUGUUAAAAUCAAUCAUCCAAAUCAUUAUUCAUCCAUUACUCCUUCAAUUUUCGUUCUCAAAACUUCAUUUCAUCAACUCUCCACAUAAAACCCAAAAUCAAAAAACCUAACUCUACCCUUUCUCUCUCUACAUUUUCAAGCUUCCUUUAGCCCAUUUUUGAUCCAAUCUACAUCAUAUAUUAGCUUCAUUCAUCUCUAGGAUCAAUUUUCUUGGCUCAAACAAAUCCAUUUCACUCAAUUUUUGUAAACCCGAAAUUGCAUAUUUAAGCUCUUUUUAGUCCACUUUUGAUCCAAUCAACACCAUCCAUUAUCUUAAAUCAUCUCUUGGAUCAAUAUAAUUGGUUUAAAAUCAUCUAUUUCACUCAUUAUUUUACAAAAUUAAAUUUGUGCAUUUUGGGUAUAUGCACCUACAUUUUCAUAUGCAUAAUUGUUUUAAUUGUGGAUUACGGAUGAUGGUUGUUUAAUAUUAAGAUAAUUUAUAUUUGGAUGAUAUUUUCUGAAUUCUUAGAAUGAAUAUGACUCUUUAGUUAAUUGCACGCUUAAUUUUUAUAUGCUUCUUGAUUAAUCAUUGAGAUAUUCUUUUUGGUAUAAACAUGGAUUUAUAGUACUUUUGAUGAUUGAUGAUUAUAUGUGUGUUGCUUGAUGAAUUAAUGGAGUUGUUGGUUUGUGUUACUUGUUUAAGUUCAUAUGGAAGUGUUUUUAAUCACAUUGUGUAUUUGAGGAUUUGUUCAUUUUUAAGGGGAGACUCUGCCGAAAUUUUUACUCGCACACAAUUGGUAAUAUCUUCCUUGAAUCAUUUUUUAUGAUCUUGCUUCAAAUUGCAUUUUUCUAUUUUUUAUGAAAUGGGAGAUAAAUAUGAUAUGUUUUUGGAUAAUAUUAUUUUGGUUAAAUUUUUUAAUUGGCCAUAUAUUUAGGGGGAGCAUACAAUAUGAUUUUGGAUAAUACGCAUUUUGAGCAUUCUUUUGAUGGCAUAAUGGUUCAUGAUCAUUUAAUGGUUAAUUGGAUGUUUGGUUAUUAUAUGUUUCUUGAUUAACCAUUGACAUAUUAUCGAUCUUCGGAUGAAUUUCUAGUAAUUUUGAUGAUGAAGGGGGAGAAGUCAUGUAUUUUGAAUAUGAAGACAUGUAAUACAUAUUUUUGUAUUUCAAGUAUUUAUGCAUGUUUUUGAAAUAUUAAGGGGGAGCUUUCAAAUUAUCAUAAAUCAAAUAUUCAGGGGAAGUUUUUGAUUUAUAUAUGCCAUGUAUUAAGGGGGAGUUUAAUGUCAAAAUAAAUGAGAUGUUUGUCAUCAUCAAAAAGGGGGAGAUUGUUAGCCUAAAGGGCUAUACAUAAUGUAAUUUUGAUGAUAACAAAUAUAUGUAUUAAGUGAUUUAAUAAAUAUUGUAUUUCACAUUUUCACUAGUUUUUUAAGGAUAAUAUUUAUGCAAGUGAAUCAAAUGAAAUCAAGAUUGAAGACACUCAACGGACAACGGCGACAUCAAGAAUAGUCUAGAGCUCAACGAACAAAUUAGUGCGAUAAAUUCUUAUAAAGCCGGUAUGAUUUAAUUGAUGCAUGAUUUAGCAUUUGAGAAGCUCAAGAGAUUAAUUAAUUAAAUAUUUUUCAUAAACUAAAAUGUUUUAUUUUUAAAAAGUAAAGUAUUUUGUGGAUUUGAGUAAAUUGGACUUAAAUGUUAAGAUUUAUAAUCUUUGAGUUUAAUAAAUAUUAUUUUGAAAUUCAAAUUUGGACUUAUUUGCAAAGGUUUGAAACGUUUUGAGGCAUAUUAUAAUUUAUGAAAGUUUGAGGACCCGAAUGUAAUCUAGACACUUGAAAUCCAAAGUUGGACAGAGAGGAAGCGGCUAACCCCCUGAGCGCUAGCGGCUAGCCGCCUGAGGGAAAUCUCAUAUUUUCAAUUUUUGGACUAAAGUGAAAGAUUUUGAUAACUUUAAAAAAUAUGGGUAUUAUGCUAAAUUUAAAAAGGACCUCUUUGAAAAAUAAUAAUAUCUUUGGGGCUAUAUCAUAAUUUUAGAAAGUUUUGGAAAGAUAACUAAUCUUAAGUAAUUCUAAAAUUAGAUCUAUUUGCAAACUUUUCUGACGUUUUGGGUCAUAAUAUAAUUAUAGAAAGUUUUAGGUCAAAGUGUAGUUUCAGUGAACAGUAUUACUGUAGCAAAAUUCAAAAAUAACGGUGAUAUUACUGUUCCUGAGCGGCUAGCCGGAUAAUCAAGCGGCUAACCGCUUGAGCACGGGAUUUUGCCUAUAACGACUAGUUUUUGGGCUUUCACUAUAAAAACUCAACUCAAACUUCUUUCUAAGGACUAAUGCACGCAAAUAUAAGAUUAUACAACAUAUAUUGAGCUUCCAAAACGCAAAUCAUAAUUGAUUGAAUCAUUGUUGAGAUAUUAGUUGCAUAUCCACUCUUAAAGAGAGUUUUUGUUGUAAUUUUCAUUUCUUAUCAAAUUGUGACUGUGUAAGUGUGGAAAACACUUAGGGUGAAGAGAUUAUGGAGAUAAUGUCUUGGUUGUAAAGGUUCAUUGACACCUUGAAAGUCAAUUGUAAAAACUUGAAGCCUUGGGAGGCUUGGAUAGUGAAAUUCUCGAGCUCGAUUGGCUUGGAGGCGUGGACGUAGGCAGGGAUUGUCGAACCACGUAAAAAUCCGCGUGUUUGUUUUUCUGGUCCCUAACUCUUUUAUUUUUACGCUUGCUUGAAUUUAUUGUUCUCCAUUUCAUUAAGGCGUUAGAUUGAUUUUAUUGUGCGAAUUGUAUUGCAUUAAUUUUAAAAACCCAAUUCAUCCCCCUCUUGGGUUGCGUUACUUGUAUUUCAAAAAGUGCGUGUGAAGUGUAAAAUUAGGGUUGGUCUUUUGGCUUUAUGUGUUAUGCUUAAAAUUACAAUAUUAGUUUUCAUAUUUUAAAAAGUUUCCAAAUUAAUUUAAGGAUAAAAAAGUAAUUUAAUUAAACAAAUUUUAAAUGAAUCGACCUAUAUUUGAUUCGUUUAUAACUCGUUUAUUAAAUGAAUUUUAAACAAAUAAAUGAAUCAAAAUCUUCUAACCUGCAAUUUGUUUAAUUAGCGAAUCGAAUCGAAUCGAAUUCAUCCAUUUAUUAAAUUAAUUAAUUUUUUCAAACUUAAAUUUAUUUAAUUCACAUCUAAUCGAAUUAAAUAAAUAAAUCCUUACCCAUAUUAGUACCCGUAAACGGAUCAUUAAUGUUACCGGUCUUUCCUAUAUUUUAUUGCAAAUUGAUGCUAACAAGAAAAAGCUAGAUCAUAUUCCACAAAAGCAAAAGUGAUAAAACAACCAGCUGGAUUCUUUUAUUAAACUACAAAUUAAAAUGGACUUUUUUUUAAUAAACUAUAUAUGAAACUGGAAUCUUUUGAAUAUACGUGGGGUAGGUUCCCUUUCAAAAAAAAAAGCGGGGUAGGCUCUUUUAUUAAAGACAAGUCACAAGACGAUUAGGGUCUUUUAUUAAACUACAAAUUGUAUAAUAUUUUUCAAAUUGUACAGACAUUUAUAAAUUGGUGGUCCCUUGGAAAUUUAAUGCCAAUCAGAGAAAAGUCAUCAUGCACAAUCUUCAAUAAUUGUUUCGAUAUUUAUAAAUUGGUAGCCCUGCGUCUUUAAUAAAUGAAAUCAUGUUACGAUUGCAUAUAGUCGUUAGAUGCACUUAAAUUAGUGAGAUUUAUUAAUAUCUAAUAAUUAGAUAUAAUUAUAACCCAAUACAAUAGUUACACCAAAGUUUCCCCCAAUAAUUAUUCGGAUACUUAUAAAUUGGUGACCCCUUAGUAAUUUUACAGCAGCUUGCAAGUGCCAACUAGUGAAAAGUCAUCAUUCACAAUCUUCCAAGUGAAACAGGGGAUAUACAAAGAUUAAGACAUGUCAUUUUUUUUUUCAUUCCGUUUCAUGUAACUUACACCCAAAUAUAUAAAUAAUAUAAAAUGAAUGGAGAGAUGCCGGAGCAGAUCGGCAGGGUUUGAAUAUGACCUUUGGCGCUUGCUUUUUUUUGUGAUUUUUUUUUUCAUUUUUUCCUUCCUGUCAUUUUAUCAUUUCUUUGGCUUUGUCUCUGUUGCGGGUGUUACUGCAUGCUAACUGUUGCUUGACAAAGUUUGCUAGCUUUUCCUUUUGUUUAUUAAUUUUUUUAUGGUCACAAAGUAUUACUCGUUCUAUUUGACAGUGAUGUGAAUCAAUUUUUCAAUUUUAUAUUUUGUGGUCAAUGUGAAUUCAAUUUCAGUUGUCUCCUGCAAUUAUGAAAAAAUUGCAGUCAUAAUAUGGAAAAGUACGCGGGCAAAAAUUUUGUAAAAGCUUCGGAGUGAUACGGGGAAUUCACUUACUACUAAGGACAAUUGGUGGCAAGCUAUUCCAUUCAUUUUAUGUCCAUCCAUCUAUUUAGUUAUUGAAGACUAGUGGUCUAUUUAUAAAUUUCAGAUUGUUUCUCUCUCUCUCUCGAAAUAACAAUAUUUAAAAUAGAGUAAUGAUACAGCUACAAACUCUUGUACAAACUUAUUUUGUACAAACUGACGUGACAUUAAUUCAUUGGUUGAAUGAAAAUAUAAAUUAAUAAAAACAAAUCAUGUGGGACAAGUGAUAUUUAAUUCAACCAAUCUUAUCAUGUCAUAUCAGUUUGUACAAAAUAAGUUUGUAUAAGAGUUUGUGGCAGUAUCAUUACUCUUUAAAAUAUCUCUUAAAUUAUUAUAAAUUUUAAUUUACUCUCGAUUUAAAAUGGAGCAUGUCAAUAAAUUUUUUUUCUUCUUAAUAAAAUUGACGUAAGUUGUGUUUACAGUAGUUUGAAGUUUGAAAUAUUUUAAAGAUUAUUAUUCUAUAAGGGAGUAAUAUGAAAUGAAAUUUACUUUUCAUGUGUGAAAUGAAAAAGGACGAAGCAAGUGUCCCUGCUUUUAUUUUAUUUCAAGGAGGAGUCAUCUCACAGACUUUAGCUCUUAACAUUACAUUUUUUCUGGUUACAUUUUUAUUUUUUAUUUAUUUUUACACAUGCGUGUGGGUUGCUUUUCUGUAAGCUCCUUAAUAUAUAUUUAAGACAAAUUAUGGAAGAGAUGGGAUUAUAUCAAGAUGAUCAAACCAUGUAAAAAAAGAAAAAAGAAAAAAAAUUAAGAAGUAAGACACUGAAAAUGGAGAAGAGAUGGAAUCAAAAGAUAUUCCAAAACAAAGCAAUCUGUCCCCUUUCCAGGGCAGACUUAUCAGGUUUAAAAAAGUACAUGCUUUGGAUUGGUAGUUGCAAUCAAUUGAAAAUAAAUAGGAUCCAAUGAAAUUUAAAUUUCGGAGAAAUAAAAUAAUCAUGCAGAUUUUUAAGAUUUUAAUAAGAGAUACUAAUAUCUUAUUUUGAUUAAUAAUAUUCUUUCACUGUGUUAACUCAAAAAAAUAUAUUUUAAAGUUUUACAGUAAAUAAAAAUAUAAUAUUAAAAUAAAUGUGACAAAUAUAUAUAUAUAUAUAUAUAUAUAUAUAUAUAUAUUAAAUAAUUUCAAUAAAAAAACAUUUUAAUGUUUUACAAUCUACUACACAUAUUUUAUUAAGUUAAUAUAAUUUUUCAAAUAAAUAGGGACAUAAUAUUAAAAUAAAUUUAUAAAAAUUUAAAUUAUUUUGAAUUUAAAAUAAUUUUAAUAUUAUUAAUAUUUUAUAUAUGUUUUAUUAAUUAUAAGAAUUAUUUAACCCAAAGUUUUUUUAUAAAUAUUUUCAGUGGAUAUAAAUAUAUUAUUUAUACUUUGAUUAUUUAACCAUUAUUAGUCUACAAUUAUUUAUAAUUAUAUUUUCAUUUAUUAGAAUACAGUUAAAGUCAAAUCUUUUGCACUUUUACCUAGCUAGAAUUAUUGCACACAGAGAAAUAAACAUAUAUUCUUUAUAACUUUAGAAAUCGGUUUUUUUUAUAGCUGGGAACAGAGAUGAUGAUUAUUAUAAGGAUGGAGAAAAGGAUAAAAAAUAUCAAUGAUUAACAAAGUCUCUGUGCAAAUUGAUUUUAGCAGUAAAAUAGUGAGCUGAAUGAUGUACGCGAUUAGUGGUAAUAGAAAUCUUCUCAUAAAUCUCCUUUUUGAGUUAUAGUUAUUUUAUUUCCGAAAUAUCCUUUUUCUUCUUUAAUACACUUCUAAUUUUUCAUUUAAUUUUUUUAUUGUUAAACUCAAAAUAUUAUUGUGAUAUUUUUCGUGUCUUUUGCAAUCUUAUUAUUACUCUACACACGAAUUAAAAAAAUUUUUUAGGUGAUGAACUUUUGAAUGUUAAUCUUGGCUUAAAUUUCACAUAUUUUACAUUAUAAUAUAAAAUUAAUUACAAAAAUAUUUAAUCAAUAAAAAUUAUAAAAAAUAAAUUAUUUUAAAUUUAUACAAUUUAUUUUAAUUAGAUAAGCAGUAACAACUACAAAAAGGAUUUGGUUAUGAAAUUUGUUGCAGCUUAAUAUUCCACAAAAGCAAAUCGUAAUAUUCCACAAAGGAGUACGAUCCACAAAAGCAAACAACCAGCUGGAUUUUUUUAUUAAGCUACAAAUUAAAGUGGAAUCGUUUAUUAAACAACAAAUUAAAGUUUGAAUAUUUAAGUAGUAGUGCGUUAGAUGNNNNNNNNNNNNNNNNNNNNNNNNNNNNNNNNNNNNNNNNNNNNNNNNNNNNNNNNNNNNNNNNNNNNNNNNNNNNNNNNNNNNNNNNNNNNNNNNNNNNCUUGUAGCUAAUUUGUCAAUAAUAUUAAACUACAAGUGCUGACAACAAGUGCGAUGCUCUUUUUCUAAAGAGAAUUAAAGUUGGUCCCGAAUAGGACGUGCCUAAAUCUGUUUAAAUUUUUUCCAGUAAAACUAACAGAGGUCAUUACUAGAAUUAUUUAUAUUGUUUUAUAUUUAUUAACAAAUUUUAAAGUCAAUCUUUUUAAUUAUUAUUCAAAAGAUAUUAUAAUUAAAAAAUAGUGUCUACUAUUAAAAAUUUAGAAAUUUACAUUACCGUUCUCUUAAAUCUCUAAAUAUUUAAGAUGUAAUUGUUAUUUUCCUUUUAUAUAUAUUAGGAAAUAGAACCGCGCUUCGCGCGGUUUGAGAAAAAAAAAUUAGUAUUAUUAUUUUUUCUCACUUUGCAUUUGAUGAAAUUGAUAAAAAAUUAUGAAUUAUUUUUUUUAAGAUGAGACAGCCUCAUAAAACUAAUGUCAUUUAUGAAAUAAUUAUUUUUUUUGUUAACUUUUAAAAUAUAUAUUAAUAUGUAUAGUGUAAGUGUACAUACCUUAUACCUUUUGUAGUUGUUGAUAAGUUCCAAGUUAUACUCAACUUGCUAAUCUGUUAGAACUUUUAUAUAUCUUUUUUUUUCUAACUAGUUCCAACGAUCUCAAUAUCACCCACACUACAUAAACUUCUGACAACGUCUGUAAUAUUAUGAAAAAAUAAUAUAAAUAUGUUAAAACAUAAGGAUCAAUAAUUUCUAAUAUACACUUAAAGAUUAACGAACAUUAAUAAUUUAAAAAUAAUAUCUGAGAGGAUUGUAUUAUCAUUCACACGUAUAUCAAUCAAAUUCAGAGAUAUGAAUUGAAAUCUAUUAAUCGAAAUCUUAACAGUUCCUUCUUCUAAACUCUUAAGUGAAGUUAUAAGCAAGAAAAUUAAUUUUAUACUGAUUUGAAAGUAGUCUGUACUCGCCUGUAGUUGAAACAACUUUCAAAUUCUUGACACUAUACAAAGAACCAUCACUCAACAUGUGCCUAAACCUUGUCACUAAAUUUUUCUUAGUUGUUGCAUGCAUUAGAAUGUCCUAUAAAAAAGAAAAACAUGCUACAUUAAGCGUAAAACAAUUGGGAAAAAAAAGAGAAAAUAAGGGGAGAAUGAAUUUUUUAUACAACCUUUUCAUCAAUAAAAAUUAUGUUCACACUAAUCAAUUAUCCAUUCUUUUUAGUAUUAACAGACUCCCACAUCCUAAAAAACAUAAUCCUUAUCAUCUAACUAUCUUUAUCAUUGUUCAACUCAUGAAGAAAAUAGUACUUCAUGAAGCACACAAUACAAAAACUUUAAAAAGUCAAAAAUAAAAUCAUGAGGAUAUUUUUAAAGAGGAUAUUGGUUAAAUAUUUAAAAAAAACUCAAACAUAACAAAUAUUAAAUACUUAAUGUUUAAAGAGUUUUAAGAAGUCAAAAGACACAAAACAAAAUGUUGAAUAAUUAAAUAUGAGAUUAUUGCAUUAAAAUUAUACUCUAAUGCCAUUGGUGAGAGAAGAUGAAGGAACCUUCCUUCAUUUAAUAAUUAGUUUAUGUAUUUUAAGCCACUAAAGUUUAGUUGUUGGCUUAAUAAAAUAAAUGAAUGUUUCAAGACUUAUAAUUAAUUAUUAUUAAUGGUUACAUAUUGUUGAAUUUAAUAGAAAGAUGAAGAGACAUGUAAUCUUUUGCAAUCUAAUAAUUAUUUUCUAUUUUUAAUACUUUGUAAUGUAAUUAUUUUUUAAUUGCAACCAAUUUAUUAAAUAAUAGAGAAUAUAAGAAGAUGAGAAAUGGUGAUGCCACAUCACCUCCUGUAGUCCCAGCUUUAUAUAUAUACUAGGAAAUAGAACCGCGCUUCGCGCGACUUAAAAAAAAUUAAUAUAAUUUUUUUCUUACUUUGCACUUGAUGAAACUGAUAAAAAUUAUGAAUUAAUUUUUUUAAAGAUGACACAACUUUAUAAAACUAAUAUUAUUUAUGAAAGUUCAUUUUUUUGUUAACUUUAAAAAUAUAUAUUAAUGUGUACACAAUAUUUUCAUCAAUAAAAAUUAUGUUCACAAUAAUCAAUUCUCCAUUCUUCUUGAUAUUAACAGACUCCCAUAUCCUAAAAUCUAACCUUUAUCAUCCAAUUAUCUUUAUCAUUGUUCAACCCAAGAAAAUAGUACUCUAUGAAGCACACAAUACUAAAAUUUUAAAAAGUCAAAAAAUAAAAACACAAGAACAUUUCUAAAGAGGAUGUUAGUUAAAUAAUAAAAAAAACUCAAACAUAAUAAAUCUUAAAUACUUAAUGUUUAUAGAGUUUAAAGAAGCCAAAAGACACUAAACAAAAGGUUGCAUAAUUAAAUAUGAGAUUAUGACAUUACAAUUAGGCCCUAAUGACAUUGUUGAGGGAAAAUGAAGGAACUUUCCUUUCUAUAUUAAUUAAUUGAUGUAUUUAAAACACUAAAGUUUAAUUAUUGGCAUAAUAAAAUAAAUGAAUGUUUCAAGACUUAUAAUUAAUUAUUAUUAAUGGUUACAUAUUAUUGAAUUUAAAUAAACAGAGGAAAGGACAUGUAAUCUUUUGUAAUCUAAUAAUUAUUUUUUAUUUUUAAAAUUUUGUAAUGUAAUUAUUUUUUUAAUCUCAACCAAUUUAUUAGAUAAUAGAGAAUACAAGAAGAUGAAAAAUAGUAAUGUCACAUCACCUCUUCUAGUUAAUUAAUUGAUGCAUUUAAGCUACUAAAGUUUAGUUGUUGGCUUAGUAAAAUAAAUGUAUGUUUCAAAACUUAUAAUUAAUUAUCAUUAAUGGUCACAUAUUGUUGAAUUUAAAUAGAAAGAGGAAGAGACAUGUAAUCUUUUGUAAUCUAAUAAUUAUUUUCUAUUUAUUUUUUAUUUUUAAUAUUUUGUAAUGUAAUUAUUUUUUAAUCUCAACCAAUAUAUUAGAUAAUAAAGAAUAUAAAAAUAUGAGAAAUAAUGAUGCCACAAAUCUUAAUUACUUAAUAUUUAUAGAGUUUGAAGAAGGCAAAAGACACUAAACAAAAUGUUGCAUAAUUAAAUAUGAGAUUAUGAUAUUAAAAUUAGGCCCUAAUGGUAUUGUUGAGGGAAGAUGAAGGAACCUUCCUUCCUAUAUUAAUUAAUUGAUUUAUUUAAGCCACUAAAGUUUAAUUGUUGGCAUAAUAAAAUAAAUGAAUGUUUCAAGACUUAUAAUUAACUAUUAUUAAUUGUUACAUAUUAUUGAAUUUAAAUAGAAAGAGGAAGAGAUAUGUAAUCUUUUGUAAUCUAAUAAUUAUUUUUAUUUUUAAAAUUUUGCAAUAUAAUUAUUUUUUUAAUAUCAACCAAUUUAUUAGAUAAUAGAGAAUGCAAGAAGAUGAAAAAUAGUGAUAUCAUAUCAUCUCAUCUAGUCCUAACUUUAUUAUCUAUGUAAGAAAAUAAAAAAAUAGUAAUGGCACAGCACCUCCCCUAGUCUCAUCUUUAUAUAUAUAUAUAUAUAGAUAUAUAAAAACCACGGUGGUGAAACUUUAUUUAAUAUUAUUGAUUUAAAUAACAAUAUCUCAAUUAAAAAUGAACAGAGAAGAAAUUUCGGUGGGUAUAUUAGUCUUUUACAAUUAUCAUGAUUAGCCCUUCCUCUUGUAACGUUGGUCAGAAAAGUUUUCUUUUACUUUUAACGUUAGCGGCCUUCCUUAUAUUUUAUUACAAAUUAAUCCUAACAAGAAAAAGCGAGAUCAUAUUCCACAAAAGCAUAAGUGACAAAACAACCAGUUGGAUUCUUUUAUUAAACUACAAUUUAAAAUGGUUUUAAAGUGGAUUCUUUUGAAUACAGGUGGGGUAGACGAUUAGGCUUUUUCAAAUUCUUGUUUUAUUAUUUUUCAAAAACUAGUUUUUGGUAAUUACAAUCGGGUCAUUAAUCAUUAUUCAGUGUUAGUUUUAUCUUCGGGGGCAGUGGGUAAAAGGCUAAAUGAUAAUUACUACCUGUUUUUCCUUCAAAAGUUAGUGGCUCGUGUUUUGCAAGUGUGAACGUGCGAUGCUCUUUGUCUAAGGGCAAUUACAGUGGGUCCCGAAUCGGACGUGCCUAAAUCUUUUAAAAAAUUUUCCGGUAUAACGGACAUAGGCCAUUACUAAAAUUUCUCUUCCACAGGCAAUUACAGCAGCUCGAGUUUAUCAAACUCAACCAAUUUUCUUUCUUAACAAAAUCCAAAGAUGUGUAGCAUUUUUCAGAUCACAUGCGAUGGUGCUUUUUUCAAUCGUUGCUUGGAUUGCUUUCUUGGAAAAGCAGCGUACAUAAGCAACCUCCAAGAUAAUCUUGUAGCCUUGGAGACUAAAAUGGGAAAUCUGAUCGCAGCAAAGAACGAAGUGAUUAUGAGGGUUGUCGCUACUGAACGGCAACAAUUGAGAAGGCUGGACCGAGUGCAAGUGUGGGUUUCCAGGGUGGAAGCUGUUAAAAUUGAAGCUGAUGAACUUAUCAGAGACGGCUCUCAAGAAAUUGACAAAUUAUGUGUUGGAGGCUACUGUUCUACGAACUGCACGUCAAGCUACAAGUUCGGGAAACAAGUGGCUAAAAAGCUACGAGAUGUGGAGACUUUAAUCGCCGAAGGAGUUUUUGAGGUGGUGGCUGACAGAGCUCCAGAGUCUGUAGCAGAUGAAAGACCUACUGAGCGAACACUAGUAGGCUUGCAAUCACAACUUGAACAAGUCUGGAGAUGUCUUAUAGAAGAAUCAGCGGGAAUCAUUGGCCUAUAUGGUAUGGGCGGUGUUGGUAAAACUACACUAUUGAUCCAUAUCAACAAUAAAUUUCUCGAGAGUCGAACCAACUUUGAUUUUGUGAUUUGGGUAGUAGUUUCAAAAGACCCGCGACUCGAAAAAAUUCAAGAAGAUAUUGGGAAAAGGAUAGGUUUGGUUGAUGAUUCAUGGAAGAGUAAAAGUGUAGAGGAGAAAGCUCUCGACAUCUUCCGGAGUUUAAGAGAGAAGAGAAUUGUAUUGUUGUUAGAUGAUAUAUGGGAGCGGCUUGAUUUAACAAAAGUGGGCGUUCCACUUCCCGGACCAAAAAAUACUACCUCAAAAGUCGUAUUCACAACCCGUUUCUUCGAUGUUUGUGGUAGCAUGGAAGCUCACAGGACGUUCGAAGUGGCAUGCUUAUCAGAAAAGGAUGCUUGGGAACUGUUUCAAGAAAAAGUAGGAGAAGAAACUCUUAAGAGUGAUCAUGAUAUCGCUGAGCUAGCCCAAACCGUGGCCAAGAAGUGUGGUGGUUUGCCGCUCGCACUUGUUACUAUUGGUCGAGCUAUGGCCAGCAAAAAGACAGCCGAGGAGUGGAGACAUGCAAUUGAAGAGUUAGGAAGAUCAGCUUCAGAGUUUCCAGGUUUGGGAAAAGAGGUGUAUCCUGUUUUAAAAUUCAGUUAUGAUAGUUUGCCGAAUGAGACGAUUAGAUCUUGUUUCUUAUAUUGUUGUUUAUAUCCUGAAGAUUAUGGCAUUCUUAAAUGGGACUUGAUUGAUUGUUGGAUUGGUGAGGGAUUCUUAGAGGAAUCUAACAGGUUUGGUGCAGAAAACCGAGGAUACUACAUUGUGGGCACUCUUGUUCAUACGUGUUUACUAGAAGAGAUAGAAGAUGAUAAAGUAAAAAUGCAUGACGUUGUUCGUGAUAUGGCUCUAUGGAUAGCUUGUGAAACUGAGAAGGAGAAGAUAAACUUUUUGGUUUGUGCAGGUGCUGGAUUAAAGGAGGCACCGGAUGUUAAAGGAUGGGAAAAUGUGAGAAGAUUGUCAUUGAUGCAAAACCAAAUUAAAGUUCUGUCAGAGGUUCCUACAUGCCCUCAUCUCCUCACUUUAUUUCUUGACUUUAAUAGAGAGUUAAUGAUGAUCGCGGGUGGCUACUUCCAAUUUAUGCCUUCUCUCAAAGUUUUGAAGAUAUCAAACAUUGGGUAUUUCAACGUUUUGAAAUUACCUUUGGGGAUGUCAAAGUUGGGUUCACUAGAACUUCUCGAUAUUUCACAUAGCAGCAUAGAGGAGUUACCAGAAGAGUUAAAGUUGUUGGUAAAUCUGAAAUGUCUGAAUUUGAGGUGGACAGAUGUGUUAAAUAAAAUUCCACGGCAACUAAUAUCAAAUCUUUCAAGGGUACGUGUGUUGAGAAUGUUCGCUACUGGCUAUGAUCGUUUUCAUGAAGCAUCAGAAGACAGCGUUUUAUUUGGUGGGGGUGAAGUUUUGAUACAGGAAUUGCUCGGUUUGAAAUAUUUAGAGGUAUUGGAGUUGACCUUGGGAAGUUAUCAUGCUCUCCAAAUUCUUUUGAGCUCAAAUAAGUUAAAAAGUUGUAUUCGAUCUCUUCUCCUCUUCGGGUUCAGAGGUACAAAGUAUUUUAUUGAUGCUACGGCUUUCGCAGAUCUAAAGCACCUCAAUGAAUUACAGAUUCAUGAUUGUAGGGGGUUGGAAGAGUUGAAGAUUGAUUACACAGAGAUAGCACAAAAAAGGCGGGAACCUUUUGUUUUCCGCAGCCUUCGUCGUGUUACUAUGGUUUCGUGCCAUAAAUUGAAAGAUUUGACAUUCCUCGUUUUUGCUCCAAACCUCAAGUCUAUUUCGCUAGGCGAUUGCGAUGCUUUGGAAGAAAUAAUCAGCGUUGGAAAAUUUGCUGAGGUUCCUGAGAUGAUGGGACAUCUAAGCCCUUUCGAAAAUCUCCAAAAUCUUGACCUAUCGUAUUUGCUGGCUUUGAAGAGCAUCUACUGGAAGCCAUUGCCUUUCACUUAUCUGAAAGAAAUGGUGGUAAAUGGGUGUGAUCAACUUAAAAAGCUUCCACUCGAUUCCAGCUGUGCAGAAGAGCGUAAAUUUGUUAUUCGCGGAGAAGCACACUGGUGGAACUGCCUUGAAUGGGAGGAUGAAGCCACUCAAAUUGCUUUUCGUUCCUGUUUCCAGCCUUAUUCCUGAGUGGUGGUUGCAAAAUUUGAUUUCUGGUGUGGUCUUUUAUUCUCUGUUUUUAUUUAAGUUUCUUUUCCUUUCCUUUUCCUUUUUUUUUUUAAUUUCUCCUGCAAAUCACAAUUAAACAUUGAAUUAUAUGGAAUUAAUGCUUUAUAAAUUUGCCGGCACUGCCUUUUUUUUUUUUUGUCGGAGUGAUACUCUAGCUUUUGACUUUUGGUUGUCAAAUUCUGCUCUGCCUUUUUAAAUUGAUGCUUUAUUUAUAUUUUCUUAGUGAUUUAGUUUCCUGUCAAAAGACGAACGAGAAGAACAUUUGAAUUAAAUAAAUGCUCGCAAAUUUGCGGUAAAAAGAUGUAAUUAGCCGAGAAAAUAUUAAAUAUAGUAGCCCUCUUUACAGAAAAUCAAGUGGAAGUUAAUUCAGCAAGUUAUAUUCUUGAUUAAUUCCUUUUCUGAAGUUUUUAUUUUCUAUGGUCAAUUAUACCUUCAUACUAAAAAUUGCUGCUAUUGGGUGUUGAGUGUUAUGCUAAAAUUUUGCCCUAUUUUGGGCCAAUAUUUUAGAAGUGAAACAUACUUCAGAGUUGAAGUAAACUUUGAAAAUAGAGAUAAUGAUUAAUUUAGAAGAGAUGCAAGUAAAAGAUAUUCUAAAAAAAAAAAAGCAAUAUGUCCCUUUGGAGGGCAAACUUGUCAGUUUGAAAAAGUUACAUGCUUUGGAUUGAUAGUUGCAGGAUAUUUGUUUUGUCACUGUGUAUUAGGUGCGUUUGGAAUUGAAGUGUUGUAGUUUUUAAGUUAUAAUUGUUGUAAAAAAAAAUUGUAACUAUAAAACAAAAGUUAAUAAUAUAUAAUAAAUUUAAAUUUAAAUAAUAAUUUUAAUAAAAUUAUUAAAGAUAUAAUAGAUUAUUUAUUAUACAAGUGAAAAUUAUAUCAACAUAUCUUUCAAGUUACAAUAGUUAUUGAUUACUAAACACUUUACUGUUGUAACUUUUAAGUUAUAGCUAUUUAACCUCAAUUCCAAACGCAUCGGAGAAGUCACGCCUAGUGAAGAAUGUUAUGAAAGAGCAAAGGAUAUUCCUAAUCGAGCUCUAUUUGAUUAUGUAUCCAGUGAAUGGAUGUGUUGUUGGAAGAUAUUUGAGUGCAUUAGUUCAUUUGUGUCGGUCAAUGUGCUUUUAAUGAUUUUUCCACUUGUUUGUUGUAAAAGAUUAUUGUAAAUUGAAAUGAAUUGGAUGUUGUAAUAUUUUCUCUUUAGUGGAAUUUCACCUUGUAUGUAUUCAGUUGUGUUGUCUAAAAUUUUACAUUCGAAUAAGUUUUCACCUAAAAUAUUAGCAUGAGUUGUGGCCCUUGAAACUUUGGUCAAAAUUAUUGUUAUUAUUUCUUACUAGAUGUAAACUUUUUAUUAAACCUCGUUAACAUAAUUCUUAAUUAAAAGUAUAGGUUAGUGUCGGUGCAGAAUUUGCAACACCAAAUCCUGCCUAGGCAAGUGUCAAAAGUGCAAAAUAAAUGAAGAGAAAGCACGAAUACAUGAUUUAGAUUAGGAUAGAAGGAAACUUAAAUCCUAGAGAAAAGGAUAGCUAUAUCCCAAGAUUUAAAAAAAUAGUCAUGUAGAUUUUUAAGAUUUCAAUAAGCGACUAAGAUUUUCUUUUGACAAAUAAUUUCCUUUAGCUCUAUUAACAAAAAAAAUAAAGACUCAAAUAUUUUAUAAUAAAUAAAAUAUAAUAUUAAAAUAUAUGUGAUAAUAUAGAAAUUUUAAAUAAUUUCAAUCCAAAUAAAUAGUUAUGUUUUACAAGCUAUUAAACAUAUUUUAUUAAAUUAAUAUAAAUGUUUUAUAAAAUAGGAACAUAAUAUUAAAAUAAAUUUACAAAAUUUUUAAGAAUUUUGAAUGUAAAAUAAUUUUAAUAUAUUAAUACGUGAGAUUUUUUUAUUAUUAUAAAAAUUAUUUAACUUUAAGAUUUUUUAAAAUCCUUACAAUAAGUAUAAAUAUAUUAUUUACAUUUAAAAAUAUUUAAAUAUUAUUAACCUACAAUUAUAUUUGCAUUUAUUAGAAAAUUUUAAAGUCAAAUAUUUUGCACUUCUACAUUAUUAGAAUUAUUGAACACAAAGAAAGAAACAUAUAUGCUUUAUAGCUUUAGAAAUUGUUUUCUUUUACAUCUGGAAACAAAGAUGAUGAUUAUUAUAAGGAUAAAAAAUGGAUAAAGAAUAUUAAUGAUUAACGAAAUCUCUGUGCAAAUUGAUUUUAGUAGAAAAAGAGUGAGAUGAAUGAUUUCUUUUACAACUAGAAACAAAGAUGAUGAUUAUUAUAAGGAUGAAAAAAAGAUAAAGAAUAUUAAUUAUUAAUGGAAUCUCUAUGCAAAUUGAUUUUAGUAGAAAAAACGAGCUAAAUGAUUUAGACAUUCAUUCUGUGUUUAUUUUUGUGAUUAGCAUUAAAAAUUGUUUAAUUAUCAAACGAUAAUAAUGUUAUUUUGUACUUAUGUUAUAAUUUAUAUUUGUGUUUAUGUAAUAUAUUAGAAAUUAUUAAUUAUGUUUUAAAUAUAUCUAAUUUUGAGUAUAUUUGUGUGUUUAUUAGGAAAAAUAUUAAUUUUAGAUAAAUUGAGGCUCCAAACAAUUAAACGGAGGUCAAAUUUGGAUUCCGGAGGUUUGAAAACCUUAAGAUCAGUCAAGAUCGGCUUAAAAUUAGGUUUGUGUAAAAAGAGUUGACUUUUUCUGCUGACCGAGCACUGAUUGGAUGAUGAAAUGAGCUUACAAUAGAUAUGAGUGCAUGGGAUAACUGGCAAUUUUGACUAAAUCUCAACCGUUCAUGAUUCAAUGGCCAUGAUUGUGCCAUGUGGUAGUGGUUGAUGAAGCAAGUUGUAGGAUCUGAAUCUUUGUAUACGGGUCGACCUGAUCCGCCCAUUAACUCGCCAAAUCACAACCGUUCUUUGGCCAAAUCGGACGAGUCAAACGAUGCCACAUGUGAAGUUGACUUUUGAAGUUUGACCAGCCAUUGGAUCUUGAUCUAAAGGUUGUGAGAGCAUGAAGCUUAUGGAGCUUAUGAUGGACCGCAAAACACUGGAUUAUAAAUUUAUUUUUCUAUAAAUAGAGCCUCAUUUUUAUGUUUUUAAUUAUCUCUACAUCUCUCUUCUUCUCAAAUUCUCUCCAUCUCCCUGUAAUAUUUUGUAUAAUUAUUUUAUUAAAUAAAUUUAGUUUUAUUUUCAAUUUUAGUUGUUUUUAUUACUUUUAAUUAUAAGUAAUUAAAUUUUAAUAUUUCUUUUUAUUUCAAUUAUGCUUAACUAAAUAAUAUUAGUUGGGGUAAGGUGAAACUCUUAGGAAAUAAAUAUGAUUUAAUCAAAUUUUAUUUUUAAUUUUAUAAAUUAAAUUAUUUUCUAUUUAAUUUUAUACAUAUUUUAUAUUUUAAAAUUUUGAUUUAUUGUAGACAAACAAAUAAAUUUGGCACAAUAAAUUCUUAAGAUCUUAAUAUAAGGUAUGGUAAAAUGGUAUUUUGACUUAUUGUAGACAAAUUAAAUUUUGACACAAUAAAUACUUAAUCCAUCAUAAAAUUAGAGGGAAAAUAAUAAUAAUUUAUAUAAUUAAUCUUUUGGGCAAUAAAUUUAAAAAAAUAGCAAAAAGAAUUUAUUGAGUUUUAUUUACUACUAAGAGUGGAUCCACAAUCCUAACUAGAUCAAUUUCAUAAUUUCAUUUAAAUUAAGUUGUUUUUAUUCAAGUUUUUAUUUCAAUUUUUAGAUAAAAUAAAUUAAAUUAAUUAAAUCUUUUCUCUGUAGAUCGACCUCAGACUCACCGAGGACUGACCAAGGUAUAAUACAACAAGACACUCUUAUAAUUAAGAGUUUAAAAUUACUUUUAAGUUGUGUCAUUUUGGAUUGGUGAAUUAGAAUUAUUGACAACGCUAACUUCAUCUUCACAAUUUGCAAUCCAAUAGCAGCAAUUGUCACCGAUAAUGAUAUCUCCAAUGAUAAUGACGAUUUUAUUAUUAUUAUUGAUAAAAAGUAUUAUAAUUAAUUAAUAUAUUAAUGUUAAUAUUAUUAUUAUUAAGAUUAACAAUAAUUAUUAAUAAUAACAAUUUUUUGAAUAAAAAUAAUUACAAUAAUUUAAAUAUAAAUUAAUAAUUAUGACAAUAAUUAAUUAAUGUCUUUUUAAUAAUUUACUGAUUAUCACAGUUCAAGUAAACAAAUUAUUAUGAUUCCUAUUCUCCAUUUCCAUUUCAGCUCACUCCGAUUCCAAUCCAUUUCGACUUCUGCCUAAAAAACUCACCAUUAGUGCUAUAGUAAUAUUUCAUAUAGAGAAAAGUAAAAUCUACACCUAAGAUUAAGGUAAAGGACUUCAAAACUCUCUUUUGAUUAUAAUACCUUUUGUCCUAAUUAACUUAAAGAUUUUGAAUCUAAUAUUUUAUAAUAAAUAAAAAUAUAUUCCUAAAAUAAAUAUAAUAUCAAUAUUUAAAGUAUGUUUUAAUAUUUUACAAUCUAUCAGACACAUUUUAUUAUAUUAAAGUAAAUUUUAUAAUAAAUACAAACAUACUAUUAAAAUGAAUAUACAAAAAAGUUUAGAGUAUUUUGAAUAUUAUAUAAAAUAAUUUUAAUAUAAUGCGUGAGAUAUAUUUUAUUAAUUUAAAAUGCUAUUUUACCUAAAAAUUUAUUUAUGAUAAAUUAAUAAUUAUAUUUUUAAAAUUAUUUUAAAUAUUAUAAAAAAUUUAAUAUUAUUAGUGUUUUAGAUAGAUUAAAUUAUUUUAAAAUGCCUUAAUUGUUUUUACUUUUAACGUUACCGGCCUUUCUUAUAUUUUAUUGCAGCUAACAAGAAAAAGCCAGAUCAUAUUCCACAAAAGCAAAAGUGACAAAACAACCAGCUGGAUUCUUUUAUUAAACUACAAAUUAAAGGAUCCCAUUAUCUUACAACUAAUGUAAGAUACAUCCCUCACAUAAAUAGUAUAUAAACUCCACAUAUAUACUGUUCAUGUGAGGAAAUGUACCUUACAUUAAGAUAGUGUUUGCCCAAAUUAAAAUAGAUUUUUUCGAUGAACUACAAAUUAAAGUGGAUUCUUUUGAAUAUAGCUGGGGUUAGGGUAGGCUCUUUUAUUUAAGGCAAGUCUAGAGUAGUCAAAGACGAUUAGGCUCUUUUAUUAAACUACAAAUUGUAUAGUCUUUUUCAAAUUGUUCAGAUGCUUAUAAAUUAGUGGCCCCUUGUAAAUUUAACUGGAAGUGCCAAUCAGAGAAAAGUUCAAUUCUAAAUAAUUGUUCCGAUAUUUAUAAAUUGGUGGCCCCUACAAUCCUCAAUAAUUGUUCCGAUAUGUAUAAAUUGAUGGCCCCUACAAUCCUCAAUAAUUGUUCCUAUAUUUGUAAAUUGGUGGCCCCUUAGAAAUUUAACCGCAAGUCUGCAAGUGACAAUCGGAGAAAAGUCAUAAUUUACAAUCUUCCAAGGGAAGUAGGGAACCAGGGGAUAUACAAAGAUUAAGACAUGUCAUUCAUUUUUUUGGCUGCAUUCCCUUUCGUGUUCUUAAUAAUUGAAGACAGGUUGUUCAUUACAUGCUUACUUUUCAAAUGUGGAGCCGCAGCUAAUGUCGCUACUUUAAUUUGGGAUUAAAUUAGGGAAACAUUAUAUUGUAGUAUGCACUAACUUGAUGUUUAUCUAAACUCCUUAAAUUUAAGACAGAUUAUGGCAUAAAUAAGAAUAUAACGAUAACAAAAGAGUAUAUAAAAUAUUUAGAGUAUUUUGAAUAUUAUAUAAAAUAAUUUUAACAUAAUGCAUGAGAUAUAUUUUAUUAAUUUUAAAUGCUAUUUAACCUAAAGAUGUAUUUAUGAUAAAUUAAUGAUUAUAUUUUUGAAAUUAUUUCAAAUAUUAAAAAAUUAAUAUUAUAGACUAAAUUAUUUAUAUUAUUUUUUAUUUAUUAAAAAAUUUUUAAGUCAAUCUUUUUAAUUACUAUUCAAAGAAUAUAAUGAUUAAAAAAAUCUUUAUGCCUUCAUUAAAAAUUUAAAAAUUUACAUAACGAUUUCUAUAAAUAUUUAGGGUAUAUAUGAAGCACGGUGGAGAAGCUUUAUUUAAUAUUAUUGAUUUAAAUAAUAUCUCAAUUAAAAAUGUACAGAGAAGAAAUUUCGGUGGGUAUUUUAGUCUUUUCAGCAAUUAUCAUGACCAGAUCUGCCUUUGGCCUUGAAACGUCGGUCAGAAAAGUUUUAAAGUGCUUUAAUUGUUUUUAAGGCCGCUAAUAACUCUGCUCGUGCAAGUUGAGGAUAAAUGUUAAAUUAAUUACAAAAGCAAAAGGCUAAUUUAUUGAAGACAAGUAAAGCAGUCACGAAUGGUACAUGCCUAAUCUUUUCUAUAUUUACAGAAACACAAUUUUUUUUCAAUCCGCCGCAGCUUCUGUUAAAAUUAUCUUGGUUUCUCGUAGUUGAUUUCUAUUAUCCCAAAAAAAAAAAAAAGGUAACUGUUGAUGCCGAAAAAUGAUUUCAACAGCUGAAUUUAUUUUUUUUGGAGAAUUACAGUGUGAAUCCAAGCUCAAACGCAAGUCUGAUCGCAACUUUCUAUAUCUGCUAAUCAGAAAACACAGUUAGGAUACGCCGGUGGGGUUUCGGCUAGACCUUCCGAUACUUAAGUCAGAAAUUAUGUAUAAAAGGAGAAAAAUGAGAAUGAAGAAUUAUGAAUGAGUUAAAGUCAAGUAAUUUUCCGGUAGAGGGGUUGAAAAUCUUGUAGAAGCUUUGGUUGAUUUUGCUAACCCCUUCACCUGAUGCGCUCUUCAGUUUAAAUAGACUCUUGGUCGUGUACGGUUACCUCCUUAACUUCAGAAGUUGCAAGUGGUUGUCAGUUGGAGGUGGUUUAAAUAGAUCGUGGCACACAACUUCCUUAUAAAUUAGGCCACGUUCUCUUAACUAGCAAUUUUCCAUGUCAAGCUAAUUCUCAGGUCGGACAAGAGAAUUUCAAGGUCGGAUUACUUCACUUUCAGAUUAGACAGAUGAAUUUCUCAGUCGCUCAUAUAACGUUAAGGUUGUAUUCUUAAACUAAGUCAUUCACAUAGAUCUUAGGUCGUACUUAUAAACCAGGUCGCCAACAUAGGCUCCAGGUUGUACUUAUGAGGUUAGCUCAACAACAAUAAGUUUUGAGUAGAUUAGGAUCGACUAUAUUUUGAGACACUACCAGAAAAAUCCAACCCAAACACCAGUCCCCUAAUUUUCAAUACUGGAAAGUCAUUGCCAGUGUUGGAAACUAAUGGAAAACAUUUCUCAAAACCCAAUACCAGUCCCCUAGUUUUCAAUACUGAGAAGAUAUGAACGGUAUUGGAAACUAAAAUAAUUAAGAAAGAGCAAUAUAGCCACAAGCAAAAGAAAGACGGUGUAGAGCGGAACAAUGAGCAAAGAGAAGAGUAAAAAGAAAACUUCAGGUGUGGACCAAGAAAAUAACCAUGACCAAAUGCCUCGAGGUGAUAGAGUCGGGGUUGAGGGUGAGGUCUUCCUAACUAGUAGGGUUGUUGAAGACCAAGAGAGAACUUCCUAAAUUUAAUUAUUACAAUGCUUGCCCUUUUUUGCAAUAUGAACUUGUGUAGACCGUAUGCUACUGAACUUUAUUUUGCCUUUGUAAUCGGAUAAUUAUUAUGCUGACCUUGCCUUUUUUACUCUUUAUUUACUAGGGUUGGUUAUGAAUUGCAUUCCGUAGACUGAGCCCAUUUAAGACUCUGUUGAGGUCAAACAAAUAGAUAUGGUCAACUUUGGUAGCAAUAACACCAAGCAAUGACCUUGAAUUCACCAAGAUUCUAUCAUUUCGAUAUCAAUCUUGAUAAGGAAAAUGUUGACCUCACGAAAAUAUCAACUUCAACAAGAUAAAUUGUUGACCUCAACAAGAUAAAUUGUUGACCUCAACAAGAUAAAUUGUUGACCUCAACAAGGUUAAGUGUAGAGCUAAAAUGCCAACCUCACGACAAGGAAAAUGUUGACCUCACGAUAAGGAAAAUGUUGACCUCACGAAAAUGUCAACCUUAACAAAAUAGAUUGUCGACCUCAACAAGGUUAAGUGUAGAGCUAAAAUGCUGAACUCACGAUCUCACGACAAGGAAAAUGUCAACCUCACGAAAAUGUCAACCUCAACAAGAUAGAGUGUUGAACGCAAUAAGGUUAAAAUGUAAAGCUAAAAUGCCGACCUAAAAAAAAAUUGAAAAUUGGAGAACUUAAAUGUUAAGCUUAUGAUCAACCUCAACAAGGCAAUGACUGACCUCAAUAAAAUUGAAAAUUGGGCAACGACCUCAACAAGGCAAUGGCCGACCUCAACAAGGCAAUGGCCGACCUUAAAAAAAAUUAAAAAUUGUAGAACUUAAAUGUUAAGCUUAUGGCCGACCUCAACAAAAUUGAACAUUGUAGAACGUAAAUGUUAAGGCUAUGGCCAAACUCCACGAGGCAAUGACCAACCGCAAUAAAUAGAAAAUUGUAGAUUUUAACUUAUGGCCGACCUCAAUAAGGUAAUGGUCGACCUCAACAAAAUUAAACAUUGUAGAACGUAAAUGUUAAGGCUAUGGGCAAACUCCAUGAGGCAAUGACAAACCUCAAUAAAUAGAAAAUUGUAGAAUUUAGCUUAUGGCUGACCUCAAUCAGGCAAUAGCCGACCUCAACAAAAUUGAACAUUGUAGAACGUAAAUGUUAAGGCUAUGGCCAAACUCCACGAGGCAAUGAGCAACUUCAAUAAAUAGAAAAUUGUAGAACUUAGUUUAUGGCUUACCUCAAUAAGAAAAUGGUCGACCUAAAUAAAGUAAAGGCGAAUUUCGAUAAAAUUGAAAAAUGUAGAUCUCAACAAGAUAAAAGUUAAGGCUAUCUAACCACAAGGUAAUAGCUGUCUUCAAUCUCAAAAAGGCCGAAUUACAAUUAGACCUCAACAAGGUCAAAAUGACAAUCUCGAUCUCAAUAAGAUUUGAUAAAUUUUUCAGGUAGGACCUCAACAAGGCAGCAAUGUCGAUCUCAAUCUCAAUAAGAUUGGAUGAAUUUUUCAGGUAGAAUCUCCACAAAGCCGAAAUGCCGAUCUCAAUCUCAAUAAGAUUGGAUAAAAUUUUCAGGUAGGACUUAAAUAAGGCCGCAAUGUCGAUCUCAAUCUCAAUAAGAUUGAAUGAAUUUUUUUCAUGUCAGACCUCAGUAAAGUCGUCAUGUCGAUCUCAAUCUCAAUAAGAUUAGAUAAAUCUUUUCACGUUGGACCUCAAUACGGUCCAAAAAUGCCGAUCUCAAUCUCAAUAAGAUUGGAUAAAAUUUUCAGGUAGGACCUCAACAAAGCUGCAAUGUCGAUCUCAAUCUCAAUAAGAUUGGAUGAAUUUUUUCACGUUGGACCUCAGCAAGGCCGCCAUGUCGAUCUCAAUCUCAAUAAUAUUGGAUAAAUCUUUUCAUGUUGGACCUCAAUACGGUCCAAAAAUGCCGAUCUCAAUCUCAAUAAGAUUGGGUAACUUUUUCAUGUUGGACCUCAAUAAGGUCACAAAGUUGAUAUCAAUCUCAAUAAGAUUGAAUAAAUAUUUUCACGUUGGACCUCAAUACGGUCCAAAAAUGCUGAUCUCGAUCUCAAUCUCAAUAAGAUUGGGUAAUUUUUUCACGUUGGACCUCAACAAGGUUGCAAUAUCGAUAUCAAUCUCAAUAAGAUUGGAUAAAUUUUUUCACGUUGGACCUCAAUAAGGUCCAAAAAUGCCAAUCUCAAUCUCAAUCAGUCUGGAUAAAUUUAUUUCAUAUUGGACCUCAAUCAAGUCCAAGUGUCGAUCUCGAUCUCAAAUAAGACCGGUCACAAGUAGAUAAGAAAUAAAGUUGCACUUUUAAAUAACCUCAUUGAUACUAAUAUAACAGAAGUUAUAGAAUUGAACGCAUAACAAAUUGAAAUAACAAAGAAACAAACUUUCUUAGCAUAUUUAAAGAAAAUAAACAAACAAUAUUUAAAGAAAAUAAACAAACAAGGACAUCAUAAAUAAGAUAUAUCUUAACUGAUAGUAUUUUCGCAGGUGCUCUGCAUUCCAUGCCUUGCCAACGACCCUGCCAUCCUGAUAACUUAAUUUAUAUGCCCCAUUAUCAAAUUAGGGUAGCACUUUAUAUGGUCCUUCCCAGCUCGGCCCUAGAACUCCAUCAAUAAAUCUGAAGCUCAUUGGAGAUGUCAUCCAUCAUUUUUGUUCCCACUCUUACCACCCUGCUCGGAUCAACCUCACUUAUCGGCAUGUUUCAUUUCUUCAUUAGGUCACUGUUGGCACAAUCUAUUCUCAGCUCGUGGGUCGAUACUCGUGAUCUGCAUGGAUUCUCUUGCAGCUGUAGCGUAACAACUUCGAGCUAUUUGUUGCUGGCCCCUCAUCACUCCAACCCCAUAUUGAACUCUAAACUUCACACGUUGCAUGUGGGUUGAGCUCACGGCUCUUACUAUCCUAUUGAAAGGUCUACCCAAAAUAAAUUGAUAAGGGUUGGGCUCAUCAACUACCACCCAUGUCACCAUCACUGUCUUUUGUAGUGGGUUGGACUUUAUUAUCAGUGGCAAGUCAAUCAUCCCAAGGGGAAUCAACUCAGCUCCGCCAAACCCUUUUAGUGAUGUUCUGACGGGAUCAAGCCUAAGGUCCCCUAUUUGUAGAUCUUCCAGGGUUUGCUUAAACAAAAUGUCGACUGAGCUUCCUCCAUAUAUAAGAGCUCGGUUCAAAUCCUGCCCUACCAAGGUAACCUUCACUAUGAGCGCAUCCUCAUGUGGAUGUGCGACCGCUUCCUCGUCCUCGUCUGUGAACAUGAUCGGCACCCUUUGAACCCGUUGCUUCUUUGGUAUUGAAACAUUAAAAUUCAACUUAUAACUUUCUAAUGACUAUCUACUAUAAUUUCUCCUUGAACGAUUUGAGUCUCCUACUAGGGUCGGCCCUCCCAUAAUCAUCAUCGCUACAUUAUCUCUGAUGUCUCCUCUUCUCCCACCUAUUCCUUGGUCAUUCACAUACUCCUUUAGAUAUUGAUUUUGCACUAGCCACAAAAUCUGUUCUUUCAAGUCUAUGUAAUCUGCAGUUCCAUGUCCGAACACAAUGUGAAACUCGCAAUACUUGUGGUGAGCACUUCUGCCCAGACUUCUUACAAUUGGCUUUGGCGGUUUAAGUAGCCCCUUCUUUUCUACUACAACAUAUAUUUCCGCUCUGCUUUUGUUCGAUGGUGUGUAUCUUCCACUCUACUCUAAUAAGUUCACCCCAUGGUCAGAUCUCGAUACUCUCUGUUCUAUAGGCAGUGGCAACCUAUUGUAGUCUCUUGCUCGGUUCUCCCUUUAGUUCAUCUCAUAAUUAUUUCCUCUAUCUCGGCCCCAUCCCAUUAAUGAGAUUUAUCUCAUUUCACGAUUUCUUUCCCAAUCUCGACCCGACCUUUCUGGUCAUCUGUAAUUGAACAACUCUCCGCCGUAAUGACGUCUAUCAUCCGAGUUCCUCCUCGAGCUAUACUCGAGGUUAUCACUUGACCCUCUCUCUGCUCUUCCAUUCUCCUAUUUUCUUCCUCUGCAUCUUCAGUUUUCAUAUCUAAUUUUGUCUAGUCGUACGCCUCAGCGUAUGUUGUUAUCCCCUUGUUAUAUAAGCUAUUCCAUAAUCGAUUGAUUCUCAACUCCUUCUUUAAUCCCUCUAGAACAUCUGGAAGAUCAAAGGCCCCUAGAUCGGUAACCUCUCUAUGAUACCUGGUCACAAAACUCGUCAAACUUUCAAAUUCUCCUUGGACCAAUUUUGUCAAGCUGCUCAUAUCCUGCUCUGAUAUGCAUGAACCUCUAAAAUGCAUAGCGGAAAGCACACAUAACUCCUUGAAAUUUCCUAUGCUUCUAUUCUUUAAUCUCCGGUACCAUUCCCAUGCUUGUCCAUCUAGAGUUAAGGGAAAAAUACGGCACCUUUGAAAAUCAUUCAAACCUUGAAUUACAGUCAUCUCAUUAAACUUCUCCACAUGAUGAUUUGGGUCAGUUUUUCCUUCAUACACCAAGACUUGAACCACAUACUUGGGUGGCAAAGUUACUGCCAUCACUUCAGGUACCAAGGGGGACUCGUCAUCGAGUAACAGCCUUCCUACCACUUUCUUGCCCUCUGUUUUCGCCUCUAAUACCUCUAAGGUUUUUUGAAAUUGCAGCAUUCGUUGCUCAAGCUCAUUUGCCCGUUGGGGUCUCUCAGCUCUUCCCUCUCUCUUUCUUGAUUCAAGUCAUUGAUUCUCCCCCUCAACUCAUUCACUUGUUCUCCUGCACUUCUAUUCUUUUGUCGUACCCCAACUUGUGGUAGUCCCAUUCCGCUCUGCUGUUCACCAUCAAGCUCUUCCCUCUCUCGCGCUCCACUACAUUUUGGAUCACUAGCUCGAACGUGAGCCUCUCUGACUUGGGCAUCAACCAGCCCCCGAUCAUCUUCUCAAAUCUCGCCAUUUGCCUCUCAAUCCCUUCUCUCCAUCUCUUAUCUGCCGUGGCAUUCAUUUCCUCAGCCAAUUGGCGCAAGGUCUACGUAUCUUCAUCCUUAUCAUCUAUCACUAUUUUGUAAUCCGAUAGCUUCUCCUUCUAAAUCUUCAAACGUAUGGCUUUUCGCACUGAUCCCCACAGAUAGCGUCAAGAUGUUGAUGCUGAAAAACGACAUGAACAGCUGAAUUUGUUUCUUUUGGGGAAUUACAAUGUGAAUUUAAGCUCAAACGCAAGUCUGAACGCAACUUUCUAUAUCUACCAACCAGAAAACACAGUUAGGAUAUGCCGGUGGGGUUCCGGCGCAGACCCUCCGAUGCUUAAGUCAAAUUAUGUAUAAAAGGAGAAAAAUAAGAAUGAAGAAUUAUGAAUGAGUUAAAGUCAAGUAAUUUUCCAGUAGAGGGGCUAAAAAUCUUGUAGAAGCUUCAGUGAAUUUUGCUAACCCCUUCACCUGAUGCGCUCUUCAAUUUAAAUAGACUCUUGGUCAUGUACGGUUACCUCCUUAACUUCAGCCCGCUUUCUUCAGUAGUUGCAAGUGGUUGUCAGUUGGAGGUGGUUUAAAUAGAUCGUGGCACACAACUUCCUUAUAAAUUAGGCCACGUUCUCUUAACUAGCAAUUUUUCAUGUCAAGCUAAUUCAUUGGUCGGACAAGAGAAUUUCAAGGUCGGAUUACUUCACUUUCAUAUCAGACAGAUGAAUUUGUUAGUCGCUCAUAUAGCGUUGGGGUUGUAUUAUUAAACUAAGUCAUUCACAUAGAUCUUAGGUCGUACUUGUAAACCAAGUCGCCAACAUAGGCUUCAGGUUGUACUUAUGAGGUCAACUCAACAACAAUAAGUUUUGAGUAAAUUAGUAUCGACUAUAUUUUGAGACACUACAAAAAAAAUCCAACCCAAACAGUAACAUUUUGCAAAUCUCAAUCGACGGUGCUAUUUUCAAUCGUUGCCUGGAUUGCUUUCUUGGAAAAGCAGCAUCUAUAAGAAACCUGCAAAAAAAUGUUGUAGCCUUGGAGACUGAAUUGGGAAAACUAAUCGAAGCAAAGAACGAUGUGGUGGCGAGGGUCGUCAACGCUGAAAGGCAACAAACGAUGACAAGGCUGAACAAAGUUCAAGGCUGGCUUUCGAGGGUGGACGCUGUUAAAGCUGAAGCUGAUGAAUUGAUAAGACAUGGCCCUCAAGAAAUUGAGAAACUAUAACUUAGAGGCUACUGUUCCAAGAACUGCAAGUCAAGCUAAAAGUUUGGCAAAAAAGUGGCUAAAAAGCUAAGAGACGCCGGGACUUUAAUGGCCAAUGGAGCAUUUGAAGUGGUAGCUGAGAGAGCUCCAGAAUCAGUAGCGGAUGAAAGGCCUAUCGAGCCCACAGUAGUAGGCCUGCAAUUGCAACUCGAGCAUGUUUGGAGAUGUCUUGAAGGAGAAUCAGUCGGAAUUGUUGGCCUAUACGGCAUGGGCGGUGUCGGUAAAACUACACUAUUGACCCAUAUCAACAACAAAUUUCUUGAGAGUCCAACUAAUUUUAAUUAUGUGAUAUGGGUCGUAAUGUCAAAAGACUCGCGACUUGAAAACAUUCAAGAAACUAUCGGGGAGUAGAUUGGUUUGUAAAAAUUUGCCAAUUUACACAGCAAACAAUUUCCACCCAAUUAAUGUUUUUUAGAAAAUUGUAAAAAUUUGGAGUUAUGAAAAUAGAAACUAUAUAAUAAGAAGAAAUAAUUUAAGAUUUUAAGAUUUAUAUAUAUUUUAUAAAUAAAACAUUAAAAGAGAUGCUUGUUAUUACGAUGAAAUUUUAUGAGUAAGAUGAUUAACUUUAAUAUAUGAGUUUGUAUUUUAUAAAUUAAUCAGAGGUAUUUUAGAAAAUAAAUUCAAAAUGGGAGUUAUAAGAGUUUUAGAGUGGUGUUAAAAGCUCAACUCUUUUGAAUUUUACUGCCCAAUUAUAUAGUACAUUAGCGUGAUUGUUAUGUAUUCAUUUUUUUCAGAUACAACAAACGAGCUGCGUAGUGCUCAAAUAACAAAAAUUAAUAAUUUCACACACCCAUAUACAUAUAUGUAUACAUAUAGAUACAUAUUAUAUUUAAUUAAGCAAAAGAAAGAACCCCCUGUACGACGCCAGUGAGAAGAGAGAGAGAGAGAGAGAGAGGAAGAGAGCUUUUUGUGUUAUAUUUCAUAAUUUUUAUUUAAUUAAAAAUAUUUGUAGUUUGGAUUUGGGCGCCCCAAAGAAUUUCUAAAUCAAAACCUUAAUUUUUAUUAGGUCUUGAGCCUAUUCUCGAAAUAGAUCCUAUUAUAUUCUUAGGUGGUGUUUGGUUUUAAGAAAAUGGAAGAGAGGAGAGGUGAAAAAAGAAGAUGAACGGAGAGGUGAUGAGAGGAAAAGAGUGUAAAAAUUAAUUGUUAUUGUUUGGUUUCACAUUAAAUUUGAAAGGAAAAGAAAUUACAUAUUUUUUAUUUGGACGAAUAUACCCACUAUUUUAAUGCUAAUAUUGUUAAUAAAUUAAAAAAUAAUAAAACUAUGAAUUAAUUUAAUCUAGAAAUUACCUAAUUAAAUUAAAAAAUUAUUUUUUAAAAAAAUACAGCAUUUGGCCAUGGACAGCCUCCACGUUGACCACCGUUGACUGGCGAAUUUGACUGUCGUUGACCGUCAUUUUUCAUCGCGUUAAAUGCAUAAUAAUAAUAAGAAAUGAAUGAUUUAUUCAUUGGAAGUGUUAAUUUUGCAGAAAAUACACUAUAUAGUAGGAAAUAUGAGAGUUAAAAUUUUCCCAAGCAUUUAAACAAGACUUGAGGUAAAUAACAAUGUAUAUUAGCAUUUUUAAUCUCAUAGCAUUGUAGAUGGACUCAUGAGGAUUCCAUUGAUACCGGUUUUGAUGAAAAAGUGCGUCUCCGGCGAAACUCCGACGAGUCACUUUACUGUUUUUUCUUUUUUCAAAUAAGUUUAUCCUAUUAAUUUAAGAAAAUAAAUAUAAAUUAUUUGUACUUUAAUUUAUUUAACAUUGAUUUUGUUUAGAGGAUAAUAUUGGAAUUUUUGUGUUUAAAUAGAUAAGAAAUUUAAAAUCUUUAGUCAUUGAUAAGAAAUACAAAUUCUUCAAAUUGAUGGAAAUUCAAUUCCAUUAAACUUGGUCCAAGUAGAAAAGAAAUCAAUUUUUUUUGGCUCUCCCCACUUCCCUACCCCUAAGCAAACAUGGCCUUAUGGUUUUUGAGAACUCAUACCAAAUUCAAAUUAAUCAGGAGCCCACGGGUCCCGGGGCUCGCGGGAAAGUUGCCAUCCCUACCUUCAUCUGACGGAAAGUCCCUACAAACAAAUGUUUCUUUAUUUAUUUAUUUUUAUAAAAGAAAUUUCAGUUUGAAUGUCUUUUGGACGUUUCCAAUUGUCAUGAUUAGCCCUUGAACCUUUGGUCAAAAAAGUAUUAUCACGCGUUGAUUGUUUGUAUCGCAAAUGCUAGUGGCAUUUGAAAGUUGAUAUAAUUAAUUACAAUCUACAAAUGUUUAACAAAAAAGUGGGAUGGAUAUGGCACAAAAGUAAAGCAAGCAGGAUUCGUUGAAAAAGCUAUUUUGACACCUACUUCGGUUAUAAAAUUUUCAAAAAAAAAAAAAAAUUUUGAUUAAAAGUAAAUUGUAUAGGUUCAACUACCGUGCACUUGGUGCAUGGGACAUGUAUUUUGUCUAUAUAUAAGUUACCCGUCAGAUAUAACAUAGAACUUGCUUCAACGGCAUAGAUGUAUUCUCUUUAGUUUUUAACAUUGACAUCUAUGUUGUUUUUCAAAAAAGAAAAAUAGUGAAAGGUUUGACACAUAAUUUUAGAUUAUUUUUAAAUUUUAUAUUUUAAUCAAUUGAUUUAAUUUACUGUUAAAAUUAAUGACAGUAUAAGCGUAAUAACUUGAAAAAACUUUUUAAUACAUAAUUUUUUUUAUUUUUUGAAAAUAAUAUAAUAUCAAUUUAAUCUAUAAUAAAUAAUUUUAACAUAUAAUUAAAUUUUAAUUUAUCAAUAAUAAUAUGACCAAAUGACAAUGUUAAAGAAUUUCAUUAUAAUCAACUAUGAUUUAGUAUUCAAAUAUAAAUAAUAGAAAUAUACUCUAAGUGUAAAUAAUAGAAAUAUAUCAAACUUAUAUGUUAAAAUUUCAAAACUUUUAAUUUUUUCACUUUUCAGCAAACAAGAGGGAGUAAUUUACCAAAAACAAGGGGUAUCGUACACCUGGGGCACCAUAGCUUCCUCCAAAUUGUAUAAAAAAUAGAAAUAUUUUUAGUCUCCAAAUUGUAUAAAAAAGUAAAAAUAUUUUGACUAAAAGUAAAUUGUGCGUAACUACUUUAAUAUUUUAUUUCUUUCAUAACUUUAUCAAAAUCUUGUCAUCAAAUAUUUUAUCAAUGUAACGCUGUAAACAGCAAAUUAAAGUUUAAUUAUUUAAUUACAACUGGCAAAAGAGACGUUUAAUUAUUUAAUUACAAGCGGGAUAGUCUCUUUUGUUGAAGGAAAUUAAAGUUUAGUUAUUUAAAUCGAGCACGCGUAAUCUUUUCAAGCACAAACAAAAGAGAUCAUAAUUCAAAGUUGAUGUUCUCUUCACAGCAGCUUCUAUUCAUCGAACUCCAUCGUUAAAAUUUCCUUGGUUUUUCCUGGUUGAAUUCUCAUCCAAAAUAUGGGUAACAUUUUCCAAAUCACAUGCGACGGCGCUCUCUUUAACCGUUGCCUGGAUUGCUUUCUUGGAAAAGCAGCAUAUAUAAAAAACCUCAAACAAAAUCUUGCAGACUUGGAGACUGAAUUGGGAAAACUAAUCGACGCAAAGGAAGAUGUGAUGAGGGAGGUCAACGCUGCUGAAAGGCACCCAAUGAUGAAAAGGCUGACCAAAGUUGAAGGCUGGCUUUCGAGGGUCGAAGCUGCUAAAUCCGACGGUGACAAAUUGAUAGCAUUUGGCUCUCAAGAAAUUAAGAAACUAUGUCUUGGAGGCUACUGUUCCAAGAACUGCAAGUCAAGCUACGAGUUUGGCAAACAAGUGGCUAGAAAGCUAGGAGAUGUCAAGACUUUAAUGGCUGAAGAAGCUUUUGAAAAGGUAGCUGAGGAAGUACAACCACCUUUGGUAGAUGAGAGACCCACCGAGCCAACCGUAGUAGGCUUCCAAUCACAAUUUGAACAAGUCUGCAAAUGUCUUGAAGAAGAAUCAGUCAGAAUUGUUGGCCUAUACGGCAUGGGCGGUGUCGGUAAAACCACACUAUUGACUCAUAUCCACAAUAACUUUCUUCAGAGUCCAACUUUUAAUUGUGUGAUAUGGGUCCUAGUGUCAAAAGAUCUGCGACUUGAAAACAUUCAAGAAACUAUCGGGGAUCUGCGACUUGAAAACAUUCAAGAAACUAUCGGGGAGCAGAUUGGUUUGUUAAACGAUACAUGGAAAAAUAAACGAAUUGAACAGAAAGCUCAAGACAUCUUCAGGAUUUUGAAGGAGAAGAAGUUUUUGCUGUUGCUAGAUGACUUAUGGCAGCGGGUUGAUUUAACAAAAGUGGGCGUCCCUCUUCCUGGCCCGCAAAAUAAUGCAUCCAAAGUGGUAUUCACAACCCGUUCCGAAGAAGUUUGUGGUUUGAUGGGAGCUCACACGAGGUUUAAAGUGGCGUGCCUGUCAAAUAUCGAUGCUUGGGAAUUGUUUCGGCAGAACGUUGGAGAAGAAACUCUGAACAGUGAUCCCGAUAUUCUUCAACUCGCCCAAGCAGCAGCCAGAGAGUGUGAUGGUUUGCCACUAGCACUUAUUACCAUUGGCCGAGCUAUGGCUUGCAAGAAGACACCUGACGAAUGGAUUUACGAUAUUGAGGUGCUAAGAACAUCAAGUUCUCAGUUCCCAGGUUUGGGAAAUGAGGUUUAUCCUCUUUUAAAAUUCAGUUACGAUAGAUUGCCGAGUGACACAAUUAAAUCAUGUCUCUUAUAUUGUAGUUUAUAUCCAGAAGAUUAUUGCAUUUCUAAAGAGAAAUUGAUAGACUGUUGGAUCGGCGAGGGAUUUUUGACAGAAAGGGACAGGAUUGGAGAACAAAAAGAAGGAUACCAUAUUCUGGGCAUUCUUCUUCAUGCCUGCUUACUGGAAGAGGGAGGAGACGGUGAAGUAAAAAUGCACGACGUGAUUCGAGAUAUGGCAAUAUGGAUAGCAUGCGACAUUGAAAAGGAGAAGGAGAAUUUUUUUGUUAAUGCUGGCGUUGGAUUAGUUGAAGCACCCGAUGUCACAGGAUGGGAAAAGGCGAGGAGAUUGUCACUGAUGCACAAUCAAAUUACGAAUCUAUCAGAGAUUCCUACAUGUCCUCAUCUCCUUACUUUUUUCCUUAACAAAAAUAGGUUUCAGAUGAUCCCCAAUGACUUCUUCCAAUUUAUGCCCUCCCUCAAAGUUUUAAAUCUGUCAUACAGCAAACUAACCAGCUUACCAUUGGGGAUUUCAAAGUUGGUUUCACUGCAACAUCUUGACCUGUCAGAAUCCGACAUAGAAGAGUUGCCAGGAGAGUUAAAGGCAUUGGUAAAUCUUAAAUGUUUGGAUUUGGAAUAUACAGGGAAUUUAAUUACAAUUCCACGUCAACUAAUAUCUAAUCUUUCAAGGUUACAUGUGUUGAGAAUGUUUGGUGCUGGUCAUAAUGCCUUUGAUGAAGCAUCAAAAGACAGCAGUUUAUUUGGUGGGGGUGAAUUCAUAGUAGAGGAACUGCUUGGUUUGAAAUCUUUAGAGGUGAUUAGCUUCACCUUGAGAAGUUCUCAUGGUCUCCAAAUGAUUUUGAGCUCGGAUCAGUUACGAAGUUGCACUCGAGCACUCUCAUUCCAAUGCUUCAACGAUUCGACAUCGCUUGAAGUUUCAGCUUUGGCAGAUCUGAAGCAACUUAAAAUGUUGCGGAUUGCAAGGAGUGAAAUAUUGGAGGAAUUAAAGAUGGAUUGUGCAGGGGAAGUUCGACAGUUUGUUUUCCAUAGUCUCAAUAAGGUUGAAAUAUACGGUUGCAGUAAAUUGAAGGACUUGACAUUCCUUGUUUUCGCUCCAAACCUCAAGUCUAUUAAAGUAACAGGUUCCCAUGCUAUGGAAGCAAUCAUAAGUGUGGGUAAAUUUGCAGAAGUUCCAGAGGUAAUGGCAAAUUUAAACCCAUUUGCAAAACUCCAAAAUCUUGAAGUAAUUGGUGCGAUAAAUUUGAAGAGCAUUUACUGGAAGCCCCUGCGCUUCCCACAUCUGAAAACAAUGAGUUUCUUUCAUUGCAACAAGCUUAAAAUGCUUCCACUUGAUUCCAAUAGUGCAAGAGAGCAUAGCAUUGUUAUUCGUGGAGACAGAAUGUGGUGGGCACAGCUUCAAUGGGAGGAUGAAGCCACUCGAAAUGCUUUUCUUCCCUGUUUCAAAUCUUGAGCAGAGAUCACAUUUGAAUAAUUUCUGGUGCGUGCUUUUUCUUACAUUAUUCUUCUUGUUAAUUUCCUUCAUGCAGACAUCUGCACCUAAUAACUCGUUACUUCAAAUAUUCUCUAAAUUAUUUGAGGGUACUCGCCCCUGCACAUAAUGUAUAUUUAUAUCUAAUUAAAUUUUUUAAAAAGUCAAUAUUAUAUUUUUUAUGUCAUUAAAUAAAGUCUUGUUAUUUUAUCGAAUUAUAUUCAACUUGAAAAUAGUUCUAGCUUUUAGAUAUAAGUUAUGUAAGUACAAGUUCAAAGUGUAUCAGCAUUAAAUUACUCAUAUUCAAUCAUUUAUAAUCUGAUGUUGAAAAAAAAAUGUCAUUCAAUCAUAUGCAUUUAACUAAAUUCAAAUAUAAUCUAAAUUCAGAUACGUUAAAAUUAUUUGGGAAAAAAAAGCGCCACAACUCUAUAUUGUUUAUUGAGUAAACCAGAUAUUAACUCUAUCAUGAACGUAAUAGCCUCCAGCAUUUUUUAUUAUCUGUUCAAACCAUAUUUUAUUAUUUUAAUUUAUUUAUAUUCAUUGCAUUUCAAUUAGGUCAUGUUUUCUUUUGUUUUCUGUUUUAUAUUCUUUGAUCAUUUUGGCAACAUGGAGUACUAUGAUUAAUCAUUUUGUACUGGUCUCAAAUUUCAGUCGGAUUAUCUGCGGAAAAUAUCUCUGAAGAUGCUUUCAAUGGAGUCCAGUACUCAGAAUGCGAUGCCUAAUCCUUUGCAAUCCAACAAUGCUAGCAGGAGCAACGAACCCCCUCAUCCAGGUAGUGACGUGGAAUAGUAAAUGCAGCUUCACUUUCAAUUUGUCUCUGAAACCGCUCCCUAUAAUCAAUCCUAGCAUUCUUAUGUGUUCUUAACUUCUGCAGCCUGAAUAUUUCUUCCUCGACAAUCAAAGUCAUAACAGUAUGAUUGGCUGGAGUAGCUUUCCUCCAGACCCCUCAUUAUAGUUAUAAAUAAUUCCGAUAUUUGAUAUCAUGAUCGGGGAUUUCAGAGCUUAGAAAAUAUGAUUUGUACCCAUAUGUGUCUGAUCAUGAGAAGUUUGAAAAUAUACAUCAAAAACUGUAUGGAUUGGAAAAAUAUAAUCUUAUUAUGGUGUGUUAAAUCGUCAUUUGAUGAACGGAUUUGGGAUACAUUAUAAUAUGAUGUCAUUAUUAAUUAGGGUGUGUUUUUGGAAGUGCUUAAUUAUAUUCGUUUAAUGUGUAUUUCUUUUAUCACUUUUGAAAAGAAUUCUUAAAUAUUUAAAUAUUUCAAUGUUUAUAUCUUAACUUCAAAUAUAAUAAAAUAAAAUAAAAUAACUGUUCUCCAAUAUGAGGGUCCGAACUAAGGGUCUACGUCAAUAACAUGAAAUAUAAUAAUUUUUGUAAAUUUUUCUUAAAUUCAAAAUAAAUUUUGUUACUGAUUCAAAUGUUUAACAAAAUGUGGCAGCUUAUCUGUAAUUGCCACAUCAAUUGAGAUUCAAAUUACUACUCAAAUCCUGAAAUUCCUAAAGGUCCCUAACAUUAAUAUUUUAUUAAGUCAAUAUUGAAGUUGAACUAUGGGGUUCGUCGGCUAUUUCACACUAACAGAGGAAUCAUUUUAUCUUCUACAAAGGGUUCAGUUUUCUUGCACUGUAUGAUAUGAAGUAAUAUUGUCAUAUGUUGUUCUGAAUUAAUUUUUUUCUUCUCUCGUGCGAAUCAGAAAGAAAUGUUGUAUUUAAGAUGUGGAAAGUAUAAGAUCUUAGGAGUUUUACAGUGUAUAUAUAUAUAAAUUUUUUUUUGACAAACAGAGAAAUUCAGUCUAGAAUAUGAGAACAAACUAAAAGCUACGAAAUACAUUGGCAUUUUUGAGAAGUAGGAUAAAUAUUAUUUUUUUUUUUGAAAAAAAAAGGACUUGGCACCUCAAUGCUUUAAUAACCUAAUGUUAUACUUUUGGUUUGAUUUUUCUAUGUACUCUCUUCCAAUGGUCAAUUUAGGCUAUGUUUGGUAUUGAGAUAUUAUAACUAAAAAAUUUUAGGAUUUAUCACUUAAAAGAUAGAGUAGCCGUGGGAAAAAAGAGAGAGAGAGCUGAAAUUAUGAAAUAAAAUUAUUAAUGUAUUGUAAAUAAGAUGUUCAAAUAAAAAAAUUGACAAAAAUAGUAAAAAUACAAUACCAAACAAGAAUUUAUUUAGGAUACCGAUUCCAGGUCUCUAAAGAUUUGUUUUUAUGCUUUGCAGUUAUUUUCUUCUAGCUGACUGAUGAAUUAUUGUGAAAUUGCUAUGAAAAUUACUAGGGAAAUUAUCAGUCAUACACUCUUAAAUGACACCCGUAUCAAAUAUGCUACAACAUUUUUCAAGUAUAUCACUCGUAUACUCUAAGUUGACAAAACACUUCUACCGUCCACCAAUAUGUUAACUUCUAUUAGAAAGUUAAUAGAAUUGUGGCAAAUUGACUAUUUCGUCCUUGAAACUCAAAAUGAGAUUAAAAAAAAUUUACCCAAAAAAUUAAAGUAAAUUUUCAAUACAUAAUUUUUUUUAAUUUCGUUAUUAACAAUACAUUUUUUUAUUAAAAAAUAUGAAUUAUUAAUGGUACAUAUUAUUAACAAUUAUCCAUAAAAAUAUCCAUAUUAUACCAUAAAAAAUUAUUAACAACAUAUUAUUUACAAUUAUACAUAUUAUACCAUAAAAAACUCCAAUUGGAGCUUGGAGGAGUAGAUCUUAAAAAAUUUAGGUUAAAUUUUGGAUGAGUAGAUUCGGUUGUAAAGUAGUUGUUUUUUUAUAUGUAAUUAUUAACAAUUAUCCAAUAAAUGGGAUGACAUGUCAUUUUAUCAAUAUAUAUCAUAUGACAUGUCAUUGCUUAAUAGGAAAAUGGGAUGACAUGUCGUUUUUAAAAAAGACUAUAUUUACCCUUAUGAUGUCAGCACUUGCAAACGGCAGUUAACGGAUUGGUGAACGGUAGAAAUGUUUUGUCAACUUAAAGUAUACGAGUGAUAUACUUGAAAAGUGUUGUAUCACGUUUGAUAUUAGUGUCAUUUAACGAUAUAUGACUGAUAAUUUUCCAAAUUACUACUAUAACUUAUGGCAAAUUGGCAAUUAAAAAUCAUAAAAGUCUUUCCUCUUGAAUGAGAAAGUGGGUUAUUUUCGUUUACUAUAUAUAUAGUGUCACAAUCAAGAUUAGCAAAGGUUUGUUCACAAACCACCAUCUAUGAAACUAUGAUGACAAAUAUUAUUUGCUAUUAUCAUGUCACUGCAUUACUCUAAUGCCAUUAUUUGCCUAAUUAAAUAUUCAUGUCGGUUUUAAGAUGAAUUUCAAGACAUUUAACUAACCAUAUCUAUUGUAUUUUAUUAUGGUGCUCUAGCUAGCUGGUUGCCAGCUUUGCCUUUCAAUGGGGUUUGAUUAAUUACUCUGCAUAUAGACCAUUAUAUACUAGGACGGCCAAUGGUUAAUGUAAUAUAAACACAAUAAAUUUUAAUCAAAUAUGAAUUUUCUGAAUAAUUGUUUCUUUAUUUUAUGAAUUUUAUUUAAACGAUAUCCCAAUUUAAAAAAAAAAAAGAAAGAAAGAAAAUCAGCGCGUUUGUCUCCUCCCCAUUGUCAUGAUCAACCUUGUUGGAAACGUUGGUGAGAAAAGUAAUACUAUACGUUAAUUGCUUUUAAUAUUUUAAUCGUUGGUGGCACAACCGCACAAGAAAGUAAAAGUUGUUAUAUAUAUAUAUAUUUUAAAUAAAAGUUUAGCUUUCAAUAAUUCAACUUUGAAAAAGGUACAAAAGAUGUGUAGGACAUUCGUUGAACCACAUUAUUGGUUGUACACUUUCUAAAGCUACUUUGGCUAUGGAAUAGGCCAUGAUUAUGAAGCCGAGAAGUAUGUUGCAGUGUGGGGUUGUGUAGUUCCUUUUAGCUUCUUCUUACAAAUUAAUGCUGACAGAAAAAGCAAGAUCAUAUUCCACAAAAGUAAAAGUAACAAAACAACCAGCUGGAAUCUUUUAUUAAACUACGAUAAACUACAAAUUAAAGUGGAUUCUUUUGAAUACAAGUGGGAUAGACGAUUGGCUCUUUUAUUAAAGGCCAGUAGUCAAGAAUCGAAUAUCUCGAUUGCAUAGUCUUUUUCAAAUUCUUGUUUUAUUAUUUUUCAAAACUAAUUUUUUAUUAGUCUACAAUUAUUUAUAAUUAUAUUUUCAUUUAGAAUACAGUUCAAGUCAAAUCUUUUGCACUUCUACCUAACUCGGGCUAAUACUAGUCCACUCAUUAUUCAUGUGAGAGAGUUGUAAGGUACAUGCAUGUAACUUCUCUAACUCGAAUUAUUCCACACAGAGAAAUAAACAUAGAUGCUUUAUAACUUUAGAAAUCCGAUCUCUUACAGUUGGAAACAGAGAUGAUGAUUACUAUAAGAAUGAAGAAAAAGAUAAAAAAUUGUCAAUGAUUAACGAAGUCUCUAUGCAAAUUUCUCUAUGCAAAUUGAUUUUAGCAGAAAAAUAGUGAGUUGAAUGAUGUAGGCGAUUAGUGGUAAUAUUUCAUAGAGUUAGAGUAUUGGCAACCCUUCAAUCUUCUCAUGAAUCCCCUUUUUGAGUUAUAGUUAUUUUAUUUCGAAAUAUCCUUUUUCUUCUUUAAUACACUUCUAAUUUUUCAUUUAAUUUUUUUAUUGUUAAACUCAAAGUAUUAUUGUGAUAUUUUUCGUUUCUUUUGUAAUCUUAUUAUAAUUAAAAAAACCAAAAAAAAAGAUUGGCUAUGAAAUUUGUUGGAAAAAAUCUAUGUGCGUUUAAUUUUUGUUUGUCUUUGACUGUAAUUUAUUUGAAGUGGGGUUUUAUAAGCAUAAUGAAGGGAUCAAAGGAUGCCCAUAACUUCACUCUAUUUUAUAUGGAGAAAAGUAAAAGGUACACCUAAAGUUAAUGGAAAGUACUUCGCAGCUUUCUUUUGAUUAUAAUAUCCUUUAAUUUAAUUAACUUAAAAAUUUUGACUUUAAUAAUUUAUAAUAAAUUAAAUUAUAAUCUUAAAAUAAAUAUAAUAAUAUAUUUUAAAAUAAUCUCUAUAUUUAAAAUUUAUUUAUUUUCACAUUUUAUAUAAAUUUUAUAAUAAAGACAAACAUACUAUUAAAAUAAUAUAUAAAAAAUUUAAAAGUAUUUUGAAUAUUAUAUAAAAUAACUAUAACAUUUUUUAAUACAUGAGAUAUAUUUUGUUAAUUUAAAAUUCUAUUUAAUCCAAAGAUUUAUUUAAGAUAAAUUAAUAAUAAUAUUUUUGAAAUUAUUUGAAAUACUAAAAAAUAUUUUAAUAUUACUAGUCUAUUAAAUAAAUUAAAUAUAUUUAAUAGACUAGUAAUAUUCUGAAAAAUAAUAAAAGAAGAAUUAAAAAAAGACUAGACAAUAGAGAUAUUCGAUUCUUUUAAAGCAAAUCGUAAUAUUCCACAAAGGAGUAAGAUCCACAAAAGCAAACAACCAGUUGGAUUCUUUUAAAGUGGAAUCGUUUAUUAAACAACAAAUUAAUGUUCAAAUAUUUAAAUAGCAGUGCAUUAGACGAUUAGACUGUCUUAUUAAAGGCGAGUAUAAAGUAGUCAAGAAUCGAAUAUCUCUAUUGUCUAGUCUUUUUUUAAUUCUUCUUUUAUUAUUUUUCAGAAUAGGUUUUGGUGAUUACAAUGGGUUAUUAUUCAGAGUUAUUGUUAUCUUCCGGGUCAAUUUCUGUUCAUCGAAGUCGUUAAUUCAAAUUUUAGAACUUUUAUCAAAAGAAUGUUUUUCGUUAUCUUUUUUAUGGUCUAAUUCCAAUUGUAAGAAGUAGUCAUUUUAAAAUUUGGGUCUUGAAUCGAAUUUCAGUGCAUGAAUUAAUAUUAAAAAAAAAUCACUACACACAGUUUAGGCUGCAGACUACUUUUUGCAAAUUUGACUCUGAAAAUUGGAGAAAUUAAGUAAUUUAGAAUGUUUGCAAAGAAAAAGACUAACAUACUUCCUAUUACACUAAAUCUCUAUUAUCAUAAUGUUGAGACUAAACUAACUUAAAUACGUUUUAUUUGAAAAGCUAUAUUAAAUGCAGCCUAAUUUUAUUAACCUGAAGAGCUAAUAGAAGUGUAGUUAUAAAAAUUAUAUUCUGACUUAAUUAGUACAAGUGAUAUAAAGGUUAAGUGUGCACUAUAUUUAAUAAUUAAUUAAUGGAGCAUGUUAAAUAAAAUGAUAAUUUAUAUUUAUAUAAUGUUAGGAAUAUGUAAAGUCUAAGUCCACAAGUUGCAUUAUCUUUAAUAUUUUCUCUCAAUUAAAUUCUAAAAAUACUUUACAAUUAUUUAGUAACAACUGUAAAUUAAGAAUAAAUUAUUGUCCCAAACAACAUUAAAAAAUAUUUUAUUCCAUUUGAAUCCUUUAAUUUUUUUUACAGUAUAUAGAUAAUUAUUACUAUGUGAAUGUAAGUUUCUUAAGAUGGGACCUAUAACAAUUUAGAACUUAUUACAACGGGGAGUUUAUUAGGACCAAAAUUUUUUAUGAGUACAUAAAGUUAUCUUGUAUAGAAUAUUAGUAUAUAGAUGUUUUACUGUAAUUAGUCUAGAACAUUUAAAAAAAAAAAACAUAUACCGUCCCUUGGAUGUAGCUCUUGGGUGACCAUGAAUGUUCUUUGUUCCACAUACGNNNNNNNNNNNNNNNNNNNNNNNNNNNNNNNNNNNNNNNNNNNNNNNNNNNNNNNNNNNNNNNNNNNNNNNNNNNNNNNNNNNNNNNNNNNNNNNNNNNNACCCUCUAUGGGAAUAAUCUAUUUAGUUAUAAAAAAUUAUGAUCCCAAUUUAGACUAGUUAUAAAUAACAACAAAUUCCACUUUGUAAUAAAUUAUAUUUUUUCUAUAUCUUAUCUUAAGAAACUUAUCUCUACAUAGUAAUAAUUAUUUGUAUAGGUAAGAAUGGAUCAAGAUCCUCUCCUGAUCUGAGCACUCCUGAUCUUUUACAGAUCUUAUACCACCUGUGUUUUACUGUUAGUGGAUGAUUAUGAUUUGACUAUUUUUUCUUUUUAAUUUAUUAAUCACCAAUUAUAUUAAUAAAAUUUGCUCAGAUGAAGAUCAGAUCAAGAAAGGAUCCUGAUCCAAUAAGAAUACAUGUUAUAUUAGACUAAAGGAACUUGUCUGCACAUAACGAUUAGACAACGAGCGAAAAUUAUUAAAGCGAAUGCAAAUAAUUAGAAUUUUUUAAGAUGACUUUGUAUAUUCACAAUAAUAAUUGAUAGAUACAUGUACCAACGUUUUAAUAUAUUUGACAUCCUCCAUUAAUAAAUCAUUGAUGUAAUAUAGACUUUAUCUCUAUAUCCUCACACUACGGACAACUAAGUCAUAAUAAUAAUUUUUGUAACUACAUCUCUAUUACUUCCUCAUAAUAAUAAGUUAAUUUGAUCUCUACAUUAUGACUAUGGAGAUUUUAUUGUAUAGGGACACCCAAUAUAAAUAGUAUCCCAACUAAAAUUGUCCCAAAAAAAAAAUCGCUAAAGGAUAAUUAUAAUUUUUUUUCACUUCUCAAACGUUGGUGGCAGUUGUAAGCUAAGUUGUCAAAUAUAUUAAACUACAAGUGCUGCCACCAAGUGCGAUGCUCUUUUCUAAAGAGAAGUACAGUGGGUCCCGAAUAGGACGUGCUUAAAUCUGUUUAAAUUUUUCCAGUAUAACUAACAGAGGUCAUUACUAGAAUUAUAUUACUAGCCUAUUAGAUAGAAAAAAUUAGUUAUAUUAUUUUAUAUUUAUUAAAAAAGUUUAAAGUUAAUCUUUUUAAUUACUAUUUAAAAGAUAUUAUAAUAAAAAAAUAGUGUCUUUACUAAAAAUUUAGAAAUUUAUUUGACCGUUCUCUAAACUUUAUUUAAUAUUAUUGAUUUAAAUAAUAUCUAAAUUAAAAAUGUACAGAGAAGAAAUUUCGGUGGGUAUAUUAGUCUUUUACUUUUAACGUUAGUGGCCUUCUUAUAUUUUAUUACAAAUUAAUCCUAACAAGAAAAAGCUAGAUCAUAUUCCACAAAAGCAAGAGUGACAAAACAUGAAAACAACCAACUGGAUUCUUUUAUUAAACUACAAAUUAAAAUUGUUUUUUUUAAUAAACUAUAAAUUAAAGCGGAUUCUUUUGAAUACAGGUGGGACAGACUUAAGCUCUUUUAUUAAAGGCAAGUAUAAAGUAGUCAAGAAUCGAAUAGUCUUUUUCAAAUUCUUGUUUUAUUAUUUUUCAAAACUAAUUUUUGGUAAUUACACUCGGGUCAUUAAUCAUUAUUCAGAGUCAUUGUUAUCUUCGGAGACAGUGGGUAAAAGAUAAUUACUGGCUGUUUUUCCUUCAAAAGUUAGUGGCUCAUGUUUGCAAGUGUGAAUGUGCGAUGCUCUUUUUCCAAAUGCAAUUACAGUGGGUCCCGAAUCGGAGGAUAAAAAUCCUUUUAGUUUUUGUAUUUUAAGAUUAGUAUAUAUUUAGUCUUUAUAUUUUUAAAAAUACCUCGAAACAUUCAUGCCGUUAAAGUAUUGAUACCACUACCAUUACUUUUCAUUUCUUUUAACUUAAUUUUACAAUAUUACCCUUUUAUAAUAAUUUUUUUAGACAUUAAUAAAAAAUAAUUAAAUCACUAAUUUAACUCUAAAAAAUAAAAAAAUUAUAUUAAUUUUUUUGCAAGCACCGUUUGCACACUUGGUAGGUUGCAUACAAUUUUUGAUAAUUAAAAAUUAAUAUAAAUUUUUAUUUUUAUUUUUAGGGUUAAAUUGAUAAUUUAAUUAUUUUAUUUUUAUUAAUGUACAAACAAAAAAAUUAUUAUUAAAGGGUAAUAUUGUAAAAAUAAGCCAAAAGAAAUGAAAAAUAACGGUAGAAGUAUCAAUACUUUAACGACAAGGAUGUUUCUAGAUAUUUUUAAAAAUAUAGAGAUUAAAUGAAUACUAAUCUUCAAAUACAGGAUUAAAUAGAAUUUUACCCCGAAUCGAACGUGCCUAAAUCUUUUUAAAAUUUUUGCCGUACAACGGACAGAGGUCAUUACUAAAAUUUCUCUUCCACAGCCCACAUCAGCUUCAGGAAUCAGUUUAUCAAACUCAAUCAAUUUUCUUUCUUAACAAAAUUCCAAAGAUGUGUAGCAUUUUUCAGAUCACAUGCGAUGGUGCUUUUUUCAAUCGUUGCUUGGAUUGCUUUCUUGGAAAAGCAGCAUACACACGUAACCUCCAAGAUAAUCUUGUGGCCUUGCAGACUGAAUUAAUGAAACUAAACGCAGCAAAGGACGAUCUGAUGAGGAGGGUCGUCAAUGCUGAACGUCAACAAAUGAGAAGGCUGGACGGAGUGCAAGUGUGGGUUUCGAGGGUGGAUGCUGUUACAACUGAAGCUAAUGAACUUAUCAGAGACGGCUCUCAAGAAAUUGAAAAAUUAUGUCUUGGAGGGUUCUGUUCCAGGAACUGCACGUCAAGCUACAAGUUUGGGAAACAAGUGGCUAAAAAGCUACGAGAUGUGGAGGCUUUAUUUGCCGAAGGGGUUUUUGAGGCGGUGGCUACCAAGGUGGUGCCUGAGAGAGCUCCAGAGCCUGUAGCAGAUGAAAGACCUGCCGAGCGAACAGUAGUAGGCUUGCAAUCACAACUUGAACAAGUCUGGAGAUGUCUUGCAGAAGAAUCAGCGGGAAUCAUUGGCCUAUAUGGUAUGGGCGGUGUUGGUAAAACUACACUAUUGACCCAUAUCAACAAUAAAUUUCUCGAGAGUCCAACCAACUUUGAUUGUGUGAUUUGGGUAGUAGUUUCAAAAGACCUGCGACUCGAAAAAAUUCAAGAAGAUAUUGGGAAAAAGAUAUGUUUGGUUGAUGAUGAUUUGUGGAAGAGUAAAAUUUUUGAAGAGAAAGCUGUAGCCAUCUUGCGGAGAUUAGGAGAGAAGAGAUUUGUAUUGUUGUUAGAUGAUUUAUGGGAGCGGGUUGAUUUAACAAAAGUGGGCGUUCCACUUCCCAGACCAAAAAAUACUACCUCAUAAGUCGUAUUCACAAGCCGUUUCAUCGAUGUUUGUGGUAGCAUGGAAGCUGGCAGGAAGUUCCAAGUAGCAUGCUUAUCAGAAAAGGAUGCUUGGGAACUGUUUCAAGAAAAAGUUGGGGAAGAAACUCUUGAGAGUGAUCAUGAUAUCGUUGAGCUAGCCCAAACCGUGGCCAAGAAGUGUGGUGGUUUGCCACUCGCACUUAUUACUAUUGGUCGAGCUAUGGCCAUCAAAAAGACAGCCGAGGAGUGGAGACAUGCAAUUGAAGUGUUAAGACGAUCAGCUUCAGAGUUUCCAGGUUUGGGAAAAGAGGUGUAUCCUCUUUUAAACUUUAGCUAUGAUAGUUUGCUGAAUGAGACGAUUAGAUCUUGUUUCUUAUAUUGUUGUUUAUAUCCUGAAGAUUAUGGCAUUCUUAAAUGGGACUUGAUUGAUUGUUGGAUUUCUGAGGGAUUCUUAGAGGAAUCUAAUAGGUUUGGUUGUUAGAGUGCAAUUUAUGCACUAGUUUUGCAUUAUUUACUUCCCUUAAUAUCAAUGUUUUGCACUUAAUAAUAGUGAUUUACUUGUGUUUUACUUUUGUAGGUGCAAUUCUAUUGAUUGAUGAUAAAAUUGAGCUAUAAGAUGAUGUUUAAGGAUGAUUGUUCUCUUGAAGAAAUUAUGAGCGUCAGAAGAACUUUGUUGAUAAGGCGUGGGCGCGUGCUGUCAACUGCGGACCUGCAGUUUUAGUUUAACGUGUUUUGUAUUUUUGGUUAUUUUUGUAAUUACGAAUUUAAUAUUUCAGAUAUUAGGAUUUUAUUUUAAAUAGAAUUCUAAAAGAGAAGAGAGAGAAAGUAUUUAAGGGAGGAAUCUAUUGUGAAAGGGGGAUUUUGGAUUGGAGAAAAAGAAACCCUAGAUCUAAUUUUUCUCUUCUCUCUAUGAGGAACUAAACCCAUUUUUCUGGUUGAAGGUUAAUGAAGCUUUGAUUCAUCACUACUGUGAGAUCUUUCUUGUGCUUUAAUUGUUUUAUUACUUUUUGGGUAUUUGUUUAUUCUCUGAAUUAUUUUCAUGAUUAUGUUUGUUAAUUAGGUAAUUGGCCACUAUUUAAUUAUCAACUUAAUCUAUUGUCAAUUAAAGGAUUCAUCGUAUGAAGAAUUUAAUGUUUGUGACAAAUAACAUAGCAGAGAGUUGUGUUGUGAGAAUAAACAAUCUAAUUUAAAUGAAUCAUCAUAUGUGUUGAUUAGGAUUUGGGUCUCUCUGGUUUUUCAGGCUGUCAAUUGAUUAAAUUCUAUGAUCGUAUCUAGGGUUGUCUAUUGAUUAGGGAAAUAACCAACGGUCGUACCUUGGUUAUCGACUAGUUAAGGAGAGAUUGGCUAUUAGAGGGUCUCAGUAGCUAUAACCGGUCUAUUCAUGAGUAAUAAUAAUCUAUAUUUGAAUCAAUGAUCAGUAGUCGAAUCAAGCUGAGUUAAUUCCUUCAACCAGAGCUUUCUCCAAUUUGAAUUACAACUUUAAUUUGCAUUCUUGUUAUUUUAAUUUGAUUUUUAUUAUUGUCAACAAUUCCCCUAUUUUACGUUUUACGUUUCAAAAGGAUUUAAUUAAUUACCGAUCUCUGUGGACACGACCCUGCUCAAUCACUAUACACAAUUUAUUUAGAGUAGGAAUUUACUUUUGUUGGCUUCGACACCCAUCAUUGGUGCAGAAAACCGAGGAUACUACAUUGUGGGCACUCUUGUUCAUGUGUGUUUACUAGAAGAGAUAGAAGAUGAUAAAGUAAAAAUGCUUGACGUUGUUCGUGAUAUGGCUCUAUGGAUAGCUUGUGAAACUGAGAAGGAGAAGAUAAACUUUUUGGUUUGUGCAGGUGCUGGAUUAGAAGAGGCACCGGAUGUUAAAGAAUGGGAAAAUGUGAGAAGAUUGUCAUUGAUGCAAAACCAAAUUGAAACUCUGUCAGAGGUUCCCACAUGCCCUCAUUUCGUCACUUUAUUUCUUGACUUUAAUGGGGAGUUGAAGAUGAUCGCGGAUGGCUUCUUCCAACUUAUGCCUUCUCUCAAAGUUUUGAAGAUGUCAAACUGCUGGAAUUUGAAAUUUCUUGUUGGGAUGUCAAAGUUGGGUUCGCUACAGCUUCUUGAUAUUUCACAGAACGCCAUAGAAGAGUUACCAGAAGAGUUGAAGUUGUUGAUAAAUCUGACAUGUUUGAAUUUGAGGGGGACAGGCCAAUUAAAUAAAAUUCCACGGCAACUAAUAUCAAAUUUUUCAAGGUUACGUGGGUUAAGGAAGUUCAUAACGUGUGCAAGCAGUCAACUCAAGGUUAGCACGUGGGAGAAUUUGCUGAGCUAAAGUUAGUUAAAUAAGCAAUGCCAGCUCAACAAAUUCAGUCAAGGUUUACUGAGAUUUUAUUCCUAUUGUUUUCUUUUCUGUUAACAAUGUAUAAAGGUGUUCUUUGUACUCAUUUGAUCAUUAAGAAAAAAAGAAAUAAAAUCUAGAAUAUUCUCUGAAGUUUUCUCAGUAAAACAGAGUAAAUUUUCUCAGUAACUAAACAGUAUAUAUCAGUGGAAUUUACGUUUUAUAACAUGGUAUCAGAGCCAAACAGUAACCAGCAAACAAUGAUGAGAAAUCUAGCAAUCAAUAAUACACAUCAACACACUCAAAUCAAUUUCUCUUUCACGAAUCCAAUUAAACUAGAUCGAUCAAACUACCUGCUCUGGCGUUCACAAGUUCUGGCUUCGAUUAGAGGUAAUCGACUAGAAGACUUCAUAACUAGAAUCAAAUCAACAUCUGAAGAAAAUAUUUUGUUAGCUGGAGUUGAUGGAUCUACACAACAAAUUGAGAAUCCUGAGUAUCAGAUCUGGAGAUCACAAGAUCAAAUUCUUCUUGGUUGGCUACUGUCAACCUUAAGUGAAGGUAUCCUUAGUCUUGUUAUUAACUGUAAAAGCUCAUUUUCUUCAGCUCAGAUAUGAACUGAACACUCUUAAAAAGGAGUCUCUUAGUAUUGAAGAUUAUUGUGUUAAAAUGAAAGCAAUAGCUGAUAAGCUUGCUAGUGCUGGUAGCUCGAUAACAGAAAAGGAUCUAAUGCUAACCAUACUCAAUGGAUUAGGAUCAGGAUAUAGUGAUAUUGCUACUUUCAUAACUGGUUCACGAAUGGAAUUUGAUGAUACUUAUGCAUUAUUGCUCACUCAUGAAACUAGGUUGGAACAAGAUCAUGAUGAUAAGAGUAUGUUCAAUGCUAACUAUGCAUAUACUAAUGCAUUUCAUCCUAAGGUUUAUUAUGCACAGCCUAGAGGAAAUUUUAAGAGAGGAGGUUAUUAUGGUGGUAGGAAUGUUUUCUCUGGUAGAGGGAAUAUGAAUUUUUCUCCAAGAAUGUUUAAUGGAGGUUUUAGAAGUGGUUUUGGUAGAGGAUAUUAUGUUGGUAAUCCUUUUAAUGGUAAUAAUUCUUUAGCACCAAAGAAUUCAUCAUCUGUUAUCAAGAAUGGAUCACAGAGAACUUUUAAUAACAAUCCAGGGGACUCAGUAUGUCAGAUUUGUCUCAAACUUGGUCAUACUGCUGAUAUUUGUUGGCAUAGAUUUGUUGAAGAUUAUGUGCCAAUGCCAAGGGGUUUUUAGAAAAGGAAAAGCACCCAGAGCAGCAUCACUACUAGAAAAAUAGCUUUUACUGAUACUUGUCUUGUGAUACUUUUCUAAAAAGUAUCAGCAAUUACAUAUAUUUGGGCCAUUUUCCGUGUUUAACAAACAAGUGUCACAAAUUACUGAUUCUAUGAUGUUUGUAUAUUAAACAUCAGAGAUCGUCGACACUAAGGUAUCAGAAACAACAAAAAAAAAUAAAAAAUCUAUUUUUGUUUUAGUUGCGACUCGAACCUAGGACCUCAAAACUAAAGUGCUUUAUGUUCAACCAACAAACCACCAUGCCAAAUUCAUAAAUUAGUUUGUGUUGAACAUGUUGAAAUUAUCAAAUUAAAUUAAUAUAGAAAACAAAAAUAUAAAAGCAAAAGAAAAAAACCCUAAAUCAACAUAAACAUAAAAUUCCCUAACUCCUAAAUCCAUGGCCAGCCGCCUCAUCUCUCUGGCGAUAUCCUUCUUCUUCUUCAUACCUCUAAAACUUCGAGCCCUAAAAUUCAAGGGUCCAUGUCAUAAGAAAUCCUACCACCACUGCUCAAAUUCUAACACCCAUACCAUACGAAACCCUAAUGAUCUACAUUAUGCAAAACAUCCACCAUGCCGCUAUGCCACAAGCUCACAAGACCCGCUUUAGAUCUCCACAUUUUGCUCACCCUACUCGAGUGCACACCGCCCCUCUCGCUUCGACUUCUCGGGAUUUCUUGUUAGCUGAAGUUUUGUUUUCUUCCGCUAAUUCGAUCUUCGAAAGGUCUCGGAGCUCCAAGUAACUAAGUAAGCUCGGUUUUCUUCUAUUCUCUCAGAUACUUGCUUACACAUUCCUUUUUUUUUCGUGUUAAAUUUUGUUGUUUCGUUGUGUUAUAUGGAUCGAUGAGAGUCACAGACUUUGACGAGACAAUGACGAUAUUGUUUUGGAGUUUCGUUUCGUAGAUCUGUGAUAGAGUCUCCUUUUUCAGAUAUUUCCUUUCAUUUACCAUAUUUGCACAAUUUGUUUUGUCAUUAAAUUAUUUGCGUUUGAAUGUACAAUUUUUGUUUUCGUUUUAUAUUUUCAAAUACUGUUUCUUGGAGCGAAUUAGUGGAGGAAUUUUUGGUUGAAGCAGAGGAUGGAUAACUUUUGUAUUUUGAACUUUGUAUGUUAUUUAUUAUUUGAACUUGAAGCUAAAAGGUGACCAAAUUUUCCAAAGGUUAGGGUUUGGUUGGCUUAUGUGAAAAUGCCGAACGAAUGUGUAUUAUUCAUACUCCAAUAUUGUAGGUGCGUCAAUGCACCUCCUUGCGAUGGUUGCAGCAACGAAACUGUAGGUCAAGGUUUGGGUACCCCAUUUCCUUCAAAGAUCCAAUAUGGAGCAACUCGAGUCGAGCUUUUUCGGUCAAUUUAAACAAAACCUUUACUCCUAAUUUAUUGUCUUUUGCUUUCUGUUUGUACCUGUAGGAGUUCAUAUUUUGUAAUGUUCCGUAAGUGUCCAAUAACUGGUUAAAUUAUGACUUAUGCUAGGUGAAGAUUUUGUGUUACAAUCCCCUUCAAUAGGCAAUCACUCUUUUUGUAAAUGUUCAUGGGUAAUUGCUUUGCCUUUGCUUCUGUUGUACUUUUGUUUUUGUGGGGUUUUAGUUAAUGGAUGUUGAGUUAUAUUUCAAUCAGUUUGAUUUCUCUGCAUAUUUUUCAUAUUUUAGUAUUAGAAGAGGUAUUUAAUCAAAUGAAGACAAAAACAAUUGUCGGCCAACCAACAAACUCACUUUAGUUUGUUGUGAAAUGAUUUUCUCUCUCUCUCUCGAUUUUCACUGGUUCUGUGGUUUUUUCCCUUCCACAAUGUGAUUUAGUUCUGUUCUAUUUAUGGAUGUUACCAACAUUUUAGCUUUUAAGAAACAGACAAAAAGAUUCUGAAGUUUGUUUCUUGUUUCUUACUCUGAAUUUCCAAGGCAUCUUAUUUGGAGAAAUGCAUUCUGAAUGGAGAAAUUUCUCCAAAUUUAUGAGAUGUGGUUCUGUCUUGCUGAAUGAACAUUGUAUUUCCUUCAAUGGUUUGCGAGCCAUUAAGUUAUUUGAGCAAACAAAAUUAGCAAUAUGGAAUCCUGUUUCUACAGGAUUAUAGUUGUAGGACUCUAGAAUUUAGUCUAGGUAAUGUUUUUACCAUUGUAAAAAGUAUCUGACAUUGGUGAUGUUUAAGCAUAUGUGUCAUUUCUUUUGGGCUUCACUUUGGAUCCUUUUUUUCUUUUUUUACAAACAAUGGAUGGUUAAAACCUAAGAGACUGAUUGAUUUUUGUUUUAAAUCCAGUGGUUAUGCCUUGUAAACUUUUGAGUUGUAUCAAUUUCUUUUCCUGGCCUAACUUGGCUAAAUUUAUGCUAUAUAAUUGAAUUCUACAAAUUUUGGCUAUGUAUGAUGUAAAGGUCAUAAGUCUUGUAUCUUCAUUUGUUCACCACAGGCUUGAUACUUCACAACUACCAUAAGUUAUGUCAUGCCAUGUCUUCUUUAGCAAUAUUGUGUGGCUUUGAGUAGUAUUAAUGUUUUUGUUUGUUAAUUCACGACUUAAUGGAACCAUUUUCCUUAUAAUCGAGAACCUUCGUGCGAGUGUUGUGGAGAAAUCUUAUGAUUCAUGUGUAGGUGUGUUUGCUUAAUGUGAUGACUUUUAUUAUGUGUUGUAGUUCUUGUGUCUAUAAGAGGAACCUUUGCUCCUAUGUCUAUUUAUCUCCGACUUUCAGUUUAGGCGUAAAUAGGUUACUCUUCUUUCUUUCUCAUUUUUUAAUUUCUAUGUUCUCCUAUGUCUAUUUACAUGGACUGCUUUGCUGCUUCUCUGCAGUGAAAACAACCCUGGUAAUUUACAGGAGCUUUUUUCACUUCAGAACAAUAGCAAGACAUCCCCUGCAGAUUUUUUAUUGAUUUUGCAUAGAUUGGUUUGUUGCUUUGGGUUGGAAUGCUACUGGAUAUAUGUCAGAAUUAUAGCGCUAUUGGAAGAUGGUGGGUUGUUGCAUAUGAGUUGGAGUGUUCCUGGGUAUGUAGCUAGAAUUAGAGUGCUGUUGGAAGAUGGUAUUGCUACUGGAAGUUUUGCUCAAAAACUUGUCGUUGGAAUACUUGCAUUAAUUUUUGGAAAUUUUAUUGGGUAACUUGGCUAGGUGGCUGAAAUUUUAAUUGCUUUUGUGUAUUGAAGCAUUUGGAUUGUGUAAUAUAUAUUGAUAAUAUUUAAAUGUUAUGAAAGGUUUUGAUAAAUAAAUUGAUUUUUGUUCUUAUUUCUCACAGCCUUUUAAUUCUAUCAACAAAUCAAUGGGUAAUGUCAUUUUGUAUAAUUAUUUUUUUAAAUAAUACAUAAAGUAGUGAUACUAUAGUAACAGUAUCACAAAUACUAAUAUAGUAUUGUAAUAUUUUGAUACCAUGGUGUUAUGAUUUUAAUGAUACUAUAGUAAUAGUAAUUACUGACACCACUUACAAGUGUCACUAUUUUUCUGACUGCCAGAUUACUGACACAAUUAGCAAGUGUCACUAAAAGUAAUUACUGACACUAUUCUAAUGUCAGUAAAGACCAUUUUUCUAGUAGUGCAUAUCUGUCAAAUUUUGAUGGUUCUGUUUCAAAUCCAAACUUUGAAGAUUAUGAGAACUUCAACUAUAUGCCUUCAGCUUAUAAUCCUAUGUCUGGCAAUAGCUAUUAUUCUGGUUUUGAUGCUUGUACUCCUGGAGUAGCAUUUAUGGCUAACUUUGAAGGAGUUGCUAAUGAUGAAUGGUACUUGGAUAGUGGGGCAACUCACCAUCUGGACAACAACAUGGAGAGCUUGCAGAUCAGUGAGGAGUUUAAGGGUACUGAUUAGCUCAUAAUUGGUAAUGGUCAAGGUUUGUUUAUCACUAAUGUUGAUUUUGCAUUUCUGUCACAAAGAGCAUCAAAUUACUUAUCUGCACAUUCCAGAAUAGCACUUAAGGAUAUAUUACUUGUUCCAUCAAUUACCAAAAAUCUACUAAGCAUUUCCAAAUUGACAUCUGAUAACCCUAUAACUGUUGAAUUUUGUGGGAAUGUUUGUUUUGUGAAGGACAUGAAUAGACAAGUUCUGCUGCAGGGACUUGCCGAAAAAGGUCUAUACAAGCUGCUGCUGAGUUCUAAUUCCUCUUCUUCAUUUCCUUCAUCUCAUCUUUGUCAUACUCAACUAAAUAAUUAUGUCUCAAUGUUGUCUAGCUUUCAAAGCUUUGAUAAUCCUUCUAAAGUUUGUUAUCAUUCUGUUUUCAAUAAAUGCAAAACCAAAUAUGAUGUAAUGACAUUGUUACAUAGAAAAUUUGGUCAUCCAAGUUCAAUGAUUCUGAUGCAUUUAGCUAAGUCUUGCAAGCAAUUAAAAAUCUCUCAAAAAGAUAUUCUAUCUUGUACAAAUUCUUUGUGUGAGGCAUGUCAGUUAGGCAAAGUUCACAGGCAAAGUUUUCCAGCAACUGAAACAAAAACAAAAGGAGUAUUAGAACUGAUUCAUACUGAUAUCUAGGGACCUUCACCCACUGUAUCUAGAAAUGGAUACAAGUAUUACAUUAGUUUUGUGGAUGAUUACACUAGAUACACCUGGAUCUAUCCACUUAAGCUUAAAUCACAAGCAUUUGAAGUUUUCAAACUGUUCAAGGCACAAGUUGAAAAUUAGUUUAAUACCAAGAUUAAGGAAUUACAAUCUGAUCUGGGGGAGAGAGUUUAGAGUAUUCAGUAAUUUCCUAAGUCAAAAUGGAAUCAAGUUUAGACAUUCAUGCCCUUAUACUCAUCACCAGAAUGGUCUUGUUGAGAAGAAACAAAGACACAUAAUUGAAUUAGCAUUAACACUCUUAGCUCAAGCUAAUCUCCCUUUUCAGUUUUGGUGGAAAGCUGUUCACACAGCAACAUAUCAUAUUAAUAGGUUACCAACACCUGUUCUUAAGCUUUUAUCUCCUUAUGAAAAGCUCUUUAAACACAAACCAGAUUAUUCAUUUCAUAAGUGCUUUGGUUGCCUAUGUUAUCCAUAUAUGAGAGAUUUAAAUAAACACAAAUUUGAUUUUCACACCACCAAAUGCAUCUUCAUUGGCUAUAGUCAUUCUUACAAGGGUUAUAAGUGUUUAACAAGCUCAGGAAAAAUUCAUAUCCUAAGGCAUGUUAUCUUUGAUGAAAAUACAUUCCCUUACUUAACAAACAAAGUCUUUCAUUUAUCCGAGAACAGUUCAAAUUCUGAAAUAUCAGUGUCAAACUUUUCCCAGUAACAAAUUUAUCAUCUCUCCACAUUAUCCUUAACUGACAGCAGCUUGGAAGAUCUUCAAUCAGCAAGUUCAGAAAGCAAUGAACAAGUACCUUCUGUUUCUGCACACACAAAUAAUCUGCAUCAACAAGAGCAUUCUCAAGAGCAUUCCUCAUCAACUAUACCAUUAUCACCAACACAACAACAAACUGAAUCACAACCACAAAAUGAACCACAUCUAUCUACUUCCUAGCACAUAAAUCAAACUCAAACUAGAAACCUUCCUUCACAACCAUCACAUUCAAUGGUAACCAGAUCGAAAAUAUGGAAUCUUCAAGCCAAAAGUUUACAUAACCACCUUAACCAACAAAGAACCCAGUACUGUUCAAGAAGCUCUAAGUGAUCAGAAUUGGCAUCAAGCUCUGAAAGAUGAAUAUGAAGCUUUGCUUAGGAAUGAAACAUGGUCACUAGUACCAUUUUCAGAGGUAUACAAGGUUGUUGACAGUAAAGGGGUUUUCAGAAUUAAACAAAACACAGAUGAGAGUGUAGCUAAAUACAAAGCCAGGUUAGUUGCAAAGGGUUUCCAGCAAACUAAUGGUGUUGACUACUUUGAGACCUUUAGUCUUGUGGUAAAGGCCUGCACAGUAAGAAUUAUUUUUAGUUUGGCUGUGAUGAACAAGUGGAAAAUAAGGCAAGUGGAUGUCAAUAAUGCAUUCUUAAAUGGAGAAUUGACUGAAGAUGUUUACAUGUAUAAGCCAGAAGGUUUCAUUGAUGAGAAAAAGUCCAGUUAUGUAUGCAAGUUGAAGAAAGCCCUGUAUGGCUUAAAACAAGCUCCUAGAGCUUGGUAUGAUAAGUUGAAAAACCGUCUGAUAAGUUGAAAAACUGUUUGAUAAGUAAUUGGGGUUUUCAAAAUUCCAGAGCUGAUACUUCUCUCUUCUUCAAAGAGAUUCAAGGCUCAAUAAUACUUGUGCUUAUAUAUGUGAAUGAUAUACUUAUUACAGGGCCUGACAUUGGAGAAUUAGAGAAGUUUAUCUUAGAAUUCAGUAAGACAUUUGCUUUAAAGGAUCUAGGAAUACUAUCAUACUUUCUUGGGAUAGAAGUCUCUUAUGCUGAUGGUUGUAUGUACUUAUCUCAGAGAAAGUAUAUUAAUGAUCUCUUGUCUAAAGCUGAUAUGUUGAACUGUAAAGGGUGUGAUACUCCCAUAGCGAUUGGACUGAAACUUCAAAAGGAGGUUAAAGGUUGUUUAGGUCAGUAUGUUGAGGAUGCAACCAGUUACAGAAGUUUGGUUGGAGGCUUGCAAUAUCUGGUGUUAACCAGACCAGAGAUAGCCUUUGCUGUGCACAAACUCAGUCAAUAUGUGACAGCUCCAACAUUGCAGCACAUAAUGGCCUGUAAACGAGUUCUAAGAUACCUAAAGGAAACCAUGGAUUAUGGUCUAAAGUUUUCAGCUGGUGGAGAAAUGGAAAUCACAGGUUUUAUAAAUGCAGAUUGGGCAUGCGAUAUUGAUGACAGAAAAUCUAUAGGUGCAUACUGUAUCUAUUUUGGAAAUAAUCUGGUGUCAUGGUCAUCUAAGAAGUAGUCUGUGGUGAUAAGGUCUAGUGCAGAAAGCGAAUACAGAGCUUUGGCUUCUGCAAGUGUAGAAAUAGCAUGGAUUCAAUCUUUGUUCAGUGAGCUAAAUAUAAGAUGUGUCUCAGUACUUAUCAUCUGGUGUGACAACAUGAGUGCAACAAAGUUAAGAUAAAAAUCUAGUCUACCAUUCACGUACCAAACACAUUGAACUGGAUAUGCAUUUUGUUAGAGAUAAGGUUUUAGCAGAGGAGCUGAAAAUUAACUUCAUUCAAAGUGAAGAACAGAUAGCCGAUGUCCUAACAAAACCUCUCACAUUCAUUCAUUUUAAUUAUUUCAUAAACAAACUCAAUGUGCAGCCAUGCCCCUUGAGUUUGAGGAGGGCUGUUAAGGAAGCUCAUAACGUGUACAAGCAGUCAGCUCAAGGUUAGCACGUGGGAGAAUUUGCUGAGCUAAAGUUAGUUAAGUAAGCGAUGUCAGCUCAGCAAAUUCAGUCAAGGUUUACUGAGAUUUUAUUCAUAUUGUUUUCUUUUCUAUUAACAAUGUAUAAAGGCAUGCUUUGUACUCAUUUGAUCAAUAAGAAAAGAAGAAAUAAAAUCCAGAAUAUUCUCUGAAGUUUUCUCAGUAAAACAGAGUAAAUUUUCUUAGUAACCAAACAGUACAGAUCAGUGGAAUUUACGUUUUAUAACAACGUGUGUUGAGAAUGUUGGGUAUUGGCCAAUUCAAUUUUCAUGAAGCACCAGAAGACAACGCUUUAUUUGGUGGGGGUGAAGUUUUGAUACAGGUAUUGCUCGGUUUGAAAUAUUUAGAGGUAUUGGAGUUGACCUUGGGAAGUUAUCAUGCUCUCCAAAUUCUUUUGAGCUCAAAUCAGUCAAAAAGUUGUAUUCGAUCUCUUCUCCUCCACAAGUUUAGAGGUACAACGCCGAUUAUUGAUGCUACGGCUUUCGCAGAGCUAAACCACCUCAACGAAUUAUUUAUUAAUAAUAGUAUUGAGUUGAUAGAAUUGAAGAUUGAUUAUACAGAGAUAGUACAAAAAAGGCAGGAACCUUUUGUUUUCCGCAGCCUUCACCGUGUUACCAUAUUUAGGGCCCGUUUGGGAGUGAGGUGCUGUAGCUUUUAAGCUGCAGUUGCUGUGGAGUAAAAGCUAUAGAUGUGGAAUGGAAGUUGAUGGUGUUUGGUAAAAGUGUUGUAGCUUUUAAGCUGCAACUACUGAUGGUGUUUGGUAGAGUGGAUGAAUAUUUGUAAUAAUUAAUUUUAAAUAACAUUAUUUUUAAUUGUUAACAAAUCAAUUAUUUUUCAUUCUUCAAAUUAUUAUAUUGACAUACAAUUACGAUUUAUUCCGUUACAAAUUAAAUUAAUAUUUAAUAAAUCAAAUUUAUUUUUUUGCACAAGUUGUAAUAAAUAAUUUAUAAAACACAUCAUGGGGUCAAUUAUAAAUAAUUUUAAAUAACUAUUAUUGACAAUGCCAACCGGGCAGUGUACAUGAUAUGCUUCUCCAAAUUGCUUCGGUUUGUACCUGAUAUGAUUAAUCGAGUAUUAUUUACAAUACCAAAUAUAUCUAAUAAAAAUCAUACAACAAAACAAAAUAAAAUUAAAAUGUAAUUAAUUACAAAAUUUGUAUAAAUAUUUCUAUUGUUGUGCCUCCAUUAAACUUGCAGCAAUGCCAUCUUUCAAGAUUAUUAUAUCUUGAGUUGUGCUAUCAAUUGUUUCAUAACUUUCUUCAUGAGAUGCAAUAUGUUCGCUAAUACUAUGACUUGGUUCAUCCGUCAUUUCAUCAAAAUGAUCAUUAUUUUGUGAAUAUCUUCUGAUAUAAUUAUGCAAGGCCAUGGUAGCAAUAACUAUUUUCACCUGCUUCUUGAAUGGAUAGCUUGGCAUACUUCGUAAAAUCUUCCAUGUAUUCUUCCAAACCCCAAAAGUACGCUCAAUAACACUUCUCAAGGAAGAGUGCUUGUAGUUGAACAAUUCUUUAUAACCCAUUGGUUGGCUACCUCUACGAAAUUCAGGAAGGUGAUAUCUUUCACCCUUAUAUGGUCCUAAGUACCCACAUAACUCCGGAUAUCCUGCAUCUACUAAAUAAUAUUUUCCUAAAAAUAAAAAGAAAAAUACAAAAUAAAUAAAACAAUCUAAUCAAUUGAAUAUGUAUAUAUAAAAGAAAAAUUAGAAACACAAACCUGGAGGAGGGUUUGGAAAAUUGAAUGCAGGAUUCGUAAUAGUUGUUUGAAAUACCCUUGCAUCAUGGGCACUGCCUUCCCAACCAGCCACUGCAAAUAUGAAUUGCAUAUCAAAGCUACAUACAGCCAUUACAAAUUCUUUUCCCACCAUUCCUCACUUGCAUCAACUGUCCUCAACCUAUGAUUCCACCCUAAACCAGUUUCUUUGCCAAUCAAAUUCUUCCACAAUUUCCAAUCAGUUCUAAGAGAAUCCCAUUUAUUUUUCAUUUGAGUUCUGUUGUAAUCUAAUCCAGUUUCUUUAGUGAACUCCUUAAUCAAAUUUUCAUAUCCUUGGGAAGUCAAAUGAGUCCCUGGACGAUGUCCGGCAUCCACCUCUUUAACGCAUAAGUCACAAAAUACAUCUAAAGUCUGGGGGUUCCAAGUAGCCUUACUAGUUGAGCUAUUAGACACAAUUUCAUACACUUAAACCUAGGAAAAAAAAUAUUUCUUUAUCAAACAACAAUACAGAAAAAAUAAGAAUAUAGAAGUUAAGAAAAUUACUAGAAUCUUGUUAUGGAUGGUGGAAGGAAAAAUAAUUCGAUAUUAAAAAAUUAAAAAAAAAGACAAACCAGAACAAGUUACCUUAGUUGUUACUUUACUUGAAAUACUUUUCCAGCAAACAAUAAUGAUCAUAGCCCACGAAUAGAAACAAUUACAAGCAAGUCAAUAAAGCAACAAAAGACAAACCAGACUAGGAAACAAAGAAAUUCAACUAAACAAUCAUUAGGUACAAACUGCAAUUGCAUUUAGCCUCACAAUCUCAAAUUUGCUACGUGCUUUGAUAUUUCCUGUACUAUUCUUUUGGCCCAUCCUAAGACAUAUACAAUUGCAAUUGCAACACUUUCUCCCUUCUUUUUUCUGUAAUUCGUAUGGCGACUUACGUAUAUAUAACCUAAUUAAUUGAAUUAAAUUGAUGAUGGGUUAGAAAAUCAUUAGGCUUAUUAAUUAUACGCGUCAAAAGAAUGGUCGGCCAAUAAUUAGGUGUCCUGCUUAUACUCCUGUAAUUUAGUCAUUCUCUAGUAAAUAUUAUUAAAUAAAAAGAAACACAAACAAUUAAGCUUAUUGGUAACUGAACUGGUGCCCAAAAAUAACAAGAGCAGGAGAAAGCAAACACACCCAAGAAUUUGACAAACUUCAACUUGAAAUCCAGAAUUUGACAAACUUCCUUUUGUUUACUGAAGCAUAGUAUUUCAUAACGAAGGCAUGCAUUUUAUUAUUUAAUGUCUUGUAGAACUGGAAACUCAAAUCAAACAGGGGUUGUGCAUGUUUAUAAAAAGCAACUACAAAAAUAAAAACUACAAUAAAAACAAUGGUUACAAGCAAAUAAAUCACGCAUGACCCAUCACCCAUCAAUUUAUUCUAACAAAAGCCCCAACAUUUUAUGAAUGAAAAGGAAGAAAAUGAAAAAUUGCUUGAAAUAGAGUAAAGGAGUACUCAAAAAUGAACAACAGAUAGAGGAAAAGGCACCACUGACAGAGGCGUAUGAGAGUGGCCGGUGUCGGAAUCGCGCCGAUGAGAAUUUCGGUGUCAGAAUCGCAUCAAUUGGAACUCCCACAGUCGGAAUCGUGCUGAUGAGAAUGGGUGUUUAGGGUUUGUUUAAAAAAAUCGAUUUGAAAUAGAACUCCCACUGACAUGACUGUUUGAUAAAAUGAAAAUGGAAUAAUAUAUAAAGUUAAUUUAGUAAUUAAACUUGCAGCUGGGAAAAAAAAUCUGUCAAGUUGUCAAAACACAACUAUAAGUGGUACCAAACACUUUGGUGGCUGGGCUGCUCACCACACUCCCAAACGGGACCUUAGUUGCGGUAAAUUGAAAGAUGUGACAUUCCUCGUUUUUGCUCCAAACCUCAAGUCUCUUUGGCUAUUCGAUUGCGGUGCUAUGGAAGAAAUAAUCAGCGUCGGAAAAUUUGCUGAGACUCCUGAGAUGAUGGGACAUAUAAUCCCUUUUGAAAAUCUCCAAAUGCUUAAUUUAAUGGAAUUGCCGGAGUUGAAGAGAAUUUUCUGGAAGCCAUUGCCUUUCACUCAUCUGAAAGAAAUAUCUGUGGGUUAUUGCCGUAAUCUUAAAAAGCUUCCACUCGAUUCCAACAGUGCAAAAGAGCGUAAAUUUGUAAUUCGUGGAGAAGAAGACUGGUGGAACCGACUUCAAUGGGAGGAUGAAGCCACUCAAAUUGCUUUUCGUUCCUGUUUCCAACCUCGUUCCUGAGCGGUGGUCGCAAAAUUUGAUUUCUGGUGAGUGCGUUUUUGUUAACGCUUAUGUUUUUAUUCCAGUGUGUUUUUCUUCUGUCUUCUGCAAAUCACGAUUAAAUGUUGAAUAAUAUGGAAUCAAUGCUUUAUAAAUUUUCCGGCGUGGCCAUUUCCUUUUCCCUUUUUUUUUUUGGGGGGGGGGGGGGGGCGUGGUUCGAUUGAUGCUCUGGCUUUUUACUUUUUGUCUUCGAAUUUUGCUCUGUUUUUCAAAUUGAUGCUUGAAUAGUUGAAUUCAAUUAAUGCUCACAUAAAUUUGUUUAGUUGCCGUAAAACGGUAAAAGGAUAUAAUUAGAUUGAAAUUCGCACUUCUAGAAUGAAUAGAAUUACAAUAGAGAAAAUAUUAAGUAUACAAGCCCUCUUUACAGAAAAUCAAAUGAAAAUAAAAUUUUUUGGAUAUUUGAUUUUCUAUGGUCUACUGUAUACGCUUUAUAAAUUCCUCUGCUUUAACGAUAACCAAAUCCUUUUUUCAAGGAUUUUUAUUUGGGGUAUUGAUAAUAGUCCACCAACAUAGUGAACGCUUGGAUGCUGCUUAAGGAUCUCUAAUCAGUAGCUGGAAGCAAAUGAGAAGGCGGUCGCUACUUUGUACAAAGCCAUGCAGCAAUUGCUAUUCAUUUUCAAACAAAGUUGAGAUGUUAUUUUCAGAUUUGGUUCCAGAUUUUGUAUGAAUAUCGUUGUUCCAUUGAGUUGUAUAUGAAUUCAAAUGUAAAAUAUUCUUUGGUUUUCAAUUUUGAAUUCAAUUUCUUUUUCUUAAGCAUGUUGUGCAGAAAUGAUUUCUACUAAAUCAUUUUUGAUAAACUAUUUAAAUUAAACAACUGGAAUAAGAACUGUAAGGAUUUAUCGUAAGCAGACUAAUAUGAUAAUUCUGAAACUAUCAUUUUUUUUUUUUCAAUUUGUUGCAGGGAAAGCCAAAUUUUGCGUUUUUCAGUUUUAUCUGAUAUGGGCUUUAUUUCCUCUACACUAGCUACCUAAAGAUUUAUCAAAUUGCUUCUCUUCCCUGCUUCAAAUAUCUUCAUGGCAUCAUAGGAAAAGAGAGUUUGGGUUGUAUUUAUUAUAGUUUUUAUUUUUUUUUUUGUUAUAAGCAAAUUUAUUUUAAAUACUUUAGUAGUAACAGUUUUUAUUGAAUAAUAAUGAGGGAUGAUUAUUAUAGGUUCAAAUAGUUGUUAGAACAUUAUAAAAAGUCUAUUUACUAUCAAAUGUUUUAAAUUGAUGCAACGUGAUAAUUGUCUCAUAUAAUUUUUUUAUAAUAUAUAUGUCCCAUAAUCUUAACAUGAAUAAAUGAAUUUCAACGGUUAAAUUUGACACGAUUAUUAAAUAGAUCAUAUCUAUAUUAAUUCGAUUUAAAAUCUGGUCACAUUUGGAUUUAGAGUUUCUAACAUGAUAACUUGUUUUAUGACAUGAUUUACUAAUCAAUUAAUAGUAAAUCAAAUGUCAGUCAAUUAAAUAUGUGGUACAUUUGUCAUAUUUUAAAAAUUAUUUAUUUAUAUUUGAAAUGAAUUUGGUGCNNNNNNNNNNNNNNNNNNNNNNNNNNNNNNNNNNNNNNNNNNNNNNNNNNNNNNNNNNNNNNNNNNNNNNNNNNNNNNNNNNNNNNNNNNNNNNNNNNNNAUAAGACGACGCGACACAAAUACAACCAACAAGUCAACCCAAAUUGCCACCUUUUACUAUCUUCUUUGUGUUAUUUCUCUAAAAAUUUGUGCCUUCUCUUACACUUUUAAAUCUGAAGUGUUUGAACUGGAGUACACAAAUUAUCUCUCUACAAUUCCAAAACAACCAAUUUGUUACUUGGUAAAUCUUAAUCAAUGGCAGGAAGCAAUUGAGAAGGCGGUCGCUACUGUGUACAAAGCCAUGCAGUAUUUGCUAUUCAUCUUAAUAAUUGUUAAGCUUUGGUAAAAUUUUCAAACAUAGUUGACAUCAUGUUGUUUUGAGAUUUGGUUCAUGAUUUUGUAUGAAUAUCGUUGUUCCGUUUGAGUUGGAUGUGAAUUGAAACCUAAAUAUUCUUUAUUUUUCAAUUUUGAAUUCAAUUUCUUUUUCUCAAGCAUGUUAUGCAGAAAUGAUUUUUACGAAAUCAUUUUUGAUGAAUUAUUUAAAUUAAACAAUUGGAAUAAGAAUUGUAACGAUUUAUCAUAAGCAUGCUAAUAUGAUAAGUUGUUUUACGAACGAUUAAUUAAUCAAUUAAUAUUAGAUUAUAUAUUAGUCAAUUAGAUAUGUGUUACAUUUGUCAUAUUCUAAAAACUAUUUAUUUAUAUUUCAAAUAAAUUUGACCAGAGGUUACGUAGGUAAUACUACAUAAUUUCUAAAGGAAUGUAAAAAUUUAAAGUUUUAUUAAAUAGGUGACUCAAUAAUAAAUGGAUUUCUGCAAGAAUUGAGAUUCUUGAGAUAAUUAUUACAUAGGGAAUUUUGGUUAGUUCAAUUUUGACAUGGUAAGAAGACGACACGGCGCAGAAAACCCAAAUUGCCACUUCUACUAGUAAUAAAAGAUACCUGUUUGAAAAGUAAUUAUAAACUAUCUUCUUUGUGUUAUUUCUCAAAACUUUUGUGGCACAAUGUUAUUUCCCUGGAGAAAAGUACGAAAUACCCCCUUUCACGUCGGCAGAAGCAAAGCAAAGCUAUGAGCUAUCUCUGUAUACUUGAAACGCCAUUGCUAAACGAUUCUCGAUGAUGGGUGCCACUGGGUCAGUGUUGUCUCUGAUUUACAUGAUUUAUUAGUUGUCCAGAUGCCAGAGAAACCAUGGUGGCAUUGAAGUUGCCCAGAUGGUUAGUUUUCUGAUCAUUUUUUUAUUCAAUUAUUUAUUUUUUUAGAAAAAUGUGAGAAAUAUGUAGAAAUGUUGACAGCUAUGAUUUUGAAACUUUGCCUAAAAUUGUUAUCAUCACUUAUUUAAAGAGAAAUCCUAGAAACAUGAAAUGAUUAGUAGCCUAAUUCAAAAUUAGACGUGAUUACAACAAGAGAAAAGUGGAGAGAACUUGAUAAUCGAGUGCAUUUAGAAUUUAAUUUUUCUUUUAGCUGCCGAUCAUUAAAUUUUCGAUUUCAGAAAAUUAUACCUAGAAUAUUUCAAGGAUAUACUAUGAAGAUUAUGAAGGUUUGAUUACAUGUCACUAUCAAUUGCCCCAAUCAUUUGUAGUAAAUUAAUUGAUCAUUUUGAUGCAAAUGAUUCCCUACUAAAAAAUUUAAGUCAAGGCUGAAUUGCAUAGUAGUUAGUCGCGCUUGCACUUCAAAUUAAGUAUUGUAUUUUCUGCCUGGUUUGGUUGAUUAAAGUGUGUGCAUUUGCUUUUGAACGUUGUAGUAUAGAAAUCGAAACAUUUGUUUUUCGCUAAGCCCAGAAGCAAAGUUCUUUGUACUGUACUCAUCACUUCUCUUCAUUCUCUUUGUUGAAAUUUUUUCCAAACAGCGGUUUCUUCGAAUUUGUGCCUUCUCUUCCACUUUUAAAUCUAUCAAAGAACCGUUACCUGAGAAGAUUGCCAUCAGGAAUUUCUAAAUUGAUUUCACUAUAAUACCUUAAUCUUUCAGAUACUCCCGUCACUGGGUUGCCAAAAGUGCUAAAAGCCUUCGUAAAUCCUACGUGUUUGAACUGGAGUACAAAUGUUAUCUCUCCACAAUUCCAAAACAACUGAUUUGUUACUUUUCAAUGCUACACGUUCUGCGAAUGUUCAGUUGUGGUUAUCUUGCUGAAAUACCAGAAAAUAGGGUUCUAGUUGGCGGUAGUGGAUUCUUGGUUGGGGAAUUGCUUAGUUUAAAACAUUUAGAUGUAUUAAGCAUCACCUUAAAAGGUUUUUCUUCUGUCCAAAAACUUAUGAGCUCCCAACAGUUUCAAAGCUGUACAAAAUGUUUGGAGCUUAUAGACUGUGAUGAUUCAAAGUCGUUUGCCUUGGCAGAGUUGAAGCAUCUUGAAAAACUAGGUUUUUCAAAUUGUGGAAAUUUGGAAGAUAAAUUACAUUUAUAAACUGUGGAUCGCCCUUUAUAAGUAUUAGGCUUAUCCCAUACUCGAGCAAUGUGGAAUACCUUUAUAAGCAUUAAGCCUCUCCCAUACAAUUUCUGUACAUGACUUUAAAAGUGGUUGAUGACCCGUUUUGUAAUAUCAUAGAGGGAUCAUGAAUUCCUUUUCUUUUCUGUGGCUAGGCAACACUUUUGGGCCAAAGUAAGGAAAUCUAUUUUAGGUAAUGUAAAAACCAGUUGUGGGAUGUAAUAGUUUAUUAUGCACUGACAACAACUUUUUGUAUAAUUGUCAGUUUAAUGAAUACGAGAGGAACUCUGUUGGCAAAUUCAUCCAUGAUAGAUGCUAAAAUUAUACCAGUUGCCUUAACUAAUUUUUCUCAACACUGGUAUUGAACAGGAAAAUGAAUAUGCAAUUUGUAUUUGUGCCAUUGUGGAGAAUUUGGAUAUUCUUAGUUUUAGUAACAAGGAGAGUAUUUGCCUCAUCUUUAAACAAUGAAUCUUUGAGAAAUGAGGACUGGGUGAUUGGCAGUGUCAGAGUGUCUUCAUGUAAAUGUUCAUUUAUUUGUAUUUUGAACUAUUAUUAGAAUCUUUAUAUGCCAAAUUAGUAAUACAAAUGUUCAGAUGAUUUUUCCUGGUGAUCAUUUCAUUCUUGAGAGCCAUGUACAAUACUAGGAUACCAGAGAAACCAAGGUAGCAUUGAAGUUGCCCCAGUGGCUAGUUUUCCGAUCAUUUUUUAUUCAAAUUUUUAUGUUUCAGAAAAAUGUAAGAAAUUUAUAGAAAUGUUGAUAGCUAUGAUUUUGAAACUUUGCCUAAAAUUGUUAUCAUCACUUAUUGUUUCUUAUUUAAAGAGAAAUCCUAGAAACGUGACAUGAUUAUUCCAUACUUGUUUUAAUAUUAUUUAUUAGCAGCCUAAUUCAAAAUUAGACGUGAUUAUUUGUUACUUUUAAUGCUACAUGUUCUGGGAAUAUUCAGUUGUGGUUAUCUUGUUGAAAUACCAGAAAAUAGCGUUCUAUUUGGUGGUAGUGGAUUCUUGGUUGGUUUGAAUGUAUUAAGCAUCACCUUAAAAGGUUUUUCUGCUGUCCAAAAACUUACGAGCCCCCAAAAGUUUCAAAGCUGUGCACAACCUUUGGAGCUUAUAGACUGUAGUGAUUCAAAGUUGUUUGCCUUCGCAGAGUUGAAGCAUCUUGAAAAACUAGGUUUUUCAAAUUGUGGAAAUUGGAAGAGUUUAAGUUCUGCUGUGUUGAGGAUGGAAAGGCUCGAGAAUGUUUUCGUGUGAACAGCUUCAACGAGUUAAGAUAAAGGCUUGUCAUAAAUUGAGGGAAGUGACAUGGCUUGUAUUUGCUCCGUAUCUUGAGGUUAUUCAAAUAGCCAAAUGUAUGGGGAUAGAAGUAAUAAUCAGUGCAAGGAAAUUGGGUGAAGUUCCAGAGAUGAUGGCAGAUCUAAACCCUUUUGCAAAACUCCAAUAUCUUGGCCCACGAGUUCUACCAAAAUUAAAAAGCAUCUAUUGGAAUCAGUUGCCCUCUCUACAUGUCAGGCGAAUUUUGUGUCUGAAUGCCCAAUUCUCAAGAAGCUUCCACUUGGUUUUAACAAUGCAAAGGAAUCUAAAACUAUCAUUAGGGGAGAAGAACACUGGUUGAAUGAGCUGCAAUGGGAGGACAAAGUGACCCUUAAUGUUCUUCUUCCUUGUUUCGGAUCCAUUUGAAGGCAUCAACAUGGAUUGAUACUUUGCAGUGGAGAAAUUUGAAUAAAACCUAUGGUAAGCGCUUUUCCAUUUAUUGCAUAUUUAUAUCUAACUUUUGUUUUCCUUUGUGGUUAAAUUUUGCUCUAUAUACGUUGUUGUACGGUGACAUUCUCAUAUCAAUUAUUAGCUUUUUAAUUCUCUUCUCACAUUAACUGCCCUUUUGAUCAUGUAGGAUAUGCUGAUGUCAAAGAGUCGUAAUUUGGGAUGCAAAUGUAAGAAUUAGACAGAUGACCAGUUGUUUUGAAGCGCUCGAAGAAGGAUUAAUUACGUCAUUGAAAGGCUCCAAUUUUGUGACUUUUUUUUUUAAUUUGUUGUUUUUUCUAUUUUUAGAUAGCUUGAUUGUCAGUUGUCGUGAUGUAAUGCUUUAGUGUAGAAAAAUGAUAUUCGGCCAAGACAACAUUAGCAGGGCACCUUGUGCAUGCAUACUAGUGGAUAAUUUCGGCAUGCUAAAUCCAAUUAGGGUGGAUGACCCUUUAUAAGCAUUAGGCUUCUCUCAUACCCGAAAACAAUGUAGAAUACGCUUAUAAGCUGCGGAUCACCCAUUAUAAGUUUUAGGCUUCUCCUUUACUCGAGCGAUGUGGAAUACCUUUAUAAGCAUUAAGCUUCUCCCAGUAUCUUUAUGUUAAAAAUAAUAAUAAUAAAAGAAAUCCAUUUUAAAAUAGACUCUUUUUUCUUUUUCUAUAUAAACAAAUGCAUUCUUCAAAUCAAUUGUGGGCAGAAGAAGUUAGUAGAAAAGAACUAGUCCCCUUUCAUUCCCCCUUAAAGCUCACCAAAGCCUCUUUUGUAAGCUUUUCGGAUUUUCUUUCUAUAUUGCUUAUGAUCUCAUUUUUGAUUGAAUCACUUCUUUUGCAUGCUGCAUAUUUUGUUUGUUGUAUUUGGAUAUUAUCGUAUCUGGAAUGCUGUUAUGAUUGAUGGAACAAGUAAUCGAUAUUUGGUCUGAUGGAAGUUGACUUAUUUAUUUAUUGUUAUUUUAAUUUGAAACUAUGUACAAUUGCAUUUCAUUCAUUUCUCUCUCUCCCCCCCCCCCCCCCCCACACACACACACAUAUAUUUGUUAUGUAUAAUUGCGUUUCAUUUGAUAUUGAUCAUGCUGUAGAUAACCAUGUGAUUGUAGAUGGGGAUUUCAAGUUUGUUGAAUAUUCAAGUAAGUGAAGUAACUGUCAAAAUACUAGUGAAAUUGGGAGCUUUAUUCAUGAGCUUGUGGUUUUGAAAAGUACCACAGUUCAACCGAUGAAGGUUCCUUUUUGGGGUUCUUCUUUUUCUAGGCUGCAAUUAGGAUAUGUACAUGUUAGACAAUCUUUUGCGGGUUUAGCAUAUCUUCUCUGAUUUUGUCUUUUAUUCCCCAAUCUUAUAAUUGCACACCAUGAAUGUUGAGUGAUUGUAUAGAAAAUUUGUGUUAUAACCAAAGCGUUGUGAAGGAGUUAAGUUAGUGGCUUCUGUUUUAUUGGCAUUGAUUGGGUAGAUUAUGUGUUACAGUGAUUCAAUUUGUGCUCCAAAGUUUGCUUUAAUUUCUUUUUUCCCUAAUUAUUUAUGUCAAAUUUAAAUCCAGAAGCAUGUACUGAUUUUUUCUUUUUGUAUUAAUCUGUGAAGGUUAUUUGGAAUGGAAGUAUCUGGGUUGGGUCUAACGGAUUAAAUUAUGACAUUGGGGGGAAGGCAGUAAAGGGUUUGCUCGACACAUUUGGUUCUGUGUUUACUUUGCAAGAAAUAGCUUUUGGUUAUCACAAUGCCGGUGGAAUCCCGAUUUGGCUCGUGAAUUUCUUUGUGACAAAUAGGCAAACACAUCAACCUCUUCUAUCCAUCCUUCUACUGGUAAGGCAAGGGGUAAAGAGUCUUCAAAAUCAUCAAAUAGUAACAUCUCUGAGAAUUCAUUUUAUGCAAAUGGAAAAUCUAGACCUUCUAAGACAAAAUGGCGUCCUGUAUCAGGAGGUACCGUUUCAAGUUUUCUUGGUAAAAAUUAUGUUAAACCUGCACAGCCAGCUAAUGGCACAUUUCUAGCAUCAAAGCCAUUGAAGUUGGAUCCAAAGGGGUUUCCCAUGUCUCCACUUUUGCGGAGAAGAUACUAAACUGAAACAAUCAAAGGAUGACCAUUUGCAGAAGGAUAUGGAAGAUUUUCUGUUUAAAUUGCUAGGAGAAGUGUUCCUAUUGUCCUUUUCAAUGUUCUUUCUUUCUUUCUCUUCUUUUCUUCUUCUUCUUCUUUUUUCUUUUUGUGUGCGUGUGAUCACUAAUUUGGUAUUGUAGUUUAGUUGCAGAUAGUUGUGGAUAUGAUAUGCAAAAGGUAAGGACUAUAUCUUCCUGAUGGAGGCCUCUGCUUUUUCCUUUAUGUGUAAUUUAAUAAAUUGCAUCUUCCUUUGUGAUUGUUAUAUCAUAUCAAAGACAAGUCUUAAAUACUGCUGUCAUAUGUUAAGGUUCAACUUGCAGUUUGAUUAACAUUCAUGGCUCAAAGGCCUGAAAAAACUUGCCAGUAAUUGUAAAAUGACAUUCUUUGCUUUUAAUGCAAUAGAGGGAACAGGGAAGUAUAGCUUUGGAAGCCUGGAUUGGUAACUAUAGAGAGACUUAGUAUUUAAUUGAUAAAAAUUCCCAUAACCCAAGGUCAAGAAAAUUUUAGAUCGUUAAAGACUUCAUUUUGUUUCGGCCAGAAAUGUUUGUUUCGAUCGAAGACUUGAACCAUUUCGAUUGAACCUGAUUAUGAUGCUUUACGUUAUGCAUGUUCCUCUUAAUCAAGAAAAGUUGAGGUGAUGAUUUUAUAUUUCUAUAUUGUAAGUUGAAAUAAUAAUUGGUCUGCUUGUUUCUGUAGCUUGAUAACAUGAAUUUUCCUUCUCAAGUUAAUUUAAUCAAUAAAGUAAUUCUUCAAAGAAAAUAUGCCCAUUCUAUAAUCAUUUUCUUAAUUAACAUGUUUUUUUCUUCACACUUCAGAGCAUGUUGAAACUAAUUGAUCGCUCGGCAGAGACUUUGGGUGAGAAGACAAAAUUUCUCGGUAAAUCCUCUGAAAAGGUAUGCAUAAUUCCGCAGUAUUAAAUAACCAAUGGUCAUAAUUUUUGUACAGGACUCUUUUCUUGUGGAGAUAAUUAAAAGUGGCUGAUGAUCCAGUUUGUAUAUCAUAGAGGGAGCAUCAAUUCCUUUUGUUUUCAGUGGCUAGGCAACACUUUCAGGGCAAAGUAAGGAAAUCUAUUUUAGGCAAGUAAAGCCAUGUAGAUGUAAUAGUUAACAUGCACUGACAAUAACUUUGUAUAAUGUCAGUGAACGAUACAAGAGGAAUCUGUUGACAAUCAUCCAAGAUAGAUGCUAAAAUUAUUAUGCAUGCCAGUUGCUUAAUAAUUUUCUUACACUGGUAUUGAAGAGGAAAAUGAAUAUGCAAUUUGUAUAUGUGCCAUGUGAGAAUUUGGAUAUCUAUCUAAGUAACAAGGAGAGUAUUGCCUCAUCUUUAGACAAUGAAUCUUGAGAAUUUGGAUAUUCAUGUAAAUGUUCAUUUGUUUGUAUUUUGAACUAUUAUGAGAAUCUUUUAUAUGCCAAAUUAGUAAUGCAAAUGUUCAGAUUAUUUUUUCUGUUGAUCGUGCAUUUGUGUCUGCACACAACCAUUGUAUAUCACUUCAUUCUGAUGCGCAAGUGUCUGUAGUUUAGAAGAAAAGAAAUAAUAAUGAUAUAUUAUUGCUUGAUUCAUGAUUAUUAAAUGAUUAUGGCUUUAAAAAACCUACAAAUUCCUUUUGUUGAUAUAUGAAUGUACCAAGUUUGCUAUAUCUUAGAUUACCAUUUCCAAGAUAACAAGUUCAAAUUUUUUCUUUAUCCUUUUCCUUCACAGUUGCAUUUUAAGUGUAAGAUUUGUUAUUAAUACCUGGUUUCCCGUCAUUAUGAUUUCAUAAACAGUGUAUGGGUAUGUGCUCUACUUUUGGAGGGCCUCCACGUGAAAGAAAAUUGUAACAAUUGAAUUCUUCCGGAUGGUAUGGUAUUUAAUUUAUUUUCUCAACCUCUUGUAAGACUAAUAUAUUUUCCUUUAGUAGACACGGCAUGGUGGGAAGGGUUUUUUAUUGAAAGAAUUCUGAUAUUUCUUAGACUUUGUUUUGGAAGGGGGUGCAGGGGUUUCUCAUCCAUAUAUGGUUACUUGAUUAGCUUUUGACUGUAUUGCCUCAAUCGUGCAAAGGAAGAUCCAAAUACAAACGAAAGAGAAUUGUUUAGACACCCAGAAGAUGGAAAUGAACUACAGAAGGAAGUUUUUGCUGCUUUAUUUAGUGCUCCUGAGAAAUCUGAUGAAUUUCCUGAAAUUACGGUGAAGACCAAGUGUGAGGUCCAAAGCAUUAGGAAAGGUGGUGAGUGAACUGCCGGAGCAAUUGGUACAGAAUACAAGGCUAAUGUGGUGGACUUGCAGCAAGAUAACCGGAACAGUACGUGCUCUUAUAUUAACUAUAUUGACUGGAUUUGCUAGUGUGUGCAUUUUCGUGUGUAUACUUUUGUAUUUAUGCAUAUUAAUGUGUGUAGGAUUCUUGAUUUCUGCCACUUAUUGGAGAACUAAUGGAAAGCUUUAUACUGGUAUAUCUGCAAUAACUAAUGGAAACUAUGAUAUUAAUAUUUUCUCUCGCUUGGAGAAUGCGUAACAGAUAUACUUUGUGGCUCUGGAAUACUAAAGAUUCUGCAAUAACUAAUGGAAACUAUGAUAUGAAUAUUUUCUCUCACCUGGAGAACUUUGUAACAGUUACACUUUGGGGCUUGGAAUGUCUAAAGAAUUUUGUCUGCUUCAGUUAGAUCAAAUAUCUUUUAGUUACAUACAUUAUAGAAAAGAUAAAGUUCUCUGAAUCUGAAAGACUUAAAAUUUUGCAUAUUUCUUGAUAGGGAAAUAUCUGUAGAUACUAGUUCAUGCAUUGUGGUAGCAUCAGUGUUAAAGAAAAACAGCAGUAAGUUAUUAUAUAGAAUUAGGUUCACUUGCUUUAAAUCCUGGUCUGGUCAACCAUAUGAACCUGUAAGUGGUUCUGUAGAAAUAUAUAUAUACGGGGAGAAAGUAGCUAAAUUUUCCUUUCAUUUAUGGGUUUGGUCAUUUUUUCCCCUUAUUUAUGUUUUCUCACACAUUUUUUAAAUGCCCCAGACAUGCAAUUUUGUAUGUGUCAAUUGCCUUUUAAGUUUUAAAAACCAUAAAGUAAGAAUACAGUUUCUUGUCAGGCUAUUGAUGCAUUUGCUCGGGGGGAUCAUGCUCGAGCAGGAAAACUUCUAGAACAGGUAAGGUUUCCAUCUACAGCCAUUUAUUGACAACAUAUAUAUUUUCAUUCAGCAAGCACUGUUAGCAUUCAAGAUGCUGGCAGAUUCACUUGAUUCUUAUUAGUUUGUUUAGUAGCAAAGCAUAUAACCUGUAUUUUAAAGCUAAGUUGUGCUAUUGAUUAUGUUAACUUUAUUGUUCACAUAAAGUGAUAUUGAGGAAAUAAUCAAUGUAGGAAAAUUAGGUGAAGAGAUGAUGUCAAAUCUUGAACCUCUUACAAAACUCCAAGUUCUUUACUUGAAGAAGCUACCAAAUUCGAACAGCAUCUACUGGAAGGCCUUGCCAUUCCCUGAUGUAUGCAGAAUUUUUGUAUUUAAAUGCCCAGAGCUUAAGAAGCUGCCACUGGAUCUUGAGAGGGCAGGCCAAGGUAAAAUUCUUAUCAAGGGAAAGAAAGAUGGGUGGAAACAACUUCAAUGGGAGGAUCAAGUAACUCAGAAUGCAUUGCUUUCAUUUUAAAAAUCAACCAACAAGUGAUUGAAGGGGGCAUCAUCAACGUAAUCAACAUGGAUGGAGAGAUUCUGGAGCAGAUCAGCGGGGUUUAGUACGACCUGUGGUGGUUUCUUUUUUGUGACUUUUUUGCCUUUCAUUUUUUCACUUCCUGUCAUAUUAUCAUUUCUUUGUCUGUGUUUCUAUUGCUAGUGUUGCUGCAUGCUUGCUGUCCUUGACAAAGUUAGCUAGUUUUUUUUGUUUAUUAAAUUUUGUAUGUUCGGUCGGGACAGUCACAAAGUACUACUUGUUCUAUAUGGGGGUGAUGUGAAUCAACUUUUCAAUUAUAUAUUCUGUGGUAAUUGUGAAUUCAAUUUCAUUUAUCUCCUGCAAAUUAUGAAGAAAGUGCAGAGUUACAAUAUGGAAAAGUUCACUGGCAAAUACUUUGUAAAAGCUUCGGAGUGAAACAGGAAAUGCACUUGCAACUAAGGACAAAUUGGUGGCCGGCUAAUGCAUUCAUUUUAGGGAAAAGGACACAGACCCUCAACGUUUUAAUAAGGGACAUAAAACUCCCUAAUAUUUUAAAAAAAAUACUCAAACCCCCAUUUGUUAAUAGUAAAUUCUAAGUUUAAAGUGUAAUUACCAUUAUACCUUUAUAGCAUAUUAAAAAAUAAUUAUUCAUUAUUCAAUUUAUUCUUAUAUUAUUAAUAAAAUUACGAAUAUAAUUUCAUUAUCUAAUUUUUUCAUUUAAUUUUUGUUAAAUUUUCUCUUCAAACUAAAUAAAUUUAAUCCAUUGCUUAAGAAUAAAAAUAAAUUAAAUUGAUUACUAAUAUAAUAAAAAUAACAUAUAUUUAAUAUAAAAAUAACAUAUAUUAAAUUAAAAUAAAUUUAAUUUAUAUAUAGAGAAUUGUUAUUUUUAAGAAAUUAUCAAUUUAAUUUAUAUAUAAGAAAUUAUAAGAAAUAACAUAUGGAGAAUUGUUAUUUUUAUUAUAUUAAUAAUCAAUUUAAUUUAUUUUUAUUUUUGAGCAAUGGAUUAAAUUUAUUUAGUUUGAAGAGAAAAUUUGAUAAAAAUUAAAUGGAAAAAUUGGGUAAUGAAGUUAUAUUCAUAAUUUUAUUAAUAAUAUAGGAAUAAAUUAGAUAAUGAACAAUUAUUUUUUAAUAUGCUAUAAGGGUAUAAUGGUAAUUGUACUUUAAAAUUAGAAUUUACUGUUAACAAAUAGGGGUCUGAGUGUCUUUUUUGAAACAUUAGGAAAUUUUGUGUCUCUUAUUCAAACGUUGGGGGUUUCUGUGUUAUUUUCCCUUCAUUUUAUGUACAUUCAUCUUUUUAAUUAUUGAAGAUAAGUGGUUCGUUGCUUUUGUUGUAGAUAAAAUUCAGACGACCUCAAUUGUGACAUGACAAUAUUUAAAACAUCUCUUAAAUUAUUAUAAAUUUAAUUUAUCUUAACUUUAUUGAAAAGAUAAAAGAAAAAUGUGGUGUAUGGAUAAAUUUUUUUUUAUCUUCUUAAUCAAAUGGAAUAAAUUAAAAUUUACAAUAAUUUAAAAUAUUUUAAAAAUUAUUAUUUCAUAAGAGAUUAAUAUGAAAUUAAUCGUUUUUACUUUUUUAAUGUGAAAGGACAAGAAAAGAGAAAGCAUGUGUCCCUGCUUUUUAGUUUUUAUUUUAUUUGAAAUCGGAGUUAUCCCAUAUACUUUACUAAUUUAGCUCUAACAUUACAAUGUUUUUAGGCUACACUUUUAUUUUUCUUUUUCCCCCUUUUUUUAUACAUGCAUGUGGAUUACUUUUCUCUAAGCUCCUUAAUAUUUAAGACAAAUCAUAAAAGCAAUUGAAGUAUAACAAGAUGAUCAAAACAUUUAACCAAAAAAAAAGAAAGAAAAAAGAAAGAAAACAUUGAAAAUGGAGAUGUUGAUUAAUUUAGAAGAGAUGCAAGCAAAAGAUAUUCCCAAAAAAAAGAAAAAAAGAAAAAAACAACGUUAGUUCAUCCAUGUCUGUCAAUGCGUUUUUUAUGGUUUUUUUUUUCCAGUUGUUUGUUGUAAUAGAUUGAUUGUAAAUUGAUAUGAAUUUGAUGUUGUAAUAUGUUCGCUUUUGUGGAAUUAAAUUUGAAUAUUCAAGAUUAUUCAAGUCUUAUCUAGUAUGUGUUCAAUUGUGUUGUCGAUAAUUUUGCAUUCGAAUAAUUUUUCACCUAAAAUAUUAGCAUGAGUAGUAGUCCUUGAAAUUUUGGUCAAAAUUAUUGUUAUUGUUUGUUUUAGAGGAAAUUUUUUUAUUAAAGCCUCGUUAACACUAUACCUUAUUAAGAUUAUAAGUUAGUGUCAGUGCAGGAUUUACAGCAACAAAUCUUGUCUAGCCACGUGUCAAAAGUACAAAUAAAUCAAGAGUAAGCACAUGACAUGGAUUAGGAUCCAAUAAGAUUUAAAUCCCAAGGAAAAGGACAAUUGUAUCCUAAAGUUUCAAUAAGAGAUACUGAGAUAUCUUUUGACUAAUGUUAUUUUUUUAGCUUUAUUAAUAAAAAGAUCAAAUAGUUUAUAACAAAUAAAAAUAUAGUAUGAAGCUAAAUGUGAUAAUAUAUACAUUUUACAUAAUUUCAAUAAAAAAAAUUUCAAUAAAAAACAUUUUAAUGUUUUACGAUCUAUUAGACAUAUUUUAUUAAAUUAAUAGGAAUUUUCUGAUAAAUAGCAACAUAAUAUUAAAAUAAAUUUAUAAAGAUUUAAAUGUAAAAUAAUUUUAGUAUAAUUAAUACGUGGGAUAUAUUUUGUAAAUUAUAAAAUUACUUAACCCAAUGAUUUUUAAAAAUCUUUAAAAUAAAUAAAAAUAAAUUAUUCACAUUUUGAUGUAAAUAUUUAAAACAUUUUUAUACAUUAGUCCACAAUUAUUUAUGUUAUAUUUGUAUUUAUUAGAAAUUUUGAAAGUCAAAUGUUUUUCACCUCUAUCUUAUUAGAAUUAUUGCACACAGAGAAAGAGCCAUAUAUGCUUUAUAGCUUUAAAAUCGAUUUGUUUUAUAGCUGGGAACAGAGAUGAUCAUUAUUAUAAGGAUUAAAAAAAAGAUAAAGAAUAUUAAUGAUUAGCGAAAUCUCUAUGGAAAUUGAAUUUAGUAAGAAAAAAUUGAGCUGAUUUUAGCGGUAUAGUAAUAUUUUAUAUAGAGAAAAGUAAAAGCUGCACCCAAGGUUAAGGGAAAUGGUCAAAACUCUUUUUUAAUCAUAAUACUCUUUUUCCUACAUAAUUUAAAAAUUUGACAUUAAUAUUUUAUAAUAAAUAAAAACAUAUAAUCCUAAAAUAAAUAAAAUAAUAUAUAUUUUAAAAUAAUCUCAAUAUUUAAAAUAUAUUUUAACAUUUUAUAGUCUAUCAGAUAUAUUUUAUUUUUUUUAAAGUAAAUUUUAUAAUAAAUACAAAACAUACUAUUAAAAUAGAUAUAAAAAUUUUAAAGUAUUUUGAAUAUUAUAUAAAAUAACUUUAAUAUUGUUAAUGCGUGAGAUGCAUUUUAUUAAUUAAAAAUUCUAUUUAACCCAAAGAUUUAUUUAUAAUAAAUUAAUAAUCAUAUUUUUGAAAUUAUUUUAAAUAUUAAAAAAUAUUUUAAUAUUACUAACUAUUAGAUAGACUAAACUAUUUAUAUUAUUUUCUAUUUAUUAUAAAAUUUCAAAGUUAAUCUUUUUAACUACUAUUCAAAAGAUAUUAUGAUAAAAACAGAAUUUUUCUGUUUUAUUAAAAAUUUAGAGUUUACACCUAUUUUUUCAAAUAUUCGGGGUGUAACUGUUUUAUUUAAAUAAAAUCUCAGUUAAAAAUGUACAGAGAAGAAAUUUCUGUUGGUAUUUUAGUCUUUUACCAAUUAUCACGAUUAGGCCUUGGCCUUGAAACAUUAAUUGUUUCACUUUUAGCGCUAGUGGCGUUGAAAGUUGUCAAGAAAAAGCAAGACCAUAUUCCACAAAAGCAGCUCUUUUAUUAAAGGCAAAGUAUAAAGUAGUCAAGAAUCGAAUAUCCUGUCGUCUACUCUUUUUUAAAUUCUUCUUUUAUUAUCUUUUAGAAUAGUUUUUGGUAAUUACAAUCAUUAUUCAGAGUUAUUGUUAUCUUCUGGGGCAGUCUCUGUUCAUCGAAGUCGUUACCUUUUUUUCAUGGAUCAGUUCCAGUGCCAAGCAGUAAUUUUCUUAGAACUCGGAUCUUUAAUUCGAGUUUCUUUGUGAAUUAAUAAUAAAAAAUUUUCAUUACACGCAAUUUAAGCUACGAAUUACUUUUUGCAAAGUUGAAUAUGAAAUUGGAGAAAUUAAAUAAUUUAGAAUGUUGGUAAAAAUUGACUAACAUAUCCCCAAUUACAGUAAAACCUCUCUACAGUCAUAACAUUAUAACAAAAUUAAUUUUAUUACUAUGUUGAGGUAAUAUAGGUUUAGUUACAAAAUUAUUGUUUUAAUAUGGUUAGUGUCAAGUGAUAUAAAGGUUAAGUAUGCAGUACAUUGAUAAUUAAAUAAUGAAGCGUGUCAAAUCUAACGUAUAUAUAUUAAUGAUAUAGAUAGACAUAGUUUUAAAAAACUAAUUAAUGUAUAUUUAUGUACUGUUAUGAAUAUGGAAAGUCAAGCCUACACUUUACAUUAUCCUUAAUUUUUUCUCUCAGUUAAAUUCUACAAAUAUUGUACAAUGAUUGGGUAAGAACUCUAAAUUAAGAAUAAAUUAUUGUCACAAAUAAUUUUAAAAAAUAUUUUAUUUCAUCUUAAACCUUUAAUGUAAGUAAAUAUAUAUAUAUGUGUGUGUGUGUGUGCAUAUUUUGCAAGGUAUAGAUAAUUGUUAGUAUAUGGAGACAAGUCUUUUAAGGUAGGACCUAGGAAAAUUUAUAACUUACUACAUUGGGGAGUUUUUAUUCCUUUUUAUAAUUGGCUCAUAUUGAUACAUUCUUACACAAAAUAUUACCAUUGACAUAUUUUACUACAAUUGGUUUAGAACAUUUGUUAGGAAAAAAAAAAGAAAAGAAAACAUUCAUUGGAUGUAGCUCUCCCUCGUAUGCUUUUUUCUCCAAAUAUUCCUGCGUCCACAGAAACAAGUCAGAGCACGCCGGUUGUUUUCCCGGCGUAAACCCUCUGACGCUCAAGUCAGAUAUGAAGGCUCUGGGAAUGCUUGCCACAGAUCUUAUGGUUUUUCUGUAGUUUCUAUUCUUUAGAGUUUCAUUUAUCUCUGAAUAUAAUCUCAAAAAUGCUAACCCUUUUACCUUCCUUGGCUACCUUUUUAUAGGCUUCCUCUGAAUCCCGGUCUUCCGUAGUCCACGCCCGUUAUUCUCCCCACCCUCGGAUGUGGAUGCCCCAUUAUCGCCAUUGUGGGCGAAUGGAGAUGGACUUCGUGCCUUGAUUCUCGGAUAGGAAUGCACGUCUUGCCAACUGUCGUUGACUGGGUCUCCUCGCCUCUCGACCUCUAGCCGGAAUGGCCUUAUGCCUCUAACAAGAGUUCGACCUCGUGAAUGGCAUACUCGCGGACGAGCCGAAUAUUUCUGCUCAUGUUCCCCUGCUACCUGGCUCUUACAGGACAUACCUGUUCGCAGAACUCCGCCAUCAAAUAUCUGCUCAUCACGUCUGGUCUCGUUGAAGUAUUUCCCUCAAACAACAUAUUUUACUACAAUUAGUUUAGAACAUUUGUUAGGAAAAAAAAAGAAAAGAAAACAUUCCUUGGAUGUAGCUCUCCUGACUAUUUAAAUCUUUUAAGGAAAAAAAGAAAAAAGAAAAACUGACACAUUCAAAUCUUGAAGCAAUUACAUUAAAACCUCUCCAUAAUGAUAGGAAUAAUCUCCAUUUAGUAAUAAAAAAUUUUGUUCGCAAUCUAGGCAGAGUUAUAAAUAAGAAUAAAAUCCUCAUUGUAAUAAGUUGUAUUUAUUAUGGAUCCCAUCCUAAGGAACUUGUCUCUAUAUAGUAAUAAUUAUUUGCAUAUUAUAAAUAUAUAUGUUGCAUUAGAUUAAAUGAACUUGUCUCCACAUACUACUUAGACAAUGAGAGAAAGUUAUUAAAGAGAACACAAAUAUUUAGAGAUUUUUAAGAUUACUUUGCAUGUUUAUAACAAUAAUACAUUGAUAUAUGUAUUAGUUUUUUGAUAUAUUAGAUUUGACAUGCUCUAUUAAUAAAUUAUUAAUACGAUGCAAACUUCAUCUCUCUAUCCUUGCAAUAAAAGUAACUAAGUUAUAACAAUAAUUAUUAAUAAAUUAUUAAUACGAUGCGUACUUCAUCUCUAUAUCCUUGCAAUAAAAGUAACUAAGUUAUAACGAUAAUUUUUGUAACUACAUGCUUAUUAGGUUUUAACUACUUCAUAAUAAUAAAUUAAUUUCGUCCUAAUAUUAUAAUUAUGUAGAGUUGUAGUGUAUAGACACACCCAAUUUAAAUAGUAAAUCAAAUAAAAUUGUCCCCACAAAAAAGAAAAAAGGGGUAAAGGAUUGUUAUUUCUUCAAACAUUAGGAGCACGUUUGUUCAAGUGCGAUGCCUUUCUUUUGAAGGCAACGUCAGUGGGUACCCAAUAGGACGUGUGUAAAUCUUUCCAAAAUUUCUCCGGUAUAACGGACAGAGAUCAUUACUUUUCUCUUCCAUAGACCACAGCAGCUUCAGUUAAUCAGACUCAAUCAAUUUUCUUGGUUUCUUCGCUUAUCAAAAUUCCAAAAUAUGGGUAGCAUAUUUCAAAUCACAUGCGAUGGUGCUUUUUUCAAUCGUUGCUUGGAUUGCUUUCUUGGAAAAGUAGCAAACACAAGUAAGCUCCAAGAUAACCUUGUUGCCUUGGAGACUGAAUUGGGAAAACUAAUCGUAGCAAAGAACGAUGUGAUGAUGAGGAUUGUCAAUGCUGAACGGCAACAACUGAGAACGCUGGACCAAGUGCAAGUGUGGCUUUCGAGGGUGGAAGCUGUUAAAACUGAAGCUGAUGAAUUGAUAAGACACGGCUCUCAAGAAAUUGACAAAUUAUGUGUUGGAGGCUACUGUUCCAAGCACUGCGCGUCAAGCUACAAGUUCGGGAAACAAGUGGCUAAAAAGCUACGGGAUGUGCAGACUUUAAUCGGCGAAGGAGUUUUUGCGGCGGUGGCUACUGAGGUGGUGCCUGAGAGAGCUCCAGAACCUGUAGCAGAUGAAAGACCCACUGUGCCAACAAUAGUAGGCUUGCAAUCACAACUUGAACAAGUUUGGAGAUGUCUUGUAGAAGAAUCAGUGGGAAUCAUUGGCCUAUAUGGUAUGGGCGGUGUUGGUAAAACUACACUAUUGACCCAUAUCAACAAUAAAUUUCUUGAGAGUCGAACCAGUUUUGAUUGUGUGAUUUGGGCCGUAGUUUCAAAGGACUUGCAACUCGAAAAAAUUCAAGAAGAUAUUGGGAAAAAGAUCGGUUUGGUUGAUGAUUCAUGGAAGAGUAAAAGUGUAGAGGAGAAAGCUCUCGACAUCUUCCGGAGUUUAAGAGAGAAGAGAAUUGUAUUGUUGUUAGAUGAUAUAUGGGAGCGGGUUGAUUUAACAAAAGUGGGCAUUCCACUUUCGGGACCAAAGAAUACUACCUCAAAAGUCGUAUUCACAACCCGUUUCAUCGAUGUUUGUGGUAGCAUGGAAGCUGACAAGAAGUUCCAAGUGGCAUGCUUAUCAGAAGAGCAUGCUUGGGAACUGUUUCGAAAAAAAGUUGGGGAAGAAACUCUUGAGAGUGAUCAUGAUAUCGUUGAGCUAGCCCAAACUGUGGCCAAAGAGUGUGGUGGUUUGCCACUCGCACUUAUUACUAUUGGUCGAGCUAUGGCCUGCAAAAGGACAGCCGAGGAGUGGAGACACGCAGUUGAAGUGCUAAGAAGAUCAGCUUCUGAGUUUGCAGGUUUGGGAAAAGAGGUGUAUCCUCUUUUAAAGUUUAGCUAUGAUAGUUUGCAGAAUGAGACGAUUAAAUCUUGUUUCUUAUAUUGUUGUUUAUAUCCCGAGGAUUAUGGCAUUCUUAAAUGGGACUUGAUUGAUUGUUGGAUUGGUGAGGGAUUCUUAGAGGAAUCUGACAGGUUUGGUGCAGAAAACCAAGGAUACUACAUUGUGGGCACUCUUGUUCAUGCGUGUUUACUAGAAGAGAUAGAAGAUGAUAAAGUAAAAAUGCAUGACGUUGUUCGUGAUAUGGCUUUAUGGAUAGCUUGUGAAAUUGAGAAGGAGAAGAGAAACUUUUUGGUUUGUGCAGGUGCUGGAGUAGGAGCGGUACCAGAUGUUGAAGGAUGGGAAAAUGUGAGAAGAUUGUCAUUGAUGCAAAACCAAAUUGAAAUUCUGUCAGAGGUUCCCACAUGCCCUCAUCUCCUCACUUUAUUUCUUGACUUUAAUUAUAAAUUGGAGAUGAUCACUGAUGGCUUCUUCCAAUGUAUGCCUUCUCUCAAAGUUUUGAAGAUGUCAAACUGUGGGCAUGUCAAAGUUUUGAAAUUACCUUUUGGGAUGUCAAAGUUGGGUUCACUACAACUUCUUGAUAUUUCACAUACCGGCAUAAGAGAGUUACCAGAAGAGUUAAAGUUGUUGGUAAAUCUGAAAUGUUUGAAUUUGAGGUGGACACAUAUGUUAAAUAAAAUUCCACGGCAGCUAAUAUCAAAUUCUUCAUGGUUACGUGUGUUGAGAAUGUUCGCUAUUGGCUUUGAAAAUUCUAAAGAACCAUCAGAAGACAGCGUUUUAAUUGGUGGGGGUGAAGUUUUAGUACAGGAAUUGCUCGGUUUGAAAUAUUUAGAGGUAUUGGAGUUGACCUUGCGAAGUUAUCAUGCUCUCCAUUCUUUUUUGAGCUCAAAUAAGUUAAAAAGUUGUAUUCGAUCUCUUUUCCUCAAUAAGCUGGGAGAUACAAAGUCGAUUGAUGCUACGGCUUUGGCAGAUCUAAAGCAUCUCAAUGAAUUAUAUAUUCUUUUUUUUNNNNNNNNNNNNNNNNNNNNNNNNNNNNNNNNNNNNNNNNNNNNNNNNNNNNNNNNNNNNNNNNNNNNNNNNNNNNNNNNNNNNNNNNNNNNNNNNNNNNNNNNNNNNNNNNNNNNNNNNNNNNNNNNNNNNNNNNNNNNNNNNNNNUCUUUCGCUAUACGGUUGUAAUGCUGUGGAAGAAAUAAUCAGCGUUGGGAAAUUUGCUGAGGUUCCUGAGAUGAUGGGACAUAUAAGCCCUUUUCAGAAUCUCCAAAAGCUUGAUUUAUCACAUUUGCCAGCUUUGAAGAGCAUCUACUGGAAGCCAUUGCCUUUCGCUCAUCUGAAAGAAAUGGUGGUGCAUUGGUGUGAUCGGCUUAAAAAGCUUCCGCUCGAUUCCAACAGUGCAAAAGAGCGUAAAUUUGUUAUUCGUGGAAGAGCAGACUGGUGGAACCGUCUUCAAUGGGAGGAUGAAGCCACUCAAAUUGCUUUCCAUUCCUGUUUCCACCUAAUGAAAUAUAAAUUCCUUAGCGGUGGUUGCAAAAUUUGAUUUCUAGUGAGUGCUUUUUUCUUAAACUCUUACAUUUAUUUCAGAUUCGUUUUUUGUCUCCUGCAAAUCACAAUUAAAUGCUGAAUUAUAUGGAGUCAAUGCUUUAGAAAAUUUUCAAGGCACUGCCAUUUCCUUUUUUCCAUUUUUUUUUGGGUCGAAUUGAUGCUCUGGCUUUUUACUUUUUGUUGUCAAAUUUUGCUCUGUUUUUUCAAGUUGAUGCUUGAAUAGUUGAAUUCAAUUAAUGCUCACAUAAAUUUGUUUAGUUGCCGUAAAAGGAUAUAAUUAGACUGAAGUACACACUUCUAGAAUGAAUACAAAAUGUUAAGUAUACUAGCCCUCUUUACAGAAAAUCAAAUGAAAAUCAAUUUUUUGGGGCUUUGAUUUUCUAUGGUCUAUUAUAUACUCUUUUUAAUAUCUUCUGUUCUAACUAUAACCAAAUCCUUUGUUCAAGGAUUUUUAUUUGGGGUAUUGAUAACUAUCCACCAAAAGAGUGAACACUUGGAUGCUGCUCAAGGAUCUCUAAUCAAUAGCUGGAAGCAACUGAGAAGGCGGUCGCUGCUGUUUACAAAGUGAUGCAGUAUUUGCCAUUCAUCUUAAUAAUUAUGAAGCUUUGGUAAAAUUUUCAAACAAAAUUGAACAUGUUGUUUGAGAUUUGGUUCAUGAUUUUGGAUGAAUAUCGUUGUUCCGUUUGAGUUGGAUGUGAAUUCAAAAUCUAUAUAUUCUUUGGUUUUCAAGUCUGAACUCAAUUUCUUUUUCUCAAGCAUGUUAUGCAGAAAUGAUUUUUACUAAAUCAUUUUUGAUGAAUUGUUUAAAUUAAACACUUGGAAUAAGAAUUGUAAACGUUUAUCAUAAGCAUGCUAAUAUGAUAAAUUGUUUUAUGAACGACUAAUUAAUUAAUCAAUUAAUAUUAAAUUAUAUAUUAAUCAAUUAGAUAUGCGUUACAUGUCAUGUUUAAAAACUAUUUAUUUAUAUUUCAAACAAAUUUGACUGGAUGUUGUGUAGGUAAUACUACAUAAUUUCAAAACAAAAAAAAGUAAUAAAAACACGUUAAAUUUUGUUUUUAUGAAGAAAAAUUUAAAAUUUUAUUAAAUAGGUGAAAAUAAUAAAUGGAUUCGUGUAUGGUUUGAGAUUCUUGACAUAAUUAUGAAAUAAGCCGGAUUCGACUUAGUUCAAUUUUGACGCGAUAAGAAGACGACACCACACAAACACACGACAAGAACCGUUACCUGAGAAGAUUGCCAUCAGGAAUUUUGAAAUUGAUUUCACUACAAUAUCUUAAUCUUUCAGAUACUCCCAUCACUGAGCUGCCAUAAGAGCUAAAAGCCUUGGUAAAUCUUAAGUGUUUGAACUGUACACAAAUUAUCUCUCUACAAUUCAAAAACAACUGAUUUGUUACUUUUCAAUGCUACAUGUUCUGCGAAUAUUGAGUUGUGGUUAUCUUGUUGAAAUAUCAGAAAAUAGAGUUCUAUUUGGUGGUAGUGAAUUGUUGGUUGGGGAGUUACCUAGUUUAAAACGUUUAAAUGUAUUAAGCAUCACCUUACAAGGUUUUUCUGCUGUCCAAAAACUUAUGAGCUCUCAAAAGUUUCAAAGCUGUACAAAAUGUUUGGAGCUUAUAGACUGUGAUGAUUCAAAGUCUUUUGCCUUGGCAGAGUUGAAGCAUCUCGAGAAACUAGUUUUUCGAAUUGUGGAAGAGUUUAAGUUCUGCUGUGUUGAAGUUGGAAAAGCUCAAGAAUGUUUUCGUUUGAACAGCUUUCCCCGAGGUAAUAUAAAGGCUUGUCAUAAAUUGAGGGACGUGACAUGGCUUGUAUUUGCUCCAAAUCUUACGGUUAUUCAAUAGAAAAAUAUAUGCAGAUGGAAGUAAUAAUCAGUGCAAGGAAAUUGGGUGAAGUUCCAGGGAUGAUGGCAGAUCUAAACCCUUUUGCAAAACUCCAGUAUCUUCGUCUGCGAGUUCUACCAAAAUUAAAAAGCGUCUAUUGGAAUGAGUCACCCUUUCCACAUGUCAGGGAAAUUAUUGUAUCUGAAUGCCCAAUUCUCAAGAAGCUUUCACUCGGUUUUAACAAUGCAAAGGAAUCUAAAAUUGUCAUUUAUUACAUGUUUAUAUCUAACUUUUGUUUUCCUUUAUGGUUAAAUUUUACUUUAUAUAUGUUGUUAUACGGUGACAUUCUCGCAUCAAUUGUUAGCUUUUUAAUUCUCUUCUCCCAUUAAUUGCCCUUCUGAUCAUGUAAGAUAUGCCGAUGUCAAAGAGUAGUAAGUUGGGAUACAAAUGUAAGAAUUAACCAGAUGACAUGUUGUUUUGAAGCUCUCGGAGAAGGACUAAUUAUGUCAUUCAAAGCAUCCAAUUUCGCUACUUUUUUUUUCAUUUGUUGCUUUUUCUAUUUUUAGAGAGCUUGAUUGUCAGUUGUCGUAAUGUAAUGUUUUAGUGUAGAAAAAUGAUAUUCGGCCAAGACAUCAAUAGGAGGGCACAUUGUGCAUGCACACUAGUGGAUGAUUUCGGCAUGCCGAAUCCAAUUAGUGUGGAUAACCCUUUAUAAGCAAUUGGCUUCUCUCAUACCAGAGCAAUGUAGAAUAUAUUUAUAAACUGUGGAUUACUCUUUAUUAGGCUUCUUCUAUACUCGAGCAAUGUGGAAUACCUUUAUAAGCAAUAAGCUUCUCCCCUACACUUUAUGUUAAUAAUAAUAAUAAUAAAAUAAAUCCAUUUUAAAAUAGACUUUUUUUUUCUUUUUCUAUAUAAACAAAAUGCAUUCUUCAAAUCAAUAGUGGGUGGAAGAAGUGAGUAGAGAAGAACUAGUCCCCUUUCAUUCCCCUAAAACCUCACCGAAACCUCUCUUGUGAACUUCUCAGAUUCUCUCUCAAUAUUUCUUAUGAUCUCGUUUUUGAUAGAAUCACUUCUUUUGCAUGUUGCAUUUGGUGUGUCUUUUUUGGGUAAUAUCUUAUCUGGAAUGCUGUCAUGAUCAAUAGAACAAGUAAUCAAUUUUUGGCUUGACGGAAGUCGAUUUAUUUAUUUACUAUUAUUUUUAUUUGAAAUUUUGUACAAUUGUGUUUCAUUCAUUUCUUUCCUUUUUUUUUAAUAUUUAUUAUGUAUAAUUGUGUUUCAUUUGAUAUUGAUCAUACUCUAGAUAACUAUGUGAUUGUAGCUGGGGAUUUUAAGUUUUGUGAAUUCAAGAAACUGUCAAAAUGCUAGUGAAAUUGGGACCUUUAUUCAUAAGCUUGUGGUUUUGAAAAGUAGCCCGGUUCAACUGAUGAAGUUCCUUUUUGGGAUUCUUUUUUUUCCUAGGCUGCAAUUCGGAUAUGUACCUGAUAGACAAUCUUUUGUGGGUUUAGCAUAUCUUCUCGGAUUUUGUCUUUUAUUCCUCGAUUUUAUAAUUACACACCAUGAAUGUUGAGUGAUUGUAUAGAAAAUUUGUGUUAUAACCAAAGCAUUGUGAAGGAGUUAAGUUAGUGGCUUCUGUUUUAUUGGCAUUGAUUGGGUAGAUUACGUGUUACAGUGAUUCAAUUUGUGAUCCAAACUUUGUUUAAAUUUCUGUUUUCCCAAAUUAUUUAUGUCAAAUUCAAAACCAGAAGCAUGUGCUGAUUUUUUCUUUUUGUAUUAAUCUGUGAAGUUUAUUUGGAAAGGAAGUAUCUGGGUCUAAUGGAUUAAAUUAUGUAAGUGGCAGAAAUUCCUACACACAUAAAUAUGCAUAAAUACAAAAGUAUACACAAAAAAAUGCACACACUCAUACAUCCAGUCAAUAUAGUUAAUGUAAGAGCACAUACCGGUUUGGUUAUCUUGCUGCAAGUGCACCGCAUUAGCCUUGCAUUCUGGUGCCAACUCCUCCGGCGGUUCACUCACUACCUUUCCCAAUGCUUUGGACCUCCAUUCGGUCUCCAUCAGAUUUCUCAGGAGCACUAAAUAAAGCAGCUAAAACUUGCUUCUGUAGUUCAUUUCUGUCUUUCGGGUGUCUAGGCAAUUUUCCUUCGUCGGUAUUUCGAUCUUCCUUUACAUGACUGAGGAAAUACAGUCAAAAGCUAAUCAAGUAACCAUAUAUGGAUGAGAAAUCCCUCCACCCCCCUUCCAAAACAAAUUCUAAGAAAUAUCAGAAUUCUUUCAAUAAAAACCCUUCCCCCCAUGCUGUGCCUGCUGAAUGAAAUAUAUUAAUCUUACGAGAAGUUGAGAAAAUAAAUUAAAGAACAUACCCUCCGGAAGAAUUCAAUUGUUGCAAUUUUCUUUCACGUGGAGGUCCUCCAAAGUUAGAGCACAUAUCCGUACACUGUUUAUGAAAUCAUAAUAACAGGGGACCAGAUAUUAAUAACAAAUCUUGACACCUAAAAGUCAACUGUGAUGAAAAACAUUAAAAAGAAUAUGAACUUGUUAUCUUGGAAGAAGAUAAUUUAAGAUAUAGCAAACUUGGCACAUUCAUAUAUGAACAGAAGGAAUUUGUAGACGUUUUAAAGCCAUAAUCGUUUAAUAAUCAUGAACCAAGCAAUAAUAGAUGAUUAUUAUGUUGGGUGCAAGCGGAAGUGCAGAAAAAUUUUUAUUUAAGAUCAGAGUAUUUUGCUGGAAAUUUCUGAAACUUUAUUGCUUAAUUCAUUUUUUCGUUUCUCUCUUACUUUUCAUACAACCAGAGUUCUAUAUUUAUAUGCAUUAUAGACAACUCUAGAGAUUACAUUAAUCAUGCUUUACAUUUCCAAAGCCACAUUGCAAACAUCAAUUCUACCCUUUACUUCACGUUGAAAAACAAACCAAAUAAUCCUUCAAACUUCUUGCUCAAUUUACUAGAUUACUAAUUAUAUCUCAACACCCCCUCUUAAUUAGUAAUCUUCAAUUGCUUCUUGAAUUUUUCAAACUUCUCAAUAAUGAUUGCUUUGGUCAGAAAAUCUGCUGGCUGCUCAUUAGUGCUGAUAAACUCCAUAUUAACUUCUCCUUUGCUUACUAAGUCACGGAUGUAGUGAUAACGCAGCUCAAUGUGCUUAGAUUUAGCAUGAAAUACGAGGUUCUUUGUUAGAGCAAUGGCUGACAUGUUGUCACAAUAAAUUGUUGUUGCAGCAUCUUGAUUGAACUGCAAAUCCUUGAGAAUUCUUCUAAGCCAAACGGCUUCACAAGCUGAUUCAGUUGCUGCAAUGUACUCUGCCUCGGCUGAGGAUAAAGCUACUGACUUCUGCUUCCUUGAGCUCCAUGAAAUCACAUUUGUACCAAGACAAAAUAAAUAACCUGAUGUGCUUUUUCUGUCAUCAAGGGAACCAGCCCAGUCACUGUCAGUAAAACCAACAAGCUUGCAAUUGUCUUCUUUUUCAUACAUGAUCCCCUGCUUUUUUGUUCCUUGAAGAUACCUUAAGAUUCUCUUUGCUGCAAUAUAAUGGGACUUCCUUGGAUCAUUCAUAAAUCUAGAAAGAACACUAACUGAGUGCAAAAUGUCAGGUCUUGAGUUGGUUAGAUAAAUCAACGAACCAACCAAGCUUCUAUAGAUUCUUGCGUCAGCCUUUUCUUCUUUUUCAUCAUGUUUCAAUUUUUCAUUCAAACCCAUAGGAGUAGGUGCUGGUUUGCAUUUGAACAUGUGGAAUUUCUUCAACAAAUCUUCUACGUAUUUUUCUUGACAAAAGAAGAUUUUUCCUCUGGCUUGCUUCACUUGAAUGCCAAGAAAAUACUUCAUUAAGCCCAAGUCAGUCAUCUCAAAUUCAUCUAGCAUGCUUUUUUUAAACUCUUCCACCAUUUUCAGAUUAGUGCCACAAUAAAUUAGAUCAUCAACAUAAAGGCAAACAAUAAGGAAAUCAGUACCUUCCUUUUUGACAUAAAGAGAAGGUUCACUUGAGCUUCUGUCAAAUCCAUUUUUAACGAAAUAUCUAUCAAUUCUGCUAUUCCACGCUCGAGGGGCUUGCUUCAAGCCAUACAAGGCUUUUCGGAGUUGAUAAACUUUGUUUUCUUCACCUUUCACUUCAUAUCCUUUAGGUUGCUCAACAUAAACCUCUUCUUCAAUUUCACCAUUUAGAAAUGCCGAUUUUACAUCUAGUUGAAACACAUGUAAUUCCAUUUGGGCUGCCAAGGCAAGAACAGUUCGAAUAGUCUCCAUUCGAGCUACGGGAGCAAACGUUUCUGUAAAAUCAACUCCAGGCAGCUGAGAGUAUCCUUUGGCAACGAGCCGCGCCUUAUAUUUUUUAACUGAACCAUCUUCAUUGUACUUGAUUUUGAAGAUCCAUUUCAGCCCAAUUGUUUCUUUUCCAUUUGGCAAAUUAACCAUCUCCCAAGUUUUAUUUUUCACAAUGGUGGCCAUUUCCUCGUUCAUUGCUUGGAUCCAAUUUUCAUUUCUUGAGGCCUCCUCAAAGUCUUGAGGCUCACAAGAAAAUAAAGCAAGUUCACAUGACUCAUAAAUUUCUCUCAUUGACUUUAUCUUCCUUGGAGGGCUUUCAUCAUCCGAAGAACUUUCUGCUGCUGAAUUUGGAGAAUUUGGUUCCAAAUUAUUUUGCUGUGAAGAAUUUGGUGGAGAUACAGGAGCUUCGAAAAAGCUAGAUGCUUGAGAUUGAUCUUUUUCCCACUGCCAAGCUGAUGCCUCAUCAAAUACAACAUCUCUUGAGAUAACAAGCUUAUUUGUUGUAGGAUUCAACAACCGAUACCCUUUAGACUCAUCACUAUAGCCAAUAAACAAAUAUUUUUCACCUUUUUCAUCAAACUUCUCUCUGUUUUGAGCUAGAAUAAGAGCAUAAGCAAUACUCCCAAAAAUCUUCAAGUGAUCAACAGUUGGCUUUCGGUUGUGCCAAGCUUCAAAUGGAGUUUUGUCUCUAACAGCUUUUGUAGGAGACCUGUUGAGGAUGUACACAGCUGUAUGACAUGCUUCUGCCCAUAAGUUGUUAGGAAUGCCUUUGCCUUUUAACAUGCUUCUUGCCAUCUCUACAAUGGUACGGUUCUUCCGUUCUGCAACUCCGUUUUGUUGUGGACUUCGGCUGACAGUAAGUUGUCUUUGAAUUCCAUUAUCCCUGCAAUAAUUCAUGAAUGGAGUGUAGAUAAAUUCACCACCACGAUCAGUUCUCAAGGUCUUCAUUUUGCAUCCACUUUGCCUUUCUGCAAGAGCUUUAAACUGAAGAAAAGUUGAGAAAGCUUCUGAUUUUUCAUUCAAAAAAUAAAUCCACAUCAUCCUUGUAUAGUCAUCAACAAAAAGAAUGAAAUAUCUCCUGUUAUUGAGAGAGAGAGUCCUUGUAGGACCACAAAUAUCAGCAUGCACCAACUCCAACGGAGCUUUGGCUCUCCAUGAAUUUUUAGGAAAUGGAAGUCUAUGCAUUUUUCCAUAUAUACAGCCCUCGCAAACUUUUUCAUAUCUUCCAACAUCAGGUAAGCCAAUCACCAUGUUCUUUUGCUUGAGCAAAUUCAGCCCUUUAUAGUUUAAAUGACCAUAUCUGAGAUGCCAUAAAUUUGACAAAUCUGAAUUUUCAGUUUUGAGAGCAACAUUCUCAUCAAGUGGCAUAACAAGAGGAAAAACUUUGUUCUUUGACAUUUCAACAACGGCCACUGUAUGAUUAUUAGUUUUAUCAAUGAUUUUGCAUUUUUCAUCAUCAAAAUAAAUUGAAAAACCCUUUUGAAUUAGCUGCCCCACACUCAAGAGGUUUUGAGUUAAAUUUGGAACAUAAAGAACGUCAUAAAUGAGCUUUUUGUUACCUCCCUUUGUAUGGACAGCAAUAGUGCCUUUUCCCACAGCUUUCUGCAUCUUUCCAUCUCCAAGCUUCACUUGCGAAUUAAAACUUUGGUCAAGGUUGAUGAAAAUGUCACGUUCUCCAGUCAUGUGGUUGCUACAACCGCUAUCCAAGUACCACAAAUUAUAUGAUUCACGUUCAGCACCUUUACUUGAAUAAAACAAGUAAUCUCCAUCACAUUCUUUUGUAAAAUUUGCCUCAUUUUUGCCUUUCUUAUUUUGAUACCAGCAAUCCCUUUGAGAAUGGUUAGGAAUGCGACACCUUGUGCAUUUAUAACGACAAUCUUUUGAUUCAUGAUUAGACCGAUUACAAAUGAUGCACUGAGAAUCUGAAUUUUGCUGUGAAUUCCCUCUGUCAUUUUUCCACUUGUUGCGGUUGUCGUUCUGUUCUCUUUGCCCUAUGCCACGCUGCUCGUUUCUUUGAGACGAGCCUCCGUUCUUCUGGUCUUUCUUGCUGCUUUUAUUCUGAUCUGAAUUAUUAAUCUUUGACUGAAAAGCUUGCUCUGUAGGCUGACUUGAAGGUCGAUUGAUUCUUUGCUCAUGAGACCGUAAUGAUCCUGACAAAUCUGAAAAAGUCAUCUUGGACAAAUCCUUUGAUUCUUCAAUGGCUGCUGCUACAUGAUCAAACUUUGGAGGAAGACAUCUCAGCACCUUUUCAUUCACCUUCUUGUCUUCAAUGGAGUCCCCACAACCUUUAAUCUGGUUCACAAUCUCAGUAACUCUACUGCAAAAAUCCUGAAUUCCUUCUCUGUCUUUCAUUGAUAAAUUAUCGAACUCUUUCCACAAAGUCUGUAACUUGAUGGUGACUGCCUUUUCAGAACCUUGAAAUUCUUGUUUUAGGAUUUUCCAAGCAUUUUUGGCCUUUUUGACACCAAAUAUUCUGGGGAAAAUUGACUUACUAACACCUUGCUGGAUAUAUCGAAGUGUCGUGGCAUUUCUCUGUAUGUUUUCUUUGUACUGCUGUUGAUGUGCUGGAGUCCAAUCUGAAGAACUUGCAGAUUCUGGUGGUUCAGCAUAUCCAUCUUCAACAACAUCCCAUAAAUUUUGAGAGAGGAAAAAGGUUUCCAUUUGAUUACUCCAAUAUUCAUAAUGUACCCCUUCAAAUAUUGGAACUUGACUGGGAGCAUAUGAGAAUAAUGUGGGUAGGGUAUUUGAUGUCAUUUUGAGGGUGUUUUGGAAAAGCUCUGAUACCAAAUUUGUUGGGUGCAAGCGGAAGUGCAGAAAAAUUUUUAUUUAAGAACAGAGUAUUUUGCUGGAAAUUUCUGAAACUUUAUUGCUUAAUUCAUUUUUUCGUUUCUCUCUUACUUUUCAUACAACCAGAGUUCUAUAUUUAUAUGCAUUAUAGACAACUCUAGAGAUUACAUUAAUCAUGCUUUACAUUUCCAAAGCCACAUUGCAAACAUCAAUUCUACCCUUUACUUUACGUUGAAAAACAAACCAAAUAACCCUUCAAACUUCUUGCUCAAUUUACUAGAUUACUAAUUAUAUCUCAACAUAUUAUUCCGUUUCUUCUAAGCUACGCAUACUUGCACAUCAGAAUAAAGUGAUAUACAAUGGUUGUGUGCAGACACAAACGCAUGAUCAACAGGAAAAAUCAUCUGAACAUUUGUAUUACUGAUUUGGCAUAUAAGAUUCUCAUAAUAGUUCAAAAUACAAAUAAAUGAAUAUAUAUAUAUUCCCCACCGGAAUCACCCCCUGGAUCCUCACUCAAGGUGUCUUCCGAGCCAGAAGAUCCCUCCUCACCACUAUUUCCGCUCGUGGAGGUUGUUUGGGGGGACAUCCUCCUAGCGCUAGUCCCAACACUAGACCUAAUGGGUUCUAAGGGGAUCCCGGGGUCAAAAGCAGGAUCGGUGAGCAGACUAGACAAGAAACCUAAUUCGUCGUCAUCAAUCUCAACGAUUUUCUCUUUACCCUUCGACAUUCCCUAAACUAUAAUCAGAACACCACCACCAACUACAACCCCAAGCAAAGCACAGAGAAAAGAAAUUAUCUACAACUAACCAAGACCGAGAAAAUAGAAGAAAUACCUGAAGCAGGGAUUCGAUCAGAGAGAGAUAGGGAUGAAAGCUUUAAUGCCGAGGUUCAUUCGCCGGAGAGACAAGAAGGGAGAAAAUGACGAGUUCGUGUUUGAGGAUUUUGGGUUUUCUUACUGAGAAGCAAACUCUUGGGCUGCCAGCAUUUAAUGACACAUAUUCCGAGAAUCUUGCAACCGUAGGUUUGAAAUUCAAAUGGAGGGGUGGAUUUCUGCCACAUCACUUCAUCUGCAAUUAAAUGCGACACGACUCUUGGCAGUCUUUUCCAGUCCCACGCGAGCAAGAACCGAUUGAGUUUCUACUGCUGGUCCAUUACAUUACCCAACACCAGAAACUGGGGGACUGGUGUUUGAGGGAAAUACUUCGACGAGACCAGACGUGAUGAGCAGAUAUUUGAUGGCAGAGUUCUGCAAACAGGUGUGUCUUGUAAGAGCCAGGUAGCAGGGGAACAGGAGUAGGAAUAUUCUGCUCGUCCACGAAUAUGCCAUUCACGAGGUCAAACUCCUGUUAGAGGCAUAAGGCCAUUCCUGCUAGAGGUCGAGAAGCGAGGAGACCCGGUCAACGACAGUUGGCAAGACGUGCAUUCCUAUCCGAGAAUCAAGGCACAAAGUCCAUCUCCAUUCGCCCACAAUGGCGAUAAUGGGGCAUCCAUAUCCCGGGGGGGGGAGAAUAAGGGGCGUGGACUACGGAAGAUCGGGAUUCAGAGGAAGCUUAUAAAAAGGUAGCCAACGAAGGUAAAAGGGUUAGAAUUUUUGAGAUUGCAACUAAGAAAAGAGAGCUCUAAGAACUGAAACUAAAGAGAAGCCAUAAGAUUCGUGGCAAACAUUCCCAGAACCUUCAUAUCUGACUUGAGCGUCGGAGGAUUUACGCCGGGAAAACGACCGGCGCACCCUGACCUGCUUUUGUGUUCGCAUGAAUUUUUGGGGAAGAAACCUUACGAGGAGAGAUCCUGGUCAUGGUAGAGUUGGUCGAGCAGAGGUCCUGGUCUUGGUAGAGAAGGCAACCAGAAUCUCGCAUCAACAAUUAUUUUACUUGAAAUUAUGUACAAUUGCAUUUCAUUCAUUUCUCUCUCUCUUUUUCUUUUUUCCCCCCAUAUAUUUUUUAUGUAUAAUUGCGUUUCAUUUAAUAUUGAUCAUACUGUAGGUAACCAUGUGAUUGUAGAUGGGGAUUUCAAGUUUGUUGAAUAUUCAUGUAAGUGAAGUAACCGUCACAAUACUAGUGAAAUUGGGAGCUUUAUUCAUGAGUUUGUGGUUUUGAAAAGUACCACAGUUCAGCUGAUGAAGGCUUCUUUUUGGGAUUCUUCUUUUCCUAGGCUGCAAUUAGGAUAUGUACAUGAUAGACAAUCUUUUGUUGGUUUGGCAUAUCUUCGCUGAUUUUGUCUUUUAUUCCCCAAUUUUAUAAUUACACACCAUGAAUGUUGGGUGAUUGCAUAGAAAAUUUGUGUUAUAACAAAAACAUUGUGAAGGAGUUUCUGUGCUAAUAGUUAGUGGCUUCUGUUUUAUUGGCAUUGAUUGGGUAGAUUACGUGUUACAGUGAUUCAAUUUGUGUUCCAAACUUUGCUUUAAUUUUCUGUUUUCCCCAACUAUUUAUGUCAAAUUUAAAUCCAGAAGCAUGUACUGAUUUUUUCUUUUUGUAUUAAUUUGUGAAGUUUAUUUGGAAUGGAAGUAACUGGGUCGGGUCUAAUGGAUUAAAUUAUGACAUUGAGGGGAAGGCACUAAAAGGGUUUGCUUGACACAUUUGGUUCUGUGUCUGCAAGAAAUAGCUUUUGCUUAUUGCAAUGCAGGGGGAAAUCCCGAUUUGGCUGGUGAAUUUCUCUGCAACAAACGGGCAAACACCUUGACUUCUUCUGUCCAUACUUCUGCUGGGGAGGCAAGGGGUAAAGAGUCUUCAAAAUCAUCAAAUAGUAACAUCUCUGAGAAUUCAUUUUAUGGAAAUGGAAAAUCUAGAGCUUCUAAUACAAAAUGGUAUCUGGUAUCAGGACGUACCGUUUCAAGUUUUCUUGGUAAAGAUUAUGUUAAACCUGCACAGCCAGCUAAUGGCACUUUUCUGGCAUCAAAGCCAUUGAAGUUGGAUCCAAGGGAGUUUCGCAUUUCUGCACUUUCAGAGAAGAAACUAAACCGAAACAAUCAAAGGAUGACCAUUUGCAGAAGGAUAUGGAAGAUUUUCUGUUUAAAUUGCUAGGAGAAGGGUUCCAGCUGUACAGGGAUGUGAUUCAGAUGGUUCAUGGUAACGUCUUAAAUAUAUUGAUGCCAAUUUAAUACAUAUUGUCCUUUUCAAUGUUCUUUCUUUCUUUCUCCUCUUUUUAUUCUUCUUCUUCUUCUUUUUUCUUUUCAUGUGCAUCUGAUCACUAAUUUGGUAUUAUUCUUAACUUGCAGAUAGUUGUGGAUAUGAUAUGCAAAAAGGUAAGGACUAUAUCUUCUUGAUGGAGGCCUCUGAUUUUUUAAAUCGCAUUUUCCUUUGUGAUUGAUAUAUCAUACCAAAGUCAAGUCUUAAAUACUGCUGUCAUAUGUUAAGGUUCAACUUCCAUUUUGAUUAACGUCGAUUUGCUACUGCUUCCAAAAGUGAGAAUGAGAUACUUUGGUUAAUUUCAGUAGUUGAACCCAAUAGAGUACUUUAUUUAGAUCUUCAUGGUUCAAAGGCCUGAAAAAACUUGCCGGUGUUUGCAAAAUGACAUUCUGUGCUUUUAUUUAGACUUAUUAUUAAAGACAACAUUUUGUUUCAGCCAAAAAUGUUUGUUUCGAUUAAAGACUGAUUUUAUAUUUCUAUUUUGUAACUUGAAAUAAUUGGUCUGCCUGUUUCUGUUGCUUGAUAACAUGAAUUUUUCCUUCUGAAGUUAAUUUGAUCAAUAAAGUAAUUCUUCGGAGAGGAUAUGCCCAUUCUAUAGUCAUUUUCUUAGCUAACAUGUUUUUUCUUCACUCUUCAGAGCAUGUCUAAACUAAUUGAUCGCUCAGCGGAGACUUUGGGUGAGAAGACAAAAUUUCUUGGUAAAUCCUCUGAAAAGGUAUGCAUAAUUCCCGAGUAUUAAAUAAUCAUUGGUCAUAAUUUUUGUACACGACUCUUUUUUUGGAGAUCGUUAAAAGUGGUUGAUGAUCUAUUUUGUAAUAUCAUAGAGGGAUCAUGAAUUCCUUUUCUUUUCUGUGGCUAGGCAACACUUUCGAGCCAAGCUAAGGAAAUCUAUUUUAGGUAAUGUGAAAACCAGUUGUAGGAUGUAAUAGUUUAUUAUGCCCUGCCAAUAACUUUUUGUAUAAUUGUCAGUUUAAUGAAUACAAGAGGAACUCUGUUGGCAAGUUCAUCCAUGAUAGAUGCUAAAAUUAUUUAUGCAUACCAGUUGCCUUAACUAAUUUUUCUCAACACUGGUAUUGAACAGGAAAAUGAAUAUGCAAUUUGUAUAUUGUGCCAUUGUGGAGAAUUUGGAUAUUCUUAUUUAAGUAACAAGGAGAGUAUUUGCCUCAUCUUUAAACAAUGAAUCUUUGAGAAAUGAGGAGUGGGUGAUUGGCAGUGUCUUCAUGUAAAUGUUCAUUUAUUUGUAUUUUGAACUAUUAUGAGAAUCUUUGUAUGCCAAAUUAGUAAUACAAAUGUUCAGAUGAUUUUUCCUGUUGAUCAUGCGUGUGUAUCUGCACACAACCAUUGUGUACCACUUUAUUCUGAUGCGCAAAUAUCUGUAGUUUAGAAGAAAAGAAAUAAUAAUCAUAUAUUAUUGCUUGGUUCAUGAUUAUUAAACGAUUAUGGCUUUAGAAAAUCCACAAAUCCUUUGUGUUCAUAUAUGAAUGUGCGAAGUUCGCUAUAUCUUAGAUUACCUUCUUCCAAGAUAACAAGUUCAUAUAUUUUUUAAUCCUUUUUCAUCACAGUUGAAUUUCAAGUGUAAGUUUUGUUAUUAAUAGCUGGUUUCCUGUUAUUAUGAUUUCAUAAACAGUAAGAGGAUAUGUGCUCUACUUUUGGAGGGCCUCCACAUGAAAGAAAAUUGCAACAAUUGAAUUCUUCCGGAGGGUAUGGUAUUUAAUUUAUUUUCUCAGCUUGUUGUAAGACUAAUAUAUUUCCUUCAGUACGCACGGCAUGGUGGGAAGGGUUUUUAUUGAAACAGUUAUGAUAUUUCUUAGACUUUGUUUUGGAAGGGGGUGGAGGGAUUUCUCAUCCAUAUAUGGUUACUUGAUUAGCUUUUGACUGUAUUGUCUCCGUCGUGCAAAGGAAAAUCCAAAUACUAACGAAGGGGAAUUGCUUAGGCACCCAAAGGACAGAAAUGAAUUACGGAAGGAAGUUUUUGCUGCUUUAUUUAGUGCUGCUGAGAAAUCUGAUGGAUUUCCUGAAAUUACGGUGAAGACGGAGUGGAGGUCCAACGCAUUAGGAAAGGUGGUGAGUGAACCGCCGGAGGAAUUAGUACCAGAACACAAGGCUAAUGUGGUGCACUGGCAGCAAGAUGACCAGACCUGUAUGUGCUCUUAUAUUAACUAUAUUGGCUGGAUUUGUGAGUGUGUACAUUUUUGUGUGUAUACUCACUUUUGGAUUUAUGCAUAUUAACGUGUGUAGGAUUCUCGAUUUCUGCCACUUACUGGAGAACUAGUGGAAAGCUUUAUACUGAUAUAUGUGCUAUAUAACUAAUGGAAACUACAAUAUGAAUAUUUUCUCUCACCUGGAGAACAGUGUAACUGAUAUAAUUUGUGGCUCUGGAAUACUGAAGAUUCUGCAAUAACUAAUGGAAAAUAUGAUAUGAAUAUUUUUUCUCACCUGGAGAACUUUGUAACAGAUACAUUUUGUGCUGGAAUGUCUAAAGAAUGCUUCAGUUUAGAUCAAAUAUCUUUUAGUUAGAAAAGAUAAAAUUCUCUGAAUCUGAAAGACUGAAACAUUUUGCAUAUUUCGUGAAAGGCAAGUAUCUGUAGAUACUAGCUCAUGCAUUGAGGUAAUAUCAAUGUUAAAGAAAAACAGCAAUAAUUUAUUAUACAGAAUUAGGUUCACUUGCUUUAAAUGCUGGUCUGAUCAACCAUAUCAACCUGUAAUGGUCCUGCAGAAAUAUAUAUACGGGGAGAAACUAGCUAAUUUUCCUUUCACUUAUGGGUUUGGUCUUUUUUUUCCCCUAUUUUUCAGCUUUCCUUCUCCUGAAGUAUGUUAACAAUUGCAGAUAAUGACGAAGAGGACCGCUUCCAGGCUCUUUGUAGAGCUGUGAUGGAAUAUAGGGGCACAAUGAAAGAAUAUUGUAAGGCUGUAUGUACUUUCUCUCAUGUCAUUUAUGUUUUCUCACACAUUUUGUAUAUGCCCUGAACAUGCAGCUUUGUAUGUGUCAAUUGCCUUUUACGUUUUAAAAGCCAUAAAGUAAGAAUACAGUUCCUUGUCAGGCUAUUGAUGCGUUCGCUCAGAAGGGUCAUGUUCAAGCAGGAAAACUUCUAGAACAGGUAAGGUUUCCAUCUACAGCCAUCCAUUGACAGCAGAUAUAUUUUCAUUAAGCAGACACUGUUAGCAUUCAAGAUGCUGGCAGAUUCACUUGAUUCUUAUUAGUUUGUUUAGUGGCAAACCAUAUAACCUGUAUUUCAAAGCCAAGUUGUGCUAUUGAUUAUGUUAACUUUAUUGUUAACAUAAAGUGAUAUGGAGGACAUAAUCAAUGUAGGAAAAUUAGGUGAAGAGAUGAUGUCAAAUCUUGAACCUCUUACAAAGCUCCAAGUUCUUUACUUGAAGAAGCUGCCAAAUUUGAAGAGCGUCUACUGGAAGGCAUUUCCAUUCCCAGAUGUAUGCAGAAUUUUUGUAUUAAUGCCCAGUUCUUAAGAAGCUGCCACUGGAUUUUCAAGGGGCGGGCCAAGGUAAAAUUCUUAUCAAGGGAAAGGAAGAUUGGUGGAAAGAACUUCAAUGGGAGGAUCAAGCAACUCAGAAUGCAUUGCUUCCAUUUUUCAAAUCAACUGACAAGUGAUUGAAGGGGGCAUCAUCAACAUCAUCAACUGGGAUGGAGAGAUUAUGGAGCAGAUCAGCAGGGUUUGUAUAUGAUCUUUGGUGGUUGCUUUCUUUUGUGAUUUUUUUUUUCUCAUUUUUUUCCCUUCCUGUCAUUUUAUCAUUUCUUUGUCUCGUUUUCUAUUGCUGAUGUUAGUGUAUGCUUACUGUUGCUUGACAAAGUUUGCUUGCUUCUUGUUUAUUAAUUUUUUUAUGGUCACAAAAUAUUACUUGUUCUAUUUGAGAGUGAUGUGAAUCAAUUUUCAAUUAUAUAUUUUAUGGUCAAUGUGAAUUCAAUUUCAUUUGUCUCCUGCAAUUAUUUAAAAAAUGCAGAGUCAUAAUAUGGAAAAGUCGACCGGCAAAAACUUUGUGAAAGCUUCGGAGUGAAACAGGGAAUUCACUUACUAACAGGGAAUUCACUUACUACUAAGGACAAUUGGUGGCGAGCUAUUCCAUUCAUUUUAUGUCCAUACAUCUAUUUAAUUAUUAAAGAUAAGUGGUCCAUUUGUAAAUUUCAGAUUGUGUCUCUCUGAAAAUAACAAUAUUUAAAAUGUCUCUUAAAUUAUUAUAAAUUUUAAUUCACUCUCGAUUUAAAAUGGAACAUGCUGAUGAAAUUUUUUUUCUUCUUAAUAAAAUUGAAAUAAAUUGUGUUUGCAGUAGUUUGAAAUAUUUUAAAGAUUAUUAUUUUAUAAGGGAGUAAUAUGAAAUGAAAUUUACUUUUCAUGCGUGAAAUGUUGAAAAAGGACACAGCAAGUGUCCCUGCUUUUAUUUUAUUUCAAAGUGGAGUCAUCUCACAUACUUUAACUCUAUCGUUACAAUUUUUCAGGUUACAUUUUUAUUUAUUUAUUUAUUUUCUUUUUUACACAUGCAUGUGGGUUACUUUUCCGUAAGCUCCUUAAUAUAUAUAUUUAACACAAAUCAUGGAAGAGAUGGGAGUAUAUCAAGAUGAUCAAAGCAUGAAACAAAAAUAUUUAAGAAGUAAAACACUGAAAAUAGAGAAGAGAUGCAAGCAAAAGAUAUUCCAAAGAAAAGCAAUCUAUCUCCUUUCGAAGAAUGUUAUGGAAGAGUUGAACCCAGCGAAGAAUGUUAUGGAAGAGCAAAUUAAUGAUAUUUUUGAUAGAGUCUAUUUGAUUAUGUAGCCUGAAUAGAUGUCUUGUUGAAAGAUAUCUCAGUGCAUUAGUUCAUCCUUGACUGUCAAUGUGUUUUUAAUGGUUUUUCCAAAUUUUUAUUAUUAUAGAUUGAUUGUAAAUUUGAUAUGAAUUUAAUGUUGAAAUGUUUUCUCUUUAGUGGAAUGAAUUUAAAAGUGCAAAAGCUUAUUGCACACAGAGAAAUAAACAUAUAUGCUUUAUAACUUUAGCAAUCGAUUCUUUUACAGCUGGAAACAGAGAUGAUGAUUAUCAUAGGGGUGAAGAAAAGGACAAAAAAUGUUAAUGGUUAACGAAAUUUCUAUGCAAAUUGAUUUUAGCAGGAAAAAAGUGAGCUAAAUGAUCUUAAUGUUCCACAAGAAAAAGCAAGAUCUUAAUGUUCCACAAAAGCGUUAUUUAUUUUUUUUUGGUGAGCCACGUGGAGCUCAAUUAUCAUUGUCUUUACUUUAAAAACGUUAUUUUAUUUUCUUUUAUUACAAAUUAAUGCUAACAAGAAAAAGCAAGAUAUAAUAUUCCACAAAAGCAAAUCGUAAUAUUCCACAGAGGAGUAAGAUCCACAAAAGCAAACAACUAGCUGGAUUCUUUUAUUGAACUACAAAUUAAAACAACAAAUUAAAGUUCAAAUAUUUAAAUAGUAGUGCGUUAGACGAUUAGGCUCUUUUAUUAAAGGGAAGUAUAAAGUAGUCCAGAAUCGAACAUCUCUAUUGUCUAGUCUUUUUUUUUUUUUUUAAUUCUUCUUUUAUUAUUUUUCAGAAUAGGUUUUGGUGAUUACUAUUGGGUUAUUAUUGAGAGUUAUUGUUAUCUUCCGGGGCAGUUUCUGUUAAUCGAAAUCGUUAAUUAAAAUUUUAGAACUCUUAUUGGAAGAAUGUUUUUCCGUUAUUUUUUUAUAUUCUAAUUUCAAUUGUAAGAAGUAGUCAUUUUAGAAUUUGGGUCUUGAAUCGAAUUUCAAUGCAUGAAUUAAUAUUUAAAAAAAAAAUUACUACACGCAGUUUAGGUUACAAACUAUUUUUUGCAAAGUUGAUUAUGAAAUUGGAAAAAUUAAGUAAUUUAUAAUGUUUGCAAAGGAAGAGACUAACAUACUUCCAAUUACACUAUAUCUCUAUUAUCAUAAUGUUAAGAUUAAACUAACUUAAAAUAAAUUUUAUUUGAAAAGUUAUAUCAAACGCAGUCUAAUUUUAUUAACUUGAAGAGAUAAUAGUUAUAGAAAUUAUUGUUCUAACUUAAUUAGUACAAGUGGUAUAAAGGUUAAGUGUGCACUAAAUUUGUUUAAAUUUUUUCCAGAAUAACUAACAGAGGUCAUUACUAGAAUUAUAAUUACUAGUCUAUUAGAUAGAAAAAAUUAUUUAUAUUGUUUUAUAUUUAUUAAAAAAUUUUAAAGUCAAUCUUUUUAAUUAUUAUUUAAAGGAUAUUAUAAUUAAAAAAAAUUUAAUGUCUUUAUUAAAAAUUUAAAAAUUUAAAAAUUUAAAAAUUUACAUGACCGCUCUAUAAAUAUUGAAAGUGUAACUGUCAUUUUCUCAUAUAUAUAUAUAUAUAUAUAUAUAUAUAUAUAUAUAAACCACGGUGGUGAAGCUUUAUUUAAUAUUAAUGAUUUAAAUAACAAUAUCUCAAUUAAAAAUGUAGAGAGAAGAAAUUUCGGUGGGUAUAUUAGUCUUUUACAAUUAUCAUGAUUAACCCUUCCUCUUGUAACGUUGGUCAGAAAAGUUUUAAAAUGCCUUGAUUUCUUUUACUUUUAACGUUAGCGGCCUUCCUUAUAUUUUAUUACAAAUUAGUCCUAACAAGAAAAAGCGAGAUCAUAUUCCAAAAAAGCAAAAGUGACAAAAAAACCAGCUGUAUUCUUUUAUUAAACUACAAUUUAAAAUGAUUUUAAAGUGGAUUCUUUUGAAUACAGGUGGGGUAGUCGAAUAGUCUUUUUCAAAUUCUUGUUUUAUUAUUUUUCAAAACUAGUUUUUGGUAAUUACAAUCGGGUCAUUCAUUAGUCAUUAUUCAGAGUUAUUGUUAUCUUCGGGGGCAGUGGGUAAAAGGCUAAAUGAUAAUUACUAAGUGUUUUUCCUUCAAAAGUUAGUGGCUCGUGUUUUGCAAGUGUGUACGUGCGAUGCUCUUUGUCUAAAGGCAAUUACAGUGGGUCCCGAAUCGGACGUGCCUAAUAAAUCUUUUAAAAAUUUUUCUAAUAAAUAUUCCUAAAAUUUCUCUUCCACAGGCAAUUACAGCAGCUUCAGUUAAUCAAACUCAAUCAAUUUUCUUUCUUAACAAAAUUCCAAAGAUGUGUGGCUGUUUUCAGAUCACAUGCGAUGGUACUUUUUUCAAUCGUUGCUUAGAUUGCUUUCUUGGAAAAGCAGCAUACAUACGUAACCUCCAAGAUAACCUCGUUGCCUUGGAGACUGAACUAAGGAAACUAAUCGCAGCAAAGAACGAUGUGAUGACGGCGGUUGUCAAUGCUGAACGGCAACAAAUGAGAAGGCUGGAACGAGUGCAAGUGUGGGUUUCGAGUGUGGAUUCUGUUAAAACUGGAGCCGAUGAACUUAUCACAGACGGCUCUGAAGAAAUUGGCAAAUUAUGUGUUGGAGGCUACUGUUCCAAGAACUGCAGGUCAAGCUACAAGUUCGGAAAACAAGUGGCUGAAAAGCUACAACAUGUGAAGAAUUUAAUCGCCGAGGGAGUUUUUGAGGCGGUGGCCACUGAGGUGGUGCCCGAGAGAGCUCCGGAACCUGUAGCAGAUAAAAGACCCAUUGAGCCAACAAUAGUAGGCUUGCAAUCACAGCUUGAAGAAGUUUGGAGAUGUCUUGCAGAAGAAUCAGUGGGAAUCAUUGGCCUAUAUGGUAUGGGCGGUGUUGGUAAAACCACACUAUUGACCCAUAUCAACAAUAAAUUUCUUGAGAGUCCCACAAACUUUGAUUGUGUGAUUUGGGUCGUAGUUUCAAAAGACCUGCGACUUGAAAAAAUUCAAGAAGAUAUUGGGAAGAAGAUAGGUCUAUCUGAUGAUUCAUGGAAGAAUAAAAGUUUUGAAGAGAAAGCUGUGGACAUCUUGCGGAGAUUAGGAGAGAAGAGAUUUGUAUUGUUGUUAGAUGAUAUAUGGGACCGGGUUGAUUUAACAAAGGUGGGCGUUCCACUUCCCGGACCACAAAAUACUACCUCAAAAGUCGUAUUCACAACCCGUUCCAUCGAUGUUUGUGGCAGCAUGAGAGCUAGGCCGGUUAAAGUGGCAUGCCUAUCAGAAAAGCAAGCUUGGGAACUGUUCCACGAAAAUGUUGGGGAAGAAACUCUUGAGAGUGAUCAUGAGAUCGUUGAGCUAGCCCAAACAGUGGCCAAAGAGUGUGGUGGUUUGCCACUCGCACUUAUUACUAUUGGUCGAGCUAUGGCCUACAGAAAGAAAGCGGAGCAGUGGAGACGUGCAAUUGAAGAGUUAAGAAGAUCAGUUUCAGAGUUUGCAGGUUUGGGAAAAGAGGUGUAUCCUUUUUUAAAGUUCAGCUAUGAUAGUUUGCAGUAUGAUACGGUUAGAUCUUGUUUCUUGUAUUGUUGUUUAUAUCCUGAAGAUUAUGGCAUUCUUAAAUGGGACUUGAUUGAUUGUUGGUUUGGCGAGGGAUUUUUUGGGGAAUCUGACAGGUCUGGUGCAGAAAACCGAGGAUAUGGCAUUUUGGACACUCUUGUUCGUGCAUGUUUAUUAGAAGAGGUGGAAGAUGAUAAAGUAAAAAUGCAUGACGUUAUUCGUGAUAUGGCUAUAUGGAUAGCUUGUGAAAUUGAGAAGGAGAAGAGAAACUUUUUGGUUUGUGCAGGUGCUGGAUUAAAAGAGGCACCGGAUGUUAAAGGAUGGGAAAAUGUGAGAAGAUUGUCAUUGAUGCAAAACCAAAUUAAAACUCUGUCAGAGGUUCCUACAUGCCCUCAUCUCCAUACUCUAUUUCUUGACUUUAAUAAGGAGUUGGAGACGAUCGCGGAUGGCUUCUUCCAAUUUAUGCCUUCUCUCAAAGUUUUGAAGAUGUCAAACUGUGGGCAUGUCAAAGUUUUGAAAUUACCUAUUGGGAUGUCAGAGUUGGGUUCAUCACUAGAACUUCUUGAUAUUUCAAAUACCAACAUAACAGAGUUACCAGAAGAGUUGAAGUUGUUGGUAAAUCUGAAAUGUUUGAAUUUGAGGUGGACAAUUUGUUUAAAUAAAAUUCCAUGGCAACUAAUAUCAAAAUUUCAAGGUUACGUGUGUUGAGAAUGUUCGCUACUGGCUUUGCACGUUUUGAUGCAGCAUCAGAAGACAGCGUUUUAUUUGGUGGGGGUGAAGUUUUAGUACAGGAAUUGGUCGGUCUGAAAUAUUUAGAGGUAUUGGAGUUGACCUUGGGAUGUCAUCAUGCUCUCCAAAUUUUUUUGAGCUCAAAUAAGUUAAAAAGUUGUAUUCGAUCUCUUCUCCUCCAAUUGGCCGGAGAUACAAAGUCGAUUAUUGAUGCUACGGCUUUCGCAGAUCUAAACCACCUCAAUGAAUUAUGGAUUGAUAGGGCUAAGGAGUUGGAAGAAUUGAAGAUUGAUUGUAAAGAAAUAGUACAAAAAAGGCGGGAACCUUUUGUUUUCCGCAGCCUUCACCGUGUUACUAUACAUAGCUGCCAGAAGUUGAAAGAUUUGACAUUCCUCGUUUUUGCUCCAGACCUCAAGUCUCUCGAUCUAGACCGUUGCGAUGCUAUGGAAGAAAUAAUCAGCGUCGGAAAAUUUGCUGAGACUCCUGAGAUGAUGGGACAUAUAAGCCCUUUCGAAAAUCUCCAAACUCUUCAUUUAAGAGCGUUUAACAUCUUUUCUCGACGACCUGCACGAUUGCCUUUCACUCAUCUGAAGGAAAUGGAGGUAAGUGGGUGCGAUCAGCUUAAAAAGCUUCCACUCGAUUCCAACAGUGCAAAAGAGCGUAAAUUUGUUAUUCGUGGAAAAGAAGACUGGUGGAACCGACUUCAAUGGGAGGAUGAAGCCACUCAAAUUGCUUUUCGUUCCUGUUUCCAACCUGAGCGGUUAGUCGCAAAAUUUGAUUUCUGGUGAUUGCGUUUGUCUUUUAACUCUUAUAUAUAUUCUUGUCGUUUGUUUUCUUCUCUGUUUUUAACUCUUAUAUUGCGUUUGUCUUUUGAAAAUCUCCAAUUAAAUGUUGAAUUAAUGGAAUUAAUGCUUCAUAAAUUUGCCGGCACUGCCAUCACUUUUUUUUUUUUUAAUACAAAUUGAUACUUUAUUUAUAUCUUCUUAGCGAUAUAAUUUCCUGUCAAUUGACGAACGAGAAGAACAUACGACUUAAACCAAUUCACGCAUAAACUUGCUGUAAAAAGAUAUAAUCUCACUGAAAUGCACACGUCUAGAAUGAAUAGAAUUAAAACAGGGAAAAUAUUUAAGUAUAUUAGCCCUCUUUACCGAAAAUGAAAUGACAAUAAAUUUUUUGAAAGUUUUGAUUUUCUAUGGUCAAUUCCACCUUUUGCAAUUUCUUCUGUUCUAACAAAAACCAAUUUCUUUGUUCAAGUAUUUUCGUUUGGGUAUUAAUAAUUCUCCACCGAAAGAGUGAACUCUUGCUCAAGGGAUCUCUAAUCAAUAGCCGGAAGGGCGCCGAGACCUGAUCGGACCUAGGCCCAAGUUUGGUCUUAAAGCCUGGGCUUGAGCCUGGCAAUUAAAUUAAAACAUUAAUUGAUUUCUUGAUUGAAUUGUCGUGUAAUUGAUUUAUGGGGGAUGACACAUCAACAUGCUUGAAAACACACUAAUCUCAGCAUCAUCGGUUAAUAACUUUUAGAAUUAUGGGUAAUCAAUAGUUAAGAUUAGUUGUCAUUAAUACUAAAUAUUUUUUUACUAUUUUCGUCUCUUCUAGAGGAUCUUCUAGAAAAAUGCAUCCACAACAAAAUUUAAUACUUUACAUAAUAAACAAAGCAUAAAUGUUAAAUUUAAGAAACUGCAUUGUAUUUCAGCUGAAGUUGACUUUAAUAUUUAGGGUAGAAAAAUAAUAAAUCCUUAAUGUGUUUAAUUUCUAUCACUUGUGUCAUUAAAAUUUUCUAGUCACCCUAACCAAUUACAUCUCAACCCACUUUUUUUUGGAUGAUUUUAUUUUUACACUAUUAUUUUCAUCAUUUUUUUUCCUUUUAACACCAACAUUAGUGUAUGUUACGUAACAUAAUUCAUAUUUGGAUAAUUUGAAAUUUGUUUGUGUUUUAUCUCAAAAUAGAGCUUCAAUCAAUUUGUACCUCAUAAAUUCACAAUAUCUAUGAGGGCUAAUAAGACCAAACUCUGGCAUAUUGUCAAAUGUGCUUAUCCUUUUGCUUGACAUGUCAUUUUAAAAUUGUCAUUCAAUGCCAAAAAAUCACAUCAACUGAUGGCCGACUACUUUAAUUUGAAAGCAUGCAUGCGAUCGCCAAUAAUUAUAACUUAAUUGUUAUUUUGAAAUUUUUUUCUUUAUAAUUUUUAAGUUUAAUACUACUACAUGUGCAGCACAUAAGUUGGAAAAUAUAACAUAAAAUUUGAAAAAUGUGUAGCUUUCGUUCCUUUUUUUUCUUAAAAAUGAGGAAAAAGAAUGUAAUUUUGUUUAAAUUACUGUUGUGAUAACAAUUAUUAUUUUAUUGAUUAAUUGGCAGAGAAUGGUUAUGGUUUCGCAUGGUUGUUAAAACAUUGGAAAAUCCACUACAUCAUCCGUUAAUAACUUUCAGAUUUAUGGUUAAUCAAUAGUUGAGAUUUGUUAUCAUUAAUGUUAAAUAUUUUUUUAAUAUUUUUUCUCUCUCCUAGAGGAUCAUCACAGCAAAAAUUUAAUAUUAUAAAUAGUAAACAAAAUAUAAACAGUUAAAUCUAAGAAACUGCAUUGCAUUUCAGCUGAAGCUAACUUUAAUAUUUAAUGGAGAAAAAUAAUUAAGUCCUUAAUGUACUUUAUUUACCCAUACUGAUACGCUCUUAAUUCGUGAAACUGAGCAACAUCAAAAUUAUCACUACUUCGAGCGAGUGUUUGCUCCAGAAGAAAGAACUGGAAGUUGAGAAAUGAGAAAGAAGAAAAGAAGAAGAGUCACAGCGAGGAAUAAAAGUGGUCCAUUCAUUUCAUGCCUUCCCAAAAUGACAAAAUCCCGCAAUAUAUAACAGACAAUCGAAAAUAACCAAUUUGACAACGCAACAGAAAAUGACAAAAAAGAAUCCAAAACAAACGUAGCCAAUCACAAUGCUUUUACAGAUCAUCCUAAACGACGUAGUCUCGUAGCCAAUCUAGAAGUUUCUUGUUUCGUUUGGGCCGUUGAUUCUCUUGCACUGGCUCAUGGUGAAUGUCCUCUUUGGGUUGACUGACUGUGGGUUCUCGGUUGAGCUCUUCCACUUGCGCCCCCUCUAAUGGCUCUAAUUUGAUAUAUAAAUUCGUAUCAUUCCCUCCUGCUUGAAAACACACAUUGUCCUCAAGGUGAAAUGCUGGAUAGAGCUUACAAAAGGCGUCAAAGUUUUCCCAAGACGAAUUCUUCGGUGAACUGACGGUCCAUUGAACUAACACUUGAAGCGUUGGCUUCCCCUGUUGCAAAACUAUUCGGGUUGCACAAAUGGCAGCCGGUAGCAAAAGAGGAUGGUUAUCCACACUCAACUCUGGUAAAGGAUGUGAAAUAGCAGGGUCGUUGCCAUGAUAAUGCUUAAGGACAGAGAUGUGAAAAACCGAGUGGAUUUUGGAAGUAUUGGGUAACUCCAAUUUGUAAGCUACAUACCCCACUCUAGCAAGUACCGUAAAUGGCCCGUAGUAUCACUUGGCCAACUUCUGACAGGCGCGAGAAGCUAUAGUGGUCUGUCGAUAUGGCUGUAAUUUAACCAGCACUUUAUCCCCUACUUCAAAGUGAGCUUCACGGCGAUGGGCAUUAGCUUUCUGAGCCAUUCGAUGUUGUGCUUGCCUCAAAUUAGCUUUUAAAGAUUGGAGAAGAGUAUUACGUUCAAGGAGAAUGUCCUCCAAAGUUUGGAUUGAAGUAGAGCCCUUAGCAUAAUGAGGAAUAGUUGGAGGCAAUCGGCCAAAUAAAGCUUGAUAGGGAGACAUCUUCAAGCCACUGUGGAAAUGAGAAUUAUAACUAAAUUCUGCCCAACUCAGUAAGGAAACCCACUUCCGUGGUUUGUCUUGAGUGAAAGCUCGUAAAUAUUGCUCCAAUCCUCAAUUUACCACUUCCGUUUGACCAUCCGUUUGAGGGUGGUAUGCCGUGCUAUGACGAAGAGUUGUGCCACUUAAGAGGAAUAAUUGUUUUCAAAAAUUGCUCAAGAACACUGGGUCUCGAUCGGAGAUAAUUGAACUUGGAAAACCAUGUAUUUUAAUGACCAUGUCCACAAAGAGUUCAGCUGUCUUGAGGGCAGUAAAUUGACAGGGUAACGGACCAAAAUGGGCAAAUUUUGUAAGACGAUUGACAACAACCAAUAUGACCGAGAAACCUUGUGCUAACGAAAGACCUAUAACGAAAUCCAUUGUGACCUCAUCCCAAACCAUAUUAGGUAUCGGCAAUGGUUGAAGAAGACCAGCAGGGGCUUGAGUGGAAUACUUAGUUUGCUGGCAUAUUAAACACUCUCGGAUAAACGUUUCCACAUCAUGACGCAUCUUGGGCCAAUAGAAUGUUGAAGAUAAUCUGAUUAAGGUUCUAGUGACACCCACAUGACCUGCCAGUGGUGUAGAGUGAAAUUCUUGCAAUAGUACGACUUUUAAAGAGGAGGUAGGACUGAUGUAAUAACGCUGACGGUGGAGAAGAAAUCCGUUUUGAACAGAGAAGUCAACUGACAGUUUGCCUUGUAAAAGUUGCUGGUGAAGUGAUAUUAAAUCAGGUAAUGUGGUAUUCUCAUUAAGUAAUGACUGCAGCAAUUCAAAUGAAGGAUGGCUGUUGAAAGAAAGGCAAGUGGGGGAGAUGUUGAUGUUAUCCUCAGGAGCUGUUUCAUGGACACGGGAUAGAGCAUCAGCGGCGCUAUUGGUACAACAUGGUCUGUACUCAAUUCUGAAUUGGAAACCCAAUAAUUUGCGGAGAUAAACUUGCUGAUCUAGUGUUUGUAUCACUUGUUGAAGGAGUUCUUUGAUACUCUUAUGAUCCGUGCGGAUAACAAAGAAUCGGCCCAACAAAUACUGCCGCCACUUAUACACAGCUUCUACAAUUGCAUGCAACUCCUUGAUGUAAGUGGAAGAAGCCCGCAAUUUGGGACCCAACUUCUUGCUGAAAUAAGCAAUUAAAUGCCCAUGUUGUGUAAGUACAGCUCCUAUGCCUACAUUAGAAGCAUCGGUCUCAAUGACGAAUUCGAAAGUAAAAUUCGGCAACUUAAGGACUGGAGCUUGCACCAUUGCUUGUUUAAGAGCUUCAAAGGCCUCCAUGGCUGUCAAAUUCCAUUGAAAGGCAUCAUUUCGCAGCAAAUCAGUGAGUGGGGCUGCCAAGGAAGCAUAACCACGGAUGAAGCGCCUAUAAUAUCCAGUGAGACCAAGAAAACCCCUCAACUGUUUGAUAGAACGUGGAAUUGGCCAAUUAAGCAUGGCAUCAAUCUUUUGGGGGUCGGCUUGUACUCCCGAGGCUGAAACAAUACGGCUUAGAUACUCAAUAGCGGCUUGGCAAAACAAACAUUUGGAUAAUUUAAUAAAAAAUUGAUGAAGAUGUAAACAAGCUAAUACUUUCUCAAGAUGAAGCAAAUGCUCGGCCAUGGAGGAGCUAUAAACCAAGAUAUCAUAAAAAAAAACGAUCACAAAUUUCCGGAGAUGAGCUGCAAAAAUCUGAUUCAUUGUGGCUUGAAAAGUGGAUGGGGCAUUUGUCAACCCAAACGGCAUGACAAGAAACUCAUAAUGGCCCUCAUGUGUUCAAAAUGUCGUUUUGUAUAUGUCGCGGUUGUGGACACGAAUUUGAUGGUAUCCCGCGCGCAAAUCCAAUUUGCUAAAAAUGGUGGCGCCCCCAAGUUCAUCAAACAACUCAUCGAUUGUCGGUAUAGGAAAUUUGUCUUUGAUGGUUACGGCAUUUAAUGCACGAUAGUCAACACAAAACCGAUAGGUGCCAUCUUUUUUCUUGACCAAGAGAACCGGGGAGGAAAAAGGGCUUUAGUUCGGUCGGAUUAUGCCCUACUCUGACAUUUCCCUGAUCAGUUUUUCCAUUUCAGAUUUCUGGAAGUGUGGGUAGCGGUAUGGACGAACAUUGACGGGGGCUGUGUUGGGUAAUAAAUGGAUUUUGUGGUCAAUAGUUCUGUGCGGUGGUAGGCUAGAAGGUUGGAGAAAUAGGUGUUUGUAUUGCUGUAAAAGGUUGAGAAAUUGAGCAGGAAGGGAAAAAGGAAAUUCAAGUGAGGAAGUGUCUGUGAUGGAAAAUGAAGGCAAAGCAUCGAUAGCGGGCACUGGUUGUAAGGCACAAAGGCUGGUCACGGUAUCACUUUGAACCAAUACCUGCAAUUGAUUAUAAGUGAUCAAAUUAUUAGAAGACAAAUCACCAUGAAGCAUCACUGGUUGCUCAUUUAAAGAAAACUCCAUAGGACACUUUGCCCAAUUUCUGUAGCCAUUGAAUGCCAAGGACCACAUAUGUGCCCUCAAUUGGCAAAAUGAAGAGGUCUACCAUAAAAGCCGUGCCUUGCAUUGUUAAGUUCACUUGAGGACAGAACUGUUUACACACCAGGAAGUCACCGUUGCCAAUAUACACUCGGAAAUUGGUAGUUGGAUGAAUGGCUAACCCCAAUCGUUCCGCUAACGCCGGUUUUAUGAAAUUGUGAGUGUUGCCACUAUCAAUCAGCACUUGAAAGGUGUGCGAAUCAAUUUCUCCAAUUAAACGAAGAGAGCGAGGAUUGGCCUGCCCUGCUAGAGCAUUUAAGCUAGAGAUGUCACCAGUAAUACCAGCAUCUACCAAUUCUGAUGGUUCCUCGUUAUUUUUGGGUUCCAAUUCUUCAUCAUCCGUGCCCAUGAGAAGUAGAAAUUUACUGCGACAGAGAUGAUUGUUGCUGUAUUUUUUGUCACAAUUGUAACAUAAACCCUUCUCGCGUUUGUCGCAAAGUUCAGCCGAAGACAAACGGCGAAUUGGUAAUGUUGGUGUCGAUAAUAAUGCAGGUAAAGUGUUUGAUUUAUUGGUAUUGUGGGUUUGUGAGGGAAGAGUUGAAGAUGAUACGGGGGUGAUGGCUGUGGUAACAGUUGCAAGUGAUGAGGAUGGAUAAAUGGGUUUGGGUUGUGUUUGGAAACCAUGUGAAAGGGGAUAUGGUUGCUGCCAUUUAGGCCAUGAGCGUGAGCUCUGUUUCACUUCGUCAUAUUUGGCCUCAAAAGCACGAGCUAAAGUUUCCAUUAGUGAAGACGGUCUAGAGAAAAGCAAUUCCCGUCGAAUGUUGGGUUUCAGACCAGUGAUGAAAAAACUAAUCAAAAGAAGUUCAGAAAUUCCAGUGACCUUGUUCAUUAAAUCUUCAAAAGCUGACUGGAAAUCUGCAACCGUGGUAGUUUGACUCAAUUUGGACAAAUCACCUUGGGGAUCUUCACACAAAGAAGCACCAAAACGAUAGCGCAAGUUAGCUAAAAAUUCUUGCCAAGUAGUGAGCAAGUGAUUGUUCUUUAUCCAUUGAUACCACGCUGCAGCGCGACCCUCCAUAUGAAAAGAGACAAUCCGUAGUCGGAGGAUCUCAGGUGUGUCAUGAAAGUCAAAAAAUUCUUCUAUUCGAAAAAUCCAUCCAUUUGGGUCAGACCCAUCGAAUUUGGGCACAUCCAUUUUCAUGGAACAAAGUACUGGAGAAACUUUAGAACCAGUAAGAACGCCAUCAUAUUUAGAAGAUGAAGGGUGUGAAGGGUUGGAGGAACCAACUGGUUUGUUGGAAGACCCAUGAAUUUAUGUACGUAACUCCUCAAAACGAGAGUCAACUGAUGUCAUGAAUUGUUGGAUUGUUUGAUGGAUGGACAGUUGCUACCCAUCAAGUUUGGCGUCAAAAGUUGCUUGAAGGGUCUGUAAAGCAUAAAGAAUUUCAGAAUUUGCCAUGAUCAAUGAAAGCACCAGUGAUACGCUCUUAAUUCGUGAAACUGAGCAAUAUCAAAAUUAUCACUACUUCGAGCGAGUGUUUGCUCCAGAGGAAAGAACUGGAAGUUGAGAAAUGAAAAAGAAGAAAAGAAGAAGAGUCACAGAGAGGAAGAAAAGUGGUCCAUUCAUUUCUUGCCUUCCCAAAAUGACAAAAUCCCGCAAUAUAUAACAGACAAUAAAAAAUAACCAAUUUGACAACGCAACAGAAAAUGACAAAAAAGAAUCCAAAACAAACGCAGCCAAUCACAAUGCUUUUACAGAUCAUCCUAAACGACGUAGUCUCGUAGCCAGUCUGGAAGUUUCUUGUUUCGUUUGGGCCGUUGAUUCUCUUGCACUGGCUCAUGGUGAAUGUCCUCCUUGGGUUGACUGACUGUGGGUUCUUGGUUGAGCUCUUCCACUUGCGCCCCCUCUGAUGGCUCUAAUUUGAUAUAUAAAUUCGUAUCACAUACAUGCGGUUAAUUUUUUAAGAUAAAGGGGAAGGAUGAUGCUCAAAAAUAUAAAUUAUAGAAUUAAUUGAACUCUCAAAUAAGUUUAAAGUUCAUUAUUUUUAAUUACAUGUUUAUAAUUUAUUUUUAUUUCGUAUUAAUCUAUAGAUCUAAAUCCACUUUGGAUUCAUAUACACAUAUAGACAUAAUGUGUAUGUUAAUCUAUAGGUCUAAAUUCACUUUAGGUCUAUAUAGGUAUUUUGACAAAUGUACUCCAAUCAUGCAUAUUGGCAAGUUCAAAUUCAAUUUGGAAUAUGGUCAUGGUACGUUCUUGUUCUUCCCUCUUUACGAGUGCAUUCCCCCCAACCUCAAGCUCCCUCUCUCGUCUUCAAUGUCACUGCUUAUAUCCUUAUGUUGUUCUAGUUUGAAACAGUGGCUUCCACUAUUUCAGGGCCCCCAAAAAUCCAGAAACAUACUAUUCAUCACGAUGACAAAAUUUUGGGCAGGCAGGUGCUUCCUGACUUUCACACGGUAAUUCUCAAAUUCUGAUUUCACCAUAUUUUAAUUACUGAUUAUGCUCUCCAUUAUAAUAGAAGUCGCCGCCACACUAGUGAUUCCAAACUUUAUCUUUUUUCCUUUUUUAAAUUAAUGCAAGUAGCCGCUGUCCUUUUUAUUAAUUAAUUAAUUCGGCCGCCCACAUUUCUUUUUCUAAUGUCUUCUACUGUCGAGUUUAUUUUAUUUUCCCUUUAUUCUUAAAAUAUACUUAUAAUAAUAAAAUAUAAAAAUAAAAAUAAAAAUUAACAUAUCAAAAUAUAAUUUAACAGAAAAUUAAGAUGAAAAAUAAAAAAAAAUAAAUUCUGAACAUAUCAAUCAAUAAAUGAAAAAUAAUAAUUUUUAUUUUUAUUAAAUAUAUUUUUUUCAGUAUUAAUCAAUUAUCUGAAUAACUAAAAUCAUUUAAAAAUAAAUAAACAAAUUAUUCUUUAUAAAAAAAAAAAACUUUUUAUAACACUCACUAUGCUGGUUGUAGGGUAGACGCUUUGGGGACUGAAGUUGGUAACUUCUACAAGUAGUCUUAAGUUGAUAACUUCUACAAGUAGUCUUAAGUUGACUGGCAAAUGUUCUCAGUAUUAUAUUGGUGUGUCGAUAUUAUCUCUAACUGCCUUAUAGAUAAAAAAAUAAUCUAAAUUUAAAAUUUAACAUAAAAUAAAAUAAUUGGUAGAAAAACAAUUAUGGUUCAUUUACUUAUCAGUAAUCAGAAUAGACUGAAAUCGAAAUGAGUUGUAUUACCGUUGAUGUGUUUAUGUUGUCCUCGAAUCGGAAUGAAUUAUUUUAAGUUACUAAAAUAUCCUUGGUUUGUUAUUCUAAUUAUUAUUAUUUAAUAUUUAUUAUAAUAUUUGUCAUAUCAUUAAAAAGAAAUAAUAAUGAUGAUAAUAUUAUCAUUAUUGUUUGUUACAUUAUUAUUAUUCAAAAAAAUUAUUGUUAAUAACAAUAAUUACUUUAUUUCAAUACUAAUAAUGAUAAAAUUAAUAAUAACAAACAACAAUAAUUAUUUAUUAUGCCAAAAAUAACAAUAAUAAUAAUCAUCAUCAUUUUUUUUCCCAAAGAAGCAUUAUCAUCAUUUCAAAAAAAAUAUCAUCAUUAUCAUCAUCAUUUUUGUAGUGGCUGCCUAUCGGCUGUUGCUUUCAUGUGAGAUUGACUUGCGACGCUUCAACGGCUAUUAUUUCUGGCAAUGUCAGGUGUUACUGUUUCAAUUUAGGAAGAAGCUGUUUCGUUGUGCUAACGAUGGGAGAUGUUGUGGCUGCGAUUCGGGGAGCUACUAGUUUAUUGCACUAAUGACGGCAGGUGCUGCUGCUUGAUGCGAGGUCCAUGGCCAGUUGUCAGCAGUUCGACUUUGGUAUGGGUGCUGCUGGUUCGAUUUUAGGUGUUGUCCAAUUUCAUUUUCAGGAUUUUAAUUUUAUUUUUCUUUUAUAUUUUCAUUAAUUAAUCAGGACAAAGUUGGAUUUUAGAAUUUGGAAUGAAGGUAAUUUUGUUAAUCAUGGAAAUGAGAUUCUGAUUGUCGAGAAUGAGCUUACACAAACAACUACAAAUUAAGUGAAAACAAAACGCUUUUUCUCUUUGUGUGAUUAAAACAUGAUAUGUACCAUAAAUAAAUAGGUAAAAAAUAAAUUAAUACAAUCCAAAACAGUAAACUAAUUACAAGAGGCACAAAUUUUUAUGUGAAAUACCAAAAAUAGAAAAAACCACAGCAUCUUAGUAUGAGAUAAUCUUCUACUAUAUUAAUGAGAUUAUAGCACAAAUUCUUCCUUAUAUAACACUAGAGGUUAACAACAUCAAGAAUUUCAAUAAUCUUGACUUACAAUACAGCCUAAUAUUUGUCUCUCUAAUAAGUAGAUAUCUAAAAUAACAGUCUCUAAUAAAUAAGUAUCUCAAAUAACAGUCUCUAAUAAGUAUCUCAAAUAAUAAUUUCUAAUAAGUAUGUAUCUCAAAUAAUAGUUAACAAGAGGAUAAAACAAAAAUUAAGAUUAGUAGGAUUGUAUAAGGCGAUGCUAUCAACUUAUCUUCUAAAUUUGAGAAAAAUAGUUAAAUUCACUUUUUCGAUUGUGACCAAAGAUGGAAACCUUUGCCCCAAAACCAAAGGAAUCACCAUUUCUCUCUCUCUCUCUCUCUCUCUCUCUCUCUCUCUCUCUCUCUCUAUCUCUCUCUCUCUCUCUCUCUUCUUCUACUUUUCUUAAUGUUAGCCGCCACUCGCUUUUAUUCUUUAUAGCAUUUAAAAAGCUACUUUUAAUGGUAAAUUUCAUUUAAGUCCAAAACUUAGUGAUAAUUGUACACCAAACAAUUCUUUUUGGACUAUGAGCUUUUGGGCCUCCAAAUGAGAUGAAUACAACAAAUCUCCCCCUUUAGAUCAUGUGGGGGGCACCACAAGCCUGCUCUCUGCAUAUAGUUUUUCAACUUCUCCUUGAAUAAUGACUUUGUCAUCAUACAUAACCCAUUCUCUGUUGUGUAAAUUUUCUCAAGCUGUAGCUGUUGCUUCUCAAGCACGUCUCGUAUCUAAUGAUAUCUCACAUCAAUAUGCUUAGAUUUCGAAUGGUUUAUCAAAUUCUUUGAACGGCACUCUGACUGUCGCAGUACAUAACAUAGCUGUCUCGUUUUACACCCAGCUCUUAUAGGAAAUUCAUUAUCCAUAAUAUUUUUUUGCAACCUUCAAUAAUUGUUAUAUCAUUUGCUUUAGUGGUAGAAAACGUAACUUAUUACUAAAGUUUAGAUUGCAAUGAGACUUCUCCCCCUGCAAAAGUGAGCAAACAUCCUAGAAGGAAUUUUUCGGAAUCAACAUCUUCUGCCAUAUCUACACACUUGUAACACAGGUUUGUCACCACUAAAAUAUAAACAUGCUCUGGAAAUGCCUCUAAGAUAUCUGAGAAUUUUUCAUUGUUGUCCAAUGCUCUUUUAUAAUAAAUACAAACAUAAUGAAUUUAUAAAACAUUUAGAGUAUUUUGAAUAUUAUAUAAAAUAAUUUUAAUAUAAUGCAUGAGAUAUAUUUUAUUAAUUUAAAAUGCUAUUUAAUCUAAAGAUUUAUUUAAGAUAAAUUAAUAAUUAAAUUUUUUUAAUUAUUUCAAAUAUUAAAAAUUUGUAAUAUUAUUAGUCUAUUAGAUAGAUUAAAUUAUUUAUUUUAUUUUGUAUUUAUUAAAAAAUUUUAAAGUCAAUAUUUUUAAUUACUAUUCGAAGGAUAUAAUGAUUAAAAAAAUCUUAAUAUUUUUUAUUAAAAAUUUAAAAAUUUACAUGACCAUUUCUAUAAAUAUUUAGGGUAUAUAUGAGCCACGGUGGAGAAGAUUUAUUUAAUAUUAUUGAUUUAAAUAAUAUCUAAUUAAAAAUAUACUGAGAAAAAAUUUCGGUGGGUAUUUUAGUCUUUUCAGCAAUCACAUGAUUAGCCUUUGGGCUUUGGCCUUGAAACGUCGGUCAGAAAAGUUUUAAACUGCUUAAUUGUUUUUCACUUUUAACGUUAGUGGCUGCUUAUAUUUUAGGAAAAUGAGAUUCUCACCACAGUGAGAACCACACUGAGCACAGAACGGUGCGUUUUGUGCUCAGUAUAAAUUCUAACUGUAGCGGAAAUAUCGCAACACAAACGCGCCAUUCCAAACCCACGCGCGUUCUCCCUCACGCCAGCAAAUCUCACCACGCUUCCUCCUCACUGUAAGCGCCCCCCCUCCCCGGGGGCGGUCGGCUGCGUCACGCUCCCUCACGGCGCCUCACUCUCUCGGCUCUCUUAGAAAAUUGAAUUGCGGCUUCCGCCGUGGGGUUCUCUCCUCAACUGCCGUUGUCUCGUCUCUGACAGCUGCCUUAAUCAAAUUCUGAAGGUAGUUUGCUUCAAUUCAUUACAUUAAUUUCAAAUUUGGUUUGUGUGGGAUUAUGAGUUUGUGAAGAUUUAGUUCUGUUUCAUGGUAAACUAUUUUUUGCUCAGUGUGUUGAGAAUAUCAGCACGGUUUAAAAUUCUUUUUAGAUUCUGUCGUAAAGUUUUCUUUGUAUUGGGCAAGUCAGUUACUUUAGUUUUGUGUCUGAAAACAAAAACACUUAGCUUAGUGAGUUUUAAGAGAUUUUGCUAUUUUGUUCAACGAAGCUUAAAAAGGGGAAGCUUUUAUGGCGUCUGUGAGCCGAGGCAAUUUGGAUCGGGUGCUUUUUCAGUUCAUUUGUUUGUUUCUUAUUUGGGUUCUUUAUUGUUAGAUGUUCUUUUGAGAUUCUGGCAUCUGGCAUCUGGCUACUUGCUUUUGUGGAGUUUUUUUAUUAUUUGAAUUCUGUGAAUUCUUUGUUUUCUUUCCCAAAUGAUUCCACUCUAUAAAAUAUAUAUUGUGCUUGGCUAGAAUUUUCUUUUAGAUAAUUGCAUCCUGUACAUUGGCUUAACCUGUCAAGAAUGAGAAUGAUGGAAGAUGCCUAUCUUGGAAAGAAUAUAUUGAGUUACAUAGUACCGGUUCCAAAUGAAUAAAUUGGAACUUGCCUAAAACAGGCACCAAUCCACCAUGACACCAAGCCUUUUUAAAAUUUUUUUUUUUUUAAGUUUAAAGAAACUUAUGUUGCUUCUUUAGAUCUGUUUUAGCUUAUGAUGAAUUUUGCUAAUGGUAAAAUCCCUCCCCUUCAAAGUUGGGGGAGGGGAAGCAUCUAUAUGCAUAUGUGUACAUUAUGGAGCUCGAACUACAUGUCGCAGUAAUACAUUAUUCUCUUUGCUUUGCAGGUUUUGAUCAACAUGAGUGAUUGGGAUGUAGGUCUGUGCUUGAGAGGCCGGAGUGAUGACCAGAAUUCUGUCAACCAGACCAAAGACAAUCAACUGAUGAAGUGUUGUUGUUCUCUAUAUUGAUUGUUGGAAAUUAUGUGUUAUUUCCAGAUUUUUAGAAAAUUAUGAUUGCUGGAAAUAAUUAUAUAUGUACAAUCAUUAUGUCCUCCAGCACAAGUGAAUUUCCAAACCCACAACUGAAAGCUUGCGAAAAAUUUGUAGAAAAUUUGUACAUCAAAUCCACAAGCUAAGUGUUGUAUCAGAAUAUGAAUGACAAUAAAACAAAAAUCUGUGUUCUUCAUUCUUAAAAUACUAAUACAAUACAAGUACAUUCUUAUUCUGAGAAAUAACUACCUAUUAACUCCAUAUUCAUUAUCUUGUUGAAAGAGUAGCUGCUGAAAAUGUCCAUGUCGCUGAGCUUGUAUGUGCUAUUAAAAAAAAAUUAAACAUCUUGUUGUCAUCCGAAAAAAUAAAGAAGGCAAGAUGAACAAAUAAAAAACUUAUCACUACUUACGGUGCAAGAAUUUUAUGUAGAUAUUGAAUAAACAUUAUCCUCAAUUAUUUGUCACAAUAAUUUAUAUUCAAUUCAUGGUGUGUUGCAGCAAGCUUCCAUUGUUUAACUAAAUGACAGCUGAAUCUUUACAACUAAUUAUCUUUACAAUCAAAUUUGGAAUUAAUUAAGCAAAUUACCGCUAGAAAUCGACGAGUGAAGCUAAGAGAGUGAGGCUGCAAGUCGAAUUUUUGAGACAGCCGAGAGAGUGAGGCGCUGUGAGAGAUGCAAUGGACGGGCGAGAGAGAGACGAAGCCGAUGGUGAUUGCUGCAUUGGUAGGAUUGAGGGAGAGAGCGAAAGAGCCAGAGCGUGCGUGCUUGUUCUGCCAGAGAGCGCGUAUGUUUUUUCUCAAUGCGCGUGUUGCGUAAUUAUCCAUCUACAGUGACCAUUUUAUAGUUAUCUUGAAACGCACCGUUCGGUGCUAUAUGUGGGGCUGAAUGUUGUGAGCAUAUCGGUGCUGUAUAUUUUAUUAAAAAUUAAUGCUAACAAGAAAAAACCCCUCAAUGAAUGAGGGUGAGAUUGCUAAAAAUUACGACAGGUGAUAUUUUAUUAUUAUUAUUAUUAUUGGGGGAGAAAUCCUCACCAAAGUGAGGAGAUUUUAUCAAAAUCAAAAUAAAAAUAUAACAAGAACUGAAAGUUGGGCAGCCUAAAAGCUAGAUAAACUAAAAUUCAGGCGCCUAAAAACAACCUUAUGCAAAAGAGAAGCAACAUGAGACCGAUCAAGUAAAAGAAUCCACCGCAACACCUAAAUUGGCCAAAUUAUCUGUUGGUAUUACAAGUUUCUUGUUAUAAAAGUGUAGAAUGAAGAAGGUGACGUAGUUUUAAGUUACAGCUGCAUGCCCGAUCGCAAUAUCAAAUAAUGAUUAAAUAUCAAAUAAUACUUAAAAUAGUUGCCUAGACCCGCCACAAUUUAUAUUAACUCUUAAAUUUAUAAAUAAUUAAAUUUUUAAAAGUUCGGAUUUAUAUUAAAAAAUCUUCAUAUAAAUAAAUAAUAUAUGCACUUUUACAACACAGUCUUUAAAUUUAAAUUUUUCUAGAAAAAUCUUCUGUAUAUCUUUUCUAUUAAAAAAUUUCCAUAUAAAUAAAUAAUAUACCUAAUUUAAUUGGACCCAGCGCAACGCAUAUGCAUAGAACACAUUCCGAAAAGCCAUGAUAUUCGGAAAUUGACGAAUGAAAAGUGAGGAGGCAGCAGUCAAUGCUAUUUCGGCUUGGCCCAAAAUUGAUUUAUCAGUUUGACGUGUGCCAGGAAUGAAGAACUGGAAUAUCACCAUCAAGCAAGCAACCUGCGGAGCAAUACCAUAGAAUGCACAAUCCGGCUUUGCAAGGUGACACUGGAGGCUUUUUGAAAAGUGCUUCACGCUCACUUGACAGAUUGAGCAUCCCCUCUGGAUAUUGCCCUCUCUGAUCGAAUCUGAGCACUCAAAUUUCGGUCCUCAGAUGGAGCUACAGCUUUCUCUCCAAUAACCAACAAUUUUCUAAACUCAGCACCUAGUGUGAUCAGAGUUGUUGAUAUUUGUAAAUGGAGAUCCCCGUAUUUGCAAAUGGAGACAUUUACCAAAUCACCAACAUGCUUCAUCCAGUCUACGAAAUUCUGCAGCUGAUUCAAAUCCGGAACCUGAACAAGAGUCGGAGGUAAAUCUUGAGCCAUAUCUAAAGCAGUCUGAAGUUCAAGUACUUGAGCCCUUGACAAUGGUUUUGAAAUUGGAACAUCUUGGAUUACUGCAGACUUGUGCCCCUUGGUUUCAAAGGUAAGGAAAGGCAUUGCUUGAGUACAAUUUGGAGGCAGCUUCUUCACCAAUUUUAUUUGGAGGCGAUUGGCAGCGGAUCCAGCUGCACCAAUUUCAGAGCAAAUACUGACACUACUUCGAACAGCACACUGAAGAAGUGAUAUGUCUACGGCAAAGGCAAUGCAGUCCUCAUUUUGGCUUGAGAUGCAGUAAUCAUCGAAGAGAGUUUCCUUGUGAAACUGGGCAACACAUUGAAUCCCUUCGCCACUGAGAAGGUUGCGGAGGAAGUAAGCUUUCUCUCUAGUGAGGAAGAGGUGGCAUACCUUCCCCAUGUCUAGGGCAGGUAGGAAUCUUUUUUCUAAGAGAUUUACUUCAUUCUCUGUGAGAAAUGCUUUGAACUUCAUCCCUCUGUCUCUAUCCUCACUUAUCAGUAAAAUAGUUGAAAGUGCUACAAGGAGAGAAAAGAAGAGUAUUAAGAUAUAUAUAGACAAGAAAAACAUUAGAUGUCGAUCUUACAAGCUAAUACUUCAAACAGUAUCCUAGAAAGCUAAAAACUGCAAAAUGGCUUGACAUUUGAAAAGAACACAUGCUUUUCCUCCUUAACUUGAGAAAAUGUUUAAUAUAGUGCACCUUACAGAAACAUUUAAGCAAUUAGAACUUUGCACAAAAAUAUUCAAGAAGACUAAACAAAUCAGAUGCAGUGUAUUUCUCCAAGCACAAAUGGCAUUGCAUUUUUUCCUCAACUGUAAUAUUUAUUGAUGAAAAUCAGUACAGGUCCCUCAUUUGUUAUGGAAAGCUUUCUUGUAGUCUGACUGGUUAAUUCACGGAUCUAUAAUUAUCUUGCAAAGUUACAGGCAUUUCUUUCGAUUUAAAGUCUUUGCAUCACCACCUCAUCACACACCUAGCCAAUAUUCCGUCUACUUCUACAACAAAAAGUUUUAAGUAAACGAUCCUAAUGCAUGCAGCCAAAUAAAAUGCAGUAAGAAUAUUCAACUUAAAACUCUGAAAGCCAUCUUGGUGAAUUGCCUCCUUAGGGGAAGUUCCAUGAUUUACUAUACUUGACAGGACUGAGCAAAAGCUUACAUACAACAGAUUUUGAAAAUGAUGAUGCCAAUAGAUACUCAUACAAUCCAUUGAAACUCCUAAGGUCCAUUGUUCACAGAGGUUUACAGAGUUUUGGUUAUCAAAUAGCUCAGACCUUAAUCCCAAACAAAAAACGAGUGAAAAUUAGAUCACCAGCAGCAAAUUGUAAAUUCUAACUUAACUCUUCAUCUCCUUUGUAAACAGGAGACAAAAUGGAGACACGCAAAAUGAAUAAGGAGAACAUUUGAACUCAAAUGAAAUGAGGGCACGAAAGCAAACAAAUGGCAUGCGCAAACAAACCAAGCCUCAAUCAAAAACUAAUUAACCAUUAAAAAACAAAACUGGUCAGCUUCUGGUGUUCUCAAAUUGUAUAACAAGAGAUCGACACAUCGAAUCAGAAGAACUCAAUUCAAAUUUGUCUCAAAAAUCAAAAUUAGAAGAUUUCACAUUUCGAGAGGAACAAGCGACAGGUCAGAUGCAAAAUUUUCAGCCAUAACAUGCCACAAUUAACGGUUUAUUUCCAUGGAUUUAGAGAGCUGACUGACCUUUUGGCUUUUGGAAUUGAGAAGAUCGCGCGCCAAAAUGGAAGAGGGAAAGCGAAAGUGCGGGUUUUAAUAGGGUAUUGGAUUAGCAAAUUUUAUUAGUUUGCGAGGGUAAAAUAGGAAAGUGAUAUCACUAUUAACCUUUUUUUUAAUAAGAAAAAAGAAUAAUAAAGAAUAUUUUAUUGUCAUUUGCAGCAUUUAUUUUUUUUAAAUGCUAUUAGAAAAAUACGACAACAAAGAAAUGCUCUUUUUUUUUUUUUUUUUUUUCUCGAAGGUAAAAUCAAUUAUUUAGCUCCUUAUAUGUAAUCAAACUACAUUUCUUACUUUAAGUCAUAUCCAACGGACCAACAAAGUAAUUAUUUUUUUUUUCAUUCAUUUUUGCAGAAAAUUAAUAACUUAAAAAUAUUGAAAGCUAUUGUAAAAUUUUUUAUUAUCAACCUCAUAGUUUUAUUUUUUGGGAAGAAUUGAAUUUUUUUUUUUAAUUUCCAAGAAUUUCAUUCUCUAGUUUUUCCAUUAAUAUUACUUAUCUUGAUACCCAUCUUAAUUAAAAUCUGUAGUUUUAUUCAAGAGUCAUGCUAUUCAUUCACUCACAGACCAAAGGCUUUCCGCAGCAAUAUUAUUAUUUAAAUUACAACAAAGGGGAAAUCAAAUACGUCAUACAGAAGCUUAAAGCUGAAUCUACAAAAUCUAGAGCUCUCAACUACAUAAAUUACACUUGAUGAUCCUCUACAAGAUGAAGCUUGUUCAAUAUCUCAUCCAAAGCUUGUAAAGUAACAUUAUAACGAUCUUGAGAUUGCCUGCCUUCCUCGACGACCUGCACGAUGCGUUUGUACAAAUCAUCAUACCUGUGCACCGGAUUUUUAAUAUCAAUGCCACUGCAGCUGUGAUCAAGAACAUAAGAGCGUUUAACAUCUUUUCUCCAUCAAGAAAGAAUGUAGUGAGAUGGGAUCUCCUGCAUGCCACUCUGGUUUAGAACACAAAGAAUGUGUCUGCAUAAAUAUCCUCUGAAAUUGAACAACCCACAAACACAAAGCACCUCCAAGUCGGAGGCAUUGUACAAAACAUCGAAAAUAGUUAUGUUUUACAAUCUAUUAGACAUAUUUUAUUAAAUUAAUAUAAAUUUUCUAUAAAAUAAGAAUAUAAUAUUAAAAUAAAUUCACAAAAAAUUAAAGAAUUUUGAAUGUAAAAUAAUUUUAAUAGAUUAAUACGUGAGUUUUUUUAUUAAUAUAAAAAUUAUUUAACUUUAAGAUUUUUUAAAAUCUUUACAAUAAGUAUGACUAUAUUAUUUACAUUUAAAAAUAUUUAAAUAUUAUUAACCUACAAUUAUAUUUGCAUUUGUUAGAAUUUUUUAAGUCAAAUAUUUUGCACUUCUAUAUUAUUAGAAUUAUUGCACACAAAGAAAGAAACAUAUACCUUUAGAAAUUGUUUUCUUUUAAAAUAGAGAUGAUGAUUAGUAUAAGGAUGAAAAAAAUGAUAAAGAAUAUUAAUGAUUAACGAAAUCUCUAUACAAAUUGAUUUUAGUAGGAAAAGAGUGAGAUGAAUGAUUUCUUUUACGGUUAGAAACAUAGAUGAUGAUUAUUAUAACGAAGAAAAAAAGAUAAAGAAUAUUAAUUAUUAAUGGAAUCUCUAUGCAAAUUGAUUUUAGUAGGAAAAAAAAUGAGUUAAAUGAUUUAGAGUGCGUUUGGAAUUGAGAUUGGGCAGCCAUAGAUUUUAAGUUACAAUACUGAAGUGUUUGAUAAAUACUAGCUGCUGCAGAUUGAAAGUUAUAUUGAUAUGAUUUUUCACAUGUAUCAUAGAAAAUAUAUUACAUCUUUAAUAAUUUUUUUAAAAUUUAUAUUUGCUAUAUAUUAUUAAUUUUUUUUUAUAGUUAUAACUUUUUUUCCACAGCAGUUGUAGCUUAAAAGUCACAGCAUCUCAAUCUCAAACAAAUCCUUAGACAUUCAUAGUGUGUUUAUUUUUUGGAUUGGUGAAUCAAAAUUAUUGACAACGCUAACUUCAUCUUCAUUGUUCGCAAUCCAACAGCAGCAGCAAUUGUCACCAAUAAUGAUAUCUCCAAUGAUGAUGACAAUUAUUAUUAUUAUUAUUAUUAUUAUUAAUUUAUUAAUUAAUAUAUUAAUGUUAAUAAUAUUAUUAUUAAGAUUAACAAUAAUUAGUAGUAAUACAAUUUUUUGAAUAAAAAUAAUCACAAUAAUUAAAAUACAAAUUAAUAAUUAUGACAAUAGUUAAUUAAUGUCUUUUUAGUAAUUUGUAAUAAUCUAACUCAUUUUGAUUCUGAUUAUUACAGCUUAAGUAAACAAAUUAUUAUGAUUCCUAUUUUCCUUUCCUAUUUUAACUCACUUCGAUUCCAAUCUAUUCCAAUUUCUAUCUAAUAAAUGCACCAUUAGUGCUAAAGUAAUAUUUCAUACAUAGAAAAAUAAAAACUACACCUAAGGUUAAGGGAAAGGACUUCAAAACUCUCUUUUGAUCAUAAUACAUUUUGUCCUAAUUAACUUAAAGAUUUUGAAUCUAAUAUUUUAUAAUAAAUAAAAAUAUAUUCCUAAAAUAAAUAUAAUAUCAAUAUUUAAAAUAUGUUUUAAUAUUUUACAAUCUAUCAUACACAUUUUAUUAUAUUAAAGUAGAUUUUAUAAUAAAUACAAACGUACUAUUAAAAUUAAUAUAUAAAAAAUUUAGAAAAUUUAGAAUAUUAUAUAAAAUAAUUUUAAUAUAAUGCGUGAGAUAUAUUUUAUUAAUUUAAAAUUUUAUUUUACCUAAAAAUAUGAUAAAUUAAUAAUUACAUAUUUAAAGUUAUUUCAAAUAUUAAAAAAAUUUAAUAUUAUUAGUUUUUUAGAUAGAUUAAAUUAUUUUUAUAAGAGAUAGAUUAAAUUAUUUUAAAAUACCUUAAUUGUUUUUACUUUUAACGUUACCGGCCUUUCUUUUAUUUUAUUGUAAAUUAAUGCUAACAAGAAAAAGCUAGAUCAUAUUCCACAAAAGCAAAAGUGACAAACACAAUCAGCUGGAAUCUUUUAUAAAACUACAAAUUAAAAUGGUUUUUUUUUUUUUUUGAUAAAUUACAUAUAAAAGUGGAUUCUUUUGAAUAUAAGUGGGGUAGGCUCUUUUAUUUUUUUUUAAUACUGUAUAACAAGAUUGUAGACUCCUUGAUUAAGCACAAGUAUAAAGUAGUCGAGACGAUACUUUAUGCUAGGUGUCCAUUGAAUAUUAGAUCUUCAUUUCUUUGGCCAUUUAAUUUUUUCGAGAAAUUUUUCUUACGAUCCCGGCUAAGCUUGAAGAAAAGACAACUCAACGGUUUUUUUAAAACAAGUUUCCGUUUUGGUUGGUGAAAUGAAAACGAAAUAAAGCACUUCCAUCCAAAAAUCAUUCUUCUGGAGAAAGGGAUGACAGAUUAAAGAAAAGGGGUGUACUGAAAGGAGAAAAAAGGUUCUUGCAUGAGAGCUGGACACGUUAAAAGAAGUUGAACAAAUGUCUCAAAAAGAAGCUAUUUCGCUUUCAUACUAAAGCCUAUUUGUAAUAGCAUCAGCAAUGCUCCACUAUCCACAUUCUUGUGCGGAUAUCAUUGCAAUCUACUAAUGGUAUAUAAACAUGCAUGUUGUCCCAUGAUGAUUAAGUUAACACACACUUGGAGGUACUUAAAUUAUGCCAUAAAGAGAUAUAGUUAUUACGCAUACAAAUGUUAUUCAAUGGUUAAAAUGUAUGAUAAAGAAAUCGCUUGAAUUUUUUAUUUGCCGUUACGUAAUUUUUUUAUUGAUUCCGAGUUUGAAUCUUAAAAGAAAUAAAGGGUUAGAAAAUUAAUUUGAACUUUGUCCACUCUUUAACUUAAUGAGUAUAAAAACAGAAAAUGCAGGUAAUUUAAUUUUGACAUCUAACAUUUAAGAGAUAGAGCUUGAAAGAGUCCAAUAUUAAAUUAUAAAAUAAUUGAAAUAAAGUUUGCCCCAUAAGAAAAAUUGAACAAAAAAUCUUAAGUAUGAUAUGAUGCUAGAGAAAUUAUUUAUCUCAAAACUUUUAUUAGGUAAUUAAGUCCUAAGAAUAUGUAAUUACACAUGUAACAAAAAUUAGAGAUGAGGGUCUUUUAUUAAACUACAAAUUGUAUAGUCUUUUUAAAAUUGUUAUAAAUUGGUGGCCCCUACAAUCCUCAAUAAUUGUGCCGAUAUUCACAAGUUGGUGGCCCCUACAAUUAUCAACUGUGCAAGUGCUCAUUCACAAUCUUCCAGGUCAUGCUCUUAAUAAUUGUUUUUUUUUUCUGCAUUCCCUUUCAUGCUCUUAAUAAUUGAAGAGCAUACUUUUCAAAUAUGGAGCCGCAGCUAAUGUCGCUAAUUUAAUUUGGGAUUAAAUUAGGGGACCAUUAUGUUGCAGUGUGCACUAAUUUUUGUGUUUAUCUAAACUCCUUAAAUUUAAGACAUAUUACGGCAUAAAUAAGAAUAUAACAAUAACAAAAGAGUUAAAAAGUGUAGAGAAGAUCUUGCAGAAAUAUAAAUAAUAUCUAUUUUAAAAUAAUAUCAAUAUUUAAAAUAAUUUUUAAUAUUUUAUGAUCCAUUAGAUAUAUUUUAUUAUAUUAAAGUAAAUUUUAUAAUAAAUAAAACAUACUAAAUUUAGAGUAUUUUAAGUAUUAUAUAAAAUAAUUUUAAUAAAAUAUGUGAGAUAUUCAUAUUUUAUUAAUUUAAAAUACCAUUUAACCUAAAGAUUUAUUUAUGAUAAAUUAAUAAUUAUAUUUUUGAAAUUACUUCAAAUAUUAAAAAAAUUAAUAUUACUAAUCUAUUAGAUAGAUUAAAUUAUAUAUAUUAUUUUCUAUUUAUUAAAAAAUUUUAAAAUUAUUUUUAAUUACUAUUCAAAAAAUAUAAUGAUAAAAAAAAAUCUUAACAUCUUUAUUAAAAAUUUAAAAAUUUUCAUGAUCAAUUCUCUAAAUAUUUAGGGUAUAUGUGAACCACGGUGGAGAAGCUUUAUUUAAUAUUAUUGAUUUAAAUAAUAUGUGACAAAACAACUAGGUGGACUACAAAUUAAAGUGGAUUCUUUUGAAUACAAGUGGGACAGACGAUUAGGCUCUUUUUAAUUUUUAUUAAAGGCAAGUAAAAAGUAGUCGAAUAGUCUUUUUCAAAUUCUUGUUUUAUUGUUUUUCAAAACUAACAAGAAAAAGCGAGAUCAUAUUCCACCCCAAAAGCAAAAGUGACAAAACAACCAGCUGUAUUCUUUUAUUAAACUACAAAUUAAAAUGGAUUCUUUUGAAUACAAGUAGGACAGACGAUUAGGCUCUUUUUAUUAAACGCAAGUAAAAAGUAGUCGAAUAGUCUUUUUCAAAUUCUUGUUUUAUUAUUUUUCAAAAUUAGUUUUUGGUAAUUACUGUUUUUCCUUCAAAAGUUAGCGGUUCAUGUUUGCAAGUGUGAAUGUGCGAUGCUCUUUUCUUAAAGGCAAUUACAGUGGGGCCCGAAUGCCUAAAUCUUUUUAAAAUUUUUGCCGUAUAACGAACAGAGGUCAUUACUAAAAUUUCUCUUCCACAGCCUACAGCAGCUUCAGUUUAUCAAACUCAAUCAAUUUUCUUUCUUAACAAAAUUCCAAAGAUGUGUAGCAUUUUUCAGAUCGCAUGCGAUGGUGCUCUUUUCAAUCGUUGCUUGGAUUGCUUUCUUGGAAAAGCAGCAUACCUUCGUAACCUCCCAGAUAAUCUUGUAGACUUGGAGACUGAACUGGGAAGACUAAUCGCAGCAAAGAACGAUGUGAUGAUGAGGGUUGUCAAUGCUGAACGGCAACAAAUGAGAAGGCUGGGCCAAGUGGAAUGGUGGGUUUCGAGGGUGGAUGCUGUUAAAACUGGAGCCGAUGAACUUAUCACAGACGGCUCUGAAGAAAUUGGCGAAUUAUGUGUUGGAGGCUACUGUUCCAAGAACUGCAGGUCAAGCUACAAGUUCGGAAAACAAGUGGCUAAAAAGCUACAAGAUGUGAAGGCUUUAAUCGCCGAGGGAGUUUUUGAGGCGGUGGCUACUGAGGUGGUGCCCGAGAGAGCUCCGGAACCUGUAGCAGAUGAAAGACCCAUUGAGCGAACAGUAGUAGGCUUGCAAUCACAACUUGAACAAGUCUGGAGAUGUCUUGUAGAAGAAUCAGUGGGAAUCAUUGGCCUAUAUGGUAUGGGCGGUGUUGGUAAAACCACACUGUUGACCCAUAUCAACAAUAAAUUUCUUGAGAGUCCCACCAACUUUGAUUGUGUGAUUUGGGUCGUAGUUUCAAAAGACCUGCGACUUGAAAAAAUUCAAGACGAUAUUGGGAAGAAGAUAGGUCUGUCUGAUGAUUCAUGGAAGAAUAAAAGUUUUGAGGAGAAAGCUGUAGACAUCCUGCGGAGUUUAGGAGAGAAGAGAUUUGUAUUGUUGUUAGAUGAUUUAUGGGAGCGGGUUGAUUUAACAAAAGUGGGCGUUCCACUUCCCGGACCACAAAAUACUACCUCAAAAGUCGUAUUCGCAACCCGUUUCAUCGAUGUUUGUGGUAGCAUGGAAGCUGACAGGAAGUUCCUAGUGGCGUGCUUAUCAGAAAAGGAUGCUUGGGAACUGUUUCGAGAAAAAGUUGGGGAAGAAACUCUUCAGAGUCAUCAUGAUAUCGUUGAGCUAGCCCAAAUUGUGGCCAAAGAGUGUGGUGGUUUGCCACUCGCACUUAUUACUAUUGGUCGAGCUAUGGCCUGCAAAAGGACAGCCGAGGAGUGGAUACACGCAGUUGAAGUGCUAAGAAGAUCAGCUUUUGAGUUUGCAGGUUUGGGAAAAGAGGUGUAUCCUCUUUUAAAGUUUAGCUAUGAUAGUUUGCAGAAUGAGACGAUUAGAUCUUGUUUCUUAUAUUGUUGUUUAUAUCCCGAAGAUUAUGGAAUUCUUAAAUGGGACUUGAUUGAUUGUUGGAUUGGUGAGGGAUUCUUAGAGGAAUCUGACAGGUUUAGUGCAGAAAACCAAGGUUACUACAUUGUGGGCACUCUUAUUCAUGCGUGUUUACUAGAAGGGAUAGAAGAUGAUAGAGUAAAAAUGCAUGACGUUGUUCGUGAUAUGGCUCUAUGGAUAGCUUGUGAAAUUGAGGAGAGGAGACACUUUUUGGUUUGUGCAGGCGCUGGAUUAGAACAGGCACCGGCUGUUAGAGAAUCGGAAAAUGUGACAAGAUUGUCAUUGAUGCAAAACCAAAUUAAAAUUCUGUCGGAGGUUCCCACAUGCCCUGAUCUCCUCACUUUAUUUCUUGACUUUAAUGAGGAGUUGGAGAUGAUCGCGGAUGGCUUCUUCCAAUUUAUGCCUUCUCUCAAAGUUUUGAAGAUUUCAAACUGCGGGAAUUUUACUUUUCAAUUACCUUUGGGGAUGUCAAAGUUGGGUUCACUAGAACUUUUUGAUAUUUCACGCACCGAAAUACAAGAGUUACCAGAAGAGUUAAAGUUGUUGGUAAAUCUGAAAUGUUUGAAUUUGAGGUGGACAAGCAAGUUAAUUAGAAUUCCACGGCAACUAAUAUCAAAUUCUUCAGGGUUACGUGUGUUGAGAAUGUUCGCUACUGGCUAUGAAUGUUUUCAUGAAGCACCAGAAGACAGCGUUUUAUUUGGUGGGGGUGAAGUUUUAGUACAGGAAUUGCUCGGUUUGAAAUAUUUAGAGGUAUUGGAGUUGACCUUGGGAAGUUAUCAGGCUCUCCAAAUCUUUUUGAGCUCAAAUAAGUUAAAAAGUUGUAUUCGAUCUCUUUUCCUCCAGUUGGCCGGAGAUACAAAGUCGAUUAUUGAUGCUGCGGCUUUCGCAGAUCUAAACCACCUCAAUGAAUUAUAUAUUUAUGAAGGUAUUGAGUUGGAAGAAUUGAAGAUUGAUUAUACAGAGAUAGUACGAAAAAGGCGGGAACCUUUUGUUUUCCGCAGCCUUCACCGUGUUACCAUAUUUAGUUGCGGUAAAUUGAAAGAUGUGACAUUCCUCGUUUUUGCUCCAAACCUCAAGUCUCUUGAGCUAUUGCAAUGCGAUGCUAUGGAAGAAAUAAUCAGCGUCGGAGAAAUUGCUGAGACUCCUGAGAUGAUGGGACACAUAAGCCCUUUUGAAAAUCUCCAAAGUCUUCAUUUAUCGUAUUUACCAAUUUUGAGGAGCAUCUACUGGAAGCCAUUGCCUUUCACUCAUCUCAAAAAAAUGGAGGUACGUAGAUGCGAUCAGCUUAGAAGGCUUCCGCUCGAUUCCAACAGUGCAACAGAGCGUAAUGUUGUUAUUCGUGGAUACACACUCUGGUGGAACCGACUUCAAUGGGAGGAUGAAGCCACUCAAAUUGCUUUUCGUUCCUGUUUCCAACCUCGUUCCUGAGCAGUGGUCGCAAAAUUUGAUUUCUGGUGAGUGCGUUUGUCUUUUAAAAAGAAGAAUUUAAAAGAAAUUUAUUCUUGUCGUUUUCUUCACUGUUUUUAUUUGAUUUCUGGUUAGUUUCUUUCUCUCUCUCUCUCUCUUUGUCUUCUGCAAAUCACAAUUAAAUGUUGAAUUAAUGGAAUUGAUGCUCUGGUUUUUUACUUUUUGUUGUCAAAUUUUGCCCUGUUCUAUCUUCUUAGCGAUUUAAUUUCCUGUCAAAAGACGAGCGAGAAGAACAUAUAUAUGACUUAAACCAAUUGAUACUUUAUUUAUGUGCAUUGUAUGUAAUAAAUAUUAAGUAUACUUUAUUUUUGCCCUGUUCUCUGUUUUUAUUUCAGUCUCUCUCUCUCUUUCCUGUCUUCUGCAAAAUAUAAUCAAUUAUUUUCAAAAUAUCAUUGAUGAUUUUUCUGCUCUAAUGCUAUGUAAAUAGUAUGUUAAGUAAAACAUAAUCAAUUAUUUGUGUUUUAUCUCUAAUUAGAACAUCAAUCAGUUCAGUACCUCACAAAUAAUUCGCAAUAUCUACAAAAUACUAUAAUGGCUACAAAACAAAUCCUGCUUGCAAAUUGUCAAGGAUACCUAUCCGUUCGCUUGACAAGUCAUUUGAAUAAAUAUUGUUCACAUUCCUUACUCUAUCAAUUAUCCAAAGCACCAUCAAUGGUCCUCAACUUUAGUUUGAAUAGUAUACAUGCCAUCACCAUUACCAAGAAUCAAGCAUGGAAGAGUCAUUCUAUAGAGUUAAUCGAAGCAAGGAAUGAUGUAUCAGAAAAUAUUUGGUGGAGAAUUCAGCACAAACAUAUUUUGGAUGAUCAGAAUCAAUAAAACCUGGUGGUUGCGCCAUAUAAACAUCUUCGGAAAGCUGACCUUGAAGAAAGGCGUUAUUGAUAUCCAAUUGACGAAGAGGCCAGCCAUGACUAACAUCAAUACUAAGAACAAGCCGUACUGUGGUGGACUUAACAACUGGACUGAAAGUGUCAUAAUAGUCCACACCAGGCCAUUGAUUGAACCCUUUGGCAACAAGAUGAGCUUUAAACCUGUCAACAGAACCGUUGGAAUGUCUUUUAAUACAAAAAUCCAUUUGCAGCCAACAAUAUUGGAAGGGAUGGGAGGUGGAACAAGCUUCCAUGUCCCGUUACGAACAAGAGCAUCAUACUCUUCUGACAUAGCUGGACGCCAGUGAAGAUUUUUGAUAGCUUGCGUCACAGUUGUAGGUUCACAAUCAGAAGAAGGGCUAAAAUGAGCACGGAGGUUAAGUUUUUGUAACGGCUUGUGAAUCUUAUUUUUAGCUCGGGUAGUCAUAUCAUGAUGACUUGUGGGGCAAUGAUCUAGUGGAGUUUAGGAAGAUGAUUGAACAGGAAGUGAAGAAGUGCUUUGUGUAGAGGUAGAAGUAGGUUGGGAGGAUUGCUGCGGAGAUGUUACCGGUAGAGAAGAAGGAGCAGUACACGGUGGCAACUCCAGAGGGCCCACAAUAGAUGGAGUAGGUGCCGACAAUGGAGUACUAGGAAAUGAAACAGGAAGAAUUGGUGGAACACUUGCGUAAUUAGGAGUGGUAGAUGAGCUUGUAAUGAUUUGUAUGGAAAAACAAACUCUACAAAUUUAACGUGACGUGAAAUAAAAAUUCAACCCGAUUGCAUAUUUAAGAACAUCUCAAAUGAAUUGCUUACUGCUAUCAUCAUCAUUAUUGUCUAUAUAAUAAUGGAUCUUUAUUAUAUAUAUGUUUCCACUAAAAUAUAUUUAAUUAUUCUUUAUUUUUCUAUUGUUGCGUGUAAGAUUUAUUUGAGUUCUAAGUUAUAUCAAUACAAAUGUUAUCUUAUCCAUAAAAAGUUAGAUCCAACAAUUAUGAAAAUUACUAUAGAGUUGCUUUCAAUUAUUUUUUUAAAAUACCAGGAGUAAAUAAUAAUUAGUUCAAAUGGUGGAGACUAAAAUGCGUUCACCUUUAUUUUUUAUCUGUUAUUUACUUUUGUCAUUACAUUAAUGCACAUGCUAUACAUUUGAGACAUUCCAUUAAUUGCCAAUUAUGUAUGUGAGAUAGUAAUUUAAAUUAAAAAAUAAAAGUGAAAGUUAAUCCUAUGCAAUGUGAAUAAAUUUCUUUCCUUUUUCCUUUACUCUUUUUAUUUGACAAUAAAGUUUCCAUCUAUCAUCUAUCAUCUAUGUACACAAAAUUUCUGCAACAAGUACAAAACAUAAAAAUAUAUGAAUAUUAAGGGAAACACGCAGAAGUUCAUCAUUUCAAUGUUCAGUAUUACCAAUUUUGGCAUUAAGCUUGUACGAAUAUAUUCUACUUCGAAAGCAAAAUAUUAGACUCGUGAUUUUAAUUCAUUCAUUAUCUCUCAUUUUAAUCCCAAAAUAUUCAAGAGUAUCCAAGUUACCAUAAGACUUCAGAGGCUCGAGCCUUAGCCAGAGAUGGUUAAUUGAUAGACUAUGUGCCUGGGUCGAGCACUGGAAGCCUGCAAUGCAGACUGAUUGAUUUAUCAGUUUAACGUGUGCCAGGAAUGAAGAACUGGAAUAUCACCGUCAAGCAAGCACCCUGUGGAGCAAUACCAAAGAAUGCACAAUCUGGCUUUGCUAGGUGACCCUGGAGGCUUUUUGAAAAGUGCUUCAUGCUCACUUGCACAGAUUGAGCAUCCCCUCUGGAUAUUGCCCUCUCUGAUCGAGUCUGAGCACUCAAAUUUCGGUCCUCAGAUGGAGCUACAGCUUUCUCUCCAAUAACCAACAAUUUUCUAAACUCAGCACCUAGUGUGAUCAGAGUUGUUGAUAUUUGCAAAUGGAGAUCCCCAUAUUUGCAAAUGGAGACAUUUAACAAAUCACCAACAUGCUUCAUCCGGUCCACGAAAUUCUGCAACUGAUUCAAAUCUGGAACCUGAACCAGAGUCGGAGGUAUAUCUUGAGCCAUAUCUAAAGCAGUUUGAAGUUCAAGACCUUGAGCCCUUGACAAUGGUUUUGAAAUUGGAACAUCUUGGAUUACUGCAGACUUGUACCCCUUGGUUUCAAAGGUAAGGAAAGGCAUUGCUUGAGUACAAUUUGGAGGCAGCUUCUUCACCAAUUUUAUUUGGAGGCAAUUGGCAGCGGAUCCAGCUGCACCAAUUUCAGAGCAACUACUGACACUACUUCGAACAGCACACUGACGAAGUGAUAUGUCUACGGCAAAGGCAAUGCAGUCCUCAUUUUGGCUUGAGAUGCAGUAAUCAUCGAAGAGAGUUUCCUUGUGAAACUGGGCAACACAUUGAAUCCCUUCGCCACUGAGAAGGUUGUGGAGGAAGUAAGCUGUCUCUCUAGUGAGGAAGAGGUGGCAUACCUUCCCCAUUUUGUCUAGGGCAGGUAGGAAUCUUUUUUCUAAGAGAUUUACUUCAUUCUCUGUGAGAAAUGCUUUGAACUUCAUCCCUCUGUCUCUAUCCUCACUUAUCAGGAAAUAAGUUGAAAGCACUAUGAAGAGAGAGAGAGAGAGAGAGAGAAUUAAGAUAUAUAGACAAGAAAAUAAUUAGACGUUGAUCUUACAAACUAAUACUUCAAGCAGUAUCCUAGAAAGCUAAAAACUGCAAGAUGGCUUGAAAUUUGAAAAGAGCACAUGGUUUUCCUCCUUAACUUGAGAAAAUGUUUAAUAUAGUGCACCUUACAGAAGCAUUUAAGCAAUUAGAACUUUGCACAAAAACAUCAAGAAGACUAAACAAAUCAGAUGCAGUGUAUUUGUCCAAGCACAAAUUGCAUUUUGUCCUCAACUUUAAUAUUUAUUGAUGAGAAUCAAUACAGGUCCCUCAUUUGUUAUAGAAAGCUUUCUUGUAGUCUCACCAGUUAAUUCACAGGUCUAUAAUCAUCUUGCAAAGUUAAGGGCAUUUCUUUCGAUCUAAAGUCUUUGCAUCACCACCUCAUCACACGCCAAGCCAAUAUUCCAUUUACCUCUACAACAAAAAGUUUUUAAGUAAAUAAUCCUAAUGCACGCAGCCGAAUAAAAUGCAGUAAGAAUAUUCAACUUAAAAAUCUGAAAGCCAACUUGGUGAAUUGCCUCCUUAGGUGAAGUUCCAUGCUUUACUAUAGUUGACAGAACUCAGCAAAAGCUUCCAUACAACAGAUUUUGAAAAUGAUGAUGCCAAUAGAUACUCAUUCAAUCCAUUGAAACUCCAAAGGUUCAUUGUUCAUAGAAGUUUACAGAGUUUUGGUCAUCAAAUAGCUCAGACCUAAUCCCAAACAAAAAACGAGUGAAAAUUAGAUCACGAGCAGCUAAUUGUAAAUUCUAACUUAACUCUUCAUCUCCUUUGUAAACAAGAAACAAAAUGGAGACACGCAAAAUGAAUAUGGAGAAAAUUUGAACUCAAAUGAAAUGAGGGCACGAAAGCAAACAAAUGGCAUGCACAAAAAAACCAAGCCUCGAUAAAAAACUAAUUAACCAUUAAGAAAAAAAUUGGUCAGAGAAUGAACUCCAAAUUCAGGAGUCAAGCAAGAAGCUUUCAUUAUUUCAGAAGCUCCUGUACAAAUUAAUAAGUUAUGCUCUUUGGAAGCAAACCUAAAUUCCAAGAGAAACAGAACCCAAAAAAUUUGCAAUUAUACGCAAAGGAAGUGAAGCACAGGAUUCUAUCACACAUAGGAAUUGUAUAACAAGAGAUCGAUAUAUCGAAUUAGAAAACUCAAUUCGAAUUUGUGUCAAAAAUCAAAAUUAGAAGAUUUCACAUUUCGAGAGGAACAAGCAACAGAUGAAGUUCAAAAUUUCAGCCAUAACAUGCUAAAAAUGCUACACUUAACGGUUCAUUUUCAUGGAUUUUCUCGGGAAACAAACAGAAAAUUACGGUUUAGAGAGUUGACUGACCUUUUGGCUUUUGAAAUUGACCAGAUCGCGCGCCAAAUUGGAAGAGGGAAAGUGAAAGCGCGAGUUUUAAUAUGGGUAUUAGAUAAGGAAAUUUUAUUAGGUUGCGAGGGUAAAAAAGGAAAGAGAUAUCAUUAUUUUAUUAUCGAUAAUUAUUAAAUUUUUUUCCAAAAAAAAGAACAAGCAAGGAUUUUUUAUUGUCAUCACUAAGUUAAAAAAAAUUGUUUCAAAAUUACUUGAGUCAUAUCCAAUGGACCAACAAAGUAAUCGUUUUUAUUUUUAUUGAUUUUUGCAGGAAAUUAAUAACUUAAAAAUACUGAAAGCUACUGUAAAAAUUUUUAUUAUCAACCUCAUAAUUUUUUUUUUUUGGGGAAGAGAAUUCAAACUUUUUUUUUAUGAAUAUCGCUGUUUCGUUUGAGUUGGAUGUGAAUUCAAAUCCAAAUAUUCUUUGUUUUUCAAUUUUGAACUCAAUUUCUUUUUCUCAAGAAUGUUAUGCAGAAAUAAUUUUUACUAAAUCUUUUUUGAUGAAUUGUUUAAAUUAAACAAUUGGAAUAAGAAUUGUAACGAUUUAUCAUAAGCGUGCUAAUAUGAUAACUUGUUUUACGAAGGAUUAAUUAAUCAAUUAAUAUUAAAUUAUAUAUUAGUCAAUUAGAUAUGUGUUACAUUUAUCAUGUUUUGUAGGUGAUAGUACAUCAUUUCUAAAAGAAUAUAGUACGUUAAAAUAUUAUUUUAAUGAAGAAAAUUUUAUUAUUUUAUUAUUAGGUGACACAAUAAUAAAUGGAUUUCUGUAAGAAUUGAGAUUCUUGAUAUAAUUAUUACAUAAGGAGAAGUUUAGUUGGUUCAAUUUUGACGUGAUAAGAAGACAACACAGCACAGAAAACCCAAAUUGCCACUUCCACUAAUAAAAGAUACCUGUUUGAAAAGUAAUUAUAAACUAUCUUCUUUGUGUUAUUUCUCAAAACUUUUGUGGCACAAAUGUUAUUUCCAUUGACAACAGUACGAAAUACCACCCCUUUCACUUGAGCAGGAGCAAAGCAAAGGUAUGAUGAGCUAUCUCUGUAUAAUUGAAACGCCAUUACUAAACGAUUCUUGAUGAUGGGAGCCACCGUGCCAGCUUUGUCGCUGAUUUGCAUGAUUUAUUAGUUGUCCAGAUGGCGGAUUUUGUACUGUUACCUUCGUUUCAUUCUUCAGAGCCAUGUACUGUUCUAGGAUACCAGAGAAACCAAGGUGGCAUUGAAGUUGCCCUGGUGGUUAGUUUUCCGAUCAUUUUUUUAUUCAAUUAUUUAUGUUUUUAGAAAAAUGUAGGAAAUAUGUAGAAAUGUUGACAGCUAUGAUUUUGAAACUUUUGCCUAAAAUUGUUAUCAUUACUUGUUGUUUCUUAUUUAAAGAGAAAUUCUAGAAACAUGAAAUGAUUAUUCUACGCUUGUUUUAAUAUUGUGCUAUGAAGAUUACGAAGGUUUGAUUAUAUGUCACUAUCAAUUGCCUUAAUCGUUUGUCGUAAAUCAAUUAAGCAUUUUGAUGCGAAUGAUUCCCUAUUAAAAAAUUCAAGUCAGAGCUGAAUUGCAAAGUAGUUAGUCGUGCUUGCAAUUCAAAUUAAGUAUUGUAUUUUCUCCCUGAUUUGGUUGAUUCAACUAUGUGCAUUUGCUUAUGAACGUUGCAGUAUAGAAAUCGAAAUAUCUUGUCUUUUGCUAAGCCCAGAAGCAAAUUCUUUGUAUUCUACUCAUCAGUUUUCUUCAUUCUCUUUGUUGAAAUUUUAUCUAAACAGCGGUUUCUUCGAAUUUAUGCCUUCGCUUACUCUUUUAAAUUUUAUCCAAACAACGGUUUUGAAAUUGUUUUCACUACAAUACCUUAGUCUUUCAGAUGCUCCCGUCACUGAGUUGCCAGAAGAGCUAAAAGCCUUGGUAAAUCUUAAGUGUUUGAACCGGAGUACACAAAUUAUCUCUCUACAUUUCCAAAGCAAUUGAUUUGUUACUUUUCGAUGCUACAUGUUCCGCGAAUAUUCAGUUGUGGUUAUCUUGUUCAGAUACCAGAAAAUAGCGUUAUAUUUAGUGGUAAUGAAUUCUUGGUUUGGGAGUUGCUUAGUUUAAAACGUUUAAAUGUAUUAAGCAUCAUCUUGAAAAGUUUUUCUGCUGUCCAAAAACUUAUGAGCUUCCAAAAGUUUCAAAGCUGUACACAAUGCAUGGAGCUUGUAGACUGUGAUGAUCCAAAGUCAUUUGCCGUGGCAGAGUUGAAGCAUCUUGAAAAACUAGGUUUUUCAAGUUGUGGAAAUUUGGAAGAGUUAAAGUUCUGCUGUGUCGAAGUUGCAAAGGCUCGAGAAUGUUUUCGUUUGAACAGCCCUCACUGAGUUAAGAUGAAGGCUUGUCAUAAAUUGUGGGAAGCGACAGGUUAUUCAAAUAGAAAAAUUUAUGGAGAUGGAUGUUAAUCUUAAGGUUAUUCAAUUAGAAAAAUUUGAAUAAAAUUUAUGGUAAGUGCUUUUCCAUUUAUUGCAUAUUUAUAUCUAAUUUUUAUUUUCCUUUAUUGUUAAAUUUUGGUCUCUAUUUGUUGUUGUAUGGUGGCAUUCUUGUACAAUUAUUAGCUUUUCAUUUCUCUUCUCACAUUAACUGCCCUUCUGAUCAUGUAGGAUUUGCUGAUGCAAAGAGUCAUAAUUUGGGAUACAAAUGUAAGAAUUAGACAGAUGACAUGUUGUUUUGAAGCUCUCAAAGAAGGACUAAUUAUGUCAUUGAAAGCCUCCAAUUUUGUGAUUGGUUUCUUUUUAUUUUAUUUGUUGUUUUCUCUAUUUUCAGAUCACUUAAUUGUUAGUUGUUGUAAUGUAAUGUUUUAGUAUAGCAAAUUAUAUUCGGCCAAGACAGUGAUAGGAGGGCACAUUGUGCAUGCACACUAGUGGAUUUGGCAUGCCAAAUCCAAUUAGGAUGGAUAACACUUUAUAAGCAUUAGGCUUCUCUCAUACCUGAGUAAUAUAGAAUAUGUUUAUAAGUUGUGAAUCACCCUUUACAAGUGUUAGGCUUCUGCUAUACUCAGUGAUGUGAAAUAUAUUUAUAAGCACUAAACUUCUCCCAUACACUUUAUGUUAAUAAUAAUAAUAAUAAUAAUAAUAAUAAUAAUAAAAUAAUAAUAAAUAAACCCAUUUUAACAGACUCUUUUUUCUUUUUCUAUAUGAACAAAUGCAUUCUUCAAAGCAACUGUGGGGAGAAGAAGUGAGUAGAGAAGAACUGAGCCCCUGUCAUUCCCCUAAAACCUCACCAAAACCUCUCUUGUAAGCUUCUCGGAUUUUCUUUCUAUAUUUCUUAGGAACUCAUUUUUUAUUGAAUCACUUAUUUUGCAUGCUGCAUUUUUUGGUUGUCGUAUUUGUGUAUUAUCUUAUCUGGAAUGCUGUUAUGAUUGAUGGAACAAGUAAUCGAUUUUUGGUCUAAUGGAAGUUGAUUUAUUUAUUUAUUGUUGUUUUUAUUUGAAAUUAUGUACAAUUGUAUUUCAUUCAUUUCUCUCUCUUUUGCUUUUUUCCCCCCAUAUAUUUGUUAUGUAUAAUUGCGUUUCAUUUAAUAUUGAUCAUACUGUAGGUAACCAUGUGAUUGUAGAUGGGGAUUUCGAGUUUGUUGAAUAUUCAUGUAAGUGAAGUAACCGUCACAAUACUAGUGAAAUUGGGAGCUUUAUUCAUGAGUUUGUGGUUUUGAAAAGUACCACAGUUCAACUGGUGAAGGCUCCGUUUUGGGAUUCUUCUUUUUCUAGGCUGCAAUUAGGAUAUGUACAUGAUAGACAAUCUUUUGUUGGUUUAGCAUAUCUUCGCUGAUUUUGUCUUUUAUUCCCCAAUUUUAUAAUUACACACCAUGAAUGUUGGGUGAUUGUAUAGAAAAUUUGUGUUAUAACAAAAACAUUGUGAAGGAGUUUCCGUGCUAAUAGUUAGUGGCUUCUGUUUUAUUGGCAUUGAUUGGGUAGAUUACGUGUUACAGUGAUUCAAUUUGUGUUCCAAACUUUGCUUUAAUUUUCUGUUUUCCCCAACUAUUUAUGUCAAAUUUAAAUCCAGAAGCAUGUGCUGAUUUUUUCUUUUUGUAUUAAUCUGUGAAGUUUAUUUGGAAUGGAAGUAACUGGGUCGGGUCUAAUGGAUUAAAUUAUGACAUUGAGGGGAAGGCACUAAAAGGGUUUGCUUGACACAUUUGGUUCUGUGUUUACUCUGCAAGAAAUAACUUUUGCUUAUUGCAAUGCAGGGGGAAAUCCCGAUUUGGCUGGUGAAUUUCUCUGCAACAAACAGGCAAACACCUCAACAUCUUCUGUCCAUACUUCUGCUGGGGAGGCAAGGGGUAAAGAGUCUUCAAAAUCAUCAAAUAGUUACAUCUCUGAGAAUUCAUUUUAUGGAAAUGGAAAAUCUAGAGUUUCUAAUACAAAAUGGCAUCUGGUAUCAGGACGUACCGUUUCAAGUUUUCUUGGUAAAGAUUAUGUUAAACCUGCACAGCCAGCUAAUGGCACUUUUCUGGCAUCAAAGCCAUUGAAGUUGGAUCCAAGGGAGUUUCGCAUUUCUGCACUUUCAGAGAAGAAACUAAACCGACAAUCAAAGGAUGACCAUUUGCAGAAGGAUAUGGAAGAUUUUCUUUUUAAAUUGCUAGGAGAAGGGUUCCAGCUGUACAGGGAUGUGAUUCAGGAGGUUCAUGGUAACGUCUUAAAUAUAUUGAUGCCAAUUUAAUACAUAUUGUCCUUUUCAAUGUUCUUUCUUUCUUUCUCCUCUUUUUAUUAUUCUUCUUCUUCUUUUUUCUUUUCAUGUGCAUGUGAUCACUAAUUUGGUAUUAUUCUUGACUUGCAGAUAGUUGUGGAUAUGAAAUGCAAAAGGUAAGGGCUAUAUCUUCUUGAUGGAGGCCUCUGAUUUUUUAAAUCGCAUUUUCCUUUGUGAUUGAUAUAUCAUACCAAAGUCAAGUCUUAAAUACUGCUGUCAUAUGUUAAGGUUCAACUUCCAUUUUGAUUAACGUCGAUUUGCUACUGCUUCCAAAAGUGAGAAUGAGAUACUUUGGUUAAUUUCAGUAGUUGAACUCAAUGGAGUACUUUAUUUAGAUCUUCAUGGUUCAAAGGCCUGAAAAAACUUGCCGGUAUUUGCAAAAUGACAUCUGUGCUUUUAUUUAGACUUAUUAUUAAAGACAACAUUUUAUUUCAGCCAAAAAUGUUUGUUUCAAUUAAAGACUUGAACCAUUUUCAUUUAACCUGAUUGUGAUGCUUUACAUUAUGCAUGUUCCUCUCAAUCAAUAAAAGUUGAGGUCAUGAUUUUAUAUUUCUAUUUUGUAACUUGAAAUAAUUGGUCUGCCUGUUUCUGUUGCUUGAUAACAUGAAUUUUUCCUUCUGAAGUUAAUUUGAUCAAUAAAGUAAUUCUUCGGAGAGGAUAUGCCCAUUCUAUAGUCAUUUUCUUAGCUAACAUGUUUUUUCUUCACUCUUCAAAGCAUGUCUAAACUAAUUGAUCGCUCAGCGGAGACUUUGGGUGAGAAGACAAAAUUUCUUGGUAAAUCCUCUGAAAAGGUAUGCAUAAUUCCCGAGUAUUAAAUAAUCAUUGGUCAUAAUUUUUGUACACGACUCUUGUUUUGGAGAUCGUUAAAAGUGGUUGAUGAUCUAUUUUGUAAUAUCAUAGAGGGAUCAUGAAUUCCUUUUCUUUUCUGUGGCUAGGCAACACUUUCGAGCCAAGCUAAGGAAAUCUAUUUUAGGUAAUGUGAAAACUAGUUGUAGGAUGUAAUAGUUUAUUAUGCCCUGACAAUAACUUUUUGUAUAAUUGUCAGUUUAAUGAAUACAAGAGGAACUCUGUUGGCAAGUUCAUCCAUGAUAGAUGCUAAAAUUAUUUAUGCAUACCAGUUGCCUUAACUAAUUUUUCUCAACACUGGUAUUGAACAGGAAAAUGAAUAUGCAAUUUGUAUAUUGUGCCAUUGUGGAGAAUUUGGAUAUUCUUAUUUAAGUAACAAGGAGAGUAUUUGCCUCAUCUUUAAACAAUGAAUCUUUGAGAAAUGAGGAGUGGGUGAUUGACAGUGUCUUCAUGUAAAUGUUCAUUUAUUUGUAUUUUGAACUAUUAUGAGAAUCUUUGUAUGCCAAAUUAGUAAUACAAAUGUUCAGAUGAUUUUUCCUGUUGAUCAUGCGUGUGUAUCUGCACACAACCAUUGUGUACCACUUUAUUCUGAUGCACAAAUAUCUGUAGUUUAGAAGAAAAGAAAUAAUAAUCAUAUAUUAUUGCUUGGUUCAUGAUUAUUAAAUGAUUAUGGCUUUAGAAAAUCCACAAAUCCUUUGUGUUCAUAUAUGAAUGUGCGAAGUUCGCUAUAUCUUAGAUUACCUUCUUCCAAGAUAACAAGUUCAUAUAUUUUUUUUAAUCCUUUUUCAUCACAGUUGAAUUUCAAGUGUAAGUUUUGUUAUUAAUAGCUGGUUUCCUGUUAUUAUGAUUUCAUAAACAAUGAGAGGAUAUGUGCUCUACUUUUGGAUGGCCUCCACAUAAAAGAAAAUUGCAACAAUUGAAUUCUUCUGGAGGGUAUGGUAUUUAAUUUAUUUUCUCAGCUUGUUGUAAGACUAAUAUAUUUCCUUCAGUACGCACGGCAUGGUGGGAAGGGUUUUUAUUGAAAGAAUUAUGAUAUUUCUUAGACUUUGUUUUGGAAGGGGGUGGAGGGAUUUCUCAUCCAUGUAUGGUUACUUGAUUAGCUUUUGACUGUACUGUCUCCGUCGUGCAAAGGAAAAUCCAAAUACUAACGAAGGGGAAUUGCUUAGGCACCCAAAGGACAGAAAUGAAUUACGGAAGGAGGUUUUUGCUGCUUUAUUUAGUGCUGCUGAGAAAUCUGAUGAAUUUCCUGAAAUUACGGUGAAGACGGAGUGGAGGUCCAACGCAUUAGGAAAGGUGGUGAGUGAACCGCCAGAGGAAUUAGUACCAGAAUACAAGGCUAAUGUGGUGCACUGGCAGCAAGAUGACCAGACCUGUAUGUGCUCUUAUAUUAACUAUAUUGGCUGGAUUUGUGAGUGUGUUCAUUUUUGUGUGUAUACUCACUUUUGUAUUUAUGCAUAUUCACGUGUGUAGGAUUCUCGAUUUCUGCCACUUACUGGAGAACUAGUGGAAAGCUUUAUACUGAUAUAUGUGCUAUAUAACUAAUGGAAACUACAAUAUGAAUAUUUUCUCUCACCUGGAGAGCAGUGUAACUAAUAUAAUUUGUGGCUCUGGAAUACUGAAGAUUCUGCAAUAACUAAUGGAAAAUAUGAUAUGAAUAUUUUUUCUCACCUGGAGAACUUUGUAACAGAUACAUUUUGUGCUGGAAUGUCUAAAGAAUGCUUCAGUUUAUAUCAAAUAUCUUUUAGUUAGAAAAGAUAAAAUUCUCUGAAUCUGAAAGACUGAAACAUUUUGCAUAUUUCGUGAAAGGCAAGUAUCUGUAGAUACUAGCUCAUGCAUUGAGGUAAUAUCAAUGUUAAAGAAAAACAGCAAUAAUUUAUUAUACAGAAUUAGGUUCACUUGCUUUAAAUGCUGGUCUGAUCAACCAUAUCAACCUGUAAUGGUCCUGCAGAAAUAUAUAUACGGGGAGAAACUAGCUAAUUUUCCUUUCACUUAUGGGUUUGGUCUUUUUUUCCCCAAUUUUUCAGCUUUCCUUCUCCUGAAGUAUGUUAAUAAUUGCAGAUAAUGGCGAAGAGGACUGCUUCCAGGCUACCGGCAAAAACUUUGUGAAAGCUUUGGAGUUAAACAGGGAAUUCACUUACUGCUAAGGACAAUUGGUGGCGAGCUAUUUCAUUCAUUUUAUGUCCAUACAUCUAUUUAAUUAUUAAAGAUAAUGUACGCAUUUGUAAAUUUCAGAUUGUGUGUCUCUGAAAAUAACAAUAUUUAAAAUGUCUCUUAAAUUAUUAUAAAUUUUAAUUUACUCUCGAUUUAAAAUGGAACAUGUUGGUGAAAUAUUUUUUCUUCUUAAUAAAAUUGAAAUAAAUUAUGUUAGCAGUAGUUUGAAAUAUUUUAAAGAUGAUUAUUUUAUAAGGGAGUAAUAUGAAAUGAAAUUUACUUUUCAUGCGUGAAAUGUUGAAAAAGGACAAAGCAAGUGUCCCUGCUUUUAUUUUAUUUCAAAGUGGAGUCAUCUCACAUACUUUAGCUCUAUCAUUAGGAGCCGGCUAAGUUACGUUAAACGUAAUUUACGCCAGGCACAGCAAUAAUGACAAGUCCCAUGACUAGUAUUGUUGCUGUGUCUGACGUAAGUUACGUUUAACGUAACUUAGCCAAAGCCCUAUCAUUAAUAUAUAUUUAAAUUUAACACAUGCAUGUGGGUUACUUUUCCGUAAGUUCCUUAAUAUAUAUUUAACACAAAUCAUGGAAGAGAUGGGAGUAUAUCAAGAUGAUCAAAGCAUGAAACAAAAAUAUUUAAGAAGUAAAACACUGAAAAUGGAGAAGAGAUGCAAGCAAAAGAUAUUCUAAAGAAAAGCAAUCUAUCCCCUUUCGAGGGCAAACUUAUCAGGUUUAAGAAAAGUACAUGCUUUGGAUUGGUAGUUGCAGCCUUGCAGGAUAAUUGUUUUUGCCACUAUAUUAGUUGGAGGAGUUGAACCCAGUGAAGAAUGUUAUGGAAGAGCAAAUGAUAUUUCUGAUAGACUCUAUUUGAUUAUGUAGCCUGAAUAGAUGUCUUGUUGAAAGAUAUAUCAGUGCAUUAGUUCAUCCUUGUCUGUCAAUGUGUUUUUAAUGGUUUUUCCAAUUGUUUUUUUUUUUUUUGAAACUGAUUAAGCAUCAGGUUACUGCAUUACACAGAUAUAUAUACAACUGCUAUGACAGCAGGUCAUUACACUGAUAUUUACAAUCAGAUAUAUAUACAUGGGACUUAUAUUAUUACAUUUUUAUUCUAUGAAGUACAUGCCCAUCCCAAAUACCCCUCACGGAGGAGGGAUGUCUCUACUCCACUCGCAUUUCGCAAGGGAGAAAGACGUUUAUAGAAAUCUCCACACAAUUAUGUUUAAUUGGAGGAGGUUGAGUCCGUGGGGACUCGAACCAUUGCCCUCAAAGUCAUGCUUAACUUUGAGGGCAAUGGUCCACCACUGGGCUACAAGCCCAAGUGGCGGUUUUUCCAAUUGUUUAUUGCUAUAGAUUGAUUGUAAAUUGAUGUGAACUUAAUGUUGAAAUAUUUUCUCUUUAGUGGAAUGAAAGUUAAACAUUCAAGAUUAGAUUAUUCAAGGUCCACAUAGUAUGUGUUCCGUUGUGUUGUCUGUAAUUUUGCAUUUAAAUAAAUUUGAGUGCUGCCGUUUCGCUCCCACAAUCUCUCGCCUUUUUUUAAUUUUAAAAAUUAAAAUAUUAAUAAAAAACAAUAAAGAAAAUCGAAUCCUUUAUGUCAUUCCAUCUUUACAACUCUCUCUCACAAACUCCAUCUAACAGACUUCUCUCUUACUAUCUCGGUCGAACAAGACCAGUGACAAUGAUGACACGACCGCCGACGAUGAGAUGGUCAUCGCUAAAGAAUCGGGCCGUGUAUUUUACAAUUUCUUGGUUUGUGACAACAAUGGAAAACUCCUGAAAAUUUUGAAUUUGUAGUCGAGCAAAGGAAGAAGCAAGUUAUCUUCAAAGCAUUUUCCAGUAAUAGCUGAUGAAAUUUAAUACUUCAAGCUGGCCCUUUGCUGUCACAACUAGAUGCAUUUGCACUGUCAUUACAAUUUAUGGAAAUUAAAGUAAUUAAUGGUUCUAAUUAAUAGCUUCCCAAAAAACCAAUCUGCCCUUGUGAGAACCAAAGCAUUAAUUUCUUGUAAGAGCUGCAGAAGGCCAGAGAAUUUCAGAUCGUGAAAAGGAGUGUGUGAGUGAGAGAGAGAUCGUGAAAUAGUGAGAGACAAUGAGAGAGAGAGCCGCUCGACUGAGAUGGUGAGAGAGUUGCAAAAAUGGAGUAAGGAGCAGAUAAGAUUAUGUUUUCUUUAUUAUUUUUUAUUAAUAUUUUAAUUUUUUUAAUUAAAAAAGGGCGAGAGAUUUUGGGAGUGAAACGGCAGCAUGUUCCAAUAAAUUUUUACCAAAGUUUCUCUCGUGUUUCUCUCACCUUUCUAGAUACCAAGCAUUUUCCAAUAAAUUUUUACUAAAAACUUAGCAAGCCCUUGAAACUUUGGUCAAAAUUAUUGUUAUUAUUACUUUUAGAGGAAAAACUUUUAUUAAAACCUCAUUAACACAAUUCUUAAUUAAAAUUAUAAGUUUGUGUUGGUGUAAGGAUUUGCAGGAGCAAUUACUGCCUAGCCAAGUGUCAAAAGCACAAAAUAAAUCAAGAGAAAGUAGACAUGAAUUAGGAUCCAAUGAAAUUUAAAUCCCGGAGAAAAGAAAUAAUCAUGCAGAUUAUCAAGAUUUCAAUAAGGGAUAUUGAUAUCCUAUUUUGAUUAAUAAUAUCCUUUUACUGUGUUAACUCAAAAAAUAUGUAUAUUCUAAUAUUUUACAAUAAAUAGAAAUCUAAUAUUAAAAUAAAUGUGAUAUAUAUAUAUAUAUAUUAAAUAAUUUAAAUAUAAAAAAUAUUUUAAUGUUUUACAAUCUACUACACAUAUUUUAUUAAGUUAAUAUAAUUUUUCAAAUAAAUAGGGACAUAAUAUUAAAAUAAAUUUAUAAAAAUUUAAAUUAUUUUGAAUUUAAAAUAAUUUUAAUAUUAUUAAUAUGUUAGAUAUGUUUGAUUAAUUAUAAAAAUUAUUUACGCAAAUUUUUUUAAUAUUUUCAGUAGAUAUAAAUAUAUUACUUACAUUUUGAUUAUUUAACUAUUAUUAUUCUACAAUUAUUUAUAUAAUGUUUGCACUUAUUAGAAUAUAUUUAAAGUCAAAUCUUUUGCACUUCUACCUAGCUAGAAUUAUUGGACGCAGAGAAAUAAGCAUAUAUGCUUUAUAACUUUAGAAAUCGAAUUAUCUAUACAAAUUGAUUUUAGCUGGAAAAAAAGUGAGCUGAAUGAUAUAGGCGAUUAGUGUGGUAAUAUUUCAUAGAGUUAGACUAUUGAAUUUGGCACCCCUCCAAUCUUCUCAUGAUUACCUUUUUGAGUUAUUAAUACACUUCUAAUUUUUCGUUUAAUUUUUUUUAUUGUUAUACUCAAAGUAGUAUUGUGAUAUUUUAUAUUUCUUUUGCAAUCUUAUUAUUAUUUUACACAAAAUUAAAAAGUUUUCUAGGUGAUGAACUUUUGAGUUUUGAACAUUAAUCAUUGGCUUAAAUUUCAUAUAUUUUACAUUAUAAUUUGAAAUUAAGUACGAAAAUAUUUAAUAAAUUAUGAAAAGAUUAACAGAUUAUUCUAAAUUGAUACAACUUAUUUUAGUUAAAUAAAAAGUAACAGGUAAAAAAAAAAAGGAUUGGUUAUGAAAUUUGUUGGAAAAAAAUCUGUGUGUGUUUAAUUUUUAUUUGUCCUUAAUUGUAAUUUAUUUGAAGUGAGGUUUUAUAAGGAUAAUGAAGGGGUGCCAUAGUUUCACUCUAUUUCAUAUGGAGAGAGAAGUAAAAGGUACACCUGAGGUUAAUGGAAAGGACUUCGAAAGUUUCUUUUGAUUAUAAUACUGUUUGUUCUAAUUAACUUAAAAAAUUUUACUUUAAUAUUUUAUAAUAAAUUAAAUUUUAAUCUUAAAAUAAGUAUAAUCAUAUAUUUUAAAAUAAUCUUAAAAUAAAUACAAUCAUAUAUUUUAAAAUAAUCUUAAAAUAAAUACAAUCAUAUAUUUUAAAAUAAUCUUAAAAUAAAUACAAUCAUAUAUUUUAAAAUAAUCUUUAUAUUUAAAAUUUAUUUAUUUGUACAUAUUUUAUAAUAAAUAUAACACAUACUAUUAAAAUAAUAUAUAAAAAAUUAAAGUAUUUUGAAUAUUAUAUAAAAUAACUUUAAGAUUCUUAAUAUGUAAGAUAUAUUUUAUUAAUUUAAAAUUCUAUUUAAAAUUUUAUUAAUUUAAAAUUCUAUUUAACCCAAAGAUUUAUUUAAGAUAAAUUAAUAAUCAUAUUUUUUAAAUCAUUUCAAAUAUUAAAAAAUAUUUUGAUAUUACUAGUCUAUUAAAUAGAUUAAAUAUUUUUAUUAUUUUGUACUAAUCAAAAGUUACAGCUCGAAUGAUAUUAUGAGAACAGAAUUUUUAUGUCUUUAUUAAAAAUUUGGGUUUGUAUAAUUAUUUUUUCAAAUGUUAGGGGCAUAGCUGUCUUUUUACUUUUAUAUAUGUGAACCGCGGUGGUGAAAAAGUGUGAUUUAAUAUUAGUUAUUUAAAUAAUAUCUGAAUUAAAGAUGUACAGAGAAGAAAUUUCGGUGGGCAUUUUAGUCUUUUAACGAUUAUCAUGAUUAGGGAUUAGGUCCUGCUCUUGAAACGUUGGUCAGAAAAGUUCUAAAAUGCGUACAUUAUCUUUACUUUAAAAAAGUUAUUUUAUUUUAUUACAAAUUAAUGCCGACAAGAAAAAGCAAGAUCUUAAANNNNNNNNNNNNNNNNNNNNNNNNNNNNNNNNNNNNNNNNNNNNNNNNNNNNNNNNNNNNNNNNNNNNNNNNNNNNNNNNNNNNNNNNNNNNNNNNNNNNAUAAAGAUGAAGAAAAGGGCAAAAAAAUAUUAAUGAUUAACGAAAUCUCUAUCCAAAUUGAUUUUAGCAGGAAAAAAGUGAGCUAAAUGAUGUAGACGAUUAGUGGUAAUAUUUCAUAGAGUUAGACUAUUGGCACCCUUCCAAUCUUCUCACGAAUCCUCUUUUUGAGUUAUAUUUAUUUUAUUUUUAAAAUAUCUUUUUUCUCUUUUACUACACUUCUAAUUUUUCAUUUAAUUUUUUUAUUGUUAAACUCAAAGUAGUAUUGUGAUAUUUUUAAUUUCUUUUGCAAUCUUAUUAUUACUCUGCAUAUAAAUUAAAAAGUUUUUUAGGUGAUGAAUUUUUGAAUGUUAAUCAUUAGCUUAAAUUUCACAUAUUUUACAUUACAAUUUGAAAUUUAAUAUGAAAAUAUUUAAUCAAUAAGAAUUAUGAAAAGAUUAAUAAAUUAUUCUAAAUUUAUACAACUUAUUUUAGUUAGAUCAGAAGUAGCAGGUUAACAAAAGAAAGGAUUGGUUAUGAAAUUUGUUGGAAAAAAAUCUAUGUGUGUUUAAUUUUUAUUCGUUGUUAACUCUAAUUAAGUAGGUUAAAUAUUUUUGUUAUUUUUUACUUAUCAAAAAAUUUAAGAUCAAUAUUUUUAGUUACCAUUCGAAGGAUAUUAUGACAAAAACAGAAUUUUCACUUCUUUGUUAAAAAUUUGGGGGUUUGUGUAACUAUUUUUUCAAAUGUUAGGGGCAUAUCUGUCUUUUUACUCUAUAUAUAUGAACCAUGGUGGUGAAAAAGCGUGAUUUAAUGUUAUUUAUUUAAAUAAUAUCUCAAUUAAAAAUGUAAGGAGAAGAAAUUUCGGUGGGCAUUUUAGUCUUUUAACGAUUAUCAUGGUUAGGCCCUGGUCUUGAAACGUUGGUCAGAAAAGUUCUAAAAUGCGUUCAUUUGUCUUUACGCCAACAAUAAAAAGCAAGAUCUUAGUGUCCCACAAAAGCAAAUCGUAAUAUUCCGCAAUGGAGUUAGAUCCGCAAAAGCAAACAAAUUCUUUUAUUAAACUACAAAUUAAAGUGGAAUCAUUUACUAAACAACAAAUUAAAUUUGAAAUAUUUAAAUAGUCGUGCGUUAGACGAUUAGAGACUCUUAUUAAAGGCAAGUACAAAGUAGUGAAGAAUCGAAUAUUUCUAUUGUCUAGUCUUUUUUUAAAAAAAAUUUUCUUUUAUUAUUUUUCAGAAUAUGUUUUGGUGAUUACUAUUGGGUUAUUAUUCAGAGUUAUUGUUAUCUUCCGGGGCAGUUUCUGUUCAUCGAAUUCGUUAAUAAAAUUUUAAAACUCUUAUUGAAAGAAUGUUUUUCCGUUAUCUUUUUUAUAAUCUAAUUUUAAGUGUAAGAAGUAGUCAUUUUAGAAUUUGGGUCUUGAAUCGAAUUUCAAUGCAUGAAUUAAUAUUUAAAAAAAAUUUACUACAUGCAGUUUAGGUUACAAACUAUUUUUUGCAAAGUUGACUAUGAAAUUGGAGAAAUUAAGUAAUUUAUAAUGUUUGCAAAGAAAGAGACCAACAUACUUCCAAUUACACUAUAUCUCAAUUAUCAUAAUGUUAAGAUUAAACUAACUUAAAAUAAAAUUUAUUUAAAAAGUUUAUCAAACGCAGUCUAAUUUUAUUAACUUGAAGAGAUAAUAGUUAUAGAAAUUAUUAUUCUAACUUAAUUAGUAAAAGUGGUAUAAAGGUUAAGUGUGCACUAAAUCUAUUUAAAUUUUUUUCCAGUAUAACUAACAGAGGUCAUUACUAGAAUUAUAUUACUAGUCUAUUAGAUAGAAAAAAUUAUUUAUAUUGUUUUAUAUUUAUUAAAAAAAUUUAAAGUCAAUCUUUUUAAUUACUAUUUAAAGGAUAUUAUAAUUAAAAAAAUUUUAAUGUCUUCAUUAAAAAUUUAAAAUUUUAUAUGACCGUUAUCUAAAUAUUUAAAGUGUAACUGUCAUUUUCUCAUAUAUAUAUAUAAUUUCAUCAACCCCUUAUACUUUAUGUUAUUUAUAUUUUAUUCAUGAAUAUUAUAAAUUUUUUGAAAUAUAAAAUUUCGUUUAACCCUUUAUACUCAAUUUUAUUUUAUUAAAACCCUAGAGUAUGAAUUCGUCCCUAUAAUAUUAAAUUCUCAAAAUAACUUCCAUUUAAUUAAAAAAUAUAAUUAUUAUUAAAUGAAUUAUAAUUAUUAUUAUUAUGUUAUUAUAAUCAUAAAAAGCGAGAUCAUAUUCCACAAAAGCAUAAGUGACAAAACAACCAACUGGAUUCUUUUAUUAAUCAACAAAUUGUAUAGUCUUUUUCAAAUUGUUAUAAAUUGGUGGCCCCUACAAUCCUCAAUAAUUGUACCGAAAUUCACAAGUUGGUGGGCCCUACAAUUCUGUUCCGAUAAUUUAACUGUGCAAGUGCUCAUUCACAAUCUUCCAGGUCAUGCUCUUAACAAUUGUUUUUUCUUUUCUGCACGCCCUUUCAUGCUCUUAAUAAUUGAAGAGCAUACUUUUCAAAUGUGAAGCCGCAUCUAAUGUCGCUAAUUUAAUUUGGGAUUAAAUUACGGGACUAUUAUAUUGCAGUGUGCACUAAUUUUUAUGUUUAUCUAAACUCUUCAAAUUUAAAACAUAUUAUGGCAUAAAUAAGAAUGUAACAAUAACAAAAGAGUAAGAAAGUGUAGAGAAAAUCUUGCAGAAAUAUAAAUAAUAUUUAUUUUUAAAAUAAUAUUAAUAUUUAAAAUAAUUUUUAAUAUUUUAUGGUCCAUUAGAUAUAUUUUAUUAUAUUAAAAUAAAUUUUAUAAUAAAUAAAAACAUACUAUUAAAAUGAAUAUAUAUAGAAAAUUUAGAGUAUUUUAAGUAUUAUAUAAAAUAAUUUUAAUAAAAUAUGUGAGAUAUUCAUAUUUUAUUAAUUUAAGAUACCAUUUAACCUAAAGAUUUAUUUAUGAUAAAUUAAUAAUUAUAUUUUUGAAAUUACUUCAAAUAUUAAAAAAAUUAAUAUUACUAAUAUAUUAGAUAGAUUAAAUUAUAUAUAUUAUUUUUACUUAUUAAAAAAAUUUUAAAAUUAUUUUUAAUUACUAUUCAAAAAACGUAUUCAAAAAACAUAAUGAUAAAAAAAUCUUAACAUCUUUAUUAAAAAAUUAAAAACUUAUAUGAUAAAUUCUCUAAAUAUUUACGGUAUAUGUGAACCACGGUGGAUAAGCUUUAUUUAAUAUUAUUGAUUUAAAUAAUAUGUCAAUUAAAAAUGUACAGAGAAGAAAUUUCGGUGGGUAUUUUAGUCUUUUAAGCAAUUAUCAUGAUCAGAUCAGCCUUUAGCCUUCAAACGUCGGUCAGAAAAGUUUUAAAAUUAAUGCUAAAUUGUUUUUCACUUUUAACGUUGGUGGCCUUGAAAUUGCUUGUAUUUUAUUAAAAAUUAAUGCUAACAAGAAAAAGCUAGGUCAUAUUCCACAAAAUCAAAAGUGACAAAACAACCAGCUGGUUUCUUUUACUAAACUACAAAUUAAAAUAAAUUUUUUCGAUAAAUUACAAAUUAAAGUGGAUUCUUUUGAAUACAAAUGGGACAGACGAUUAGGCUCUUUUUAUUAGAGGCAAGUAAAAACUAGUCAAGAAUCGAACAGUCUUUUUCCAAUUCUUGUUUUAUUAUUUUUCAAAACUAGUUUUUGGUAAUUACAACCGGGUCAUUAAUCAUUAUUCAGAGUUAUCUUCCGGGGCAGUUUCUGUUCAUCGAAUUCGUUAAUAAAAUGUUAAAACUCUUAUUGAAAGAAUGUUUUUCCGUUAUCUUUUUUAUAAUCUAAUUUUAAGUGUAAGAAGUAGUCAUUUUAGAAUUUGGGUCUUGAAUCGAAUUUCAAUGCAUGAAUUAAUAUUUAAAAAAAAUUUACUACAUGCAGUUUAGGUUACAAACUAUUUUUUGCAAAGUUGACUAUGAAAUUGGAGAAAUUAAGUAAUUUAUAAUGUUUGCAAAGAAAGAGACCAACAUACUUCCAAUUACACUAUAUCUCAAUUAUCAUAAUGUUAAGAUUAAACUAACUUAAAAUAAAAUUUAUUUAAAAAGUUUAUCAAACGCAGUCUAAUUUUAUUAACUUGAAGAGAUAAUAGUUAUAGAAAUUAUUAUUCUAACUUAAUUAGUAAAAGUGGUAUAAAGGUUAAGUGUGCACUAAAUCUAUUUAAAUUUUUUUCCAGUAUAACUAACAGAGGUCAUUACUAGAAUUAUAUUACUAGUCUAUUAGAUAGAAAAAAUUAUUUAUAUUGUUUUAUAUUUAUUAAAAAAAUUUAAAGUCAAUCUUUUUAAUUACUAUUAAAGGAUAUUAUAAUUAAAAAAANNNNNNNNNNNNNNNNNNNNNNNNNNNNNNNNNNNNNNNNNNNNNNNNNNNNNNNNNNNNNNNNNNNNNNNNNNNNNNNNNNNNNNNNNNNNNNNNNNNNNNNNNNNNNNNNNNNNNNNNNNNNNNNNNNNNNNNNNNNNNNNNNNNNNNNNNNNNNNNNNNNNNNNNNNNNNNNNNNNNNNNNNNNNNNNNNNNNNNNNNNNNNNNNNNNNNNNNNNNNNNNNNNNNNNNNNNNNNNNNNNNNNNNNNNNNNNNNNNNNNNNNNNNNNNNNNNNNNNNNNNNNNNNNNNNNNNNNNNNNNNNNNNNNNNNNNNNNNNNNNNNNNNNNNNNNNNNNNNNNNNNNNNNNNNNNNNNNNNNNNNNNNNNNNNNNNNNNNNNNNNNNNNNNNNNNNNNNNNNNNNNNNNNNNNNNNNNNNNNNNNNNNNNNNNNNNNNNNNNNNNNNNNNNAUUGUGGGCACUCUUGUUCGUGCAUGUUUGCUAGAAGAGAUGGAAGAUGAUAAAGUAAAAAUGCAUGACGUUGUUCGUGAUAUGGCUUUAUGGAUAGCUUGUGAAAUUGAGAAGGAGAAGAGAAACUUUUUGGUUUGUGCAGGUGCUCGAUUAGAAGAGGCACCGGGUGUUAAAGAAUGGGAAAAUGUGAGAAGAUUGUCAUUGAUGCAAAACCAAAUUGAAACUGUGUCAGAGAUUCCCGCAUGCCCUCAUCUCCAUACUCUAUUUCUUGCCUCUAAUAGGAAUUUCAGGAUGAUCACGGAUGGCUUCUUUCAAUUUAUGCCUUCUCUCAAAGUUUUGAAGAUGUCACGCUGUGGGCAAUUCGAAGGUUUUCAAUUACCUGUUGGGAUGUCAGAGUUGGGUUCAUCACUAGAACUUCUUGAUAUUUCACAUACCACCAUAAGAGAGUUACCCGAAGAGUUAAAGUUGCUGGUAAAUCUGAAAUGUUUGAAUUUGAGGUGGACAGGUGCGUUAAUUAGAAUUCCACGGGGACUAAUAUCAAAAUUUUCAAGGUUACGUGUGUUGAGAAUGUUGGGUACUGGCGGGUUCAUUUUUUAUGAAGCACCAGAAGACAGCGUUUUAUUUGGUGGGGGUGAAGUUUUGAUACAGGAAUUGCUCGGUUUGAAAUAUUUAGAGGUAUUGGAGUUGACCUUGGGAAGUUAUCAUGCUCUCCAAAUUCUUUUGAGCUCAAAUAAGUUAAAAAGUUGUAUUCGAUCUCUUUACCUCUAUUUGACCGGAGAUAAAAAGUCGAUUAUUGAUGCUACGGCUUUCACAGACCUAAACCACCUCAAUGAAUUAUGGAUUGAUAAUGGAAUUGAGUUGGAAGAAUUGAAGAUUGAUUAUACGGAGAUAGUACGAAAAAGGCGGGAACCUUUUGUUUUCCACAGCCUUCACCUUGUUACGAUAUAUAGUUGCCAUAAAUUGAAAGAUUCGACAUUCCUCGCUUUUGCUCCAAACCUCAAGUCUCUUUCGCUAUUCAAAUGCCGUGCUAUGGAAGAAAUAAUCAGCGUCGGAAAAAUUGCUGAGAAUCCUGAGAUGAUGGGACAUAUAAGCCCUUUUGAAAAUCUCAAAAGUCUUGAUCUAUCAUAUUUGCCGGAGUUGAAGAGCAUUUUCUGGAAGCCAUUGCCUUUCACUCAUCUCAAAGAAAUGGGGGUAAGAGCAUGUGAUCAGCUUAGAAAGCUUCCACUCGAUUCCAACAGUGCAAAAGAGCGUAAAUUUGUAAUUCGUGGAGAAGAAGACUGGUGGAACCGACUUCAAUGGGAGGAUGAAGCCACUCAAAUUGCUUUUCGUUCCUGUUUCCAACCUGAUUCCUGAGCGGUGGUCGCAAAAUUUGAUUUCUGGUGAGUGCGUUUGUCUUUUAAAAGAAGAAUUUAAAAGAAAUUUAUUCUUGACGUUUUCUUCACUGUUUUUAUUUCAGUCUCUCUCUCUCUCUUUUUGUCUUCUGCUAAUCACAAUUAAAUGUUGAAUUAAUGGAAUUAAUGCUUCAUAAAUUUGCCGGCACUGCCAUUACUUUUUUUUUUUUUAAUACAAAUUGAUACUUUAUUUAUAUCUUCUUAGCGAUUUAAUUUCCUGUCAAUUGACGAACGAGAAGAACAUAUGACUUGAACCAAUGCUCGCAUAAACUUGCUGUAAAAAGAUAUAAUCUCACUGAAAUGCACACGCCUAGAAUGAAUAGAAUUAAAACAGGGAAAAUAUUAAGUAUAUUAGCCCUCUUUACCGAAAAUCAAAUGACAAUAAAUUUUUUGAAGUUUUGAUUUUCUAUGGUCAAUUCCACCUUUUGCAAUUUCUUCUGUUCUAACAAAAACCAAUUUCUUUGUUCAAGUAUUUUCGUUUGGGUAUUAAUAAUUCUCCACCGAAAGAGUGAACUCUUGCUCAAGGGAUCUCUAAUCAAUAGCCGGAAGGGCGCCGAGACCUGAUCGGACCUAGGCCCAAGUUUGGUCUUAAAGCCUGGGCUUGAGCCUGGCAAUUAAAUUAAAACAGUAAUUGAUUUCUUGAAUGAAUUGUCGUGUAAUUGAUUUAUGGGGGAUGACACAUCAACAUACUUGAAAAUACACUAAUCUCAGCAUCAUCCGUUAAUAACUUUUAGAUUUAUGGGCAAUCAAUAGUUAAAUUAGUUGUCAUUAAUACUAAAUAAUUUUUACUUUUUUUGUCUCUUCUAGAGGAUCUUCUAGAAAAAUGCAUCCACAAUUAAAUUUAAUACUUUACAUAAUAAAGAAAGCAUAAAUGUUAAAUUUAAGAAACUGCAUUGUAUUUCAGCUGAAGUUGACUUUAAUAUUUAGGGUAGAAAAAAAUUAAAUCCUUAAUGUGUUUAAUUUCUAUCACUUGUGUCAUUAAAAUUUUCUAGUCACCCUAACCAAUUACAUCUCAACCCACUUUUUUUUGGAUGAUUUUAUUUUUACACUAUUAUUUUCAACAUUUUUUUUUCCUUUUAACACCAACAUUAGUGUAUGUUACGUAACAUAAUCCAUAUUUGGAUAAUUUGAAAUUUGUUUGUGUUUUAUCUCAAAAUAGAGCUUCAAUCAAUUUGUACCUCAUAAAUUCACAAUAUCUGGCAUAUUGUCAAAUGUGCUUAUCCUUUUGCUUGACAUGUCAUUUUAAAAUUGUCAUUCAAUGUCAAAAAAUCACAUCAACUAAUGGCCGACUACUUUAAUUUGAAAGCAUGCGUGCGAUCGCCAAUAAUUAUAACUUAAUUGUUAUAUUGAAAUUUUUUUCUUUAUAAUUUAAGUUUAAUACUGCUACAUGUGUGGCACAUAAGUUGGAAAAUAUAACAUAAAAUUUGAAAAAUGUGUAGUUUUCGUUCCUUUUUUUUCUAAAAAAAUGGGAAAAAAGAAUGUAAUUUUGUUUAAAUUACUGUUGUCAUAACAAUUAUUAUUUUAUUGAUUAAUUGGCAGAGAAUCGUAAUGGUUUCGCAUGGUUGUUAAAACAUUGGAAAGUCCACUACAUCAUCGGUUAAUAACUUUCAGAUUUAUGGUUAAUUAAUAGCUGAGAUUUAUUAUCAUUAAUGCUAAAUAUUUUUUCUCUCUCCUGGAGGAUCAUCCACAGGCAGGUGCUUCCUGACGAUGACAAAAUUUUGGGCAGGCAGGUGCUUCCUGACUUUCACACGGUAAUUCUCAAAUUCUGAUUUCACCAUAUUUUAAUUACUGAUUAGCAUAUAUUCAAGUGCUCUCCAUUAUAAUGGAAGCCGCCGCCUCACUCGUAAUUCCAAACUUUAUCUUUUUUUCCUUUUUUAAAUUAAUGCAAGUAGCCGCUGUCCUUUCUAUUAAUUAAUUAAUUCGGCCGCCCACAUUUCUUUUCCUAAUGUCUUCUACUGUCGAGUUUAUUUUAUUUUCUCUUUAUUAUUAAAAUAUACUUAUAAUAAUAAAAAAAUAAAAAUUAACAUAUCAAAAUAUAAUUUAACAGAAAAUUAAGAUAAAAAAUUAAAAAUAAAUAAAUUAUGAGCAUAUCAAUCAAUAAAUGAAAAAUAAUAAUUUUUAUUUUUAUUAAAUAUAAAUUUUUCAGUAUUAAUCAAUUAUCUGAAUAAAUAAAAUCAUUUAAAAAUAAAUAAAUAAAUUAUUCUUAAAAAAAAAAAAAAAACUUUUUAUAACACUCACUAUGCUGGUUGUAGGGUUGACGCUUUGGGUACUGAAGCUAGUAACUUCUACAAGUAGUCUUAAGUUGACUGGCAACAACUAUAUUGGCAUUUAGAAAUAAUGUACUGCAACCAUAUUGGCAUGUUCAAAUGUUCUUAUUAUUGUAUUGGUGUGUCAAUAUUAUCUCUAACGGUUUUAUAAAUAAAAAAAUAAUCUAAAUUUAUAAUUUAACAUAAAAUAAAAUAAUUGGUAGAAAAACAAUUAUGGUUCAUUUACUUAUCAGUAAUCAGAAUAGACUGAAAUCGAAAUGAGUUGUAUUACUGUUGAUGUGUUUAUGUUGUACUCGAAUCGAAAUGAAUUAUUUUAAAUUACUAAAAUAUCCUUGGUCUGUUAUUCUAAUUAUUAUUAUUAUUUAAUAUUUAUUAUAAUAUUUUUCAUAUCAUUAAAAAAAAAUAAUAAUGAUGAUAAUAUUCUCAUUAUUGUUUGUUACAUUAUUAUUAUUCAAAAAAAUUAUUGUUAAUAACAAUAAUUACUUUAUUUCAAUAAUAAUAAUGAUAAAAUUAAUAAUAAUAAACAUGACAACAACAAUAAUUAUUUAUUAUGCCAAAAAAUAACAAUAAUAAUAAGAAUAAUAAUCAUCAUCAUUUUUUUGCCAAAGAAGCAUUAUCAUCAUCAUUUCAAAAAAAAAAUCAUCAUCAUCAUCAUCAUUUUUGUAGUGGCUACCUAUCGGCUGCUGCUUUCAUGUGAGAUUGACUUGCGACGCUUCAACGGCUAUUAUUUCUGACAAUGUCAGGUGUUGCUAUUUCAAUUUAGGAAGAAGUUGUUUCGGUGUGCUAGCGAUGGGAGAUGUUGUGGCUGCGAUUCGGGGAGCUACUAGUUUAUUGCACUAAUAACGGCAGGUGCUGUUGCUUGAUGCGAGGUCCAUGGCCAGUUGUCAGCAGUUCGACUUUGGUAUGGGUGCUGCUGGUUCGAUUUUAGGUGUUGUCCAAUUUCAUUUUCAGGAUUUUAAUUUUAUUUUUCUUUUAUAUUUUCAUUAAUUAAUCAGGGUAAAAUUGGAUUUUAGAAUUUAGAAUGAAGGUAAUUUUGUUAAUAAUGGAAAUGAGAUUCUGAUUGUCGAGAAUGAGCUUACACAAACAACUAUAAAUUAAGUGAAAACAAAACACUUUUUCUCUUUGUGUGAUUAAAACAUGAUAUGUACCAUAAAUAAAUAAGUAAAAAAUAAAUCAACACAAUCUAAAACAGUAAACAAAUUACAAGAGGCACAGAUUUUUAUGUGAAACACCGAAAAUGGAAAAAACCACAGCAUCUUAGUUUGAUAUAAUCUUCUACUAUAUUAAUGGGAUUAUAGCACAAAUUCUUUCCUAUAUAACACUAGAGAUUAACAACAUCAAGAAUCUCAAUAAUCUUGACUUACAAUACAGCCUAAUAUUUGUCUCUCUAAUAAGUAGAUAUCUAAAAUAACAGUCUCUAAUAAGUAUGUAUCUAAAAUAAUAGUCAACAAGAGGAUAAAACAAAAAUUAAGAUUAGUAGGAUGUGUAUAAGGUGAUGCUAUCAAUUUAUCUUCUAAAUUUGAGAAAAAUAGUUAAAUUCACUUUUUCGAUUGUCCGACCAAAAAUGGAAACCCUUGCCCCAAAACCAAAGGAAUCACCAUUAUGUUUUUCUCUCUCUCUCUCUCUAUCUCGUUCUUUUCUUCUUCUUUUCUUAAUGUUAGCCAUCACUUGCUUUUAUUCUUUAUAGCAUUCAAAAAGCUACUUUUAAUGGUAAAUUUCAUUUAAGUCUGCAACUUAGUGAUAAUUGCACACCAAACAAUCCUUACAUAGUGUUUUGGGCCCUCAAAUGAGAUGAAUACAACAAAUCUCCCCCUUUAAAUCAUGUGGGGGGCACCGCAAGCCCGCUAUUUGCAUAUAGCUUUUCAGCUUCUCCUUGAAUAAUGACUUUGUCAUCAUACAUAAUCCAUUCUUCGUUGUGUAAAUCUUCUCAAGCUGUAACUGUUCCUUCUCAAGCUGUAAUUAUUCCUUCUCAAGCACGUCUCGUAUCUAAUGAUACCUUACAUCAAUAUGCUUAGAUUUCGAAUAGUAUAACAGCACUCUGACUAUCGUAGUACAUAACAUAGCUGUCUUGUUUUACACCCAGCUCUUGUAGGAAAUUCUUCGUCCACAAUAUUUUUUUGCAACCUUCAAUAAUUGUAAUAUCAUUUGCUUUAGUGGUAGAAAAGGCAACUUAUUACUAAAGUUUAGAUUGCGAUGAGACUGUUCCCCCUGCAAAAGUGAGCAAACAUCCUAGUAGGAAUUUUUCGGAAUCAACAGCUCCUGCCAUAUCUACACACUUGUAACACAGGUUUGUCACCACCAAAAUAUAAACAUGCUCUGGAAAUGCAUCUAAGAUAUCUGAGAAUUUUUCACUGUUGUCCAGUGCUCUUUACCGAGGUUGAAGAGAAACCACUGACUACACUAACUGUAUAGGCAAUAUUUGGUCUUGUACAAAUUAUGGCGUACAAUAAACUGCCAACUGCUGAAGCAUAAGGAACUCCUCUCAUGGAGAAAUGGGUUUUACUCUUGAGAUUUUUGGGACCAUGAAGAAUAAAGAUGUAAUUUCUUAUACUGCCAUUGUUUCGGGAUAUAUAAAUAGAGAACAAGUCGAUAUAGCUCGACAGUGUUUUGAUCAGAUGCCAGAACGAGAUUAUGUCUUAUGGACUACCAUGAUUGAUGGGUACCUUCGAGUGAAUAGGUUCAGAGAGGCUUUGACACUUUUUCAGGAGAUACAAACUUCAAAUAUAAUGGGAGACGAGUUUACCAUUGUUAGCAUUCUUACAGCUCGUGCGAAUCUGGGGGCACUAGAACUGGGAGAAUGGAUAAAGACUUAUAUUGACAAAAACAAAGUCAAGAAUGAUAUAUUUGCGGGGAAUGCUUUGAUAGACAUGUACUGUAAAUGUACUGUAAAUGCGGAGAUGUUGAGAAAGCUCAAAAGGUAUUCAGGAAGAUGCUUUGAAAGGUCAAAUUCACAUGGACGACCAUGAUUGUUGGCCUUGCCAUCAGUGGAAAUGGUGAUAAAGCUCUUGAUAUGUUUUCCCAAAUGCUCAGGGCUUCGAUCAAACCAGAUGAGGUAGCUUAUGUUGGUGUUCUGUCUGCCCGUACUCACAAUGGUAACGAAACUUUUGUGAUAAAUAGUUGCAACUUAAGGUGAGAACUGGAGGAAGGGAAAUAGAUUGAAGUUGUUCAAUCAUCAGUAGUUGCUACUUGGUUUUAAGUUGUUCAAUCAUCGGUCGUCUCUAUUUGGUUUUCUCCAAUAUCUCAUCUUCAAUUUUGACUCAGAUUGUAUCUUACCACUAGUAAUUACAUAGACUUGCUGCCAAAGGUAAGAAUGGGAAUAAAUUAAAUAGAUUAUGUCGAAAACGAAAUAAAUUUACUAUUGUUCUGUUCAUUCUAUUUGUUUCCUACAAAAUAUUUCUCCUGCCUAAAAUUUUUUGAAUCAGUAAGUUUUUACCUUAUGGAUGAAUUGUGUUGAGAGUAAUUCCAUUUCUCAGUCUCUUUAUGUUUCAAUGAAGACGUAAAACUUGUGUUCUAGUGCACCAACGUUUAUGCUUCUUACAAUUUGACUUUAAUUUACUUUGUAAAAUUUUUGUCAAAAAGUACUAAAAAGUAGUGCACCAAACACCAACUUUAUUACAGAGAGGACUUUAGUUAAAUUUUAAGAAAACACUCAAAAGAAAGAGUUGUAAAUUAUUAUAAAAAUAUUUCACAUAAAUAAAAGCCAUCCCAUGCUGCAAAGAUCUUGCUAUAAUCACCAAAAACUAUCGGGAGCUUUUAGGGUUUCCAUAAAAAUGCCAUUUCGUUCCAUGUAUAUGAUUCUAUAGUCUCACUGGCAAGUAAACCACAGCCCAACAGCACUGACUGUCCAUGAUGAUUCACCCCAAUGAACGAAACCAGCGUUGCAUCAUAUCUUUCUGUCAAGCAUGUAAUAUCAAUUGAUUUGAGCUAUUAACAUCAUUUCCAAAUACUCCAUUGGCAUCUACAUUACCAUUUCCCUCGGCAUCAAUGAUAAGAGUUCGAAACAGUCUAAUCUUUUGAACUUCUUCAGCACCAUCUAAGAGCAAUGUUCUUUUGGUUCCAAUACCCAUGUGCUUAUGAUAUUUGUAAAAUAAUUAUUUGUAAAAUAAUUAGUUCAAUUUUGACAUAAUACGGAAUAAACACAACCUGCCAAUCUAAGUUACUAUCUUUUCCCGUCAUCAGGUACCUGUUUGAAAAAUAAUUAUAUACAAUUUUAUUUGCGUCGUCCCUCUAAAAAUUUGGGACUCAAAUGUUAUUUCUAAUUGCUAAAAGUACGAAAUUGCCCCCUUUCUCUUCAGCUAAAGGAGUGCAAAGUCAUCUGUAUAAUUGAAUCUGCAUCAUCAGUUUCUAUUGCUGGCUGGUGUUACUGCAUGCUUACAGUUGCUUGACAAAGUGAGCCAGUUUUUUGUUUAUUAAUUUUUUUUCUUGUCGAGACAGUCACAAAGUAUUACUUGUUCUAUUUGAGAAUGAUGUGAAUCAAUUUUUCAAUUAUGCAUUCUGUGGUAAUUAUUGUGAAUUUAGUUUCAUUUGUCUUGUCUCCUGCAAAUUUUGAAGAAAAUGCAGACAUACAAAUUUACAAUAUGUAUUUGCGUUAGUAUAAAAACAAUUGUUAGAUGAUUAAAGCGAUUUAUUUUUUUUUUUACAGCAUUUGAUUGUAUUAGUUAAAAUCAUUUUUUAAGGAUAAAAAUAAAUAGAAAAUUAUUCUCAUGUAGUGUGGAAAUCUUUUCUAAUUUCUUGUUGACUUGUACAUUUAUUUCAGAAUUUCCAUUCAUUAAUUCUACUGUUUUAAUCUUUGACUUAGCUACCGUAGUUGACUUUUUAUAUCAAAGGCUUAAACAGCAUGCAUUUUUGAAUUGACUGAGAAUAAUUUGGUGGACAAAUUACUAGUAAAGGACUUCAAAUGGUUGAAUUGACUGUGGGUUUUUCAUGCCCAAGUCACUCGUCACGUCGUUUCAUCGAAACAAAGUGCCCGGUGCAAAUGGUGUGAUGUAAAACACCUUUUUAAAUUGUCAUUUUUUUUCCUUUGCUUUUGCUUUAAUUUUCUAAAUGCUCAACGCCAUAAAUCCAUGUAUUCUUAAUUUUCGUUUGCUGUAUUGAUUCCCAACCCUCUAUGUCACAAGGUUUUGAAUGCCAGUAAUUAAGUUAAAUUAAACAUAUUUUAAGUCCUACUUUAAAUUAUUGAAAAAUGUAUUAUGGUUGAACUGAAUUUUAACUAAAAAAUAUAUACAAAAUAAAAGAUUAAUCAUAUCUUUUUAUGAGGAAGGUCAGUCAUCAUUCUGACCACAGACACUUAAAAUUAAUUGAGUGGAAUAUUGCAAAAUAUAUAUAAACCAUGCCAAAACUAGAUGUUUGAGUAAUGAAAACGAGAAUUCAUAUGACUCAGAAAUAUGGUCGCUUUCCUUUUUCUGAAAGGCAAAAAAAAAGGGGGAACCAAAAAGGACCAAAAUGAACAAAAAUGGAAGGCGAAGGUAAGCAGACAUGUUAUAUGUUUUACCUAAGAUGCCAAAUGCAACUCCCCAUUGAUGGUGAUCGAACAUUAUGGCCAUUUUCUUAGUAAACAAAAAAUGAAUUUUGAACACUCAACAACGAAACUUGAGCAGAAGAUCAAGCAAGGGCCUCGAUCUCAAAGAAGAUACUAUGAAACCCUACUUAAUGGUUAAAUAACUUUCAUUCAGCUUUGGACCCUAUUUCGUGAUACGGAAAGACAAACCUUUCUUGGCCGGCAGUGUCCCAGAUCUGGGCUUUGAUGAUCUAGAGGUUGAUGGUGACAGUUCUGGUUUGGAACUCGACGCCAAUGGUUUAUUUCGAUUCAAAGCAAAACUCAUUCUUGGUGAAUCUCGAAAGAAUCUGAGACUUGCCCACGGCCGAGUCACCGAUCACCACUACCUUGAAUACAUAGUCUAUUUUGUCAGGAAUCAUAUUCUCUCGUUGUUGAUGACGAUGAUCGGUGCCAUCACCACUCAUUUCUUCGUUCAUUCAUUCUAUGUCCAUUGAUCUUUUUGAAUUAUUGAAGACAAGUGGCUCACCGCUUUUAGUAUUGGUAAAAUUCAGAUAAUCUCUAUUCCGAAAUAAUAAUAUUAAAAAUAUCUCUUAAAUCAUUAUAAACUUCAAAUCUAUUUUAAUUUUAUUUAAAAGAUAAAAGAAAAAUAAGUUAUGUUGGUGAUUUUUUAUUAUCUUUUUAAUAAAAAUAGAAUAAAUUGAUGUUUAUAAUUAUUUAAAGUAUUUUAAAGAUUGCUAUUUUAUGAGAGAAUAAUAUUUCAUUUUUUUUUUCGUGUGAAAGACCGAAAAAGGACAAAGCAAGUUUCCCUAAUUUUUAUUUUAUGUGAAAUUGGUCAUCUCAUAUACUUUACCCUUCAACACUCUAAUUUUUUUGGUUAUAAUUUUAUUAUUUUUUCUCUUUUACACAUGCAUGUGAAUUACUUUUCUUUAAGCUCCUGAAUAUUUAAGACAAAUCAUGGAAGAGAUGAGAGUAUAACAAGAUGAUCAAAAUAUGUAACAAAAAAAUUUUAGAAGUGAAAAAUAUGUUAGAGUCGAAGUAAAACUCUGAGGUGAUGUUUGAUUUGAAGAAAAUGGAGGAGAGAAAAAGAGUGGAAUGGAGAGGAAAAGAGAGAAAAGGAGAGGAGAGGAGAGGAGAGUGAACUUUUUUUCUAAUGUUUGGUUUGUCACAUAAAUAUACAAAGAAAGGAAAUCUCCAAUUUUUUAUUUAGACAAUUUUAACCUUAAUAAGUAUUAAGCUUUCAAUAUUUAUCAUGUGUAUAAUUUAAAAAAAGUAAAUGGUAGAAAGCGGUUUCUGAUUCCGGCCACAUCGCCGGCAAUGGAAGGUACUUAUCAGAACAUCAAGAACCGGCCAUCAUUCCCUAGCCAUCACUGCUGUAGGAACACUGCUAAAAAGCUGCCGAUUGAACCGCGAAAAGUCGUGGAAAUCGUUGCCUCAAAUCGGUGAGUUUCGCCUUUUUCUGGUCAUGCCGUCGCCUUGGCUUUGUCCAUCAACGCUGCCACUUCCAUUUCAACCAUCCAUAGCCACUAUUAACCGCCAAAUCGCCGCCGAUCAGCGGGAUCUGUGGAAGUUAAAAAGUUUCUAAAAUUUUUUAAUUGGAUUUGAACAACAUACAACCAUUUUUUGAUCUCAAUAACGACAUAGUAAUGUUGAUCGUUGGUCGGCAAGUCGAAUGGUAGUGGCGGUGAGUAACACGCGCCAAUGACAUCGGCGGCGGCGGCGGCACUAUCCGGCUACUGUUAAAAUUAAUAUUUUAUAUUUGUAGAUUAAAUAAAUUUAUUUUAUUAAACUUUUUAAAUCAUUAUUUAAAUUUAAUUAAUUUAAAAUUAUCUAUGAUGUUGAAUUGAUAAAAUAAAUUUAUAAAUAAUAAUUAUGUGAUUACAUUAAAUAAGUUAAAAAGUUGAAGGGUUAUUUUUGGAAGAUUUAGUUUCCAACACAAAGGGAAUUUGAAUUCUUCACUUCUUAGUGUGGAAUUCAAAUUCUAUAUUGUAAUGGAUAUUAAAUUCCAAUAGAAAUUAAAUUCUUAUAAGUUAUGUCAAACCAAACAACGGAAAUAAAAAAAAAGAAUUUAAAUUACUUUCCUUUCCUCCACCCUCUCCUUCCAACCAAAUACAUCCUGAAAAUAGAGAUAUUGAUUAAUUUAGAAGAGAUGCAAGCAAAAGAUAUUCCACAAAAAAAAAAAAGCAAUAUGUCCCUUUGGAGGGCAAACUUGUCAGUUUUAAAAAAGUACAUGCUUUGGAUUGAUAGUUGUAGGAUAUUUGUUUUGUCACUAUGUGUUAGUUGGAGAAGUCAAGCCUUGUGAAGAAUGUUAUGAAAGAGCAAAGGAUAUUCCUGAUAGCUGAUAGAGCUCUAUUUGAUUAUGUAUCCAAUGAAUGGAUGUGUUGUUGGAAGAUAUUUGAGUGCAUUAGUUCAUAUGUGUCUAUCAAUGUGAUUUUAAUGAUUUUUCCACUUGUUUGUUGUAAAAGAUUAUUGUAAAUUGAAAUGAACUUGAUGUUGUAAUAUUUUCUCCUUAGUAGAAUUUCACCUAGUAUGUAUUUAGUUGUGUUGUCUAUAAUUUUGCAUUCGAAUAAGUUUCACCUAAAAUAUUAGCAUGAGUAGUGGCCCUUGAAACUUUGGUCAAAAUUAUUGUUAUUAUUUCCGACUAGAUGUAAAUUUUUUAUUAAAUCUCGCUAACACAAUUCUUAAUUAAAAGUAUAGGUUAGUGUUGGUGCAAGACUUGCCACACCAAAUUCUGCCUAACUGUCAAAAGUGCAAAAUAAAUGAAGAGAAAGCACAAAUACACGACUUGAAUAAGGAUACAACGAAACUUAAAUUCAAGAGAAAAUGAUAGCUAUAUCUCAAGAUUUGAAAAAACGGUCAUGUAGAUUUUUAAGAUUUCAAUAAGCGACUGAGAUUCAAAUAAUAUCCUUUAAUUCUAUUAACAAAAAACAAAGACUCAAAUAUUUUAUGAUAAAUAAAAAUAUAAUAUUAAAAUAUAUGUGAUAAUAUACACAUUUUAAAUACUUUCAAUCCAAAAAAAUAGUUAUGUUUUACAAUCUAUUAGACAUAUUUUAUUAAAUUAAUAUAAAUUUUCUAUAAAAUAAGAAUAUAAUAUUAAAAUAAAUUCACAAAAAUUUAAAGAAUUUUGAAUGUAAAAUAAUUUUAAUAUAUCAAUACGUGAGUUUUUUUAUUAAUAUAAAAUUUAUUUAACUUUAAGAUUUUUUAAAAUCUUUACAAUAAGUAUAACUAUAUUAUUUACAUUUAAAAAUAUUUAAAUAUUAUUAACCUACAAUUAUAUUUGCAUUUGUUAGAAAUUUUUUAAGUCAAAUAUUUUGCACUUCUAUAUUAUUAGAAUUAUUGCACAAAAAGAAAGAAACAUACACCUUUAGAAAUUGUUUUCUUUUAAAAUAGAGAUGAUGAUUAGUAUAAGGAUGAAAAAAAGGAUAAAGAAUAUUAAUGAUUAACGAAAUCUCUAUACAAAUUGAUUUUAGUAGGAAAAGAGUGAGAUGAAUGAUUUCUUUUACAGUUAGAAACAUAGAUGAUGAUUAUUAUAACGAAGAAAAAAAGAUAAAGAAUAUUAAUUAUUAAUGGAAUCUCUAUACAAAUUGAUUUUAGUAGGAAAAAAAUGAUUAAAUGAUUUAGAGUGCGUUUGGAAUUGAGAUUGGGCAGCCAUAGAUUUUAAGUUACAACACUGAAGUGUUUAGUAAAUACUAGUUGCUGCAGAUUGAAAGUUAUGUUGAUAUGAUUUUUCACAUGUAUCAUAGAAAAUAUAUUACAUCUUUAAUAUUUUUUAAAAAUUUAUAUUUGCUAUAUAUUAUUAAUUUUUUUUUAUAGUUAUAACUUUUUUUCCACAACAGUUGUAGCUUAAAAGUCACAGCACCUCAAUCUCAAACAAAUCCUUAGACAUUCAUAGUGUGUUUAUUUUUUGGAUUGGUGAAUCAAAAUUAUUGACAACGCUAACUUCAUCUUCACUGUUCGCAAUCCAACAGCAGCAAUUGUCGCCAAUAAUGAUAUCUCCAAUGAUGAUGACAAUUAUUAUUAUUAUUUUUAUUAUUAUUAUUAUUAUUAUUAUUAUUAUUAUUAAUUAAUUAAUUAAUUAAUUAAUUAAUUAAUUAAUAUAUUAAUGUUGAUAUUAUUAUUAUUAAGAUUAACAAUAAUUAUUAGUAAUACAAUUUUUUGAAUAAAAAUAAUCACAAUAAUUAAAAUACAAAUUAAUAAUUAUGACAAUAAUUAAUUAAUGUCUUUUUAGUAAUUUGUAAUAAUCUAACUCAUUUUGGUUCUGAUUAUUACAGCUUAAGUAAACAAAUUAUUAUGAUUCCUAUUCUCCUUUCCCAUUUUAACUCACUUUGAUUCCAGUCUAUUCCGAUUUCUAUUUAAUAAAUGCACCAUUAGUGCUAAAGUAAUAUUUCAUACAUAGAAAAAUAAAAACUACGCCUAAGGUUAAGGGAAAAGACUUCAAAAUUCUCUUUUGAUCAUAAUACAUUUUGUCCUAAUUAACUUAAAGAUUUUGAAUCUAAUAUUUUAUAAUAAAUAAAAAUAUAUUCCUAAAAUAAAUAUAAUAUCAAUAUUUAAAAUAUGUUUUAAUAUUUUACAAUCUAUCAUACACAUUUUAUUAUAUUAAAGUAGAUUUAUAAUAAAUAUAUAAAAAUUUAGAAUAUUUAGAAUAUUAUAUAAAAUAAUUUUAAUAUAAUGCGUGAUAUAUAUUUUAUUAAUUUAAAAUGUCAUUUUACCUAAAAAAUAUGAUAAAUUAAUAAUUACAUAUUUGAAGUUAUUUCAAAUAUUAAAAAAAUUUAAUAUUAUUAAUCUUUUAGAUAGAUUAAAUUAUUUUUUAUAAGAGAGAUUAAAUUAUUUUAAAAUGCCUUAAUUGUUUUUACUUUUAACGUUACGGGCCUUUCUUUUAUUUUAUUGCAAAUUAAUGCUAACUAGAAAAACAAAAACAAAAGUGACAAACACAACCAGCUGGAAUCUUUUAUAAAACUACAAAUUAAAAUGGAUUUUUUUUUUUUGUUGAUAAAUUACACAUGAAAGUGGAUUCUUUUGAAUAUAAGUGGGGUAGGCUCUUUUAUUUUUUUUUUAAUACCGUAUAACAGGACUGUAGACUCUUUUAUUAAGCACAAAUAUAGAGUUGUCGAGACAAUUAGGGUCUUUUAUUAAACUACAAAUUGUAUAGUCUUUUUUAAAUUGUUCAGAUAUUUAUAAAUUGGUGGCCCCUACAAUCCUCAAUAAUUGUACCGAUAUUCACAAGCUGGUGGCCCCUACAAUCCUUAAUAAUUGUUUUUUUUUUUUUCUGCAUUCCCUUUCAUGCUCUUAAUAAUUAAAGAGCAUACUUUUCAAAUGUGGAGCCGCGGCUAAUGUCGCUAAUUUAAUUUGGGAUUAAAUUAGGGGACUAUUAUAUUGCAGUGUGCACUAAUUUUUAUGUUUAUCUAAACUCCUUAAAUUUAAGAUAUAUUAUGGCAUAAAUAAGAAUAUAACAAUAGCAAAAGAGUUAGAAAGUGUAGAGAAGAUCUUGCAGAAAUAUAAAUAAUAUUUAUUUUAAAAUAAUAUCAAUAUUUAAAAUAAUUUUUAUUAUUUUAUGAUCCAUUAGAUAUAUUUUAUUAUAUUAAAGUAAAUUUUAUAAUAAAUAAAAACAUACUAUUAAAAUGAAUAUAUAGAAAAUUUAGAGUAUUUUAAGUAUUAUAUAAAAUAAUUUUAAUAAAAUAUGUGAGAUAUUCAUAUUUUAUUAAUUUAAAAUACCAUUUAACCUAAAGAUUUAUUUAUGAUAAAUUAAUAAUUAUAUUUUUGAAAUUACUUCAAAUAUUAAAAAAAUUAAUAUUACUAAUCUAUUAGAUAGAUUAAAUUAUAUAUAUUAUUUUCUAUUUAUUAAAAAAUUUCAAAUUAUUUUUAAUUACUAUUCAAAAAAUAUGAUGAUAAAAAAAUCUUAACAUCUUUAUUAAAAAAUUAAAAACUUACAUGAUCAAUUCUCUAAAUAUUUAGGGUAUAUGUGAACCACGGUGGACAGAGGUCAUUACUAAAAUUUCUCUUCCACAGGCAAUUACAGCAGCUCCAGUUUAUCAAACUCAACCAAUUUUCUUUCUUAACAAAAUUCCAAAGAUGUGUAGCUUUUUUCAGAUCACAUGCGAUGGUGCUUUUUUCAAUCGUUGCUUGGAUUGCUUUCUUGGAAAAGCAGCAUACAUACGUAACCUCCAAGAUAAUCUUGAUGCCUUGGACACUGAACUGGGAAGACUAAUCGCAGCAAAGAACGAUGUGAUGAUUAGGGUUGUCAAUGCUGAACGGCAAUAAAUGAGAAGGCUGGACGGAGUGCAAGUGUGGGUUUCGAGUGUGGAUGCUGUUAAAACUGGAGCCGAUGAACUUAUCACAGACGGCUCUGAAGAAAUUGGCAAAUUAUGUGUUGGAGGCUACUGUUCCAAGAACUGCAGGUCAAGCUACAAAUUCGGAAAACAAGUGGCUAGAAAGCUACGAGAUGUGGAGACUUUAAUCGCCGAAGGAGUUUUUGAGGCGGUGGCUACUGAGGUGGUGCCUGAGAGAGCUCCAGAGCCUGUAGCAGAUGAAAGACCUACCGAGCGAAAAGUAGUAGGCUUGCAAUCACAACUUGAACAAGUCUGGACGUGUCUUGUGGAAGAAUCAGCGGGAAUCAUUGGCCUAUACGGUAUGGGCGGUGUUGGUAAAACCACACUAUUGACCCAUAUCAACAAUAAAUUUCUCGAGAGUCCAACCAACUUUGAUUGUGUGAUUUGGGUAGUAGUUUCAAAAGACCUGCGACUUGAAAAACUUCAAGAAGAUAUUGGGAAAAAGAUAGGUUUGGUUGGUGAUUCAUGGAAGAGUAGAAGUGCAGAGGAGAAAGCUCUCGACAUCUUCCGGAGUCUAAGAGGGAAGAGAAUUGUAUUGUUGUUAGAUGAUAUAUGGGAGCGGGUUGAUUUAACAAAAGUGGGCGUUCCACUUCCUGGACCACAAAAUACUACCUCAAAAGUCGUAUUCACAACNNNNNNNNNNNNNNNNNNNNNNNNNNNNNNNNNNNNNNNNNNNNNNNNNNNNNNNNNNNNNNNNNNNNNNNNNNNNNNNNNNNNNNNNNNNNNNNNNNNNNNNNNNNNNNNNNNNNNNNNNNNNNNNNNNNNNNNNNNNNNNNNNNNNNNNNNNNNNNNNNNNNNNNNNNNNNNNNNNNNNNNNNNNNNNNNNNNNNNNNNNNNNNNNNNNNNNNNNNNNNNNNNNNNNNNNNNNNNNNNNNNNNNNNNNNNNNNNNNNNNNNNNNNNNNNNNNNNNNNNNNNNNNNNNNNNNNNNNNNNNNNNNNNNNNNNNNNNNNNNNNNNNNNNNNNNNNNNNNNNNNNNNNNNNNNNNNNNNNNNNNNNNNNNNNNNNNNNNNNNNNNNNNNNNNNNNNNNNNNNNNNNNNNNNNNNNNNNNNNNNNNNNNNNNNNNNNNNNNNNNNNNNNNNNNNNNNNNNNNNNNNNCAGGAAGUCCUAGUGCGUGCUAUCAGAAAAGAUGCUGGGAACUGUUUCGCGAAAAUGUUGGGGAAGAAACUCUUGAGAGUGAUCAUGAGAUCGUUGAGCUAGCCCAAACUGUGGCCAAAGAGUGUGGUGGUUUGCCACUCGCACUUAUUACUAUUGGUCGAGCUAUGGCCUACAGAAAGAAAGCGGAGCAGUGGAGACGUGCAAUUGAAGAGUUAAGAAGAUCAGCUUCAGAGUUUGCAGGUUUGGGAAAAGAGGUGUAUCCUCUUUUAAAGUUUAGCUAUGAUAGUUUGCAGAAUGAUACAAUUAGAUCUUGUUUCUUGUAUUGUUGUUUAUAUUCUGAAGAUUAUGGCAUUCUUAAAUGGGACUUGAUUGAUUGUUGGAUUGGUGAGGGAUUUUUGGGGGAAUCUGACAGGUUUGGUGCAGAAAACCAAGGAUAUGACAUUUUGGACACUCUUGUUCGUGCAUGUUUAUUAGAAGAGGUGGAAGAAGAUGAAGUAAAAAUGCAUGACGUUAUUCGUGAUAUGGCUAUAUGGAUAACCAGUGAAAUUGAGAAGGAGAAGAGAAACUUUUUGGUUUGUGCAGGUGCUGGAUUAGAAGAGGCACCGGAUGUUAAAGAAUGGGAAAAUGUGAGAAGAUUGUCAUUGAUGCAAAACCAAAUUGAAACUCUGUUUGGGGUUCCCACAUGCCCUCAUCUCAUCACUUUAUUUAUUGACUUUAAUAGGGAGUUGAAGACUAUCGCGGAUGGCUUCUUCCGAUGUGUGCCUUCUCUCAAAGUUUUGAAGAUGUCAAACUGUGGAAAGCCUUAGAAAGGUUUGGAAUUACCUUUGGGGAUGUCAAAGUUGGGUUCACUACAACUUCUUGAUAUUUCACACACCUGCAUACAAGAAUUACCACAAGAAUUAAAGUUGUUGGUAAAUCUGAAAUGUUUGAAUUUGAGGCGGACAAUUUGGUUAAAUAAAAUUUCAUGGCAACUAAUAUCAAAAUUUUCAAGGUUACGUGUGUUGAGAAUGUUCGCUACUGGCUGGUUCAGUUUUCAUGAAGCACCAGAAGACAGCGUUUUAUUUGGUGGGGGUGAAGUUUUGAUACAGGAAUUGCUCGGUUUGAAAUAUUUAGAGGUAUUGGAGUUGACCUUGGGAAGUUAUCAUGCUCUCCAAAUUCUUUUGAGCUCAAAUAAGUUAAAAAGUUGUAUUCGAUCUCUUUUCCUACAGUUGUUCAGAGAUACAACGUCGAUUAUUGAUGCUACGGCUUUCGCAGAUCUAAACCACCUCAAUCAAUUAUGUAUUAGUAACGGUUCUGAGUUGGAAGAAUUGAAGAUUGAUUAUACGGAGAUAGUACGAAAAAGGCGGGAACCUUUUGUUUUCCGCAGCCUUCAACGUGUUACCAUAGAGGAGUGCCAUAAAUUGAAAGAUUUGACAUUCCUCGUUUUUGCUCCAAACCUCAAGUCUCUUUCGCUAUACGAUUGCGGUGCUAUGGAAGAAAUAAUCAGCGUCGGAAAAUUUGCUGAGACUCCUGAGAUGAUGGGACAUAUAAGCCCUUUUGAAAAUCUCCAAAUGCUUUAUUUAAUGGCAUUGCCGGAGUUGAAGAGCGUCUACUGGAAGCCAUUGCCUUUCACUCAUCUGAAAGAAAUGGAGGUACUUGGGUGUGAUCAGCUUAAAAAGCUUCCACUCGAUUCCAACAGUGCAAAAGAGCGUAAAUUUGUAAUUCUUGGAGACACACAGUGGUGGAACCGUCUUCAAUGGGAGGAUGAAGCCACUCAAAUUGCUUUUCGUUCCUAUUUCCAAACCUGAUUCCUGAGCGGUGGUCGCAAAAUUUGAUUUCUGGUGAGUGCGUUUGUCUUUUAAAAGAAGAAUUUAAAAGAAAUUUAUUCUUGUCGUUUUCUUCUCUGUUUUUAUUUCAGUUUGUUUCUCUCUCUCUCUUUUUGUCUUCUGCAAAUCACAAUUAAAUGUUGAAUUAAUGGAAUUAAUGCUUCAUAAAUUUGCCGGCACUGCCAGUACUUUUUUUUUUUUUUAAUACGAAUUGAUGCUUUAUUUAUUUCUUCUUAGCGAUUUAAUUUCCUGUCAAAAGACGAGCGAGAAGAACAUAUGACUUAAACCAAUUGAUACUUUAUUUAUGUGCAUUGUAUGUAAUAAAAUUUUCUCUGUUUUUUUCAAAUUGAGGCUUUAUUUAUAUUUUCUUCGUGAAGAGUGAUUUAAUUUCCUGCCAAAAGACAAACGAGAAGAACAUUAGAGUCAAACUAAUGCUCACAUAAAUUUCCCGUAAGAAUAUAUAUAUAAUUAGACUGGAAUGCACACCUCUAGAUUGAACAGAAUUAAAGCUGAGAAAAUAUUGAGUAUAGUAGCCCUCUUUACAGAAAAUGACGCGAAAGUUAAUUUAGAAAGAUAUAUUCUUGAUUAAUCCAUUUUCUGAAGUUUUUUAUUUUGUAUGGUCAAUUAUACCUUCAUACUAAAAAAAAAAAAAAAAAAGAGAAAAUAUGUAAUCCAUGAAUGGUUAAUUUUGUUUGUUUGUUUUUUUUUCUUAAAUAUCAUUCUUUUUCGGCCACCCAAGGACAUUUUCACAAAUACCUUUUGUGUGCAGAAGUCUUCCAAACCAUCAAUGGAAAAAUAAAAAAUAAAAAAAACACGGUCCAGUAUACCUCAAAAUAUCAUUGAUGACUUUUCUGGUCUAAUGCUAUGUAAAUAGUAUGUUAAGUAAAACAUAAUCAGUUCAGUACCUCACAAAUAAUUCGCAAUAUCUACAAAAUACUAUAAUGGCUACAAAACAAAUCCUGCUUGCAAAUUGUCAAGGAUACCUAUCCGUUCGCUUGACAAGUCAUUUGAAUAAAUAUUGUUCACAUUCCUUACUCUGUCAAUUAUCCAAAGCACCAUCAACUUUAGUUUGAAUAGUAUACAUGCCAUCACCGUUACCAAGAAUCAAGCAUGGAAGGGUCAUUCUAUAGAGUGCAGAACAUGACUCUAUGCGGUAGUCAAUUUGACACACGACGAACACCAUAUGCUGCAUAACAUACAAAUUAAUUUCCCAUAUGUGAUGCAAUUUUCUCCUCAACAUAUGCGCAAUUCUUUCCAUUCCGGCAUUUACACUCAAAUUUUCCUUCCUUUCUCUUUGUGGUUGAAUCUUACACCACAACUCAUGUGAUGCAAUCUCCUCUCGCUGCCUAAAUUGCACUCUCAGCAAAGCAGCAUAUGUAAGCAAGCUUGAAGAUAAUCUUGCUGCUCUGCAGAAGAACGGCAAAAGUUAAUCGAAGCAAGGAAUGAUGUAUCAGAAAAUAUUUGGUGGAGAAUUCAGCACAAACAUAUUUCGGAUGAUCAGAAUCAAUAAAACCUGGUGGUUGUGCCAUAUAAACAUCUUUGGAAAGCUGACCUUGAAGAAAGGCGUUAUUGAUAUCCAAUUGAUGAAGAGGCCAGCCAUGACUAACAUCAAUACUAAGAACAAGCCGUACUGUGGUGGACUUAACAACUGGACUGAAAGUGUCAUAAUAGUCCACACCAGGCCAUUGAUUGAACCCUUUGGCAACAAGAUGAGCUUUAAACCUGUCAACAGAACCGUUGGAAUGUCUUUUAAUACAAAAAUCCAUUUGCAGCCAACAAUAUUGGAAGGGAUGGGAGGUGGAACAAGCUUCCAUGUCCCGUUACGAACAAGAGCAUCAUACUCUUCUGACAUAGCUGGACGCCAGUGAAGAUUUUUGAUAGCUUGCGUCACAGUUGUAGGUUCACAAUCAGAAGAAGGGCUAAAAUGAGCACGGAGGUUAAGUUUUUGUAACGGCUUGUGAAUCUUAUUUUUAGCUCGGGUAGUCAUAUCAUGAUGACUUGUGGGGCAAUGAUCUAGUGGAGUUUAGGAAGAUGAUUGAACAGGAAGUGAAGAAGUGCUUUGUGUAGAGGUAGAAGUAGGUUGGGAGGAUUGCUGCGGAGAUGUUACCGGUAGAGAAGAAGGAGCAGUACACGGUGGCAACUCCAGAGGGCCCACAAUAGAUGGAGUAGGUGCCGACAAUGGAGUACUAGGAAAUGAAACAGGAAGAAUUGGUGGAACACUUGCAUAAUUAGGAGUGGUAGAUGAGCUUGUAAUGAUUUGCAUGGAAAAACAAACUCUACAAAUUUAACGUGACGUGAAAUAAAAAUUUGAAAGGUGGAUGGGUCAAAACAUAAAUAAGCACUUUGAGAUAAAGGAAUAUCCUAGAAAAACACAAGGCUUAGAGGGUGGUUCGAGUUUAUGUGAUGAAACACAAACAUUCAAAAAAUUUUAAGUUUAUAUUAAUUAGGAGUGGUACCAAAAAUUAAUUAGCUAUGGGGUUGUUGGAUGUGUUUUGGAUAUUUACAGUUAAGUUUGAGUAUCUCAACUUAAAAUUUGUAGUUUUCACUUGAAAAAAUUCAGUUAAAUUUUGCAAUGCAGACUGAUUGAUUUAUCAGUUUAACGUGUGCCAGGAAUGAAGAACUGGAAUAUCACCGUCAAGCAAGCACCCUGUGGAGCAAUACCAAAGAAUGCACAAUCUGGCUUUGCUAGGUAACACUGGAGGCUUUUUGAAAAGUGCUUCACGCUCACUUGCACAGAUUGAGCAUCCCCUCUGGAUAUUGCCCUCUCUGAUCGAGUCUGAGCACUCAAAUUUUGGUCCUCAGAGGGAGCUACAGUUUUCUCUCCACUAACCAACAAUAUUCUAAACUCAGCACCUAGUGUGAUCAGAGUUGUUGAUAUUUGCAAAUGGAGAUCCCCAUAUUUGCAAAUGGAGACAUUUAACAAAUCACCAACAUGCUUCAUCCGGUCCACGAAAUUCUGCAACUGAUGCAAAUCUGGAACCUGAACCAGAGUCGGAGGUAUAUCUUGAGCCAUAUCUAAAGCAGUUUGAAGUUCAAGACCUUGAGCCCUUGACAAUGGUUUUGAAAUUGGAACAUCUUGGAUUACUGCAGACUUGUACCCCUUGGUUUCAAAGGUAAGGAAAGGCAUUGCUUGAGUACAAUUUGGAGGCAGCUUCUUCACCAAUUUUAUUUGGAGGCGAUUGGCAGCGGAUCCAGCUGCACCAAUUUCAGAGCAACUACUGACACUACUUCGAACAGCACACUGAAGAAGUGAUAUGUCUACGGCGAAGGCAAUGCAGUCCUCAUUUUGGCUUGAGACACAGUAAUCAUCGAAGAGAGUUUCCUUGUGAAACUGGGCAACACAUUGAAUCCCUUCGGCACUGAGAAGGUUGUGGAGGAAGUAAGCUUUCUCUCUAGUAAGGAAGAGGUGGCAUACAUUCCCCAUUUUGUCUAGGGCAGGUAGGAAUCUUUUUUCUAAGAGAUUUACUUCAUUCUCUGUGAGAAAUGCUUUGAACUUCAUCCCUCUGUCUCUAUCCUCACUUAUCAGUAAAAUAGUUGAAAGCGCUACAAGGAGAGAAAAGAAGAGUAUUAAGAUAUAUAUAUUAUAUAGACAAGAAAAACAUUAGAUGUCGAUCUUACAAGCUAAUACUUCAAACAAUAUCCUAGAAAGCUAAAAACUGCAAGAUGGCUUGAAAUUUGAAAAGAGCACGUGCUUUUCCUCCUUAACUUGAGAAAAUGUUUAAUAUAGUGCACCUUACAGAAGCAUUUAAGCAAUUAGAACUUUGCACAAAAACAUCAAGAAGACUAAACAAGUCAGAUGCAGUGUAUUUGUCCAAGCACAAAUUGCAUUUUGUCCUCAACUUUAAUAUUUAUUGAUGAGAAUCAAUACAGGUCCCUCAUUUGUUAUAGAAAGCUUUCUUGUAGUCUCACCAGUUAAUAUGGAUAUUAGAUAAGGAAACUUUAUUAGGUUGCGAGGGUAAAAAAGGAAAGAGAUAUCAUUAUUUUAUUAUCGAUAAUUAUUAAAUUUUUUUCCAAAAAAAAGAACAAGCAAGGAUAUUUUAUUGUCAAUUGCAACCUUUAAUUUUUUUAAAUGCUAUUAGAAACACAAGAUAACAAAAAUGUAGUGAGAUGGGAUCUCCUGCAUGCCACUCUGGUUUAGAACACAAAGAAUGUGUCUGCAUAAAUAUCCUCUGAAAUUGAACAACCCACAAACACAAAGCACCUCCAAGUCGGAGGCAUUGUACAAAACAUCAAAAGCCCUUGAAUCCUUCUCGUUGCCACCAACCUCGAAUUCUUCCUUCACUAUGUAUGUUAUAGGUCCAUCAGAACUAAUAUGUUUUGUGCUAUAGUAAGAGUACAUAGCCUCCACCUCCAUCUGAAACUUCCUUAACAUUUCAUUUGUGUACAGUUUUGAGAGUUGAAAUUCAUAGUAACAUCUUGGUUUCCGGAUACAACUUGAAUUUCUUGAAUCCAUAUCUGCCAAGGCUACCAGUUGAUAAUUCGCCUGCAGUGCUUGAUCAUACUUGUCUAAGAAUUCUUUCAAAGGAGUAUUCUUAUCAAGAUAUCCUUCAAAGUAUGAAGUAGAAACCUCAUUCUGCAGGAACGAAAACACUCCUGAUAAAAAAGCUUCCUUCAAAUAAAUAGGAGCCCACCUUUUAUGAUCUUCAUAUAAAGUUUGAAUCCAUCCGUGAUCCUUUAUUCCAUGACAUUGAAUCAUGUCUUCCCAAGCUGCUUCAAAUUUCUCAGGCCUGAGAGAGUGAUAAAUUGCUCUAUGUAAUGCAGCUUUAAUAGCUUCAUAUUCAAACAAUCCUUGGAGUUUCUCUGGAAUUUUUUUGCAUGAUGCAUGACAAUGAAAAGAAAUGAUAAGCUCUUGGGAAAACAUCACCAACAGCAAUUUGCAAGAUUCUACAUUGGUCAGUGAUGAUUGUUUGUGGAGAGCGCCCUAACAUACAUGUAAGCCACGCCGUAAACAACCAUGUAUAUGAUUCUAUGGUCUCACUGGCAAGUAAACCACAACCCAACAACACUGAUUGUCCAUGAUGAUUCACCCCAAUGAAUGAAACCAGUGGUACAUCAUAUCUUUCAGUCAGGCACGUAGUAUCAAUUAAGACCACAUCACCAAAGUACCUAUAUGCAACUCUUGACCUGGUAUCAGUCCAGAAUAGGUUUUUCAAGCAUCCCUUUUCAUUUAGAUCCACUACAUUAAAAAAGUUUGGAUCUGUCAACUGCAAAUGACAAAAGAAACUCUGGACAGCUUGUGCAUCUCCUGGUUUAAGCUUCAAUUGAUUUGAGCUAUUAACAUUAUUUCCAAAUACUCCAUUAACAUCUACCAUUUCCCUUGGUAUCAAUGAUAAGAGUUCGAAACAGUUUAAUUUUUUGAACUUCUUCAGCACUAUCUAAAUGCAAUGUUCUUUUGGUUCCAAUACCUAUGUGCUUAUGUGACUUGUAAAACUUUCCGCUUCUUGGGCUUAACAAGUGGUUAUGCUCAAGCUCGACUUCAAUGAUUCUCCACCUUUUGGUUUCCAUCAACCUAAACUUUAUCAUUGCUGGACAGCCAGUUCUUGUUUCUGGUCUUGGGCGGUUUGCCUCGCUUUUCUUCUUGAAGCCUGCACUACUACAGCUCAGCUUUCCUCUAUACUUUUCUCUACUCUUUCGGUACCAUGGAUUGCUAACUCUAACACCAAAACCCUGUUCCUUGGCAUAGCAAUUGUAAAAGUAAUAUACAUCAUCAUACAUCUCAAACUCCAUUCCAACAGUAGGAGGCAAGGGAUUUUGGAUUAUCCCAGUUUGUCCAACAUAUUCAGUCAUCGCACAAUCUCCUACAACCUCAAAAUCAUCAGUGUCAUCAUCACCUACUGGUUCGGUGUUGAGAGAAACUUCAUCCAUCUACAAUGGAUGUUCAAUGAAGUGAGCUUUAAGGAGAAAAAGCAAAAUCUGUUCAAGGAAUGAUAAUAUAAUCAUACAGUUACUUUCACAAAGCUUCAUAUUUCAUCACUGCUUUACCAACAUGCAACUGCCAGAGAACAAACAGACAUGUCAUAGACGCUUGAAUUAAGUAUUGGUACAAAUGAGCACACAUCAUGUGGGACAAAAUUUCAGUCACUAAACCCAAUACCACUUUUUACAUCAUACCAAGGAACAGAUUAAACCCGACACCUUCUUUUAAACCAUACCAAGGAACAGAUUAAAUCAUCAAUGAAAAAUUAAUCACAUAAUAACUUAACCAGACAAAUGAAGAGCCUGAAACAGCACAAAACUUGAAUCUGAUUAUGAUAAUUGUUGAGUCCUUGUAUCUACAGCUUUCCUUCAAUGAUAAGACAAUGAACAUAAACGAGACACAAAAAAAUUAUUUUAAACUGACAGCCCAUGAUAUAAAUCAAACAAAAUCAACUCCUUUUUUUACACAUUACAUCUCAUAUUCAUUUACAUUGAAACACAAAAAGGAAGCAGGAGUGGGAAAAAAACAACAGCAGAGGAACUUAUUUCCAUAAGGUUUACGAAAUAAGGAAUCUAUUAAAACCCAAAACUUGAGGUCACCACUAAGAAUUUGGUUCUCAUUAUUUUUUUCUUCAUUUUUCACCAAUUGAUGAACUUAAAAUACAAUCAUAAAUGAUAAAACCCCAUCUCCAUCUUUUUGAACUAGAGCUAAAGCAAAGCAUUUUAAGAUGUUUCAUCAUUUUUUUUUUUAAAAAAAACUCAAUAGUACAAUGUUUUUCAAUGCUAAAUGCACAAUUCAAUCUUCUCCUAAUUUACUCUAAUAAUCUCUUAAUUAAGGAAGAUUAAGCUUCAGUUGUAAGCUAAAACAAAUUUCUUAAAUCAAGCCCCAAUGCUUUAUGCUAUUCAACAAGGGCUCAUAAAUGAUAAAACUACUUCUAUAAAGAUACCCAUUUUCUAAAUUAAUUUCACAAACUGAAAUCAAACUCCUGAAACGUAACGAGCAUUAAUAUAAUCAAGCCCGAACAAGAAUUGAAAAAUGAUACAUAAACUCGUUUACACAUUUCGACAGACACUUUGCAAUCAAUGAGCAAAAAAUUAAUGGAGAAGAUAAAAUUCAAACGAAACAUGCCUUACAUUGAUAAAUUAGAAGGGCAAAAGAAAUUUUAGUACGAUAUGCGAUCAGGGUCUUGCCACGGUGAUGUUAUUUGUGAAGUUCGAGCGACUCAGCAGCCUUCGAGGUUGAAAAUUUGAUUGACCAAAAGCUUCCCGUUCGUUGAUUCUCUAAUAGUAGAAACGAGACUGGCAGUAUACACAAGAAGUUCGCCGAUUUUAAAUUCCGUUGUUUGAGAUGGAAAAUUUUUUGAAAAAAUUAAUGUGUUCGAUGAAAAUCAAAAUCUCAAAAACCUCUUGUUUUUCAUUUUUUUGGAAAAAACCAUUGAGAUCCUUACUAUUUUUUCUUAUAUCAUCUUCCUUAAUAAUUUGCAAAGUCUAUCGCAUAGCACCCAUGUAUGAUGUAUGCUGCGUUGUAAUUUACAAAAUUGCACAUGAAUAAAUCCAGCUAAAAUUUGUUAAAAGAAAAUAAUAAUAACAUGUUAAAACUUUAAAAUUUGAUUAUUCGAAGAAAUUUUAAUUUAGUUAAGUAGGUGACAUGAUAAUAAAUAGAUACGUAUAAUGUCCGAGAUUUUUUAUAAGAUUAAUAAAUAUGAUAAAUUUGGAUUAGUUCAAUUUUGACAUAAUUCAUAAUAAACACAGCUUGCUAAUCUAAAUUGCCACCGUUACUCAUCAUCAGGUACCUGUUUGAAAAAUAAUUACAAACAAUUUUAUUUGUGUUGUUUCUCUAAAAGUUUGAGACACAAAUGUUAUUUCAAAUUGAUAAAAGUACGAAAAUUCCCCCUUGCUCUUCAACUAAAAAUGAAACAUGCAAAUAUACACACUAAUUUAGAUGUGUGAAUAACAAAUAUGGAACGACACAUGCAAAGUCAUCUGUAUAAUUGAAACGCCAUGCACUAGUAGUAGGUAAGAGAAACCAAGGUUGAAGUUGCUCCAAUGGUUACUGUUAAUUUAUUUUUAUUUAUGAUUUUUUUUGUAAAAUGUAAGAAAUAUGUAGAAAUGUUGCCAGCAAUGAUUUUGGAACUUUGCAUAAAAUUUUUAUCAUUAUUGUUUUUGGUAUUAAGAAAUCCGAGGCGGUGAUUAGACGUAUGUUGCAACAAUUAAGAAAUUUCUUAUUGGAGAUAAUUUGGUAGGUUUGCAGCAAUUAGAGAAUAAUUUUCCUGCCAGUUAAUCAAUCAAUAAUAAAUUUCAAAUUGCAGAAAAUAAAAUAAUACAGCCUCACUUAGAAUCAUCUUUUCUAUCUCUUUCAAUUGUGGCAAUCAUUUGCAACAAAUAAAUCAAUUUGAUGCACAUCAUUUCCCCAAUUCAAAGUUCAAGUCACUGCUCAAUUACAGAGUAGUUAGUGGACAUGCAUGCAUGUUUAAUUAAGUACUGCAUUGUAGUAUCGAAAAUCAUAACAUCUCACCAAUAUCAGAUUAUUAACCAUGGAAAUCAUAUCACAAUAUCAUAUAGAAUUCACAAAUCUGAAAAUCAUCACCAAACAAGUACCCAGAGAAAUAAUCUCGUCAUAUCCAGACCUCAACGGACGGGCAAUGACGUACUAUUUGGGUAACGUCACACCCUGGAGCUACACGGAUAAAUAGGAAAAUACCAUCUCAUAUCUCAUCAUAUUUGUGCAUGCAUAAUCUAGUCCCCAAGGGACAAAAGCGCCCAAGCACACGGCCCAAAGCCUCUAUGUGUACUCAGACGGGCCCCAAAGGCCUGUAUCUCAUAUGUAUCAUAUGUAUCAUUUGUAUCUCAAUAUCUGUUUGUAUCUCAUUUCCGUAUAUCUAUAAUCAUCAUACCGCAUGCAUAUGCCCCCAAAAGACAAAAGCGCCCAAACACAUGGCCCAAAGCCUUUAUAUGUGUUUAGACGGGUCCCAAAAGCCUCUUAUCUCAUCUUAUCUGUAUCACUGUAUCUGGAGAGAAGGGUACUGUCUAAUGAUUUAAAAAACAAUCAUUAUACUCAUAUUUACAUACCUCUUAAUCAUAUUUGAAAUCAUAUCACAUUUGAAUCCACUUUUCUAAUCUUUAAAAUAUUAUCAUGCUUUAUUCAAAGUCGAUACGCAAAAUCAAUAACCAAACAUUUUAAAUCAAAUUAUUAACCAUGGAAAUCAUAUCACAAUAUCAUAUAGAAUUCACAAAUCUGAAAAUCAUCACCAAAUAAGUACCCAAAGAAAUAAUCUCGUCAUAUCCGGACCUCAACGGACGGGCAAUGACGUACUAUCUGGGUAACGUCACACCUUGGAGCUACACGGAUAAAUAGAGAAAUACCAUCUCAUAUCUCAUCAUAUCUGUGCAUGCAUAAUCUAGUCCCCAAGGGACAAAAGCGCCCAAGCACACAGCCCAAAGCCUCUAUGUGUACUCAGACGGGCUCCAAAGGCCUGUAUCUCAUAUGUAUCAUAUGUAUCAUUUGUAUCUCAAUAUCUGUCUGUAUCUCAUAUCCGUAUAUCUAUAAUCAUCAUACCGCAUGCAUAUGCCCCCAAAAGACAAAAGCGCCCAAACACAUGGCCCAAAGCCUUUAUAUGUGUUCAGACGGACCCCAAAAGCCUCUCAUCUCAUCUUAUCUGUAUCACUGUAUCUGGAGGGAAGGGUACUGUCUAAUGAUUUAAAAAAUAAUCAUUAUACUCAUAUUUACAUACCUCUUAUCAUAUUUGAAAUCAUAUCACAUUUGAAUCCACUUUUCUAAUCUUUAAAAUAUUAUCAUGCUUUAUUCAAAGUCGAUACGCAAAAUCAAUAACCAAACAUUUUAAUAAAAUACCAAUGCAUAAAUAAAAUUCAUUUCGAGAAAUCAUUAAAUCAGAACAUUUAAAAUACUUAUUUCGCAAACAUGCUUUACUAUCAUCGCUAACUAUGAAAAUAAGUUUUGUAUAUUCCACUUUCAGUGAUGGUGUUCACGGUCGGUUAUCGUCCAUAUCUGCAGACCGAUUCUCGCUCGCGAAUCCUCCUAAAUCAAGGAAACGACAUAAUUAUUUUUUGUAAAUCGGAAUUAUGACUAAAUUUUAUGCAAUAAACUCAAAACGAACAUCUAUUCAUAAUUGACAACUCCUAUAUCCAUAAAAUUACUAAAAUAUCCUUGAGUCCGUAGAUCAUUAACAUGCUCCGAAAUCGUAAAUCACUGAAUUACCCUCGGAAUCGUAAUUACACCCGAUCCUCAAUUAUAGGAAUUACUAACAGAUCCACAGGCUUAGAAAUUACAAAAUUGCCCUCGUAGUGUGAAAUUACCAAAAGCCGGAAGUUGGUCAACAAUGGCUAGGAAGCUCAAAUCGUAAAGUUCCAAUCACGCUGAGUUCAAUGGUACCGGCGGUGAGCUCCAACGCGCGACAACGAUGCCAGAAUCUAGCUCGGCAGCCGUGAAUUCCACCAAUCGACCGGCGGCACAACAGUGACUCUCGGUGCCUAUGGAUGGUCGAAAAUGGAAGAGGGAGCCGUGGGGAACAAAAUCCAACCGGUGGUGUCACCAAAACCGGUGAAAAUCCCGGCGGAGCAAAGUGAAACAGUCGCGGGUUUCAUGCUUCGAUCGCCGGUGUUCCGAUUGGUUUUUGGCGAGGAGGAUGGCAAGGGAACGACAGCCGGCUUCUAAGCUUCAGAUUGGUACCAAGCUCGGCCGAAACGAUGGCCGGAAAUGGGAGAUAUGACCGGGUCAAGGUCGCGGGUUCCGGGUCGGGUUUUUUGGUCUGUAGUUGGGUCGGUUUGGUAGCUUCUCUCUCACUCUCUGUUACACGUGCAUAUGUUUCCUCUGUUUCCAGCUUAUUCUUUUGCUUUUACUAACUUCUUAACCGCCUCAUACUUAUUCAUUUUUAAUUCACAUAUGUUACAAUAAUUCCCGAGUAUUAAAUAACCAGUGGUCAUAAUUUUUGUACAAGAUUCUUUUUUUUUUUUGGAGAUCGUUAAAAGUGGUUGACGAUCCAUUUCGUAAUAUCAUAGAGGGAUCAUCAAUUCCUUUUCUUUUCUGUGGCUAGGCAACACUUUUUGGCCAAAGUAAGGAAAUCUAUUUUAGGUAAUGUAAAAACCAGUUGUAGGAUGUAAUAGUUUAUUAUGCACUGACAAUAACUUUUUGUAUAAUUGUCAGUUUAAUGAAUGCAAGAGGAACUCUGUUGGCAAAUUCAUCCAAGAUAGAUGCUAAAAUUAUUUAUGCAUGCCAGUUGCCUUAACUAAGUUUUCUCAGCACUGGUUUUGAACAGGAAAAUGAAUAUGCAAUUUGUAUAUUGUGCCAUAGUGGAGAAUUUGGAUAUUCUUAUUUAAGUAACAAGGAGAUUAUUUGCCUCAUCUUUAAACAAUGAAUCUUUGAGAGAUGAGGAGUGGGUGAUUGGAUGUGUCUUCAUGUAAUUGUUCAUUUAUUUGUAUUUUGAACUGUUAUGAAAAUCUUUAUAUGCCAAAUUAGUAAUACAAGUAUUCAGAUGAUUUUUCCUAUUGAUCAUGCAUUUGUAUCUGCCCACAACCAUUGUAUAUCACUUUAUUCUGAUGCGCAAGCAUCUGUAAUUUAGAAGAAAAGAAAUAAUAAUCAUAUUUUAUUGCUUGGUUCAUGAUUAUUAACGAUUAUGGCUUUAAAAAUCUACAAAUUUCUUGUGUUCAUGUAUGAAUGUGCCAAGUUUGCUGUAUCUUAGAUUACCUUCUUCCAAGGUAACAAGUUCAUAUAUAUAUAUUUUUUAAAUCAUUUUCCAUUACAGUUGAAUUUCAAGUGUUAGUUUUGUUAUUAGUACCUGGUUUCCUGUUAUAAGGAUCUAAUAAACAGUGUACGGAUAUGUGCUCUACUUUUGGAGGGCUUCCACGUGAAAGAAAAUUACAACAAUUGAAUUCUUCCGGAGGAUAUGGUAAUUAAUUUAUUUUCUCAACUUCUUGUAAGACUAAUAUAUUUCCUUCAGUAGGCACAGCAUGGUGGGAAGGGUUUUUAUUGAAAGAAUUCUGAUAUUUCUUAGACUUUGUUUUGGAAGGGGGUGGAGGAAUUUCUCAUCCAUAUAUGGUUACUUGAUUAGCUUUUGACUGUAUUGUCUCUGUCGUGCAAAGGAAAAUCUAAAUACUAACGAUGGGGAAUUGCUUAGGCACCCAAAAGGCAGAAAUGAAUUACAGAAGGAAGUUUUUGCUGCUUUAUUUAGUGCUGCUGAGAAAUCUGAUGAAUUUCCUGAAAUUACGGUGAAGACCGAGUGGAGGUCCAAAGCAUUAGGAAAGGUGGUGAGUGAACUGCCGGAGGAAUUUGUACCAAAAUACAAGGCUAAUGUGGUGCACUUGCAGCAAGAUAACCAGACCGGUAUGUGCUCUUAUAUUAACUAUAUUGACUGGAUUUGUGAGUGUGUGCAUUUUUUUGUGUAUACUCACUUUUGUAUUUAUGCAUAUUAACAUGUGUAGGAUUCUUGAUUUCUGCCACUUACUGGAGAACUAGUGGAAAGCUUUAUAUUGAUAUAUCUGCAAUAACUAAUGGAAACUAUGAUAUGAAUAUUUUCUCUCACCUGGGGAGCUGUGUAACAGAUAUACUUUGUGGCUCUGGAAUGCUGAAGAUUCUGCAAUAACUAAUGGAAAAUAUGAUAUGAAUAUUUUGUCUCACCUGGAGAACUUUGUUACAGAUACCCUUUGUGGCUCUGGAAUGUCUAAAGAAUGCUUUAGUUAGAUCAAAUAUCUUUUAGUUAGAAAAGAUAAAAUUCUCUGAGUCUGAAAGACUGAAACAUUUUGCAUAUUUUGUGAAAGGGAAAUAUCUGUUGAUACUAGCUCAUGCAUUGAGGUAAUAUCGAUGUUAAAGAAAAACAGCAAUGAUUUAUGAUAUAGAAUUGGGUUCACUUGCUUCAAAUGCUGGUCUGAUCAACCAUAUCAACCUGUAAUGAUUCUGCAGAAAUAUAUAUACAUGGAGAAAGUAGCUAAAUUUUUCUUUCAUUUAUGGGUUCGGUCUUUUUUCCCCUUAUUUUUCAGCUUUCCUUCUCCUGAAGUAUGUUAACAAUUGCAGAUAAUGAUGAAGACGACAGCUUCCGGGCUCUCCUUAGAGCCGUGAUGGAAUAUAGGGGCACAAUGAAGGAAUAUUGUAAAGCUGUAGGUACUUUUUCUCCUUUCAUUUAUGUUUUCUCACACAUUUUGUAUAUGCCCUGAACAUGCACCUUUGUAUGUAUCAAUUGACUUUUAAAUUUUAAAAGCCAUAAAGUAAGAAUACGGUUCCUUGUCAGGCUACUGAUGACAUUCGCUCAGGGGGAUCAUGUUCGAGCAGGAAAAUUUCUAGAACAGGUAAGGUUUCCAUCUACAGCCAUCCAUUGACAGCAGAUACAUUUUCAUUCAGCAGACUCUGUUAGCAUUCAAGAUGCUGGCAGAUUCACUUGAUUCUUAUUAGCUUGUUUAGUGGCAAAGCCUAUAACCUGUAUUUCAAAGCCAAGUUGUGCUAUUGAUUAUGUUAACUUUUUUGUUAACAUAAAAUGAUAUGGAGGAAAUAAUCAGUGUUGGAAAAUUAGGUGAAAAGAUGAUGUCAAAUCUUGAACCUCUUACGAAACUCUAAGUUCUUUACUUGAAGAGGCUACGAAAUUUGAACAGCGUCUACUCGAAGGCCUUGCCAUUCCCUGAUGCAUGCAGAAUUUUUGUAUUUAAAUGCCCAGAGCUUAAGAAGCUGCCACUGGAUCUUGAAGGGGCAGACCAAGGUAAAAAUCUUAUCAAGGGAAAGGAAGAUUGGUGGAAACAACUUAAUGGGAGGAUCAAGUAACUCAGAAUGCAUUGCUUCCAUUUUUUAAAUUGACUGACAAGUGAUUGAACGGGGCAUCAUCAACAUCAUCAACAGGGAUGGAGAGAUACCGGAGCAGAUCAGCAGGGUUUGAAUAUGACCUUUGGCGGUUGCUUUUUUUUUGUGAUUUUUUUUUCAUUUUUUCCUUCCUGUCAUUUUAUCAUUUCUUUCUCUGUUUCUAUUGCGGGUGUUACUGCAUGCUUACUGUUGCUUGACAAAGUUUGCUAGCUUUUUGUUUGCAGUGUUGCUAUACACUCCGAGUCAAGCCUCGAAAAUUUAUUAAACGAAGCCGUUUCGACAGUAACAAUUCUUUUCUUUUCCCUUUGCAUGUCUCUUUCAUCUGCUGUUUCUCUAUCACUUUUCAUUUUUGAUUUCCUUGCUUCUCAGCUGCCCCUAAAUUGUUAUUCUAGCAAUAUACUUUCUCAUCUUUGAAUUUUCAUCCUUGAGUACUCCCACAGCCGUAAUUUCAUCAUCAUAGACUUCACUUGGAAUGCUGUAUUUUUUCGAUUCUUGAGCUACUUCAAUUACAUCUUAGUAUAGGAUCCUCAUCUUCCUUUAUUUCUUCAUCUUAUGAGGUAAUAAAUGGAUUUCACAACUCAUCUACUUUUAAGCAAUUACAUAUUAUACCUUGAAUGAUUCAACUGUUCUGACAGUUAAAGAUUUUAUGCUCAACCUGCAGUGCUACGAACAUUGUCCAUGAAAGAUGAGUUUCAGCAUAUAAAAUGAAAUAUAGAUGUUUAAUCUAAAAUAACCCUUCACUGCCAGAAACCUAGGUCACAAAAUUCACAGAUAAUGAUAAAGAGCUAAAAAAUUUGAAAAACUCUACAGAUCACACAUCAAGCAAGAUAUCAUGUUUUUUUCCCUCAUUCAGUGGUGAUUGAUUCGCUUUUUGAUGAUGGAUAUGGUAUAAAAGUGUUGACCCAAUUUCAAGCAAACACAAAUAGAAACACAAACACAAUCGGGACUAGAGUUGUGGGCGAUUAUCUUAGGUGUACAAGUGAAACGGUGGUGGCUGUCGAUGGUGGUAGUGGGGUGGUUGGGUAUGCGUGAUGGCUAGAUUUUAGGACAAUAAUGAUUGGAGUUGACCUCAAUCAACGAAGGAAAGUGACAACAAUUUUGACAUCAAACGGUGCAUUUUUUAGCUUAGUAAAAUGGAGCCGUUUCGAUUUUGGGGUUUAAUCCGGGGUUUGACUCGGUGCAAGUAUCAUUUUCCUUUUGUUUAUUAAAUUUUUUUAUGGUCACAAAGUAUCACUCGUUCUAUUUGAGAGUCAUGUGAAUCAAUUUUUCAAAUUUUCAAUUUUAAAUUUUGUGGUCAAUGUGAAUUCAAUUUCAUUUGUCUCCUGCAAUUAUGAAAAAAUUAAAUAGUCAUAAUAUGGAAAAAUACACCGGUAAAAACUUUGUAAAAGCUUCGGAGUGAUACGGGGAAUUCACUUACUACUAAGGACAAUUGGUGGCAAGCUAUUCCAUUCAUUUUAUGUCCAUCCAUCUAUUUAGUUAUUGAAGAUAAGUGGUCCAUUUGUAAAUUUCAGAUUGUCUCUCUCUCCCUCUUGAAAUAACAAUAUUUAAUAUAUCUCAUAAAUUAUUAUAAAUUUUAAUUUACUCUCGAUUUAAAAUGGAGCAUGUCGAUAAAUUUUUUUUCUUCUUAAUAAAAUUGACGUAAGUUGUGUUUACAGUAGUUUGAAGUUUGAAAUAUUUUAAAGAUUAUUAUUCUAUAAGGGAGUAAUAUGAAAUGAUAUUUACUUUUCAUGUGUGAAAUGAAAAAGGACGAAGCAAGUGUCCCUGCUUUUAUUUUAUUUCAAGGAGGAGUCAUCUCACAUACUUUAGCUCUUAACAUUACAUUUUUUCUGGUUACAUUUUUUAUUUAUUUAUUUUUUUUUUUUUACACAUGCGUGUGGGUUGCUUUUCUGUAAGCUCCUUAAUAUAUAUUUAAGACAAAUCAUGGAAGAGAUGGGAUUAUAUCAAGAUGAUCAAAGAAUGUUAAAAAAGAAAAAAGAAAAAAAAAAGAAGUAAGACACUGAAAAUGGAGAAGAGAUGGAAGCAAAAGAUAUUCCAAAACAAAGCAAUCUAUCCCCUUUCGAGGGCAGACUUAUCAGGUUUAAAAAAGUACACGCUUUGGAUUGGUAGUUGCAAUCAAGGGAAAAUAAAUAGGAUCCAAUGAAAUUUAAAUCUCGGAGAAAAUAAAUAAUCAUGCAGAUUUUCAAGAUUUUAAUAAGGGAUACUAAUAUCUUAUUUUGAUUAAUAAUAUCCUUUCAUUGUGUUAACUCAAAAAAUAUAUAUUUUAAUGUUUUGCAAUAAACAGAAACGUACUAUUAAAAUGAAUAUAUAAAGAAUUUAGAAAAUUUUGAAUGUUAUAUAAAAUAAUUUUAAGAUAAUGCGUGAGAUAUAUUUUAUUAAUUUAAAAUGUUAUUUUACCUAAAAAAUAUGAUAAAUUAAUAAUUACAUAUUUGAAGUUAUUUUAAAUAUUAAAAAAAUUUAAUAUUAUUAAUCUUUUAGAUAGAUUAAAUUAUUUUUUAUAAGAGAUAGAUUAAAUUAUUUUAAAAUACGUUAAUUGUUUUUACUUUUAACGUUACCGGCCUUUCUUUUAUUUUAUUGCAAAUUAAUGCUAACAAGAAAAAGCUAGAUCAUAUUCCACAAAAGCAAAAGUGACAAACACAACCAGCUGGAAUCUUUUAAUUACUAUUCAAUAAUUCGAGACGAUUAGGGUCUUUUAUUAAACUACAAAUUGUAUAGUCUUUUUAAAAUUGUUAUAAAUUGGUGGCACCUACAAUCCUCAAUAAUUGUACCGAUAUUCACAAGUUGGUGGCCCCUACAAUUCUGUUCGGAUAAUUUAACUGUGCAAGUGCUCAUUCACAAUAAUUGUUUUGUUUUUUUUUUCUGCAUUCCCUUUCAUGCUCUUAAUAAUUGAAGAGCAUACUUUUCAUUUUCAAAUGUGGAGCCGCAGCUAAUGUCGCUAAUUUAAUUUGGGAUUAAAUUAGGGGACCAUUAUAUUGCAGUGUGCACUAAUUUUUGUGUUUAUCUAAACUCCUUAAAUUUAAGACAUAUUAUGGCAUAAAUAAGAAUAUAACAAUAGCAAAAGAGUUAAAAAGUGUAGAGAAGAUCUUGCAGAAAUAUAAAUAAUAUCUAUUUUAAAAUAAUAUCAAUAUUUAAAAUAAUUUUUAAUAUUUUAUGAUUCAUUAGAUAUAUUUUAUUAUAUUAAAGUAAAUUUUAUAAUAAAUAAAAACAUACUAUUAAAAUGAAUAUAUAGAAAAUUUAGAGUAUUUUAAGUAUUAUAUAAAAUAAUUUUAAUAAAAUAUGUGAGAUAUUCAUAUUUUAUUAAUUUAAAAUACCAUUUAACCUAAAGAUUUAUUUAUGAUAAAUUAAUAAUUAUAUUUUUGAAGUUACUUCAAAUAUUAAAAAUAUUAAUAUUACUAAUCUAUUAGAUAGAUUAAAUUAUAUAUAUUAUUUUCUAUUUAUUAAAAAAUUUAAAAUUAUUUUUAAUUACUAUUCAAAAAAUAUAAUGAUAAAAAAGAAUCUUAACAUCUUUAUUAAAAAUUUAAAAAUUUACAUGAUCAAUUCUCUAAAUAUUUAGGGUUAUAUGUGAACAACGGUGGAGAAGCUUUAUUUAAUAUUAUUGAUUUAAAUAAUAUGUCAAUUAAAAAUGUACAGAGAAGGAAAUUUCGGUGGGUAUUUUAGUCUUUUCAGCAAUUAUCAUGAUCAGAUCAGCCUUUAGCCUUGAAUCGUCGGUCAGAAAAGUUUUAAAAUUAACGCUAACAAGAAAAAGCUAGGUCAUAUUCCACAAAAGCAAAACUGACAAAACAACCAGCUGGUUUCUUUUACUAAACUACAAAUUAAAAGUGGAUUCUUUUGAAUGCAAGUGGGACAGACGAUUAGGCUCUUUUUAUUAAAGGCAAGUAAAAACUAGUCGAAUAGUCUUUUUCAAAUUGUUGUUUUAUUAUUUUUCCUUCAAAAGUUAGUGUGGCUCAUGUUUGCAGGUGCGAAUGUGGGUCCCGAAUCAUUACUAAAAUUUCUAUUCCACAGCCCACCGCAGCUUCAGUUAAUCAAACUCAAAUCAAUUUUCUUUCUUAACAAAAUAUUCCAAAGAUGUGUAGCAUUUUUCAGAUCACAUGCGAUGGUGCUCUUUUCAAUCGUUGCUUGGAUUGCUUUCUUGGAAAAGCAGCAUACAUACGUAACCUCCAAGAUAAUGUUGAUACCUUGGGCACUGAAUUGGGAAAUCUGAUCGCUAGAAAGAACGAUCUGAUGAGGAGGGUUGUCGAUGCUGAACGGCAACAAAUGAGAAGGCUGGACGGAGUGCAAGUGUGGGUUUCGAGGGUGGAUUCUGUUAAAACUGAAGCUGAUCAAUUUAUAAGAGACGGCUCUCGAGAAAUUGAAAAAUUAUGUGUUGGAGGCUACUGUUCCAAGAAUUGCAUGUCAAGCUACAAGUUCGGGAAAAAAGUGGCUAAAAAGCUACGGGAUGUGCGGACUUUAAUCAGUGAAGGAGUUUUUGAGGUGGUGGCUGACAGAGCUCCAGAGUCUGUAGCAGAUGAAAGACCUACUGAGCGAACAGUAGUAGGCUUGCAAUCACAACUUGAACAAGUCUGGAGAUGUCUUGUAGAAGAAUCAGCGGGAAUCAUUGGCCUAUAUGGUAUGGGCGGUGUUGGUAAAACUACACUACUGACCCAUAUCAACAAUAAAUUUCUCGAGAGUCCAACCAACUUUGAUUGUGCGAUUUGGGUUGUAGUUUCAAAAGACCUGCGACUCGAAAAAAUUCAAGAAGAUAUUGGGAAAAAGAUAGGUUUGGUUGGUGAUUCAUGGAAGAGUAAAAGUGUAGAGGAGAAAGCUGUCGACAUCUUCCGGAGUUUAAGAGAGAAGAGAUUUGUAUUGUUGUUAGAUGAUAUAUGGGAGCGGGUUGAUUUAACAAAGGUGGGCAUUCCACUUCCCGGACCAAAAAAUACUACCUCAAAAGUCGUAUUCACAACCCGUUUCAUCGAUGUUUGUGGUAGCAUGGAAGUUGACAGGAAGUUUCAAGUAGCAUGCUUAUCAGAAAAGGAUGCUUGGGAACUGUUUCGAGAAAAAGUUGGGGAGGAAACUCUUCAGAGUCAUCAUGAUAUCGAUGAGCUAGCCCAAAUUGUGGUCAAAGAGUGUGGUGGUUUGCCACUCGCACUUAUUACUAUUGGUCGAGCUAUGGCCUACAGAAAGAAAGCGGAGCAGUGGAGACGUGCAAUUGAAGAGUUAAGGAGAUCAGCUUCAGAGUUUGCAGGUUUGGGAAAAGAGGUUUAUCCUCUUUUAAAAUUCAGCUAUGAUAGUUUGCAGAAUGAUACGGUUAGAUCUUGUUUCUUGUACUGUUGUUUAUAUCCUGAAGAUUAUGGCAUUCUUAAAUGGGACUUGAUUGAUUGUUGGUUUGGCGAGGGAUUUUUUGGGGAAUCUGACAGGUCUGGUGCAGAAAACCAAGGAUAUGACAUUUUGGACACUCUUGUUCGUGCGUGUUUAUUAGAAGAGGUGGAAGAUGAUGAAGUAAAAAUGCAUGACGUUAUUCGUGAUAUGGCUAUAUGGAUAACUUGUGAAAUUGAGAAGGAGAAGAGAAACUUUUUGGUUCGUGCAGGUGCUGGAUUAAAAGAUGCACCGGGUGUUAAAGGAUGGGAAAAUGUGAGAAGAUUGUCAUUGAUGCAAAACCAAAUUGAAACUCUGGCAGAGGUUCCCACAUGCCCUCAUCUCCAUACUCUAUUUCUUGACUUUAAUAGGGGGUUGGAUAUGAUCGCGGAUGGCUUCUUUCAAUUUAUGCCUUCUCUCAAAGUUUUGAAGAUGUCAAACUGUUCGAAUUUGAAAUUACCUGUUGGGAUGUCAGAGUUGGGUUCAUCACUAGAACUUCUUGAUAUUUCAGAAAACAGCACAAGAGAGUUACCGGAAGAGUUAAAGAAGUUGGUAAAUCUGAAAUGUUUGAAUUUGAGGUGGACAGAGCAUUUAAAUAAAAUUCCACGGCAACUAAUAUCAAAUUCUUCAAGGUUACGUGUGUUGAGAAUGUUCGCUACUGGCCGGUUCAAUUUUCAUGAAGCACCAGAAGACAGCGUUUUAUUUGGUGGGGGUGAAGUUUUGAUACAGGAAUUGCUCGGUUUGAAAUAUUUAGAGGUAUUGGAGUUGACCUUGGGAAGUUAUCAUGCUCUCCAAAUUCUUUUGAGCUCAAAUAAGUUAAAAAGUUGUAUUCGAUCUCUUUACCUCGAGUUGACCGGAGAUACAACGUCAAUUAUUGAUGCUACGGCUUUCGCAGAUCUAAACCACCUCAAUGAAUUACGGAUUGAUAAUGGUAUUGAGUUGGAAGAGUUGAAGAUUGAUUAUACGGAGAUAGUACGAAAAAGGCGGGAACCUUUUGUUUUCCGCAGCCUUCAACGUGUUACCAUAGCGGAGUGCCAUAAAUUGAAAGAUGUGACAUUCCUCGUUUUUGCUCCAAACCUCAAGUCUCUUCGGCUAUUCUAUUGCGGUGCUAUGGAAGAAAUAAUCAGCGUCGGAAAAUUUGCUGAGACUCCUGAGAUGAUGGGACAUAUAAGCCCUUUUGAAAAUCUCCAAAUGCUUGAUUUACAAGGUUUGCCACAUUUGAAGAGCAUCUUCUGGAAGCCAUUGCCUUUCACUCAUCUGAAAGAAAUGGAGGUACUUAGGUGCGAUCGGCUUGAAAAGCUUCCACUCGAUUCCAACAGUGCAAAGGAGCGCAAAUUUGUUAUUCGUGGAGAAGAAGACUGGUGGAACCGACUUCAAUGGGAGGAUGAAGCCACUCAAAUUGCUUUUCGUUCCUGUUUUAAAAGUGAUGCUUUAUUUAUAUCUUAUUCGUGAAAAGUGAUUUAAUUUCCUGCCAAAAGACGAACGAGAAGAACAAUAGAGUCAAACUAAUGCUCACAUAAAUUUCCCGUAAGAAUAUAUAAUUAGAUUGGAAUGCACACCUCUAGAUUGAACAGAAUUAAAGCUGAGAAAAUAUUGAGUAUAGUAGCCCUCUUUACAGAAAAUGACGUGAAAGUUAAUUUAGAAAGAUAUAUUCUUGAUUAAUCCAUUUUCUGAAGUUUUUAUUUUGUAUGGUCAAUUAUACCUUCAUACUAAAAAUUUCUGAAGUUAUAAAUUAGUGCAACUUGACAAUUUUUACUGAUGAUAUCUUCUAUUUUUCCCUUUUUUUUUUUUUCACUUUCAUAGACUGGCAGCGGAUCCUGCGGCACCAAUUUGAGAGAAUAUACUGACACUACUUCGAACAGCAAGCAGAAGAAGUAAUAUGUCUACGGCAAAGGCAAUGGAGUCCUCAUUUUGGCUCGAGAUGCAGUAAUCAUCGAAGAGAGUUUCCUUGUGAAACUGGGCAACACAUUGAAUCCCUUCACCACUGAGAAGGUUGUGGAGGAAGUAAGCUUUCUCUCCAGUGAGGAAGAGGUGGCAUAUACCUUCCCCAUUUUGUUGAGGGCAGGUAGGAAUCUUUUUUCUAAGAGAUUUACUUCGUUCUCUGUAAGAAAUGCUUUGAACUUCAUCCCUCUGUCUCUAUCCUCACUUAUCAGGAAAUAAGUUGAAAGCACUAUGAAGAGAGAGAGAGAGAGAGAGAGAGAGAGAGAGAGAGAGAAUUAAGAUAUAUAGACAAGAAAAAUAUUUGACGUUGAUCUUACAAACUAAUACUUCAAGCAGUAUCCUAGAAAGCUAAAAACUGCAAGAUGGCUUGAAAUUUGAAAAGAGCACAUGCUUUUCCUCCUUAACUUGAGAAAAUGUUUAAUAUAGUGCACCUUACAGAAGCAUUUAAGCAAUUAGAACUUUGCACAAAAACAUCAAGAAGACUAAACAAGUCAGAUGCAGUGUAUUUGUCCAAGCACAAAUUGCAUUUUUUCCUCAACUUUAAUAUUUAUUGAUGAGAAUCAAUACAGGUCCCUCAUUUGUUAUAGAAAGCUUUCUUUCUUGUAGUCUCACCAGUUAAUUCAGAGGUCUAUAAUCAUCUUGCAAAGUUAAGGGCAUUUCUUUUGAUCUAAAGUCUUUGCAUCACCACCUCAUCACACGCCAAGCCAAUAUUCCAUUUACCUCUACAACAAAAAGUUUUAAUUAAACAAUCCUAAUGCACGCAGCCAAAUAAAAUGCAGUAAGAAUAUUCAACUUAAAAAUCUGAAAGCCAACUUGGUGAAUUGCCUCCUUAGGUGAAGUUCCAUGCUUUACUAUAGUUGACAGAACUCAGCAAAAGCUUCCAUACAACAGAUUUUGAAAAUGAUGAUGCCAACAGAUACUCAUUCAAUGCAUUGAAACUCCAAAGGUUCAUUGUUCAUAGAAGUUUACAGAGUUUUGGUCAUCAAAUAGCUCAGACCUAAUCCCAAACAAAAAAUGAGUGAAAAUUAGAUCACGAGCAGCUAAUUGUAAAUUCUAACUUAACUCUUCAUCUCCUUUGUAAACAAGAAACAAAAUGGAGACACGCAAAAUGAAUAUGGAGAAAAUUUGAACUCAAAUGAAAUGAGGGCAUGAAAGCAAACAAAUGGCAUGCACCAAAAAACCAAGCCUCAAUCAAAAACUAAUUAACCAUUAAGAAAAAAAUUGGUCAGAGAAUGAACUCCAAAUUCAGGAGUCAAGCAAGAAGCUUUCAUUAUUAUCAAAGUCAAUUAUCUUUGUUAGUAUGCGAGUGUGACGACUAUAGGUUGUUCUUUUUCUAAUGUCAUAUGAUUCCAAUUUUAGGUACAGGGCAUCUCUCUCUCUCUCUCUCAUCGCUAAGUGGAUAUUUUUCUCUUUUGUCAUAUACUUUAGUUAUUCUUCAAUUUACUAACUAAAAUGAAGGCCGCUUUAUUAAGAAGUUAUAUCCAGUUAUAUAAUUUGUUGUAUUUAAUAUAUGUUUGGGCUCAUAAUUUUUUUUAAAAAUAUAUAUUUCAUUCUCCAUAAUUUUUUCCCAUCAUAGCUACGAAACGUCUUAGUUUCGACUAAAAUCCUAAAAUUGGUCCUUAAUUGAAUAUGCAUUGCAAUUUGCAAAUGUAAUAUUGUGAAUGGGACACUGGAGAUACCAAAAUGGUCAAAUGCGAAAUAAGUUAGGAUUGUACGAUGUAGUUUGUAUUCAUAUUCAAUGCCUUUUUUUUCAAAAAACAAAUUGAAAUGCCAUUACUAAACGAUUCUUGAUGAUGGGAGCCACCGUGCCAGCUUUGUCGCUGAUUUGGUAUUAUUCUUAACUUGCAGAUAGUUGUGGAUAUGAUAUGCAAAAAGGUAAGGACUAUAUCUUCUUGAUGGAGGCCUCUGAUUUUUUCCCUUCUAUGUAAUUUAGUAAAUCGCAUUUUCCCUUGUGAUUGAUAUAUCAUACCAAAGUCAAGUCUUAAAUACUGCUGUCAUAUGUUAAGGUUCAACUUCCAUUUUGAUUAACGUCCAUUUGCUGCUGCUUCCAAAAGUGAGAAUGAGAUACUUUGGUUAAUUUCAGUAGUUGAACCCAAUAGAGUACUUUAUUUAGAUCUUCAUGGUUCAAAGGCCUGAAAAAACUUGCCGGUAUUUGCAAAAUGACAUUCUGUGCUUUUAUUUAGGCUUAUUAUUUAAGUGAUAAAAACUCCCGUAACCUGCUGUCAAGAAAAUUUCAGAUUGUUAAAAGACAACAUUUUGUUUCAGCCAAAAAUGUUUGUUUCGAUUAAAGACUUGAACCAUUUUCAUUUAACCUUGAUUGUGAUGCUUUACAUUAUGCAUGUUCCUCUCAAUCAAUAAAAGUUGAGGUCAUGAUUUUAUAUUUCUAUUUUGUAACUUGAAAUAAUUGGUCUGCCUGUUUCUGUAGCUUGAUAACAUGAAUUUUUCCUUCUGAAGUUAAUUUGAUCAAUAAAGUAAUUCUUCGGAGAUGAUAUGCCCAUUCUAUAGUCAUUUUCUUAGGUAACAUGUUUUUUCUUCACUCUUCAGAGCAUGUCUAAACUAAUUGAUCGCUCAGCGGAGACUUUGGGUGAGAAGACAAAAUUUCUUGGUAAAUCCUCUAAAAAGGUAUGCAUAAUUCCCGAGUAUUAAAUAAUCAUUGGUCAUAAUUUUUGUACACAACUCUUUUUUUGGAGAUCGUUAAAAGUGGUUGAUGAUCUAUUUUGUAAUAUCAUAGAGGGAUCAUGAAUUCCUGUUCUUUUCUGUGGCUAGGCAACACUUUCGGGCCAAGCUAAGGAAAUCUAUUUUAGGUAAUGUGAAAACCAGUUGUAGGAUGUAAUAGUUUAUUAUGCCCUGACAAUAACUUUUUGUAUAAUUGUCAGUUUAAUGAAUACAAGAGGAACUCUGUUGGCAAAUUCAUCCAUGAUAGAUGCUAAAAGUAUUUAUGCAUACCAGUUGCCUUAACUAAUUUUUCUCAACACUGGUAUUGAACAGGAAAAUGAAUAUGCAAUUUGUAUAUUGUGCCAUUGUGGAGAAUUUGGAUAUUCUUAUUUAAGUAACAAGGAGAGUAUUUGCCUCAUCUUUAAACAAUGAAUCUUUGAGAAAUGAGGAGUGGGUGAUUGGCAGUGUCUUCAUGUAAAUGUUCAUUUAUUUGUAUUUUGAACUAUUAUGAGAAUCUUUGUAUGCCAAAUUAGUAAUACAAAUGUUCAGAUGAUUUUUCCUGUUGAUCAUGCGUGUGUAUCUGCACACAACCAUUGUGUCCCACUUUAUUCUGAUGCACAAAUAUCUGUAGUUUAGAAGAAAAGAAAUAAUAAUCAUAUAUUAUUGCUUGGUUCAUGAUUAUUAAACGAUUAUGGCUUUAGAAAAUCCACAAAUCCUUUGUGUUCAUAUAUGAAUGUGCGAAGUUUGCUAUCUCUUAGAUUACCUUCUUCCAAGAUAACAAGUUCAUAUAUUUUUUUUAAUCCUUUUUCAUCACAGUUGAAUUUCAAGUGUAAGUUUUGUUAUUAAUAGCUGGUUUCCUGUUAUUAUGAUUUCAUAAACAGUGAGAGGAUAUGUGCUCUACUUUUGGAGGGCCUCCACAUGAAAGAAAAUUGCAACAAUUGAAUUCUUCCGGAGGGUAUGGUAUUUAAUUUAUUUUCUCAGCUUGUUGUAAGACUAAUAUAUUUCCUUCAGUACCCAAAAGGACAGAAAUGAAUUACGGAAGGAAGUUUUUGCUGCUUUAUUUAGUGCUGCUGAGAAAUCUGAUGGAUUUCCUGAAAUUACGGUGAAGACGGAGUGGAGGUCCAACGCAUUAGGAAAGGUGGUGAGUGAACCGCCGGAGGAAUUAGUACCAGAAUACAAGGCUAAUGUGGUGCACUUGCAGCAAGAUGACCAGACCUGUAUGUGCUCUUAUAUUAACUAUAUUGGUUGGAUUUGUGAGUGUGUACAUUUUUGUGUGUAUACUCACAUUUGUAUUUAUGCAUAUUAACGUGUGUAGGAUUCUUGAUUUCUGCCACUUACUGGAGAACUAGUGGAAAGCUUUAUACUGAUAUAUGUGCUAUAACUAAUGGAAACUACAAUAUGAAUAUUUUCUCUCACCUGGAGAACUGUGUAACAGAUAUAAUUUGUGGCUCUGGAAUACUGAAGAUUCUGCAAUAACUAAUGGAAAAUAUGAUAUGAAUAUUUUUUCUCACCUGGAGAACUUUGUAACAGAUACAUUUUGUGGCUCUGGAAUGUCUAAAGAAUGCUUCAGUUUAGAUCAAAUAUCUUUUAGUUAGAAAAGAUAAAAUUCUCUGAAUCUGAAAGACUGAAACAUUUUGCAUAUUUUGUGAAAGGGAAGUAUCUGUAGAUACUAGCUCAUGCAUUGAGGUAAUAUCAAUGUUAAAGAAAAACAGCAAUAAUUUAUUAUACAGAAUUAGGUUCACUUGCUUUAAAUGCUGGUCUGAUCAACCAUAACAACCUGUAAUGGUCCUGCAGAAAUAUAUAUACGGGGAGAAACUAGCUAAAUUUUCCUUUCACUUAUGGGUUUGGUCUUUUUUUCCCCUAUUUUUCAGCUUUCCUUCUCCUGAAGUAUGUUAACAAUUGCAGAUAAUGACGAAGAGGACCGCUUCCAGGCUCUUUGUAGAGCUGUGAUGGAAUAUAGGGGCACAAUGAAAGAAUAUUGUAAGGUUGUAUGUACUUUCUCUCUUGUCAUUUAUGUUUUCUCACACAUUUUGUUUAUGCCCUGAACAUGCAGCUUUGUAUGUGUCAAUUGCCUUUUACGUUUUAAAAGCCAUAAAGUAAGAAUACAGUUCCUUGUCAGGCUAUUGAUGCGUUCGCUCAGAAGGGUCAUGUUCAAGCAGGAAAACUUCUAGAACAGGUAAGGUUUCCAUCUACAGCCAUCCAUUGACAGCAGAUAUAUUUUCAUUAAGCAGACACUGUUAGCAUUCAAGAUGCUGGCAGAUUCACUUGAUUCUUAUUAGUUUGUUUAGUGGCAAGGCAUAUAACCUGUAUUUCAAAGCCAAGUUGUGCUAUUGAUUAUGUUAACUUUAUUGUUAACAUAAAGUGAUAUGGAGGACAUAAUCAAUGUAGGAAAAUUAGGUGAAGAGAUGAUGUCAAAUCUUGAACCUCUUACAAAGCUCCAAGUUCUUUACUUGAAGAAGCUGCCAAAUUUGAAGAGCGUCUACUGGAAGGCAUUUCCAUUCCCAGAUGUAUGCAGAAUUUUUGUAUUAAUGCCCAGUUCUUAAGAACCUGCCACUGGAUUUUCAAGGGGUGGGCCAAGGUAAAAUUCUUAUCAAGGGAAAGGAAGAUUGGUGGAAAGAACUUCAAUGGGAGGAUCAAGCAACUCAGAAUGCAUUGCUUCCAUUUUUCAAAUCAACUGACAAGUGAUUGAAGGGGGCAUCAUCAACAUCAUCAACAGAGAUGGAGAGAUUCUGGAGCAGAUCAGCAGGGUUUGUAUAUGAUCUUUGGUGGUUGCUUUCUUUUGUGAUUUUUUUUUUCUUCCUGUCAUUUUAUCAUUUCUUUGUCUCUUUUUUUAUUGCUGAUGUUAGUGUAUGCUUACUGUUGCUUGACAAAGUUCGCUUGCUUCUUGUUUAUUAAAUUUUUUAUCGUCACAAAAUAUUACUUGUUCUAUUUGAGAGUGAUGUGAAUCAAUUUUCAAUUAUAUAUUUUGUGGUCAAUGUGAAUUCAAUUUCAUUUGUCUCCUGCAAUUAUGAGAAAACUGCAGAGUCAUAAUAUGGAAAAGUACACCAGCAAAAACUUUGUAAAAGCUUCGGAGUGAAACAGGGAAUUCACUUACUACUAAGAACAAUUGAUGGCGAGUUAUUCCAUUCAUUUUAUGUCCAUCUAUCUAUUUAAUUAUUAAAGAUAAAUGGUCCAUUUAUAAAUUUCAGAUUGUCUCUCUCUGAAAAUAACAAUAUUUAAAAUAUCUCUUAAAUUAUUAUAAAUUUUAAUACACUCUCGAUUUAAAAUGGAACAUGCUGAUGAAAUUGUUUUCUUCUUAAUAAAAUUGAAAUAAAUUGUGUUUGCAGUAGUUUGAAAUAUUUUAAAGAUUAUUAUUUUAUAAGGGAGUAAUAUGAAAUGAAAUUUACUUUUCAUGCGUGAAAUGUUGAAAAAGGACAAAGCAAGUGUCCCUGCUUUUAUUUUUAUUUUAAAGUGGAGUCAUCUCACAUACUUUAGCUCUAUCAUUACAAUUUUUCAGGUUACAUUUUUAUUAUUUAUUUAUUUUCUUUUUUACACAUGCAUGUGGGUUACUUUUCCGUAAGCUCCUCAAUAUAUAUUGAACCCAGCGAAGAAUGUUAUGGAAGAGCAAAUUAAUGAUAUUUCUGAUAGAGUCUAUUUGAUUAUGUAGCCUGAAUGGAUGUCUUGUUGAAAGAUAUCUCAGUGCAUUAGUUCAUCCUUGUCUGUCAAUGUGUUUUUAAUGGUUUUUCCAAUUGUUUAUUAUUAUAGAUUGAUUGUAAAUUGAUAUGAAAAUUUGAUAUGAAUUUAAUGUUGAAAUGUUUUCUCUUUAGUGGAAUGAAUUUAAAAGUGCAAAAGAUUAUUGCACACAGAGAAAUAAACAUAUAUGCUUUAUAACUUUAGCAAUCGAUUCUUUUACAGCUGGAAACAGAGAUGAUGAUUAUCAUAAGGAUGAAGAAAAGUAGUGCGUUAGACGAUUAGACUCUCUUAUUAAAGGCAAGUAUAAAGUAGUGAAGAAUCCAAUAUCUCUAUUGUCUAGUCUUUUGUUUAAUUCUUCUUUUAUUAUUUUUCAGAAUAAUUUUUGGUGAUUACAAUCGGGUUAUUAUUCAGAGUUAUUGUUAUCUUCUGGGGCAGUUUCUGUUCAUCGAAUUCAUUAAUUAAAAUUUUAGAACUCUUAUCAGAAGAAUAUUUUUCGGUUAUCUUUUUUAUGUUCUAAUUCCAAUUGUAAGAAGUAGCCAUUUUAGAAUUUGGGUCUUGAAUCGAAUUUCAAUGCAUGAAUUAAUAUUAAAAAAAAAAAAUUCACUACUCGCAGUUUAGGUUACAAAUUACUUUUUGGAAAGUUGACUUUGGAAUGUUUGCAAAGAAAGAGACUAACAUAUUUCCAAUUACACUAAAUCUCUAUUAUGAUAAUGUUAAGACUAAAUUAAUUUAAAUAAUUUUUAUUUGAAAAUUAUAUCAAACGCAGUCUAAUUUUAUUAAUUUUAAGAAAUAAUAAUUAUAAAAAUUAUUGUUCUGACUUAAUUAAUACAAGUGAUAUAAAAGUUAAGUGUGCACUAAAUCUGUUUUAAUUUUUUCCAGUAUAACUAACAGAGGUCAUUACUAGAAUUAUAUUACUAGUCUAUUAGAUAGAAAAAAUUACUUAUAUUGUUUUAUAUUUAUUAAAAAAUUUAAAGCCAAUUUUUUUAAUUACUAUUUAAAGAAUAUUAUAAUUUGAAAAAUUUUAAUAUCUUUAUUAAAAAUUUAGAAAUUUACAGUCCUCUAAAUAUUUAAGGCGUAACUGUCAUUUUCUCAAGAAGCUUUAUUUAAUAUUAUUGAUUUAAAUAAUAUCUUAUUAAAAAUGUACUGAGGAGAAAUUUUGGUGGGUAUUUUAGUCUUUUCAGCAAUCAUCAUGAUUAACCUUUGGUUGGCCUUGAAACGUCGGUCAGAAAAGUUUUAAAAUGCUUAAUUGUUUUUCACUGUUAACGUUAGUGGCCUUGAAAUUGCUUAUAUUUUAUUAAAAAUUAAUGCUAACAAGAAAAAACUAGAUCGUAUUCCACCCCCAAAGCAAAAGUGAUAAAACAACCGGCUGUAUUCUUUUAUUAAACUACAAAUUAAAAUGGAUUUCUUUAAUUAAAGUGGAUAUCAUUUAAUUAAUGUUUGAACAUUAAAGUUCUGAUAUAUAACCACUAUGCCGACCACCUAAUUGCUGCUAUUUAAUUUCGUUCCAGUUCUCUCUCUCUCUCUUUUUCUUUUUUUUUUGGGCCAAGCAAUAAAUAGUAAAAAUUCAAUAAAAGCAAUAUUAAUGCUGCAAGUGAGUCAUGUUAUUUAUUGUCAAUUAGGAAAUGUGAACCUAAUUUGAUUGCAUCCCUUUAAUCAUUUAAUAAUUAUGUAAGCACCAUCCCUUUAAUUAUUUAAUAACUAGAAAAUAGAACACUGCGUUUCACGCGGCUUUGAAAAAAGAAUUUAGUAUUAUCUUUUUUUCUUACUUUACACUUGAUGAAACUGAUAAAAAAUAUGAAUUGAUUUUUUUUAAAGAUGAGGCAGCCUUAUAAAAAAUAAAAAAAGCUAUUAGCCAGCAAUACAAAUAAAGAAGGAAUGCAAGAUAAAGAAUAAAAUGAGAGAAUAUAUUAUAGAGUGAUCUUAUUCAUUCUAAUUGUGUGUGUACAAAACAAAAAGAUGAGCUCUCCUUUUAUAACUACAUAAUUACUUCAUGAAAUUAAUGAAAAAUUAUGAAUCAUAAUUUCUUGUGAGAUAGUGGGAGUUAUUGGGAAGCUAAAAGUUGCUAAUGGGAGAUAGUGGGGAGACUAAGAGAUAUAUAUUAUGAACAUCUACAUUUAUUUUAAUAAAUUCAUAACACUCCCCCUUAAAUGUUCAUUACAAAGAAUAUGCCUCAUUAAAAUCUUUACAUAAUUGUUAUUGUGUAAUAACAAUCAAAUUAAUUAUAAGAAGAUGAAAAGCCAAAUCUAACAGAAAAUUUCUCUAUUUAUUAGAUAAUAGAGAAUAUAGCAAGAUGAGAAAUGGUAAUGCCACAUCAUCUCCUCACGUCCCAACUUUAUAUAUAUAUAUAUAGAUAAUAUAUAUUAUUCCUGUCCUACAUUCACAUAUUUAAUUGUCCUUUUGAAAAUAUUCAUGAGUUAGGCCAAGUAAAGUCAAAGAAAUUGGGAAAAAGGAACAAAAGGACAAACCUAAAUUAAUUGAACCUAAUUCAUGAAAAUGCACACUUUUGUGUUGCGGACGGCGGACCCUAAAGCUUCGUUGUUUGCAGCUGCAAUUAAUUCUUUUCCUUCAAAAGUUAGAGGCUCGUGUUUACAGUGGGUCCCGAAUCGGACGUACCUAAUAAAUCUUUUAAAAAAAUUUGCCGUAUAAAGGACAGAGGUCAUUACUGAAAUUUCUCUUCCACGGGCAAUUACAGCAGCUUCAGUUAAUCAAACUCAAAUCAAUUUUCUUUCUUAACAAAAUAUUCCAAAGAUGUGUAGCAUUUUUCAGAUCACAUGCGAUGGUGCUUUUUUCAAUCGUUGCUUGGAUUGCUUUCUUGGAAAAGCAGCAUACAUACGUAACCUCCAAGAUAAUCUUGUAGCCUUGGACACUGAAUUGGGAAAUCUGAUCGCUAAAAAGAACGAUGUGAUGAGGAGGGUUGUCGAUGCUGAACGGCAACAAAUGAGAAGGCUGGACGGAGUGCAAGUGUGGGUUUCGAGGCUCGAUGCUGUUAAAACUGAAGCCGAUGAACUUAUCACAGACGGCUCUCGAGAAAUUGAAAAAUUAUGUGUUGGAGGCUACUGUUCCAAGAACUGCAGGUCAAGCUACAAAUUCGGAAAACAAGUGGCAAGAAAGCUACGAGAUGUGGAGACUUUAAUCGCCGAGGGAGUUUUUGAGUCGGUGGCUGAGAGAGCUCCGGAACCUGUGGCAGAUAAAAGACCCACUGAGCCAACAAUAGUAGGCUUGCAAUCACAGCUUGAACAAGUUUGGAGAUGUCUUCUUGUAGAAGAAUCAGCGGGAAUCAUUGGCCUAUAUGGUAUGGGCGGUGUUGGUAAAACCACACUGUUGACCCAUAUCAACAAUAAAUUUCUUGAGAGUCCCACCAACUUUGAUUGUGUGAUUUGGGUCGUAGUUUCAAAAGACCUGCGACUUGAAAAAAUUCAAGAAGAUAUUGGGAAGAAGAUAGGUCUGUUUGAUGGUUCGUGGAAGAAUAAAAGUGUUGAGGAGAAAGCCGUAGACAUCUUGCGGAGAUUAGGAGAGAAGAGGUUUGUAUUGUUGUUAGAUGAUUUAUGGGAGCGGGUUGAUUUAACAGAAGUGGGCGUUCCACUUCCCAGCCCACAAAAAUACUACAUCAAAGUCGUAUUCACGACCCGUUUCAUUGAUGUGUGUGGUAGCAUGGAAAGUCACAGGAAGUUUAAAGUGGCAUGCUUAUCAGAAGAGGAUGCUUGGGAGCUGUUUCGAGGAAAAGUAAGGCAAGAAACUCUUGAGAGUCAUCAUGAUAUCGUUGAGCUAGCCCAAACUGUGGCCAGAGAGUGUGGCGGUUUGCCACUCGCGCUUAAAACUAUAGGUCGAUCUAUGGCCUACAGAAAGACAGCUAAGGAGUGGAGACAUGCAAUUGAAAUGUUAAGGAGAUCAGCUUCAGAGUUUGCAGGUUUGGGAGAAAAGGUGUAUCGUCUUUUAAAGUUUAGCUAUGAUAGUUUGCAGAAUGAUACGAUUAGAUCUUGUUUCUUAUAUUGUUGUUUGUAUCCUGAAGAUUAUGGCAUUCUUAAAUGGGAUUUGAUUGAUUGUUGGAUUGGUGAGGGAUUCUUAGAGGAAUCUGACAGGUUUAGUGCAGAAAACCAAGGAUACUACAUUGUGGGCACUCUUGUUCAUGCAUGUUUAUUAGAAGAGGUGGAAGAUGAUAAAGUAAAAAUGCAUGACGUUGUUCGUGAUAUGGCUAUAUGGAUAACCGGUGAAAUUGAGAAGGAGAAGCGAAACUUUUUGGUUUGUGCAGGUGCUGGAUUAAAAGAGGCACCGGAUGUUGAAGUAUGGGAAAAUGUGAGAAGAUUGUCAUUGAUGCAAAACCAAAUUGAAACUCUGUCAGAGGUUCCCACAUGCCCUCAUCUUCUCACUUUAUUUCUUGACUUUAAUAGGGAGUUGAAGACUAUUGCGGAUGGCUUCUUCCGAUGUAUGCCUUCUCUCAAAGUUUUGAAGAUGUCAAACUCUGGAAAGCCUUGGAAAGGUUUGGAAUUAAAUUUGGGGAUGCCAAAGUUGGGUUCACUACAGCUUCUUGAUAUUUCACACACCUGCAUACAAGAUUUACCGCAAGAAUUAAAGUUGUUGGUAAAUCUGAAAUGUUUGAAUUUGAGGCGGACAAUUUGGUUAAAUAAAAUUUCAUGGCAACUAAUAUCAAAUUUUUCAAGGUUACGUGUGUUGAGAAUGUUCGCUACUGGCUGGUUCAAUUUUCAUGAAGCACCAGAAGACAGCGUUUUAUUUGGUGGGGGUGAAGUUUUGAUACAGGAAUUGCUCGGUUUGAAAUAUUUAGAGGUAUUGGAGUUGACCUUGGGAAGUUAUCAUGCUCUCCAAAUUCUUUUCAGCUCAAAUAAGCUAAAAAGUUGUAUUCGAUCUCUUUACCUCCAGUUGACCGGAGAUACAGCGUUAAUUAUUGAUGCUACGGCUUUCGCAGAUCUAAAACACCUCAAUGAAUUACGCAUUGAGUCGGCUACAAAGCUGAAAGAAUUGACGGCUGAUUAUACAGAGAUAGUUCGAAAAAGGCGGGAACCUUUUGUUUUCCGCAGCCUUCACCAUGUUACUAUACAAAGCUGCCAGAAGUUGAAAGAUUCGACAUUCCUCGUUUUUGCUCCAAACCUCAAGUCUCUUUCGAUAGUCAAAUGCAAUGCUAUGGAAGAAAUAAUCAGCGUCGGAAAAUUUGCUGAGACUCCUGAGAUGAUGGGACAUAUAAGUCCUUUUGAAAAUCUCCAAAUGAUUGAUUUACUAGGUUUGCCACAUUUGAAGAGCAUCUUCUGGAAGCCAUUGCCUUUCACUCAUCUGAAAGAAAUAUCUGUGCGUUAUUGCCCUAAUCUUAAAAAGCUUCCACUCGAUUCCAACAGUGCAAAGGAGCGUAAAUUUGUUAUUCGUGGAGAAGAAGACUGGUGGAACCCACUUCAAUGGGAGGAUGAAGCCACUCAAAUUGCUUUUCGUUCCUGUUUCCAACCCUUGUUCCUGAACAGUGGUCGCAAAAUUUGAUUUCUGGUGAGUGCGUUUGUCUUUUAAAAAGAAUAAUUUAAAAGAAAUUUAUUCUUGUCGGUUUCUUCACUGUUUUUAUUUCAGUUUCUCUCUCUCUCUCUCUCUCUCUCUCUUUUUGUCUUCUGCAAAUCACAAUUACAUUUUUAUUCUUGUCGUUUUCUUCACUGUUUUUAUUUCAGUUUCUCUCUCUCUCUCUCUCUCUCUUUUUGUCUUCUGCAAAUCACAAUCAAAUGUUGAAUUAAUGGAAUUAAUGCUUCAUAAAUUUGCCGGCACUGCCAUUACUUUUUUUUGGGGGAUCGAAUUGAUACUUUAUUUAUAUCUUCUUAGCGAUUUAAUUUCCUGUCAAAAGACGAACGAGAAGAACAUAUGACUUAAACCAAUGCUCGCAUAAACUUGCUGUAAAAAGAUAUAAUCUCACUGAAAUGCACACGCCUAGAAUGAAUAGAAUUAAAACAGGGAAAAUAUUAAGUAUAUUAGCCCUCUUUACUGAAAAUCAAAUGACAGUAAAUUUUUUGAAGUUUUGAUUUUCUAUGGUCAAUUCCACCUUUUGCAAUUUCUUCUGUUCUAACAAAAACCAAUUUCUUUGUUCAAGUAUUUUCGUUUGGAUAUUAAUAAUUCUCCACCGAAAGAGUGAACUCUUGCUCAAAGGGAUCUCUAAUAAUACAUAACAUGAUUAUUUUCGUUUGAAUAAUUGAUUUCUUGAUUGAAUUGUCGUGUAAUUGAUUUAUGGGGGAUGACACAUCAACAUACUUGAAAAUACACUAAUCUCAGCAUCAUCGGUUAAUAACUUUUAGAUUUAUGGGUAAUCAAUAGUUAAGAUUAGUUGUCAUUAAUACUAAAUAAUUUUUACUUUUUUUGUCUCUUCUAGAGGAUCUUCUAGAAAAAUGCAUCCACAAUUAAAUUUAAUACUUUACAUAAUAAACAAAGCCUAAAUGUUAAAUUUAAGAAACUGCAUUGUAUUUCAGUUGAAGUUGACUUUAAUAUUUAGGGUAGAAAAACAAUUAAUUUUAUUUUUUGAAAUGUCCAUAUUCAGAGCACAUUUCAAAAAGACUCAAUAAUUUCUCAUAAAUUUCAAUUAAAAAUAUUCAAUUUGUUGUUUCAGUUCUUUUAUUUUUUAUUUUUUCCGACAUGAAAGCGACUUAAUGUUACUAAAUUGGGUGGUCUUUGGAUUUUCAUGACCCAAUAAUUGGAACAAAACAAUUUUCUCAAGCGCUCUCCCGCAACAUUUUAUAAUUGAAGCCGCUGCCCCGCCCGUGGUUUCAAACUUUUUUCUUUCUCCUUGUUUAAAUUAAUGGGAGCAGCCUCCGUCCUUGACUAGUUGACUGCUUGUCUUCUUUUUUUUAUUAAUUAAUUAAUUCAGCCGCCCCCCUUUCUUGUCCCAAUAUCUUCUACUUUCGGUUUCCUUUUAUUAUCUCUUUAUUUUUAAAAAAUGCUUAUAAUAAUAAUAAAAUAUAAAAUAUAAAAAUAAAAAUAUAAUUUAUCAGAAAAUUAAGAUAAAGAAAUAUUAUAAGCACAUCAAUCAACAAGUGAAAAAAAAACAAUUUUAAUUUACAUUAAAUAUAAACUUUCAGUGUUAAUCAACUUUUCUAAAUAACUAAAUUAAAAAAUUAAUUGAUUUAAUUGUGGUGUAAUUGAUUUGUAGGGGAUGAAUCAGCAGCAUCAUCGGUUAACGCUUUCAGAUUUAUAGUUAAUCAAUAGUUGAGAGUUGUUAUCACUAACGCCGUGUAUUUUUUAAUGUUUUUUCUCUCUCCUACAGCAUCUUCUAGGAAAGUGCAUCCGUUGCUAAAAUUUAGUAUCGUAAAUAAUAAACCAAGAAUAAAUAUUAAAUCUAAGAAACUGUAUUGCAUUUAAUAUUUAAGGGAGAAAAAUAAUUAUAGUGUCUUUAUUAAUCAGUAAAAAAAAAAAUUAGAAUCAUAAUAAAUUGUAUUGUUAUUGAUGUAUUUAUUUUAUUUUAUACUCAAAAUAAAUUAUUUUAAAUUAUUAAAAUAAUUUAAAAUUAGUAUUUUAUUUUAUACUCAAAAUAAAUAAUUUAAAAUUUUCAUUUCUUGUUUAUUUCGCAAGUUGUUAUUGCCUAAUGCUAUGUCAACUCGAACAUUAGCAUUUUUUUUUUUGGUCCUCUUUUAACGCAAAAUUAGUGUAGGUUAAGUAACAUAAUCAAUAUUAGGACAAUUUGAAAUCCCUAUGGGUGCGUUUGGUACACUGUAUUGUAUUAUACUGUAUUGCAUUAUUUUAAUGCUGAUGUAUUGUAUUAUGUUGUAUUGCAUUAGCACUGUAUUAUAACAAUGCUAUACAAUAUUUGGUGUUACAUUGUACUGUAUUAGAUUUUAAUUAUAUUAUAUUUAGUGUUACAAUUGUUGUAACAUAAACACGACCAAAAUAAAUUGUACUAAAUAAUCUAAGUAAGAGUUCUGUAGUAUAUGUAAUAAUACUAUUUAUAUUAUUAUUAUUAAUAAUUCUAAAUUAAUAUUAUUUAAUUUUAUUCAUAUUUAAAUAUGUAUUAUUAGUUUAUUAAAUUAUUUAAAAUAAUUAAUUUAUAUAUAUUAAUUAUUGUAACUUAAUUAAAUAAUGUAAUGCUAUAUUAUAUUUUUAUAUACUAUUUAAGUAUUUAUUAUUAAUUAUAUUUAAUUAUAAAUUUAUUAAUAAAUUAUAAUAUAAAAAUAAAAAAUAAAAAUUAAUAUUGUAUAAUAUUAUAUUAAAUUAAAGUUUUAUUUUUAUUACUAUUAUUAUAAAGUAAAAAAAAAAAAAAGGGAAGCUACUGACUUUUGAAACACAAAAGUCAGUAAUACAACCUAAUCACGAGGGGGGGCGCGGGUUUUGAUAAUGCGGCAAAAGCUGCAUUGUAAUGCUGCUCAAUGCAAUCCAUUUGAUCACCAAACACAGGUAUAUUUUAACUAAUGCUGGGCCCACAAAAUAAUACAAUGCAAUUCCGCAUGCCAAACAUACCCUAUGGGUGCGUUUGGUACACUGUAUUGUAUUAUACUGUAUUGUAUUAUUUUAAUGCUGGUGUAUUGUAUUAUGCUGUAUUGCGUUAGCAUUGUAUUAUAAUAAUGUUGUACAAUGUUUGGUGUUACACUGUACUGUAUUAAUUUUUAAUUAAACUAUAUUUGGUGUUAUAUUGUAUUGUAUUAAUUUUUAUAAUUAAUUAAAUUAAAUAAUUAAAAAAUAAUAUUUAUUAAUACUUAGAAAAAUAAUAAAUAUAGAAAUCUUAAUUGUAGAAAUUUAACAAAUUUUUUAGUAAAUAUUAAAAAUUAAUGAUUAAAUUUCUAAAAUUUGUAUUAUAAUUAUGAUAAAAUAAAUUUAUAAAAUUUAAUAUUAUAUGUAAAUAAUAAAUUUAGAUUAUAAUUAAUAUUAUAAUUGUUAAUAUAAAUUAAUAAAUUAUUAUUCAAUAAUAUUCAAUUAUAUUUUAAUUUACAAUAUAUUAUUAUUUUUACAUUUUAAUAUAUUAAUAAAUUUAUAAUUUAACAUAAAUAAUUAUAAAUUUAAAUAAUAUUAAUUUUAAAAUUAAUAUUAAUGUAAAUAAUAUUAUAAUAUUAAUAUAUUAUUUUUAUAUGAAUCAUUAAUAAAUAAAAUAAUAUUAUCAUAUAAUUUAUUUUUAUAUUUUAUUCAUUAUAUUAAUAUUUAAUAAUAAAAUAAUUUAUUUUUAUAAUAUUUUAAUAAAAUAAAUUUGCCUCAAUUGAGGCAUUAACUGUUGCCUCAAUUGAGGCAAAAAGCUUCCGCAUCCCUCGGGUUUGCGUAAUGCGGCCCCAUGCCUCAUUAUGCUGCAUUAUAAUGCAGCAUAAUGAGGUGUCAAAUUUUGCCAAACAUGUUCUUGGUAAUAAACUAAUGUGAAUAGUAGUAUAAUACCACAUAAUCUCAUGCACCAAACACGCCCUAUGUGUAUUAUUCACGGUAUCUAUGAGGGCUUAUCCUUUUGCUAGAACAAACUCUAGCAAAUUGUCAAAUGUGCUUAUCCUUUCCCUUGACGACUCAUUUUAAAAUUGUCACUCAUUUUAAAAUUGUCUUUCAAUGCACAAACACAGACAUAACCGCCGACAUCGAGCACCAAGUUUGGAAUUUAAUUGAUAAGCAUACAUUUGAUAAAUUAAUGAAAAGUUUGGAGAGUAGUUUUGAUCACCCUUGAUUAGGACGGUAUUACAAAAAAGAUCAAAAAGAAAACAUCGUCUCUCUUCACAAAAAUAAAUAUUUUCCGUUAGAAUUUAAUACAAUAAUAUUUUUUUUGAUUAAAAUUUAAUUAAAUACACAAAUAAAUUAUAUAUUUUUUAAAAAAAUUUACACCCAGUCACAAGGCUGGCUAUUAAACUUAAAGGGUGGAAGCUUCGGAGACUAAAGUUGGUAACUUCUCCAAGUGGUCUUAAGUUGACCGGAACUACCCAGACUUUAUGUUUGGUAGCCUAGACCUGAUCGGACCUAGGCCCAAGUUUGGUCUUAAAGUCCACAAUUAAAUUAAAAAAAAAUUAUUUGAUUUGUAAUUGAUUUAUGGGGAAUGAAUCCGCAGCCCUAAAAUUACACCAAUCUUGACAUAAUGACAUCAUCGGUUAAAAACGUUCAGAUUUAUGGUUAAUCAAUGGUUUGAGAUUUGUUAUCAUUAAUGCUAGAUAUUUUUUAACAUUUUUUUCUAUCUCUCUUCUCCUGAAGGAUUUUCUAGGAAAAUGCAUCCACAACAAAAAUUUUAAAUUGUAAACAAUAAACAGAGUAUAAACGUUAAAUCUAAGGAACAUCGCUGCAUUUCAGCUGAAGCGAACUUUAAUAUUUUACGGAGAAAAAUAAUUAAGUCUUUAAUGUGAUUUAUUGAUUAAUAUAUAUGACUAAUUUUUUAAAAGAAGAUGAAGGAUGAAGCUUAAAAAUAUAAAUUAUAGAAUUAAUUUAUCUCUUCAAUAAAUCUAAAGUUUAUUUUUUUUAUUACAUGCUUCUAUUUUAUUUUUAUUCCAUGUUAAUGAAUGGAGAUUUAAAUCCAUUUUGGAUUUAUAAAGAUGUUUAGAUAUUUAAAUCCACGUGUGAUUCCAAACUUGAACCUUUUUUUUUUUUUUUUCUAAUUAAUGCAAACAGCCGCCUCUUUGACUGCUUUUCUUCUUUGUUUAUUAAUUAAUUAAUUCAGCUGCCCACCUUUCUUUUCCUAAUGUUUUCUACUCCCAAAUUUUUUUAAGGACAAGGCUACGUUGCAGACGCUGUACCUAACAGCUGCACCUUCGCCAGCUUAAAAAAGGGUGCAUUUGGUAAGCAACUUUUCUUUCGUGUGCAUAUGUGUCCUGCCACCAUUGGGUGUGUACGUAACAGAUAAUGUACCGUAACAAGCUCCUAUUUUUAAAUUUGUUUAUAAUGAUAAAAUAUAAAAAUUAAGAUUAAAAUGUAAUGUAAUGUAAAAUUAAAGGUGGAAGAGUAUUAAAAUAAGGCUAAACCUAUGUUACGUUUAACGUAACAUACAUUUAAAUAUAUAAAAUAUCAAUGGAAACCCUCAAAUUUUAUGGAAACUAUAUUAAUAAAAUUAAAAGAAAUAUUUUUAAAUCUGAAAGAAGAAAUAAAAGAUAUAAAGCAAGAGAUAGGAAAACUAAAAAUAGAAAUAUCUGUAAAAGAAAAAGGAAAAGAAAAAUUAGAAAUAAAAGAAACAACUCCAACUGAAUCGAAUUCAGACUAAUGGAAGAUGUAUUAGAAACUUUAACUGAAAAAUUCAGUGACAUAAAUCUUAGUGAUUUAGAAGACUUUGAAAAAGAAUAUUAGAUAAAAAUGAAUACUGCUGGAGGACCAGAAAUGAAACCUAAUGUAGCAUAACCAAGUCAUAGAUAUGGUAUAAAUAAAAUGAAAAAUAAACCUUUUUACGAGUAUAUACCUCCUAUUAAAAAUACUCCUUGGAAAAAAGAAUACAAACCAAAUCAAGAUACAUUAACCCCAAUAAAUAAUGCUGGAACAUUUUUAAAUCUAGAUUGUAAGAUAGACAUUCGAAAGGCGUUAGCAGAAUGGGUGUUACAAAUGAAAUUAUUUUUUAUAUUUAACGGGUCAAAGGAUGACUAGAAUGUAGAGACUGAAGAAGAAAAAAUAGAUAUAUUUGUUGAAAUCUUAAUAGCCAGUUUUUCAGGAAAUGUGUUUAAUUGGUGGAGAGGAUUAAGCGAUGAUACACAAAACUUAAUAAAAGAUUCAACCAAAUAGCAUUUAGAAAAAAUAAAGCCUUAGGAAUGGAAAGGAUAACUGAAUACAUAGCUAGUGAAUUUUUAGGAGAAGAUUGGCUAGAAAAAUCGGGCAUAUAUGAAAAUUUAAAAAUUUAUGAUAAAAAGAUCUUAGUGUUUUUAUUAAAAAAUUAAAAUUUACAUGACUAUUUCUUUAAAUAUUUAGGGCAUAUAUGAACCACGGAGGAGAAAAGCUUUAUUUAAUAUUUUAGAAUAGUUUUUGAUCAGUACAAUUGGGUCCUUAUUCAGAAUUAUUGUUCUCUUCCGCAACAGUUUUUGUUUAUCAAAGUCGUCAAUUAAAAUUUUAGAAUUCUUAUCAGAAGAAGUAGUCGUUUUAGAAGUUGGGUCUUGGAUCAAAUUUCUACGAGUGCAUGAAUUAACAAUAAAAAAAUUUCAUUACACACGGUUUAAGCUACAAACUACUAUUUGCACAGUUGACUAUAAAACUUACCUCCAAUUACACUAAACCUCUCUAUUUGGUAACGUUGAGACUAAAUUAAUUUUAUUAGCAUGAAAAGAUGAUAGAAAUAUAAUUAUAAAUAUUAUUGUUGUUAAUCAAUUAGUACAUGUGAUAUAAAGGUUAAAUGUGCACUAUAUUUAAUAAUUAAUUAGUGGAGCAUGUUAAACAAAAUGUUAAUGUAUAUUUAUAUAGUGUUAGGAAUAUGCAAAGUCAAGUCCUCAAUUUGCAUUAUCCUGUAUAGAAUAUUACUCUAAAAAUGUUUUACUAUAAUUGGCUUAGAACAUUUGUAAAGAAAAAUAAUAAUAAAAUAAUAAAUAACAUACACCGUCACAUAGCACCUAGACAAUGAUAGAAAAUUAUUAAAGAGAGUGCAAACAAUUAAUUAGAGAUUUUUAUGAUGACUUUUAAUAUUCAUGAUAAUAACAAAUAAAUACAUGUAUCACUUUUUUAAAAUAUUAAAUUUGACUGCUCCAUUAAUAAAUUAUUAUUGUAAUUCAGACUCUAUCUAUAUAUCCUUGCACUAAGAAUAAUUAAGGUAACGUUUGUUUUUUAACUUAAUGACUUAAAGUGACUUAACUUAAUUAAUUAAGUUAAUUAGAGGUGUUUGUUUUAUAACUUAAUGAGACUUUUUAGAUAAUUUUGACUUAAUAAAAUAAGCUAAUUUUUUUUGGCUUUUUACUUAAUGGAGAAAUCUGAAUUAAGUCAAUUACUUGCUAAUGUCAAAAAUAUCCUUGUUUUAUAAUUUAUUUUUCAUGUCUAUCCCAAAACUCGCCCGUAGAUAUUUACCCCACAUAAAAAUAUCCCUGUUUUUUUCUUUCUUAUAUUAUAUACGAUAAAAUUUGAAAUUUAUAGUAUUUUAUAUAUUAAAAUUCUAAAAUAAUUAUGUAUUCACUUGAAUAUAGUUUUACUUAUAAAUGUUAAAAUAUGAUGGUAUUUAAUAUAUUAUUUAUUUGACAUUCAAAUUUAAUAAGGAUACAAAUGUAAAAGUACAUAUUUUCAGCUUUUUAAAUUGAAAAAAAAUAACUUAAUAUUUAUUUUCUGAGAUUCAGACGAAAAAAUAAACAUAUUAUUCAGAUUCAUACAUUCAGAUCUAUUCAGAAUUCAAACUAAUUCAAGUCUAUUCAAAUUUUAGACAAAAAAAUAAACGCCACCUAAGUCAUAAUAAAAAUUUUCGUAACUACAUCUCGUUUCUUCCUCAUAAUAAUAAUUAGAUUGGUUCGAAUAUUAUAACUAUAUAGAUUUAGUGUAUAGCCACAUCCAAUUUAAAUAUUGACCCAAUUGGGAUGGUCCCCAAAAAAAAAGAUUCGUUAAAGGAUAAUUCUAAUUAUUUUUACUUCUCAAACGUUAGUGGGACGUUUCUAUUAGCGCACUCGUAAGCCAAGUUGUCAAAUAUUUAUACUAAACUACAAUUGCUAACAAGAAAAAUCAAGAUCGUGUUAAGCAAGUGGGUCCCGAAUAGGACGUGCAAAUCUCUCGUAAGUCAAGUUGUCAAAUGUUUAUAUAAAACUAACAAUUACUGACAAGAAAAAUCAAGAUCGUAUUAAAAAUGGGUCCCGAAUAGGAUUAUCUUUUUAAGAAUAUUAUUAUUUUAUUAUUAAAAUUUUAUUAAUAUAACAGUAUUAAAAUUUAUUAAAAAAUAUAUUUUAUUAUUAAAAUUUUAUACCGUUAUCAAUUUAUUAUUAUUUUAUUAAAAAAAUUAAUAUUUAACAAAAAUUGAGAUAAAAAUUAAUUUUUGUUCUCUGUCUUUAUUUAUUUAUUUAUUUUUUUGGGUCUUCUGCAAAUCACAAUCAAAUGUUGAAUUAUAAAUUUGCCGGCAUUGCUUUUUUUUUUUUUUUUGGGCCGGGGGGUGGUGUUGAAUUGAUGCUCUGGGUUUUUGACUUUUGUUGUCAAAUUUUACUCUGUUUUUCCCAAAUUGAUGCUANNNNNNNNNNNNNNNNNNNNNNNNNNNNNNNNNNNNNNNNNNNNNNNNNNNNNNNNNNNNNNNNNNNNNNNNNNNNNNNNNNNNNNNNNNNNNNNNNNNNNNNNNNNNNNNNNNNNNNNNNNNNNNNNNNNNNNNNNNNNNNNNNNNNNNNNNNNNNNNNNNNNNNNNNNNNNNNNNNNNNNNNNNNNNNNNNNNNNNNNNNNNNNNNNNNNNNNNNNNNNNNNNNNNNNNNNNNNNNNNNNNNNNNNNNNNNNNNNNNNNNNNNNNNNNNNNNNNNNNNNNNNNNNNNNNNNNNNNNNNNNNNNNNNNNNNNNNNNNNNNNNNNNNNNNNNNNNNNNNNNNNNNNNNNNNNNNNNNNNNNNNNNNNNNNNNNNNNNNNNNNNNNNNNNNNNNNNNNNNNNNNNNNNNNNNNNNNNNNNNNNNNNNNNNNNNNNNNNNNNNNNNNNNNNNNNNNNNNNNNNNNNNNNNNNNNNNNNNNNNNNNNNNNNNNNNNNNNNNNNNNNNNNNNNNNNNNNNNNNNNNNNNNNNNNNNNNNNNNNNNNNNNNNNNNNNNNNNNNNNNNNNNNNNNNNNNNNNNNNNNNNNNNNNNNNNNNNNNNNNNNNNNNNNNNNNNNNNNNNNNNNNNNNNNNNNNNNNNNNNNNNNNNNNNNNNNNNNNNNNNNNNNNNNNNNNNNNNNNNNNNNNNNNNNNNNNNNNNNNNNNNNNNNNNNNNNNNNNNNNNNNNNNNNNNNNNNNNNNNNNNNNNNNNNNNNNNNNNNNNNNNNNNNNNNNNNNNNNNNNNNNNNNNNNNNNNNNNNNNNNNNNNNNNNNNNNNNNNNNNNNNNNNNNNNNNNNNNNNNNNNNNNNNNNNNNNNNNNNNNNNNNNNNNNNNNNNNNNNNNNNNNNNNNNNNNNNNNNNNNNNNNNNNNNNNNNNNNNNNNNNNNNNNNNNNNNNNNNNNNNNNNNNNNNNNNNNNNNNNNNNNNNNNNNNNNNNNNNNNNNNNNNNNNNNNNNNNNNNNNNNNNNNNNNNNNNNNNNNNNNNNNNNNNNNNNNNNNNNNNNNNNNNNNNNNNNNNNNNNNNNNNNNNNNNNNNNNNNNNNNNNNNNNNNNNNNNNNNNNNNNNNNNNNNNNNNNNNNNNNNNNNNNNNNNNNNNNNNNNNNNNNNNNNNNNNNNNNNNNNNNNNNNNNNNNNNNNNNNNNNNNNNNNNNNNNNNNNNNNNNNNNNNNNNNNNNNNNNNNNNNNNNNNNNNNNNNNNNNNNNNNNNNNNNNNNNNNNNNNNNNNNNNNNNNNNNNNNNNNNNNNNNNNNNNGAAGGGUCUCUAAUCAAUAGCUGGAAGCAAUUGAGAAGGCGGUUGCUACAGUGAAUUCAAAUGUAAAAUGUUUGCUAUUCUUCGAUUUGGUUAAUGAUUUCGUAUGAAUAUUGUUGUUCCGUUGAGUUGCAUGCGAAUUCAAAUGCAAAAUAUUCUUCGAUUUUCAAUUUUGAAAUCAAAUUUUUUUUUCCUUCUCAAGCAUGUUAUGCAGAAACGAUUGUCAUGUUAUGCAGAAACGAUUUUUACUAAAUCAUUUUUAACAAACUAUUGAAAUUAAACCACUGGAAUAAGAAUUGUAAGGAUUUAUCGUAAGCUUACUAAUACGAUAAUUCUGAAACUAUCACCUUUUUUUUUUUAUUUGUUGCAGGGAAACCCAAAUUUUGUAUUUUGUCAAUUUCAUCUGAUAUGGAAUUUAUUUCCUCCCUAAAGAUUUAUCAAACUGCUUCUCUUCCCUGCUUCAAUAUCUUUAUGCAAUUACGAUCUCAUAGGAAAAGAGAGUUUGGGUUGUAUAUCUUAUAGUAUUUAUUUAUUUUUUGUUAAAAGAAAUUUAUUUUAAAAUAGUUUAUAGCAACAGUUUUUAUUUAACAAUAAUGAGGAAGGAUUAUUAUAGGUUCAAAUAGUUGUUAGAACAUUAUAAAAAAGUCCAUUUACUAUCAAAUGUUUUAAAUUGGUGCAACGUGAUAAUUGUCUCAUAUAAUUUUUUAAGGGUAAAAACUCGUUUCAUUCCCAUAUUUUAAGAUUAUUACUCAUUUAGUCUUUAUAUUUUUAAAAAUGUUUCAAAACAUUCAUACCCUUAAAUUAUUAACAUCUCUGCUGUUACUUUUUAUUUUUUUUUGACUUGUUUUUACAAUAUUGCCCUCUUACAAUAAUGUUUCUUUUUAUAAAAUUAAUAAAAAGAAAAAAAAUUAAAUUAUCAAUUUAACCCCAAAAAUAAAAUAAAAAUAAAAAGAAUAAAUAUUAAUUUUUGUGAAAGUUUACAUGUGUCCAAAAUAAAUUUUAUUGUAAAAAUAAUUAAAUUGCCUUUUUUUUGGACAUUAGUAAUAAAAAAAUUAAUAUAUUAAUUCCUCAGCAGUGUGUUACAAAAAAGUAAAAUAUAUUAAUUUUGUUUUUAUUUUAGACAAUGAGAUAGAGAAAAGUACAAGAUAAAGGAAAGGACUUCAAAACUCACUGUUCAUCAUAAUGCCCUUUGCCUUUAAAAAAAAAUCAUUCUAAUAUUUUAUAACACAUAAAAUAUAAUCCUAAGAUAAAUAUAAUAAUACAUAUUUUAAACUAAUCUCGAUAUUUAAAAUAUGUUUUAAUAUUUUAUAAUCUAUCAGACAUAUUUUAUUAUAUUAAUGUAAAAUUUAUAAUAAAUACAAACAUAUUAUUAAAAUAAAUAUAUAAAAAAUAUUUAUUUUUUAUAUGUUUACACUGAGGACUCUCUUUAAUUCAUUUAUUUUCUCUCUCUCCAAACAGGUACUGUCUUCAGUUAGCAAUGCUAUGAUAGUAAUCCAAUUCUCUUCUCCCCCACCUGAGCGAGAUUUGAAUUUGAAUCCCUUGUUUUUCACCCACUCUGUUUUUUUUCACGCAAGAUUUGACAAUUUGAGUUAAAAAAUAUGGUCCAAAACUUGAACACGUAUCUUUUAAUUGUAAUAAAAGUUCUUUAAGCUUUGGAGAUGGCAUAUAUAUGGCUGGAAGUGUCCUUUUCUUUGACCUAGAGGCAGCACCAAGCUAUCCAGCAUCAUCAUUUUUCAAGUGGGUCUUAAAUGCCUAGAAACGUUGGUGUUUCUUGAUUUAAAGAUGACACAUGCUAUAAGUGUGAAUGGUUUGGCUAAGCCUAAAUUUAAAGUCUACUCAAGUCGCAUUCAGGAUCAUGGAAAUUGGAAAGGGAGAGAUGAUAGCAAGAUUUAUAAUAAACAAUUAACUUGGGUCCUCAGUGUACAAAGCAAAUGCCACGCAAGCGAUAGCCGGCCCAGCCCAGAAAACCCAGUGGCGAUCCCAGAGAUGGCCUCCUCUAACGAGUGCUGGGCCCAAAAAUCUUUGCGGGUUGAGCCCAGCUCCGGCAUAGCCCUUUUGAGCAGUAACAGUUGUCGAGACAAAAACCAGAAGACCCAACACUGUUCCAAUGACAAUGCAUACGGUAAACUCUGCCAAGAGCCUUGGCUUGUCUGGAGUCAAAAGCCAUCCACACAGAAGCAAAAAGGAACACAAACGAGCAAAUUAUCUCAAGCCAAAGGGCCUGCCUAGUCCCCAAGCCGAUCUCAACAGGCCCAUCUGGCCCAGGUACGACAACAUUCAGGGUGCAGCCUCCAAGUUGUCAAAUAUUUAUAUUAAACUACAAUUGCUGACUAGAAAAAUCAAGAUCGUAUUACAAGUGGGUCCCGAAUUGGACGUGCCUAAAUCUUUUUAUAAUUUUCCCAGUGUAGCGGACAGAGGUCAUUACUAAAUUUCUCUUCCACACGCCACAGCAGCUUCGGUUAAUCAAACUCAAUCAAUUUUCUUGGCUUCUCCGCUUAUCAAUAUUACAAGGUAUGGGUAGCAUUUUUCAAAUCACAUGCGAUGGUACUAUUUUCAAUCGUUGCUUAGAUUGCUUUCUUGGAAAAGCAGCAUACAUAAGUAACCUCCAAGAUAAUCUUGUUGCCUUGGAGACUGAACUAAGGAAACUAAUCGCAGCAAAGAACGAUGUGAUGACGGCGGUUGUCAAUGCUGAACGGCAACAAAUGAGAAGGCUGGACCAAGUGCAAGUGUGGGUUUCGAGGGCGGAUGCUGUUAAAAAUGAAGCUGAUGAACUUAUCAGAGGCGGCUCUCAAGAAAUUGAAAAAUUAUGUCUUAGAGGGUUCUGUUCCAGGAACUGCACGUCAAGCUACAAGUUCGGAAAACAAGUGGCUAAAAAGCUACGAGCUGUGGAGACUUUAAUCGCCGAAGGAGUUUUUGAGGCGGUGGCUGCCGAGGUGGUGCCUGAGAGAGCUCCAGAGCCUGUAGCAGAUGAAAGACCUACCGAGCGAACAGUAGUAGGCUUGCAAUCACAACUUGAACAAGUCUGGAGAUGUCUUGCAGAAGAAUCAGCGGGAAUCAUUGGCCUAUAUGGUAUGGGCGGUGUUGGUAAAACUACACUAUUGACCUAUAUCAACAAUAAAUUUCUCGAGAGUCCAACCAACUUUGAUUGUGUGAUUUGGGUAGUAGUUUCAAAAGACCUGCGACUUGAAAAACUUCAAGAAAAUAUUGGGAAAAAGAUAGGUUUGGUUGAUGAUUCAUGGAAGAGUAAAAGUGUAGAGGAGAAAGCUCUCGACAUCUUCCGGAGUUUAAGAGAGAAGAGAAUUGUAUUGCUGUUAGAUGAUAUAUGGGAGCGGGUUGAUUUAACAAAAGUGGGCGUUCCACUUCCAGGACCACAAAAUACUACCUCAAAAGUCGUAUUCACAACCCGUUUGAUCGAUGUUUGUGGUAGCAUGGAAGCUGACAGGAAGUUCAAAGUAGCAUGCUUAUCAGAAAAGGAUGCUUGGGAACUGUUUCGAAAAAAAGUUGGGGAAGAAACUCUUGGAAGUCAUCAUGAUAUCGUUGAGCUAGCCCAAACUGUGGCCAAAGAGUGUGGUGGUUUGCCACUCGCACUUAUUACUAUCGGUCGAGCUAUGGCCUACAAAAAGAC
rnacentral:lncRNA from 1 species